rnacentral:lncRNA from 1 species
AAAAAAAAAAAAAAAAAAAGAGUAAAGGCAACCAAGAUAUAUAACGAGGUUCGGUAAUGUGAGCCUAUGUCCUGAGACAACGAUAUUGUUGGCUUUUUUUUUUCUUCUAUGGGAAUGACUAUGAGAGGAUGAUAGAUUGUUUUAAGGCACUAUCUUUCAUACUUUAUAUGACCUACUUAUAACUUAUGUACAAAUGGGAUAUGCAAAUAACUCACGUUGUUCUUGAAGUAGUUGUGCUAUUAUUAGUCAUGUGUGUGUCCGUACGAAGCAUUGUUAGUCAUUGAUCUGAGGGGACUCGAGUUAUUAGUAAACGGUAUGUGUGAGCCCCAUAUUGAUCUCUUAUAUAUUGAUGGCUAAUAUCACUUGUAUCAACGGUCUUCUCUCACCAGGACUUCUGCAUGGUAAUAACGUGCUGCUGCCAUUGUAAACAUGGAGGAAAGUAGAGAAUAAAAAAUACAUGAUGUCCGCACGAUAAUAACGUCCGAAAGUCUGCAUAAGAGAAUAUAUAUAUAUAUAUAUAUAUCUUAAUGGCUAACAAUGUUUCAUGCGCAUAAGUGUGACUGAUCAUCUUGAUUCUUGAAAAUUGAAAUACAAGUUUGUGGGAGCAAAUAAUCGCACACCAAUAAAGAGGCGGCACCUGGGCUUAAAGCUAUUGUUUGGACCAAAUUACCCCAGGUAAAAGGAGCGUUGUCACACCUCAAAUCAAAGUUAACAGAAUCCUUGAAUUCAGACGAGUUUCACACCUUAAUUAUAGAAACUAACCAACUAUAACCAAAAUGUGAAGAAUAAUAAACAAAAGAAUAUUCACAUAGAAACCUUUAAACGGAAACAACCAAAGUAUUCCAAGUCUUACACCACUCUUUUUACAUGUAGAUCUACUCCUCUCAAAAAUAAAGGACGACCACCACUCAUUGGAUAAGGUAGUAGCAAUGUUAUUGCUUUCAUCUUUCGUUUGGAUGUUGUGUUGCUUUUGUUCUCUCUUUCGGAAUGGCAAGUCACCUUCACAUGGGAUUCUUUGCCACAAAGGUACCCCAAUUGCCAUAGUAAGAACUAUUAAAGGCGGAGUUAUAGUCAUCACAAAGGUACCCCAAUUGCCUGACAGUUCAUUGUCUAUAUUCAUCUUUAUAUAUAGUGGCUAAAAGAUUGAUCAUGUUUUGGAAAAUGAUUGAUAAGCUCUUUGAUUAAGAACGCUAGGGCAGCGGUCUUCUUCUCGAAUAAAGAUUUAAGCUUCACCCAAAUAUGGUGAGUAUUGUUCUCAUUAGACAUCAUGGAAAACACUGUCAUCCACUUGGUGAGUAUUAUUCAUCUUGGUAUAAUCAACACUCGACAUAUUUUGUGGCUUGGCCUUAAUAUCUUCCACGAGUACUUAUGUAAAUCCUCACAAUAGAAAAUGUCCUCCAACCUUGGUUUUCAUGUCUCACUCAAGUUGUUGGGUUCGAUCAUGGUGCUAUCAUAUCUUUCUAUUUUGUAACACUAAGUCAACCGUGACUCUGAAUUCAAUUGUUAGGAUCAAUUAAUAAUAAUAGAAUAGAAGUUAUUAAACUCAAACCGAUUAACAACAUAAGUAAGAAAUAAAAUAAAGGGACAAAAAAAUUUAACGAGAUUCGGUAAUGUGUGCCUAUGCCAUAUCAACUCUUCCACUAUAUUAAACAGAAGAACGAUCUUAUAAAGCCAAUGCCCAAGACGUGAUGUAUACAAGAACGAAGGCUCAACUUACUUAUCAUUCUCUCACACACUAAUGAACUCUAUUGCUUGAACGCACUCUCACUCUCACUCUCUCUAUUUGGAGUGGAAGAUUGACUUGAUGCGAAAUGGUAAAUAAUUCUCUUUAUAUAGGCACGACAAUGACUAAUUUGGGUGGACCCCAUGGUACGCCAACAGCUUGAUCCCACACAUAUAAAUGGCUCACAACAUAUGAACGGUUGACAACACUUCUAGUGAUUGAUGUGAUGCUAGCAUAUUUUUUCUCGAUAAUUGAAAUGCAAAUUCAUCUUUGACUAUGGGACGUGGUGUAGAUGCAAGAAAUUAUAGUUUUGAAGGCCAAGUGCAGCUGUGCAGUGGUUAAAAAUAAUUAUGUAUGCGUCGAAUUUUAGGUUCAAUAAUUUUUCCCUCUCUGAUUAUUCAACAACAACAACAAAAAUGACAGAUUUGUUAGAAAAUUAUCAAAACGAUUGAUUAUGGCAGAGACGAAGCAAGCCGUACCUACCACCAACCAAAACGCGCAACUAUGAUGAGAACGUCUCGUCACGAUCCACCGACCAAACCCAAAAAAUAAAAAUAAAAGAUCCUCGAAAACAAGACGCAAAAUCACAAAGAAAUGUCGGCCUCAGAUUGAAAAGAAAGUAAACAGAACAAGUCAAUUUUGAUAUCACUUUCCAUAUUUUUUUUUGGACCAGAACAAACCCACAGACAAGCAGGCACUAGAACAACUGUGUGUCUCGGUGUGAGGGAAGGUGCUUGUGUGUAAUCUGACAGAACGUCAUGUCGUAUAUGAUUAGGAGCGACCUCGGAUCACGCCACACGACAACUAGGUAAACUAGCUUGGCCAUUCAUUAGGCCACGUCAUGUCCUGUGCUAAGACCCAAAUCCUAGAGUAGAAUACAGGCUUUUACAUUUGACCAGAAACCCAAACCCUAAAUUUGAUUUUUUAUUCAAAACCUUUGGGUGUUUUUUUAUUUUUUAUGCAACCGAUAUUUAAGAAGUGGGGAUUCGAACACAGGAAUUCAAGUUUGAAUAUAACCUAGAAUAUUCCAUAUCUAUGUUUGAAUGUGCAUUGGAACAAAAAGAGAUUAUUAAGUCUUAGGUCCCAUCAUUUUUGAACCAAAAUAUUAGAAUUUGGGGAUGAGAAAUUGGAUUGAAUUUUUUCGACCCAAAGAAUAUAAAUGAAAAAUGGAAUUAUUAGCUAAAUCUAAAGCAGACAUGCUAAUCACUGAAACGGCUAUGUCAUACUAACUUUAAGAAAACAUUCUGCCAAAAUGCCUCACCUUUUCCCUCAUGCGUAUACUCCAAGCAAAAAACAGUCAAAUCGAUUAUUUUUGUUUUGUUUUAAUGGUUACAAAAAAACAAAGUGUCCGCCUAAUUUAAUCACAAUUAGAUUAUUAAUUGAUUUUUGAUUGGACUAAAUGUUUUUUUAUAGGGAUGAUCUUGAAUGAGAACAAUAAAGGAAAAAUAGUUCGUAUUAUGAGAUCACAUUAUAUACGAAGUAGUGAUUAGCAUUGUACUAACUUAGAAAAUUCAUUUGUAUAUAUUAUAUAUGAACACACAGGAGUAUUCUCAUGGGCGGAACUAGCAACAAGGAUACCAUGGGCUCUAGAGUAUUUACGUGAUUUCAUUCUAUAAAAGAUUAGUAGUCCACCCAAAUAUAGCCUAAUAACUCAUUGUCCACUCAACUUAUAGGCCUAUAAUCAUCUUAUAUUUAAUUUGUUUACUUAGUUAAGAGUACUCCAAUGGAGAUGUGUCAAAUAAUAUGUAUCAAAAAUGGAAUUGAUGGUUGGUAACUUUAGUCAAUGGAGUUAUGAACUAGCGAAUUGAACCUGGGUGCACUUAGGGGAGAGGGGGAGAGUUUGGCCCACUUUUUGAUUGUGGUGUCACCCUAUGUGCGUGGUUUAUAUAAUUUAAUGUUUACUUUUAUUUCUAGAAAACUAUAGAAAUUGUAAGUACAACAAAAAUAAGAAAACAUUAUAUUUGAAGCUAAUAACUUUAGCUAAUCCACCCGUUGAAAAAUUCAUGAUUCCGCCCUUGAAUAUUCUCAUCAUAGGAGUAUCCUAUUAAUUUUAUGGUUGAGUCUAGAUGAUAAUAAUAUGGAGGAGUGAGAUAGGAAACAUAAAGUAAAAAUUGGAGAGAUGCCCUACAGAUUACCGUAUAUCAUGUAUCUAUAUAUUCCAUCCUCUUUAUAAAUUCUGACCUUUUGGAGGCUACUUAUCCUCCUUUUUGGUGGAACCCGCAUGGAUAGGGGUAAAGGAGAAAAGAAGCAAAGAACAAACCAAAAAAAAUUGAAGACUGAGAUGUGCAGGAAUUUGACAUGGUAAAAGCGACAGUUUAAUUAUCAAUAAAGUUAAAGGAUAUAUCGCAUGGUAAAGGCAACAUAUCUAAUCCACUCAUCUCAACAAGUAAGAUUUUCAACCACAACUUUAACAAACAUUGCUUAAAUAUAUUUUAAGUUUAAAUAUAUUUUCGUUUUGACCGAAAAAUAAAAAGAUAUUUUACAGAUAAUUGUACAUAUUCAGAGUUUACUUUAAAAAAUUAUAAAACACAAUAGAUGAAUACGUAGUCAUAGUUUUCCUCCAUUAAAAAAAAUUUAUAAACUUUAUUUGAUGAGAUAAAUUAAUGAUUCUUGAAACAUUGUUUCACAUGCAUGGAGUCUUCCAACUGUCCUUAAAAAAGGAAGGGUGAUGCGUUUAGAGGUGCUAAUUAGUAUUAUUAUAAGUAUAUUAUUAGACGAUCGCAUGCAGUUUCUUUCUGCCAGAUCAGUUCUAAUUUUUAACUUCUAAAGUUCAUGUUAAAAUAAAGGAAGCAUAAUUAAAAAUUAUUUAUGUUCAGAACACCACAUCCUUAGUUUAUUGGUUGUUUCUCUCUUUAUUCUUGUAGAAAUCGAAGGUAGGAACUAGGAAACAUCUGUUUGGAAGAACUCCCAGAUUGGAAUCUCACCGCCCCUUGAUUUAAAAAAAAAAACCAAAGAAUACUCUUUAUUUAAAAAAAAAAACCAAAGAAUACUCUUUCUUUUCACUUCUUCCAUUUUAUUUUUUUUUGUACGAAGUCUAACAUAUUACUCUUUCCAUUCAUAUUGUCAUUCUCUUUCUCAUUCAAUUUCACACCAACCAAACACCACUUAAAGGAAUUGAUUAUCACAAAACGUCUUUGAAGUUCAUGAAAUUAUCAAGUCGAGUCUUUUAUGUUUUUUUGUGUCAUUAGUAAUCCUUAAGAUUAACACCCGUGCUUACAGAUUGAAAAAGGAAAAAAGAAAAACAUUAAACGAACAAUCUGGGAACAUCUCCGAUUCUAAGUACUGCUAGCCAGGAAGAAAAUAUACAGCGGGUGAAAUUCAACAGGACCAAAAUGGAAAAAUACAAAGAAACGGUAGCUAUCAGUCCCUUCUAAUAACAAAUGUUUCAACGAAGUUUGUCAAAUCUCAAUUUGGUGCAUUAGACAUAGAUACAAACAGAAAGUCGCUAGCCCUGCAACUGUGCCUCACUCACCUAAUGAACCCUAACUCUGUAAAAUAAUAGUGUCCAAUUGAAUUGAGAAUCAGCAUUGACUUUUUUGACACAUACAUGACGACACAAGACCUCAGAGUAAUGGCAGUGCUCCUCGUCCUUCCUACUUGUGUAUUGUUUUUGUUAUCCUUCUCUUUCUUCUUCACAACUUGAAUGACUGGACAAUAUUCGACAUCUCAGACCAAAAAAAAGAAGACAAUAUUCGACAUCUUUCCCUUUCGUUGUCCAAUGUGCAUAAUGGCUUCUCUUUUUAUAUUUGUAACUUCAAAUUGGAAUCGGAUUGGAAUUUUCCAUGUCAUUCCACACCACUUGUCUCUUAACUCUACGGAUAUUUCUUCUUGGCGGCCAACUUUAUAAAAAAUUAAAAGGAGAUCUAGGGAGCAUUACCCUAUACAAGUGACACUAGCUCUUUGUAUCAUAGUGGCGAUGAAGACAAAAACAUGGAUAACUGUAAUUCUUGAAAGAGUUGUGCUACCACCAGUCGCGUGUAUAUAUAUGCAUGAUGGUUUGAUUAAUGGUAUGUGCUUUUCAUUGUUCAUCUCGUACACAUAGAUAGUUGACGAGUGAACAAAUGUGACUAAUGCUAGUAUCUUCUUGAAAAUUGAAAUAUAAAUCCAUCUUUGAUUAUCAAACUAAAACCAAUUAACUAUAUAAGUAAAAAUUAAAGUAAAAUAAAUAAGAUCAAGAAACUUAACGAGGUUCGGCAAUGUGUGUGUACGUCCCGAGAUACCAAUUGGUACACGAACAAGUUGGUCCCGCAAUAACCAAUGGCUGAUAAUAUUUCAUGUAUCCACAGGUGACUCAUGCUAGCAUAUUUCUUCUUGAUGAUUGAUAUAGAAAUUCAUCUUGACUUUGGGCCAAGGUUUUGGAGGCCGAGGGAAGCUGUCAACGGAAAAAUAAAAAAUAAAAAAUUAUGACAGUCUUAAUAGGACAGGUUUGCUGCAAAAUUGUCAAAACGAUUGAUUAAGGGCAGCCCCUACCACCAAAAAGCACUAUGAAAAGUGACAAUCCAAUCCACCAACAAACCCAAACAAAAAAGACCCCGCAAAACAAGAAGCAAAACCCCAAUGAAAUGUCGGUCUCAAAGUCAGAUUGAGAGAAGAAAGUAGAAGAAGAACAAGUCAAGUUUGCCAUCGCUUUCCAUAUUUUUGGGACCACAGAGAAAGCAAAGAAAGCUACAAUACAAAUUAAGCACUUAACAACUGUGUGCCCUUUUUACUUCUAGACGUAAAAAUUGUCUCGGUAUGGGGGAAGGUGCUUGUUUGUACCAUGCGUAAUCUGGCAGAACUUCGACCCCCCAAAAAAAAUUAAAAAAUCUGGCAGAACGACAUGUCGUAUAUGAUAAGACUCGAUAAACAAGCUUGGCCCAUCAUUAGGCCAUAUCCAAUGGACCAGAAAGCCCAAGCCCAAACUUUGAUUUUUAUCCCAAACCUCUGGGUUUAAAUUUGGUUUUGUAUUGGAGAUUGGAGAAGGCCUGAGGGAAUCAAGAACAAGAACGUUCAAAGUUAGAAAAAAUUUAAAUUAAAAAAAAUUAUUAAUGCAUAGGAUACAUACGCUAAAAGAUAAGAAGAAAUUCGACCACCCCAAUAAAAGCUUUUUCUAUUCUUUUAUUAACUGAUUUACGUAUAGGAUUCCAUUCGCCGCACGGUUGGGAACUAAUGAUCGAUUAAGGAGAGGGUCAAUCUCAUUUCAGCUCAUCAUGGUUGCUUGCAGCAGAACCCCAAGUUCCAGCAUCACCAGAUUUCAUGGGCCUGCUAGGUUGGGAAGCUUUAGGAACUAGAGCAAUCAGACUGAAAGUUCUCGCAGGCCUGGCGAUUUUCAGUAUAUUUUACUGUUUAAACUUGGGAUUUUUGUAUCCUUCAAAGAAAAACAGUACAAAUGUAAGGAAAAAGAAAUUGGAAAACCAUUGCGCUUGGUCCGAACACAUAGAACCAGAAAUUUGCUGAUCAAUUAGGUAAAAGAAAUUAUAACCAAUAGAACAAACACAUCAUUGCAACUGCCAGAAGGUCUCAAGUGACUCGGUUCAUAAAAAUACACUCCAUAACAAGCCCUAACUAGCAGUACAAUUUACACACCAACUGAUAAUACAUUUUAAGAGAAGACGCUUUCCGCCGGGAAUAAGUAAAGCUCCUGAAACAAAAAAGUAAAGGAAAAGAAUUGUUGUACACAAACUCAACAAAAAGGAAACGACGAUCCUCUGAAAAGCUUGAAGUUCUAACGCGGUCCAAGAAGUGGUCUUCAGAAACCAAACCCAAGUUUAAAUUUUAGUUAAAUCCACAUCUUUUAUCACAUGAUGCUGCAUCGGCUCCUUUCUUCUUGUGGCUGAGCUGGUACCGGCUGGAACCUGUUUGACUCAGAUGGGUUGUAUGUAAACUCAGCUGUAUCAAGCCCGUACUGAUUUUGGUUAUAUAUGCAGUGUGACCAAAGUCACCAGACAAAAAAGAUAACAGGCAUUAGAACCAUAAACUAUGGAAGAGAUUGUAGCAUAAAAAUAUAAAUGAAAAAUGGAAUUAUCUAAAGCAAACCUGCUAACAUGCAGAUCAUAACUCUACACUAUCACUAAAAUGGCUGUCUAUGCAUCAUGUCAUACUAACUUUAAGAAAACUUUUUGCCAGAAUGCCUCACCUUUUCCCUCAUGCGUGUACUCCAAGCAUCAUUUCUGUUCGGUCGUUGAUCACUCGCCCCAGCAACAGGUACACCAGUUGCCGGAACUGCUGGCCUGUUAUUGAUCAAUGGCUGUCUAAUUUGUUGCCUUGGAGCAAUGAGCUCAUCAUCACUGUCAUACUCUGCUGGUCUGUUUGCUGCCCUAACCACAAGAGCUAGCAAGAAAAGUAGAGCCUGAAAUUCCAUGGAGAAACAUUAUAAAAUAAACUUUUAGGCCAAGAAAACACCAAACAAUUUUUUUCACUGCACUAGAUUCAAGAAUCACAACAGAAGAACACUCUCGUCUUAGCAAUGAUUUUGUGCAGCUAAAAAGCAAAUAAUGUACAAAACUUUUCAGACCACAAGGAAAUCUUAACCAAUAUCAGAUAAAGAUGUACAAGUCUACGAAAAAUUUUUAACUACAACCAGAAGACUAGCAGCAGCUGGCUGGCAAUAUCUGAUAUAACACCAUUUCUAGAACUAACAUUUCAAUGGUUUUGUUCUUAUGCAAACAGUUUUGUCAAUGUUUUUCAAUAAGAGCUGUAAUUUUACUAUAAGAAAAGAAGAACGUUACAGAACAGAUAACUAAAUAUCCACUGAUCUAUCUAGAGUAGCAGCAAACGCCAUUGAAAAAUUGAUUCAUAUCAGUUUCAUGCAAUGAAAGAAUUCCCCAACAGGAACAAUAUCACGAAGAAAUUGUAUUUAGAAAUACAUAAGAUCCUUGCUCAUGCUAUUGCACAUACACUUUUAAGUCAUAUAAUGAAUCAUAAUUACUACUAAUCAAACUCAUGCAAACAUUUCAAUCACUGUCAUUAUGAUGUAGACACAAAAUAAGACCAUGAAGAAAAUGCAUUCAGAAAUACAGCAAGAUCCCGGUUCAUGCAAUUGAGCAUAUACUUGAAGAUCAUAAAAUCAAUCAUGAUUACUGUCAAUCCAGCCGCAUGAAAUAGAUAACUGGAAAAUAUGGAUUCAUUCAACAAAAUAAAAUUCAACUUAGAAGCAAACCAGUACAAGCUGACAUCAAAAGCAUAAAAUGUUUCUUCCGAUGCUACAUGUUCAUUAGGCCAUGCAAGAACCAACCCCAUGGUAGCACCCAUUUCAAGUAUUCUAGCCAAUGAGAAACAACCGUGAGGUAAAGUUCCACAGAAGCAUCAGGUUUGAUAAUGUUUGGCAGUUUCCUUUCAGUGAUGCAUUGCUAGCUAAAAGAUGGCCACCCCCUUAUAUAUCUAUAUGGGAAUUUUAAAAAUAUAUAUUAAAAAUAUAAUUCCAACCCAGGGAAAAGAGAUGGUCAUGCCAAAGCAAUCUUCCUUUAGUUGACUGAAGGAUAUAAUUGUAAUUCCACCAAAGGAACAAAAACUCAAACCAAAAUAUGUCGAAACUGAAGAGACCCUGACAAGAUUUUGGAUACUUUAGUUACCUCGAAGACAACGGCUCCAAGAGCAACCCAUCUAACAAUGUCCCAGUGAGCUUUCAGAAAUGCAUAUAUCAUCUCAAAAUCUCCACUUUUAUCUGUUGGGAUUUCCUGGAAAACAAAUUAUGACACUGAUUAGAUGGCCAAUCAUACCACUACCAUCUAAAAUUUCAAAACAUCAGUUAAUAACAGAACUUACAGCUUCCCAGCUUUUGUCAAAGAAUAUAAAGGCUGCACCCCCCAGCUCUACCAAUAUCAAAAGGAUCAGCAAAACUGAGUACUAUGAUGACUUAAGGAAAUCAAUUUUUGAAAAUAAAAGAGUAUAACUCACAUGCACUGUACAUCAAGUAUAUUUAUCAGCUACCAUGUACUAUGAAUGUAAUUCAGCAUUAUUUUAGUAUGACGCCAUUGUAGGCAUAUCACAUAGCUGAAAGACCAUGACAUUAUUAUCUGAUAUACCAUUUAGACAAAAUAUUGAGUAAUUAGGAUACACAACUCAAGCAGCAGCCAUUCCGUGUCAUGGCGGCCACGCAACCAAAACAAGAGAUGACAAAUAUAAUUGCUCCAAUUCCAAUAAACAAGUAGAUGAACCUGAAAAAGCAUGUGACAUUUAAUGGAGGGAAAAAAAUUAAGAAUUAGUAGCUUGAAUUCAACAGGUAUGACUCUUCAAUAUCUAUAUAAAAGUAAAAAUGCAAGAAUAUGCAUAGAUCUAGGAUGGGUAAGUUACAGGUUCAUUUAUUUUACAAAAGGAGAUGUGAACCACAGAUUGAUGCGGACAUCAUUAGUUAGUUUCCUGAUUUAUUAGUUUCCUAGAUUCUCUAGUUUUCCAGAUUUCACUAGGAUUUUAGUUUCCAGAGUUUUAGUAGGAUUUGAUUUAAGUUUCCUAGUUUAUUCCUUGGUGGAUUAGGAUUUCUGUUUUAGUGAGGGAUUUUUAUCCUAUUGUCCCUAGGUUUUAGUUUGCUAUAAAUACCCCCCAUGUGGUUCUUUAAAAUGGAGAUUUGAGAUAUUAAGAAAAGUUUACUUUCCAGAGAUUGGAGACUCCUUGGUGUGAAGCCAAAACUCUUUUGGCGUGAAACCAAGGCGUCUUUUACCACCUAUAUUCUGUUUUUCCAUUGUUUUUGCUUACGCUAAACUAAUUCACCCGUGUCCUACAUCAAAUUUGGUAUCAGAGCCAGGUUUUCGUUUUCUUUGGGUUCAAAAUUUUUGAGUAUUUCUUGUUCUUCACGCCGCGUGUCAAGUGAUGGCUCCGACUAAGCCUGGAAAGACAGACGAGCCAGAGAUGGACUUUGAACGUCUUUUUCAGAUGAUGGAAAACCUAUCAAAGCAAGUGGCAGAUUCGGACACUAGAUCCAGACUCGUGGAAAGUCGCCUUGCAGACUUAGAAGCAGCUAACCAACAUGAUGAAGCAAGUGUGAAUGGAGAAGAGAGGAAUCGUGAGCGACAACAUCAUGAUAGAAGGAAUGAUCGAGACGCAGAGAGACACAAUUUUCAUCGUGGCUAUGACCAAGACCCUGAUGAAAGGGUCAUGAGAUCAGUGAAAGUUGACGCUCCUAAUUUUGAUGGUGAGCUAAAUCCUAAAGCACUCCUCGACUGGUUAGCUACCAUAGAUCACUAUUUUGAGUGGCACGACAUGUCUGAAGCUCGAAGGGUGAGAUUUGCUAAGAUAAAAUUGGUGGGUCAAGCUGGAUUGUUUUGGACCAAUGUUGAAACACAGCUAGAGAGAGCUGGUGAAGAACCAAUCAUCCAUUGGGGUGAGAUGAAAGAAAGGUUGAAGCAGAAAUAUCUACCAUUAUCCUAUCAACAGAGUUUGUUAGAUGAGUGGCAAACUCUUCGUAAGACAACAUGCCAGUUGCUGAAUAUAUUGCAAAAUUUGAGGAAUUCAUGUUGCGAUGUGACAUAAGGGAAGAUCGAAGGAUGACUAUUUCUCGGUUUAGAUCAGGACUUCGUCCAGAGCUUCAAAGGGAAUUAAUUCCUCGUACUGUGAAUACUUUAGAGAGGGUUUUUCAGAGGGUACAAGAAUUAGAGAAGUAUUUAAAGUCGUCCAAUGUAGUCAAGCAAACUGAUUCUCAAAGAUCUGAUUUUCAUGUUGACACAUCUGUGACUCCAAGUUCUACGACUUCAACAUCUAUGACUAAUUUAGUAAAAAAUGCCAAGGGAAAAGGAGUGCUAGUUGAUACACGUGGUGGUGGAACGCAAAGAUGUUACAGAUGCCAAGGUUUUGGACACUUUGCUGUCCAAUGCCCAACGAAGGAGGCAACAAGAAAUCUGCGUGCACACAUCAACGAACAAGCUGACAAUCAAGGCGAAUUCGAGGAAGAUAUUUAUGAACCCCAACAACCUGAUGAAGAUUGUAGAAUCGACUUUGAAGUCCCUCAUCCAACAUUAGCAGUAGUAAGGUGUACUUUGGCUCAACCUAGGAAGGAAACUGUGGAUUGGCGUAGGACUUCCAUUUUCCACACUUACAUCAAGUCUGGAGAUAAAGAGUGUAAGGUGGUCAUGGAUAAUGGGAGUUGUAUCAAUGUGGUGUCAACGCUAACCGUUUCACAUCUUGGUUUGUCACCCGAGAAGCAUCUUGUGCCAUACAGAGUAGCAUGGAUUGACAAUACAUCUUCUAUCCCCGUUACCCAACGAUGUCACGUUCCUAUACAGUUUUCAACUUACAAAGAUCAUGUUUGGUGUGAUGUGGUGGAUAUGGAUGUGAGUCAUAUUCUCUUGGGAAGACCAUGGAUCUAUGAUUACAAUGUUACCAUCUUGGGUCAAGAAAAUAUAUGUUCAUUCAUCCAUAAAGGAAAGAAGAUCACGAUGAAGCCACUUCAACCCAAGCUCGUGAAUCAAUCUAUACCAAACAAAGAGGAGCAAGACAAAGCAGGUAAAACCAAAGCUCUACAUAUCAUUAUGCUUAAAGAAUGUAAGGAAGAUGCAGAAGUUCCCAGUCAAGUGGAAGUUAAACCAGAUUCUCGUAGUACUCGGAUUACAAAGGAGGACCUGCCGCACAUUGAUCCCAACGUUUUGGAAUGUUAUUACAGCUUUAUCUCACCAGAUUUGAGAUCUUUUCAGCUUGGGGGAAUUGAUGCGGACAUCAUUAGUUAGUUUCCUGAUUUAUUAGUUUUCCAGAUUUCACUAGGAUUUUAGUUUCCAGAGUUUUAGUAGGAUUUGAUUUAAGUUUCCUAGUUUAUUUUACUUAGUUCCUUGGUGGAUUAGGAUUUCUGUUUUAGUGAGGGAUUUUUAUCCUAUUGUCUCUAGGUUUUAGCUUGCUAUAAAUACCCCCCAUGUAGUUCUUUAAAAUGGAGAUUUGAUAUAUUAAGAAAAGUUUACUUUCCAGAGAUUGGUGACUCCUGGGUGUGAAGCCAAAAUUCUUUUGGCGUGAAGCCAAGGCGUCUUUUACCACCUAUUUUCUGUUUUUCCAUUGUUUUCGCUUCCGCUAAACUACAUAAAUACUCAAUUCACCCAUGUCCUACAUCACAGAUGCUCAUCACUAUAAAUGAAUCACAACCAGUGAAGAGAGUGAAGACAUUAUUUGUGAAAAUUUCAGUACAACUGGCCUAUAUGACAGACUAGUCUUCAGACUAAAAAGAAAAAAUAGACUAGUGAUCUCAACCAAUUAAGUACAGGACUUCCUAUCAAUAACUAGUGCAAGACUGUCUAUUAAUGUACUCUCAUUACAGAAAUAGUCUCUUAAUCGUGAGAGAGAGACUCCCAUUUGACCACUGAGUAAGUCCUUUCAAGAUCAUUACCUCAAUAAUUUGGUUAGCUAGGGAAGGGUUACGACAACAUAACUUCUCAAGAUAGAAUCUGUCCUUUAUAAUGAGAGAUGAGAUAGGAGGGAUCCACUAUGUGUCUUGACGCCUAGAGUAGGCACCUCUUCAUCACAUGGUGAUCAACCCUAUUGGGAUUUCAAAUCCUCUACAUGAAGACUUAUGUGCCUAGAUUCUUGGCACGGUAUCCUAUGAUAUCUUACAUUAGAUUCCAGGAGCAAAAUUGAAGUAGGAAGCUCUACCUCUGCAUGAUAUCUAGGCACAGGGAUCACAUGAUCAUACUUGCGCCUAGACUUUGGGUGCAGGCUGCAACACAGAAAAGGGCUAUUAGGCUUUCUUAUGCCCACAAAAUAUUUACAGAUAACUUCUCCUGUACACUUCAUGAAGGGCAUAUGAGCAAAAAUUCACUUGGAGGAGCACACAGGCACAUCCAUUGUAGCCAUUCGGAUCCAGCAAAAUAGGGAUACCUUGGAGGGGUUCCACAAAAUCUUCCCCGGUCAGACAAUGCAUUAGAUAUUUACCUAAAGAGGUAAGUCCUUGAGCAGGUCUUACGUUAGCCCCAAGACAUUAGCCUCUAACCAAAAAAGUAAAUGCUUGAGUUUGAGAAGCGUCUAGUCCAGUGGGUCCAUAAACGCACUAGGAUAGGCAAUAUUACUCAACCAAACAAAGAAACAAACAAUAAAACUGAACUCCGGCCUAUGAAUUUGUUACUGAGGAAUAUCUGCAGCAGAAGAUCCUGAAUUUGGGACUUUCUACGCCAAAAAUAUUCUUAUAAAUCACGGCACUUGUGCUUGGAUGGCGACUCAAAAUGUCCAAGUCUUUGGAUGGAACCAUAUUGUAUUUCAUUUUGACCUACAAUUCUUGAUAUGCAUUUGAAUAAAUCGCUCAAAACAGAGAAACAAAAAUUUCCGCAACAACCAAAGUCAAGCUAAGUUUCUAAAUUAUAGACGCAUUUCACAUCCAAACUGUUAACUAAGAUAACAGACUAGUUAAUUAAGAGAAAUCUCCAGUUGGAUUAAAAAAAAAUAGGGAGGAAAAUGAUUUCAUUCCUAAGGUUUUCAAUCAUGUUAUAUCAUCUUUCUAUGUCUCUAAACUUACAUACAGUCUACGAUAUCUAAUUUGAAAUAAAUAAUAACAACUAUGUGAUAUCAACUGUAAGAAGAUAAGUCUGUCAUAAUCAUCGUUGUCAUCUUGUUUAAACCAUAUCUAAAAUCAAAAUAAACAACAGAUACCCCCAAUUGUAAUAAAACAAAAGAUUAACUAGCUAUAACUCAAAAAACUGAAAAAGAAGUUUAAUCAAUUAGGUAGUAGGCAUACCAAGCUUUUGGCAAAUUAUCCACGAUAUUAGAUGAAAGAGACACAGUCAUGAGCAUAGGUCGGCUGAGCUGUAUCAAAGCUUGAUUGUCACCCACAAGCGAAGACAUGGCAACUGUGUCAGCAGCUUUCAGGUAUUCAACCAGCAGGUAGAUCCCAUAACCCACCAUGGCCAGCCCCACAAGGGUCAGAACAAAGUUCAAUAGCUUCAAUACGCACUCCCAGCACCCUCUGCAGGCCAUCUUCAACAAAGUUCUUGGACCCUUCAAUUUCCAAAUUCAAAUCAAAUGGGUCUCUUCUAUUUCAUCAAUUAGCCCACUACCUUCAACAAAAGACCCACAUUUAGCCCCCAAGAUCAAUAACACAAACAUACAAUUCUGGCUACUAACUUUCAGAAGUUUGCAACUAAUCUGGUAAUUGACGUAUUAAGCUCUGUUUGGUUGCUGGGAAGUGUACUCAAACCUUUUAUUCGACAUCAAUAAUUGUCGAAGAUCAGGGUCGUAAAUAAAGGAUUUUUAUUUUUUUUUUAUCUAUAAAAACCAACCCCCGCCCUGAAUUCAGCUGAAGCUUAUGGAAAAUUUUGGCUUGGUUGACUUCUAAUUCUUUUUUACCAAUAGCAAAUCUGAAAUGAGACCCAUAUUUCAAUUUUCCCUCAACUUUCUCAGCAAUCAUUCAAGUCUCCUAGAAAACUCAACUACCUCAAUUUCCUAACCUAAUCAACUAUGAUUUUCCAAACAACACACACUGAAAAUACAAUCGAUGAAGCUAAAUGCAAUAUCAGAUUUAUAAAAUCUAGCAUAGAUCGGAAGAUUAGCAAAAUUCGAAUUAGGCUUACAGAUUAGCGCGGAUGAUUACGAGAGCUAAUCGGAUUUUCGAGCUUUCUCGGAUUCUAAAUUCGGAUAGAGGAAGAGGAACAGAGACGAAGCGAAAAGGAGAGGAGCACCUGUAUUUUUUGCCUUUUGUCUAAUUGCCAGCUUGGCAUUUUUGAUUUGUCCCCCUCCCCGUUUUUGCUUUGUCACCGUUUACUAUUUUGGAAUGACGUUAAUGACCUUGUUUAUGCAUUUCUAUUUAUGCAUAUACUUGCGAUAUGCUUAAGGAUAGUCUGGUCAAAUCUAGUAGCUAUGAGUUUUCAGAGAGAAAAUGCCGUGCUGCAUACGACAUCGUUUAACCGGUCUCUGUCCACAAUCGUUCUGAUUUGCCAUGUCUGUUCACUUUUGGGAAAAGAAAAAAACAAAAAAGAGAAAAACAGUUUAGACUUACAAGUCAACAGAACAAAAAAAUUUAUAAUGCAAAAAUUAAACUGUAAUUUUACAAUUGAUAAUUUUAAAGUCUUCUUUAAUAAUACGUUUGUUUAAUAAGACUUGUUAUGUAAUUUUAAUCUCGACUUCUGUAAUGUAGUUAAGGACUAAAUUCGUGUUCUUAUAGUUGAAUUCAAACAAACUUGAUUGUCUCAAUUCAGUACUUCUUAAAAUUAUGAUCAAAUUUUAUAUUACCUUUUAAAAUUUAAAGUGAUUUUAUCUUUAAAUUCAAUAUUUUACAUCGCACUUUAUUCCACAUCAUCCACAUCAUCAAAUAUAUUGAUAUGUCGGUUGAAAAUGCUUAAAUGACUUAAAUAGAACCCGAUAUUUUAAUCAAAUGUAUGCAGGGAAAGUGUAAUGUGUGCGAAAAAGUUGUGGCCUCCAAUGCUUUCGCUGUAUUAAAAUUAAAUAUGUUCAUGUCUCACAACACAUUCCGACUUAGAAGUUAAAAAAACUUGUAGAAGAAUCUGUGGAGUUGCACUACAAACUCAACAAUAAUAUCUAACGGUCGUGGAUCAAGACAUCAACUACAAGUCAAAACAAUAUUGGUCAAGUUUUUUUAUUCGAUUUGGUUCGUACCUACCACUAUACACUUGCUUGUUAUUUCUUAUAAAUAAAAUACCUGUUUUUUAUUUUAUUUUCAGUACCAACGUGGUAUUCUGUACGCUGCACAUUAUUUAUCAACUUAAUUACUGUUUUGUCCCUUUGCUUUCAAUCAAAUUUCACACCUUAUGCUGUUUCAUAAGUUCUGUCAAGAAAUUCUUUAUGGAUACUAGCGUGGCAAUGGCAAGAGUUUUUUUUUUUAUUAAUAGAUUUUUUUUCCACAAUCCAAACCAACUAUUUUCAAAUCUCCAUUUAUAGAUUAGAAUUAUAAAAAAUCAUGCAAAUUAAAAAUCAUUAAGGCAUCUAAUUGAGAGCAACAAAAUAGACGAAUAUAGUGCUUUAAGAAAAGACUAUAAUAACAACCAUCUAAUUGAGUUGUCAAAUGGUUUCAUAUUCAAGUAAUUUUUUAUAGAGAUGAUCUUUGAGGGAAUAUCCAAAAAAUAGACUGUUCAAAUUAUUAAAAUACAAUGCGUGGGGUGGGCUUGGAUUAUGCAAAGGCUUGGAUUGAAUAUAUUUUUUUAAGUAGGGGCAAGAAUUGGGCAAAAAUUCAAAGGGGGUGGAUUGUAAGACCUGUGAGCUUGGAAAGCAAAACUAAUGAGCAAUCUCACAUUACUCGGGGAGGGAAAGGUAAAGUGCCUUAUAUGUGUGAACACUUCUCUUCCUAGCAAGAGGCCUUUUGGGCAAGAUAACAUUAUCUUGAGCCCAAGAACAAAACCUUGAAAGGAGGACCAAAGCGGACAAUAUGUUGCUAAUAGAGUCAGGUACAUCUUGGAGAAGCUACAAAAUACUCCACGGGCAGAGCAUUUCUUGUUGACAUCAUCAAUGACCAGUUCAGAGUCAUAUUCAAUUAUGGUAUUGCGCCAACCAUGAUGAAGUACAUGAGCUAAACCAUCCCUCAAAGCAAGGCACUCAUAGUAGAUAUGUUGAAACCCCAAGUACCUACCUAUAAUAGAUAUGUUGAACUUGGAGGACAUUACUAAUAUUAGUAACUCGAGGAGAAAAGUAAAGGGUGGACUUAUGGAAAUUAAUUUGUAGGCCAGAGGCAUAUCAUUAGCAAAACCCAUUUUUUGUAAGCAAGCUUGAAUAUAAUUCUGGUCAAGCAUAUCAUAUGCUUUCUCAAGAUCAAUCUCAAGAGCCAUAGUUCCAAUGGAAUCUUUCUUACGUUUAAAGUCAUUAAAUAACUCAUAAGCUAUAAGGAUGUUAUCAAAAUUUGAUCUGCCAUGAGCAAAAGAACCAUGAUUUUUAGAGAUUUAUUUAUAUAAUAAAGGUUUAAUAUGAUUGAUGAUGAUUUUUGCAAUUAUUUUAUAGGAAACAUUGCACAAACUACUAGGUCUAAAUUGGUGGACCCACUCAUGAGAGUUAACUUUAGGAAUAAGAACAAUAUUUGUAUGGUUUAAAGGCUUGAGAGACUGUUGAUUGGCAAAGAAAUCUUGGAUUAAGGCUUUAAUGACAGGCUUAGUUUCUUCCCAACAGUUUUGAUGGAAAGUAGCAUGUAUGCCAUCAGGGUCAAGAGCUUUCAGAGGACCUAUAUGCCUCAGAGUUUGGUCAAUCUCCAAGUCAAAGAUAGGACUUGAGAGGGUAUCAUUAUCUUCAUGUGAGAUACAAGGGUCCAAAAGUUUAAAAACCUUGAAGAAACCACAACAUAGUUAAGAUUAUGGCUUUUUUUUUAAAGUGUGGGAGCUACCCACACUAGUCAUUAGCUUGGUCCGCCCCUGCCUGCAAGGGUGUUCUUCAAAUAAGUAUUUGAGGAAUCACUUAAUUGAAGUUCUUUGUGUAUAUAUAUAAUUUAUUUCUAUUGAGUGAUUCUUCAAAUAAUUUUAUUGGCUAAAAUGUAGCAAUGGUCCUUGAACUAAGACCCGACUUUACUUUUCAUUCCUCAACUCCAAAAAUUAUUAUGGUCAUCGUUCAAUUAGAUAUCGUGUUACCACACUCGUCCUUUUCGUCAACUCUGUUUGUUUUUUUGUAAAAAUUGAUCACAUGUGAUGCUGGUGAUAUUUUUUAACCCUCACUACUUCUCAGCCUAGACUCACGCCACCCCCUCCUCUUACCUUACCAACCUGGGCUUUGAAUAUGAAAACUAAACACUAAUGUCCAAAACACAGCCAAACAAAAAACAUUCAAAGAUGCAAAAGAGAAAUUCACAUAGUAAGAACGCAUCCAAACAACAACAAUUUGUAGGGGUCUUUUUGUUCUAGCAGCCUGACGAAUGGGCUUGGGCUGCUGUAAGAGGAAGACAAACAAAAUUCCUCAAGUAUCUGAGUUCAAGAACCAGGCUCCCAAAAGAGUUUUUGAAAAAUUUGCAUAAACUUUAGAAAAACACUCUUAGGCUCUUUUCACUGAAAGCCACAUGAACAUAACGAAUUGAUAAGUGACUUGGCUUGAGGAGCUUGUGGCAUGGGAGCUAAGCUUUCACAAGUUUAGCAAUUUGAGAGAGAGCAGAAGUAACUUGGCAGUAGCGUAACUCUUCUCCAAGUCAAAAAUUACAAGUCCUUCACAGUCUCUAUCUCUGAAGUCCUAGUUCAAUUGUGAUUGGUUUUUGAUAAACCAAAUGAGCACAGACCAUCAAUAAAAAAUAUAUAUAUGUUAAAGGGCUCAUAGUCAGAUUAUUAGGUUAUAUACCCUUUAAUUCUUAAAAGCCCAAUAUAUUUAGUGGGUGGCCAAAUAAUUACCCAUUAAAUUUACAGAGGCCUAGAUUUCCGAUUUCCUAUCAUAUGGUUAAUGGAUUAAUUCAACAAUCCUCAUAGCCAUAUUUGGGCCCAAUUACAAAUAAUGUCAAUUUUAGAAAAUUAGUGGGUUAAUCAAAAUUGCUCAUUAUUUUUCUUGGUCAUUGACAAAAAGGAAAAAUGGUACAAAACCAUCCAAUUGUUCCCAUGGGUCAUCUACCCAUGAAAAUUCGAAUGAGAUUAAAUUCAAAUAUCUCAAACACAAAUUCUGAAUUAGUAGGCCACACUUACCCAUUAAUUUUCAAUUUUUCUCAUAGGUCAUCUACCUAUGAAAAUCCCCAAAUUGUCUAAAAGACACAAAUUCUAAAUUAUUGGGCCACAUUUACCCAUUAAUUUCUAAUUUUUUUCAUAGGUCAUCUACCUAUGAAAAUCUCCAAAUUGUCUUAAAGACACAUAUUCUCAAUUAGUGGGCCACACUUACCCAUUAAUUUUCAAACUUUGGAAUUACGUCGGUUUGAUUCCAUUAAGGGUACGUAGGCAGUCUAGCAUCUCAAUAGAUGCAACCGCAACCAAAUUUGAAUCACUAGUUACAUCAACCAAGUUCCCAUAAAUCAAAUGUCUACCUUUAUGCAAAUCAAUUCCGAACUACGUUGGUUUGAUCCCUUUAAGAGGAUACGUAGGCAAUCUAGAGAUUCUAUCUAGAUGCAACCAUCCCAAACACAAUUCCAUAUCAAAUCCCUAGUUCAAUCAGCCAAAUUCACUCAAACACUACUCACUCAAAUUUGUUCAAAUUCCUCUUUUUGCGAUGAAUCAUUUAUUCAUUGUGAAUCUUUGAACUACGAGUGGCUUGAGGUUCGACUUAGGGGAUACGUAGGCACCCUGAGAUUAGACUUAGGGGCAACUGCAAAACCAAAGACACACGUUCUGUUUCUUUGUGAUGGAAUCAAAGGGUGUUCUCUUGAAGUAAGGGAUUGUAAUUAAGAGACACUACGUCUCGAAUGGGUCGAACCUAAAAUAAUAAAAUCUCAUUAUUUAAUUAGUGGUGGUGAAAUUAUGUUGGGAGGAUCAUAUUUUUCUUCAACAUUGUGUAACUAUGAUCUCAUUGCGAUGUGACUCGUAUUAAAUGAAAAUUAAGUUUCAAUUAUUUUAACUUAUCAUAUGAUUUUUUGUUUCCGCAAUGUUUUCAACAAAUUGUUUAUUAACUAAAACGCCUUACUUUCUAUUGAAAACGUAGUGUUCUGAUGUUUGGUUUUAACAUUGUAACAUUGUGUUGUCAAUAUGGCAUGGUGUUGCGAAAUUCAAGUUUACCAAAUUAAUCAAACUUUAAUGCUCGCAAGUAUAUGAAUCAAAAGAUAGUAUAGCUAAGUAAGCACCAUAGAGAUUGAUUUAAUUCUUAAUAUUCCUACCAAUUAAACUAAAACUAAUUGUAAAUUGAGAAACUUUAAUGGGUGAAAUUGUUUUAAAUUUGUAAUUGAGAAAUUAAAGAAACUAAUUGUAAAUUGAGAAACUAAAAUUAAAGAAAUCAAUUAAAAAUUAAAGAAAAAAAGGCACAACACAAGAGAAAUAAGAAAACCAAGAGAGAAAGACACUAGACCAUUCAAUUUCACCUUAACCAACACUACCCCAUCAAUAAGCAUACCAAUUCCAAGUAAUUUCCCUUAUUGAUGAUCAAUUUCCCUAAACUAUUCAAUGGCCAUGGCAUUUGGUUUUUACAUGCAAUCCUCUAGGACAUCUAGAUGAAUUCUACACAUAAAUACCCAUUAAGUUCUAUGAAAAUUAUGUAGCGAUCACACAAAACCUAAUUGCAUGGCAUCUACAAUUAGUCAUUCAUGGUAUCAAUUGCAAUAAGCAAAACUCAAGUUAAGUAUGGCAUCUAUUCUAACUUGCAUCACACUAAUUCAACGUAGAUGGUGAUCAGGCAUCCAAGCUAAAUUAAACAUUAAACACAACAAAAAAUACUCAAUAAAAAGAAAAAAAAAUCUUAUAAUUAAUAUUAAUUAAUUGAAUAUCCAUGAUUAUGCUAUAUCGUGUCUCUAACUAAGGAAUAUAUUAUUAAAAACAUAUAUAAAUAUAAACAUAUUACGUGCUUAAUUUCAGGGCGUGACAAAAAAUAUAACUGCUAUGAGGAUAGAAUCAACUAUGCUAGUGAAAGUAGAAUUGAGGGACCAAAACAAUUAUUGCUAAUUAUCUUCUAAGAUAUCAAACGGUUGGUAGGGUUGACCUCUACUAUUUAGAAAAAUGGUGUGAAAUAAAAUAAAAUAUGAGGUGGAUCCAACUUCCAAGUAAUUGGAUUAUCCCAAAUCCUAAUUAUCUUCUAAAAUAUCAAACGGGUCCACACCCCAAUAACAACUUGGUCCUCCUCAAUCACCCACACCCAUGAUCCUUCCUUAAAUUGAUGAGUGCAGCAGAACCUUUCAAAAGAGCAAAAAAGAAAAGCAACUGGCACAGUACAAAUGGGUCACUGUUCAUCAGCAGCUCUGUUAGCGAUGGUGGCGUUGACCCUGUUGACCACAACUCACGGCAUCAACAACAACAGCAGCGGCGGCAGGGACACGUGGUGCGACGGCCUCAGCGACCCAUCAUGCCUCAUUGCAAACAGCGACUUGGACGGCAUGGAGUUCCUGAUGGACUCGGAAAUCAGCAGAAGGAUCUUGGCCGGACAUCCAAGUGUAACCAGACCGGCACUAGAUCCCAGCAAAGCGGCGUCGUGUGAUCGGAGGGGUUUCCCUCCUUGCCAUCCCGGCUCCAACAGAAAUCCCCCGGCGCCCAAUUGCGAUCAGACAAGGUACAAUCGCGAGUGCUACCGCAAUUGACGACCCAAACGACGUAAUUUCAUCUUGUGCCAAAUUUGGGUGCAACUUGUGUGUGCUAGGUUUGGUGGUUGCAAGUAGUAAGUACAGAAUAAAGGUUCAAUUGAUAUGGUGUGUUAACUGUAUCAAUGAAAUUGUUGUAAGUGUGUAUUGAGAUUAUCUUGUCUUGUGUUCAUGUUUAUGAUUUGGAGAUUCAAUUGUUUUUACUUUUCUGUGUAACAAAGGAUUUGUGAAGAAGACCAAAUAAUUUCUCAAUGAUUUAAGAUUAAAAAAAUGGCCACUGGUGGUGUGUGUCUGUGUUUAGUGGGUAUGCAUUGCAAUUUGCAAGGAUAUUGAAAUCCUAACUAGACUUCAUUAAAUUGUGGGUUAAAUACUAAACUCUGUUUUGUCCAUUCCAUCAAAUUACUAUUAAAAAAUGUUUCCUUAAUAGCAAUGUGGACCGUAGGAAGACCCAGCGGAGGAGGGGGACGAGCAGGGGAAAUCGAGGGUGGUGGGCCGAUCUCCAUGGCCUCAUGGUGGCAGCUCGGACAGCUAUGGUGGUUGGGGUGGUGACUGUAACAGGAGAUGGGACAGGUCACUUGUGAGUUUUUGAAGUCAAGUCAAUUAGGAUUUUAGAUGAUUUUAAAAGACUUUAAAAAUUCUGGUGUGGUUCUAAAAUACAUACACUACCGGACAAGUAAGCUACAGCUUUUGUUCUCCAUGGGGUCCACUGGGUUUCACUAGCUUCAAUCAACUCCAUACAGUUGUGAACUUGGUUGCAAAUGCUCUGGCCGGGCUUGGCCUUUUGGAGCCCUCUCCCCCACCAAACUUUUAAGCCCAGCUCCUCCAUUACCGACUUCAGAACCCCAAAAAUAAAAAAAAUAAAAAAUUGAACUUUUACACUAUGAUGCUAUGAGAUAAGAUUUCUAGAUCCGUCCCUUUUCAAGGUACUCAUUCUUUUUCACUUCAAAUCAAUUGUACUUGUUGGAUUUUCUUUUUCUUUUUCCAUGAUUUUAUUGUUUCUUGAUGAUAAUUUUCUUGUGAUUAGUAUACGAGUUUUGCUUGUUAUUAGGGUUUAGGUUGGGUUCAGGAUUUAUACUUGGUAAAAUUCCUACACCAGUUUUUGUAGACUUCUAAUUUUCCUGAGAAAAAGUGCUAAGAGAAGUUAAAGAAUUUUCUUUAUCAACACAUAACAUUGUUUAUACUAGUUUUUGUACAUUGUUUGCUUCAUAGAAAAGAUUAUCCUCUAAAAUCCUAAUUGGCUACACAACCCCUAAGUUUUUAUAUUUUAUUGUAUAACCAUUUUUAUUAUUUCUUAACAUAAAUGUAAUAUUUUAAACAAAUAGAGUAUUCUAAUUAAUUAUAAUAGCGAUUAAAUUGCCAAUGUGGUCUAUCUAACUAAAAGAACCUUGACUUGCGGACCAUGAUCUCAUGUUAAGAAAAAGCGUUUAAAUUAAAAAUACACAUACUAAAUUAGCUAAAUGAGUACAACAAAGAGAUCAUUUCGGUAUUUAAACACUAAAUUAUUAUAGAUGGAGUUAUAUAGACCACACCAAACUCCCCCCCACCCUAAAAAAAAACUGCUAAAGUCACUCCACCAUCUAUUUUUUUUUUUGUUGGAACCCUCUAGUUUGUGAUAAUUUACAAAUAUAUAUACAUACACACCCCACUCAAAUGAAAUUUACAAAUUACUUGGAAUCCUCCAUAAUUUGUUGUACAUAAAAUGUUUAUCCUAAUUAAUUAUCAAUGUUUAUCCUAAUUAAUUAUCACUAGAUAAGAUUGAUGCCGUAAUCAUCAGCAAUAAUUGUAAGUCCUUUGGAAAGAUCUAAAAUUUAUAAACAAAUAAAAAGCAAAUUAAUAAAAAACAAAAAGAAAAAUGAAGUUAGUAAUUUUUCUUUAGAAAAACACAAACGAAGGGACCGCAGGUGUAGCUAGUGCACCACUAUUGGUCUUGUAUUGAAUCGAUACUGACUAGUCGAGAAUCUUGUGCUGAUCUAUACAAACAAUAACUGUUUUGGCUCUUUCUGCACAGGAAUUUAUAUUUUUCUUCCACCAGUACGUAAAUAAUGUUAUACACGUGUCAACCUGUAAUUUGUGUGUUAGAAAGAGAUGUGCAGCACAAGAAGAAGAAAAAAAAACAGGAGUGACUCAGGAACAGCUCUGUCAGCUAUGAAGGUGAUGAUGGUCAUGACCCUGCUGACCACCACAAGUCAUUGCAUUAACAUCAACGGUAGCAUUGUCAGCCGCGGCGGCUACUUCUCUUCUUCGAGGUGUAACGGUCUCACCGGCACGGCAUGUCGUAUUGCAUACUCCGAGUUGGACUUUGACUUGGAGUUCAUGUUGGGCUCGGAAUUCAGCAUAAGGCUCCUCGCGGAUGGCGGUUCCUACCACCCCACCGAUACAUCAAGAGAAAGGGGAAGCUCUGCGUCCUGCAACCGAUUUGGUAAGGACGAUCCCUGCCAUGGUCGGGAAAACAAAAACAUCCCACCAGGUUGCAAGGACCUCACCGAUAGGUCUUGCAACCGCCAUAAUUAGUAAGCCAAUCACUACUGGAUGGAUGGAUCCAUGCGUUAGAUCGUGUGCAAGCUUAUAAGUUAUAUAAGUGGUGUCUUUUUUUUCUUUCUGUGUACGUAGAGAGUUUGUGUUGGUACGUCUCUGCAUUUGGUUUCUCUUUUUUGUUUUCUUUUUAAAUAUUAAUGGAGGAAGAGAGAUUCGACUUCCACAGUUAAGAAGAUGGAGUUGGUUGGUUCUUCAAGUAUGGAUAUUUUGUGUUAUAUUAACCAUUUGUGAUAGAAACUCACAUCUUGACUUAAUAGACAUUUUGGGGAAAUUGGAUGGACAUUUUUUUUUUUCUCGUUUCGUUCUUGAAAACUUUUUUGAAUUAAAUUAACUGACGCAUUCUCGGAUCUUAGAAGUAUAAAUUCGUUUUUAUUUUUCAAAAAUAUUUUGUGAAAAUGAUUUAAAAACAGUUUACCAGACGGACCCUUAGAGGAGUGAAAUUAUGGGCAUCUUAUAAACACCAGAAAAUAAGUGAUACUUGGCGAUGAUUAGUCUUGUUUAAUAUAUGAAUCAAAGAUUCAUUUGACAAAUUUAAAUUCUCCCCCAAUUAUUUCAUAGUCUAUGCUCUAGGAUUUCCACGUUACUUUGGCAUUCCUUUCUCACCUAACUUGUUCACUCUGAGCACAAAAAGAUUAAAAAGCAAAACCUAUCUUUAUACUUUGCCAAUAUAUGUACACUUGUACAAUUUUAUACAAAUAAAACGCACCCAAGAACUGCAUUUGCAAAAUUAUUGUCAUUUCUAUAUUCAUGUAAAAUAUAAAAUUGUGACGUACGUCAACAACUGUAUAUACGUUACUAAAACUUAUAUAUAAUUAGACGUACGUAUGUCAAAAUACAUAGCCAUAUUAUUACUUUAUGAGUCAGCGAAGGUAUUUGGAGAUUCAAUUGUUUUUACUUUUCUGUGUAACAAAGGAUUUGAGAAGAAGAGCAAAAAAUUUGUCAAUGAUUUAGGGUUGAGAUUCUGUGCAGAAAAAAAUGGCCAGUGGUGGUGUGUGUCUGUGUUUAGUGGGUGUCCAUUGCAAUUUGCAAGGAUAGUGAAAUCCUAACCAGACUUUAUUAAAUACUAAACUCUGUCUUGUCUAUUUGGCUCUCUUACUAAAUUAUAUCCAUUCCAUCAAAUUAGUAUUAAAAAAUGUUUCCUCAAUAGCAAUGUGGACCGUAGGAAGACCGAGCGGAGGAGGGGGAUGAGCAGGGGAAAUCGAGGGUGGUGGGCCGAUCUCCAUGGGCUCAUGCUGGCUGGUUGGACAGCUAUGGUGGCUGGGACUGUAAUAGGAGAUGGGACAGGUCACAGGUUACUUGUGAGUUUUUGAAGUCAGUCAAUUAGGAUUUUAGAUGAUUUUAAAAGACUUUAAAAAUUCUGGUGUGGUGGCUCUAAUACGUGCACUACCGGGCAAGUAAUCUACAGCUUUUGUUCUGCAUGGGUUCCACUGGGUUUCACGGGAUUCAACCAACUCCAUACAAUUGUGAACUUGAUUGCUAUAUGAUAGGAUUUUUAGUAACUGUGUAAAUAGGGUUAAAAUCAUAUAAAAUACUUGCAUUGUAGUAUAGAUGUUCAUGCAAGGUCAUUCUCUUCAAGAACUAUCUAGCAAUUUAUGUAAAAACAAUUUCCAAUUAACUACCUAAAAUUAAAAGUUGAGAAAGAUGAUUAUAAAAUUGUGUGAUACUGAAAACAAAUUUUAAACAAAAACAAAUACGAUUGAAGGAAGAGUUUUAAAUACCAAUUGAUAAAAGCACUAGGGUUUCACCAUCACCUAGCAAUCCUAUGCAUUUUAACCAAUUACUUAUGAUUUGCACAUGCCACUUUGGAAGUUAGGUUUUCCUAAUUUAUAUUCUACUUGGAACCUCCAAUAUAGAACGUAUAUCCAACAUGCACCCGUCCGGACGUUCGAAUCAAAUCUGAACAUGAAAGACUCAUUAAGUUUUGUGAAAACCUUUUGAAAAACCAUGCAACCCUUAAGACGUGGUGUUCAUCUUAAGUGAAAUUAAAAUUAUUAAUCACAAGAAGUCAGCGUCAAUUCCAGGGAACCUUCCGACCAAAAUUGCAUCCAGUUACUUUUCUAAAGAUCCUAAUGGUGAUUAGGCGUUAAGACAAUUAGAUAGUUUAAAACAGUGAUUAACAAUUCAAAGUAUGCAUGCACUCAAUCAUAAGCAAUUAAAUAAAAAUUACAUAUUCCUGCUAAGAUUCAAGGCUUCACCCUAGCAAAAUGAAAUUAGUUAUGCAUAUUCAUAACUGAAAUCAUGGAAAAUAUCAUUAAGAAGAAAAAGAAUGAAAACACCUUAAAGUUGCAAAAACUCCAAAAUCCUAGCAAUUGCUCUCCAUGUUGAAGAGCCAAAAAGAAGUCCCAAAAUUACUGUGAGAAGGAGCUUAAAUACCUCCUAAAAUCUAGCUACCCAAUCACCACAAGGAAACUAAGUUAAAAUAAAAUAAUAUUAGGAGAUAAAGUCCAAAUUGUUGUAAAUAUAUAAGGUGGAGCCCCAUAUGUUGGAAGAGGCUUUGCCUACAAAAGGGUUCACACCCUUCCUUUGUAAUAAGAGAUCGAGAACACUAAGAGAUAGAACAAACAUUCAAUGAGAAGAUCAGAUUUCUAUUCUUUCUCUAUACCUCAAUUCUCUCUACAAUUUCUUCUAGAUUUAUAACACGUUAUCAGCACGAUUCGCUUUCAAACAAUAGCAAUUAUAACAGAGCAAACGGGAACCUCUCCGUGUCUUUGUUUUCUCUGGGUCAAGUGCUCAAUUGGGUUUUUUGCUGCAAUCCCCAAAAACCCACUCUUUCUGUACCAGUUCAGCUUGGCUAGCUAGCUAGCUCUCUCACGCAUUUAUUCAAACACCUGUAGGAUUUUGGUAGAUUGAUGCUGAUGGUGAUAUGUGUUACAACAUGUUGUUGUGUACGAUUGAGUGAGAGAGUUAGAGAAACAGAAAGCUAGAAUGAGUCCAACAAUAAUAGCCAUCCUUCUGGUCUUUCUCACCUUCCUCUGCUCUCUCAUCCACACCAUACUCCAACCCAUAAUUGAAGACCAUGAUUUCUCAUUCAAAAUCGCUCCGUCUCUCAGCGACCCAACUCUGCUCAUCUUCCAAGAGCCCCAGCAGCAUCAUGUACAGCAAGACCCACAGUCCUCCUCCUCCACCUCAACAACCCAAUUUGGAGCCGCCGCCUCGAGAAGCCUCCAAUUCUCCUGCCCAAACGGCUCGAGCCCAAGAGGCAGAAACCCAAGGCUAGUUCUAAUUCUAGGGCGACUUCGAGGCUUGGAGUCCAUGGUUCGGUGGCCAAGGCUCAGGGCCAGAAGGCUGAGGAGGCUGACGAAAUGGCGCCGAAAGAGAAAGAGGGUCAAGAAAAGAUUCUUUAUUCUCAGUGCUCAACAAAAGGAAGGACGGAGCUGUUAUCACUUUCUUUAUUCUCAGUGCUCAACAAAAUUACUUUAUUAUUUCUCUACAGUAUUUAAUAAACCAAUUGGUGCAGGUAUGCAGAUUACAGGUGGAAAGCAUUUGAUUUGAGAGACAAGCAUGAUGCCUUCCACAAAACGAUAAUAAUAUUAUCUACUAUACUAUUUGAUCGUGGUGUUGAUGAGAACCCACCAAUAAUUGCCUUCACUUUACCGCAAAUUUACUUUUACUUAAAGUAUGAUGUGGAAUUAACCCUCAUACUUUAUGAAAUUACUUUACUGUACAUUAUUUACUGUAUGGUGUAGGUUUAUUACCCAUACAACAGUAUAUAUUUAAAAGGGUGGUGCGGGUUUAUCGUCCACGUCUUUACUUUUAUUUAAAUGUAUGGAGCAGAAUUAGUGCCCAUACAAGCACGUUUACUUUAUCGCAAAUUUACUUUUACUUAAAGUAUGACGUGGAAUUAACCCUCAUACUUUAUGAAUUUACUUUACCGCACAUUUAAUUUUAUUUAAGGUAUGGUGCGGGAUUAACGUCCAUACAGCAAGCAAUUUAAUUUAUGAAUUUAUUUUACCGCACAUUUACAUUUAUUUAAAGUAUGGUGCGGGUUUAUCGUCCAUACCAGUAAUUUAUUUAUCAACAAUUUAUUUUAUGGAUUAAUUGUGCUGUAUGAUGAGUUUUUACAGUAUGCAGAUCAGGACCAGAAGUUCCUUGAUCCUCAUCAUACAAUUACAUCAGGACUUGAAGAUCCUUGAUGAUGAUAUUAAUAUGAGAGCUGGCAGUCUCUCCGGUACUAUAUUUGUAAACAUGUGAUUGGACUUGAGGGUCCUUAAUCCCUGACAUGUAAAUAAGGACCUGGGGUUCCUUAAUGAUGUAACAGUAUCGUAUUGGUUCAUAGUGCCGUACACAUGGAUAAUAACUGUACUGGCAAAUGUACUGUACACAUGAAUAGAUACGUAUUCAUGACUUGAUGAAUAGUACCGGAUAUAUGAAUAGUGACAUAUACAUAAAUAUUAACCAUUUUGGGUAAACCGUCACUAUAUACAAAAAGGGAACCUGCAGUUCCUUAAACUCAUUGAUGAGCAAUUAAAUGAGAUGCCAGAAGUUCCUCAAGAUAUGGACAAUUAUGUAAGGGCUUGAAGUCCAGAAAUAUGUACAGAAAAUUGUAAAAAUGUCCAUACCAUGAGAAUAUGUGAUUUUGGCUUGAGAUGCCAGAAGUUCCUCAAGAUAUGGACAAUAACAGUGUUGAGAACCUGAAGUUCCAACAAUUAAAUGGACAACUCUUGAGGUAUUAUUGCAAAUUGUGGUACGCCACAUAUUUCUUUGGCAUAAGAAAAUGAUGAAUUUAAUAAAGUUCGAUUCUGUUAUAAUCGACACCUCAAGUAAGAAAUAUAUUUCGUGAAUUCCGGUUGUUAAAAAUACACCGUGAAAUAGAUAACCCUCCCCACAUAUUUUGUUAUAUCUGCGCCGGAAGCCCAUGGAUCCAACUAUAUGAGAGAUCCUGAACUUGAAGUUGUGGGUAUAUAGUGGCUUUUACUCAAUUCAUAUUUCAUGUCCAUUUGAAAAGGGCAAAUAAAUUCUGAGUUUGUGUUUAGCCCAGGCCAAAAGUUCCGGGCUCCCAUACGUUGAAAUAUGAAAUUUGGGAGAGUCGAUGUGGUUAUUUGAAUCUAUAAGGCACAAGGUUCCAAACCGUCAUUUUGAAAAGACGUAAAAACCACAGGUGCAAGUUUAAGAAUGUGCGCAAUUAUUAUAACAGGAACAUACAAUAGAUAGAUUUUUUCCACCUGCAAUGAAGGUGCAGGCCCUGUAAAAUCUAUAAAAUUACAUUAUGUUCUGGAAGCCUCUGAAUGAAGAGGACGGCGCCUCUUAAGCUUAGCCAUGAGCCUCUCGUGGUCUCCCAAAAUUCUUUCAUUGGAGACCUGCAGCAUGUCUAGCCUUCUCAGUGUAUCAACAGAGUACGAACUCACCAGUUUCAACAAGGCAUUAUUCUCUCCUUUAAGUUUCUCAACCUCCUGUUGAGACUCAUGAAGCAUUCUUUGGAGAGACGAAUUUUCAGUUGUUAACCUCUCAACCUCGUUUGCUCUGGCACGCAAACGAUCAGCCAUGUUAGAAACAGAAGCAGCACUCUGAAUGCUAAAAGCCAUUGAGUCAUCAAUAGCCUCUUCCUCAGAUCUCCCUGUCAACAACAUUUCAUCCAUUGGAAUAAUGAAAUUCCUAGCUACUAUGACAGCAGUAGCAUCAUUCAUCAUCACAGAAUCAUUAACUGUGAUAUGACGAUUUUGGGAUACAAAGGAUGGACGCCAAACUUUGGCAUCAUUGGUAGUUGUGGGAGUAUCAUUUAAUUGAAAUAAUUUGAGCAGGAAGAAGAGGAAGCCAUUUUAAGAAGGUUUAGAAGAAAGUCUUAGAAAAACAAAAGUUUCAGAAAAUGAAGGAAGUUGAGUUGAAACGCAGUUGCUCCAAUCAAGUUUUGCAAAGGCAAUAUCUAUAGGAGGAAAAAUGGCUACAGUUUCCAGGAUCCCAAUAUUAUCUCAGACCUCCAUAUUCUCUUUUUCUUUUCCAGAUUCCAAAACUUCACGCGGCCUCCAUUAAUGUUUGUCGGCACUUUCGGCGUUUUCAAGUAUUAUUUUCGUCAAAGCCGAUUUUUCUUUACGGAUUUCACGGAGCUACUUUUUCAAAAGUAUCCCGAGAAUCUCGCAAUUUUACUAUGGUUAAUUUGAAAUUCACCGGUUCUACCUAUUCAUUGUAUUUGUGUAUAAAUGUGUUACUAACGAAAUUUUCUUUGUAGAAGACAUCCAGUUUACUCCAUACCUAGUGAUGCGAUGUCUACUUGUUUUUCUUAUCAGUGAGCACUCAAUAUGCCCAAGAAGCAAGACUAUCUCUGAUCAUCCAUUCAGGAAGCGAGACUAUCCCUGAUCACGUUUCCGCUACAUCAGGAAACUGUGAAGGCGAUCUUAUGCUCUAAUCUCCGGAAGUCCUUCUAGACUAGGAGAAAUGAGAGCUUAUUGUCUGCUCCCACCAGCUUCCUUCCCUGAUUGCUUACCUUGUCUUGCAAUCAAUAUCACAUUUGUUUGCAUUUUUUCUCUUUUUGUAACUCUCUGUUCAUAAGAGAUUUUAUUUCUUUAGAAUGAACAUCUGAAGAAAGAAUCCAUGAAGUGAUCCUAACUCUGAGGGUUAUUUGUUUUUGACAGAGAGAAGAAUUGUGAUUUUUGCUCUUGCAGGAUAUAACUAGAUCAUCAAGCGCUACAUUAUAUUUACUGGGCCGAUACGAGCUUGAAUGAUACUUGAGAAAAGUUUCUCCCACCUAAGGAUGUAAGCAAUACUUGUGUUGUUUUAUGCUUAUAUACUUAUUUGAUAUUUUAUCUUGAAAGGUAACCAAAUGGGGAGAUAAGUCCGUUCCAAAAGAAUGGCUUGUAUGUAUCCAUGAAUUAUUAACGCAAAUUUUACAGAUUGCAAGUUGGAUACAUUGAUAAUAUACUGCACAGAUUAAAGUCCCAUAAGAACAGAAUAUGGGUAUAGCAGUGAUCAAUGUGAUGCACGCCUGUUGCGUAGCAAAUGAUAUGGAUUGAAGUCCCAAAAGGAGAAUCCUUUAACAUGUCAAUAUUGAUAUUGUACAGGCCUAAUGCGUAGCAAAUUAUAUGGGUUAAAGUCCCAUAAUAUGGGUUAAAGUCCCAUAAAUUAAUUGACAUGUAUGUAUUAAUCUGUGGCAUGCCUGUAGCAUGACAGAUAUAUGGGUUCUGAAUAUUCCAACUCCCUAAAUGGAGAUUAUCCACGCCCUACUGCAAAAUAACGCUCCAUUGGAGGUUAUAAUCCACAUUCUCACAUCAUAAAAGCCCCUUGAAGUGGCUUGGGUACCCAAAGGCAAAGAAAUGCUUAUAAUCGAUGCAUGCGCAUGCACAUGAGAAUGGUGAGAUCAUGAAUUGAUGAACGACAAUUUUUGGAGUAGCUACUCAAAUCAUCAAUGGGCUGUGUUGAUUGGAACCACGUUCAAUUAUUAAAUGUCGACAAUAUCAUUAGCCAAAAUAGAAUGAGGCAAUUCCAUUAUAGAUGAGAAUGAACGUGAAAUAACAAACCCACAAUACGAACCCCAAAAGAUGUUAAUACUGAAAGUUAUACUUGGGUGUUCGGAAUAAAAGGGAAUAUACCUACUUUGUAUGACACAAUGUUUCUGGCAGAAACAAGGAAUGUUGGGUUUUCUCCAUAUUUACAGAUUCUAUUGUGCCUCCUUAUUGCACAUUUAUGGAGACCAACAUGUUAUCUUUAAGGGUUAUUAAAUGCACGGAGCAUAUCACCAGUAGUGAUUCCCUAAAGAUGUAUAAAUAGCUAGGUUAAAGCUAUAUAAUGUGUCAUAGAGUUUAAUCUGUACUCAAUACUAAUGUGCAUAAAUUGCCUCAGUGGGUACAUGGAUUAUAAUGUGUUUACAACACAUUAAAGCUUCUGAAGAGUUUAAGAAAUAUUUAUCUCGACCCAACGAUCGAGCGUUGUGCCAACAAAAUUUUGUUUUUGAUUAUACUAAGAAAGUAUUGAAACAUUUUUUGAGGAUUAUCCGUUGGGCACUUAAAUAUUUUUCCGGAAGUAUACUGGACCAGAUAGAGCUCAGCUCAAUCACCACCACUUUGGGAUGAUACUAUGAAAAUUUUUAUGGUCGCUUACUGGAAAAAGGGCUAGUCAUGAAGUUUUCAGGGGGAGAUAUUCAUCAAGGGGAGCGUGGUUUUAAUAAAGACCUUCAUACACUGUACUCUUUUUCCUUCAUCCAGGUUUUUAUCCCACUGAGUUUUUCCUGGUAAGGUUUUAACAAGGCAGUGUCGCUCAAGAUUGACUCACAGAAGUAGUGUCAACUAUGAUAUUCAGAAAGAUGAUCAACAGUAUGGCUUAAAGAUAUUUUGCCAAGCAUCAGGGGGAGCGUGCUAUCAAUAAAGAUCUUCAAACACUGUACUCUUUUUCCUUCGUCCAGGUUUUUAUCCCACUGGGUUUUUUCUGGCAAGGUUUUAACGAGGCAGUGUCGCACGCGUGUCAAUAUACACAGAAUUUUAUGUUACACAUGAUUAUGUAUUUUUUUUCCCUUUGACCAGUUUUUGUCCUACUGGGUUUUUACUGGCAAGGUUUUUAACGAGGCAUAUUCUGUAUCAUUUGUGGUCUCCAAGGGGGAGUGUUGUAAAUAUAUAAGGUGGAGCCCCACAUGUUGGAAGAGGCUUUGCCUUCAAAAGGGUUCACACCCUUCCUUUGUAAUAAGAGAUCGAGAACACUAAGAGAUAGAACAAACAUUCAAUGAGAAGAUCAGAUUUCUAUUUUUUCUCUAUACCUCAAUUCUCUCUACAAUUUCUUCUAGAUUUAUAACACAAAUUGGAUUAGGAGAAUGUACCCACAAUCUGGUCAACCACGUUUUGGCCUCAAAUCUCCUCCAAAUCUGACCUCAAAUCGUGCCCCUUCCCUCCCCACCACCACAAACAAAAACAAAAAAACAAAAAACAAAAAACAAAAAGCUAAAGCCUCUCCAACAUUUUUUUUUCGUUGGAACCCUCAAUUUUGUGAUAAUUUGAACUUUACAAAUUACUUGGAACCCUCCGUAAUUUGUUGUACAUAAAAUGUUUAUCCUAAUUAAUUAUUAAUAAGUUUGGUCUAGAAGAAAUGGUAUUAAUUUAUAAACUAAUAAUCUCAUAUCCGAAGUCAUAUUACACUAUGACAGUUUGUGAGUAAACAUCCUCCAUCAUCCUAUCCUAACUUUGGCUAUAAAAAAAUCUCCUCGUUGGGUAGCUUUUCGUUGUGUUGUGCCCAUAUACGUAAUUGCUGCCGUCAUCAGCAAUAAUUCUAAGUCCUUUGGAAAGACCUAAAGUUUGUAAACGAAUAAAAAGCAAAUUAAUAAAAAGCAUAAAGAAAAGUGAAGGUAGUAACUUUUAUUUUAAAAAAACACAAACGAAGGGACCGCAGGUGUAGCUAGUGCACCACUGUUGGUCUUGAAUAAAAUCGAUAUACCACUGAUCUAUACAAACACUUACUGUUCUAUGCACAGGAAUUUAUAUUUUUCUUUCACCAAUACGUAAAUAAUGUUAUACACAUGUCAACAUGUAAUUUGUGUGUUAGAAGAGUAAACAGAUGUUCUUUUUCUAUAUAUAUGUGUGUGUGCUUGAGGAGUGCAUGCAGCACAAGAAGCUAUGUGCCUUGUCCCCUGUAUGCCCCAUUUGUGAGCAAGCUGAGGAAUCUAUUGAACACACUUUAUUCCUAUGUCCCUGGACUUAACUGGUGUGGUUUGGCUCCCCUCUCAACUAUAGGGUGGACUCCCAAAGGUUUUCAACCAUAGACGUGUGGUUUCAAAACGUGGCUAAGGAUCUGCCCCGAAGUGAGAAAGAGAGGAUUCUUACCAUUGUGAGCUUUUUCCUGUGGGAGAUAUGGAAAACCCGGUGCAAAGUCAUUUUCGAAGGCCAGAAGAUUGAUCCCCUUAUUGUGAUUAAUAAUGCUAAUAGGGCUGCUCUUGAAUACCAGGCCUUCACGUUUAAAAUCGCUGGACAUAGUUAUGCUCGCAUGGACAGUCGUGCCUCUUGGUGCCCUCCAAGACUGGGAUUUAUCAAGGUCAAUAUCGAUGGAGCGUGGGCCGACGCUGCUAGUUCGGCAGGUUUUGGGGUGAUCUUGCGUGACUCAACUGGUGCUUUUUGUGGUGGAACAGCGGGUCCUAACUCUUGUGAGUCGGCCCUUAUGUCUGAAGCCGAAGCGGCUCUUUCUGGUUUGAAGCUGGCUGCACAGUUUGGGCAUCACAGAAUAUCUUGGCAUCUGAUUCCAAAGUUUUAGUUGAUGGUCUAAAUGGAAAGAUGGGUAAUAGAGCUUGGACUAUCUUGCCUAUUAUCAAGGACAUAAGGAAGUUGGCGGCAUCUUUUGUUUCUAGUGAGUGGUGCUGGGCGCCUAGAAGCCAAAAUAUGGCUGCACAUGAAGCUGCAAAGCUUGGUAGAGGUCUGGUGGAAGCGCGAUGCUGGCUCAAUAGAGCUCCACUUGCUCUCAUGCACGUUCUCAAUUCGGAUGGUCUACCUGGUCCACCUUAGUUUGCUUGUGUUUGGGAGGGGUCCCCUUUUGUACUAAACUGAGUGUUGGUUUAGUUUUCCGCUCCUCCCUUCAGUAUUUGUUUCCUUUGUAUCUUGUGCUUGGUCAUGGCCCUGCUGACCACCACAAGUCAUGGCGUUAACAUCAACGGUAGCGUCGUCAGCGGCGGCGGCUACUCCUCCUCUUCGAGAUGUAAUGGUCUCACUGCCACUGCCACGGCAUGUCGUACUGCAUACUCCGAGUUGGAGUUCAUGUUGGACUCAGAAUUCAGCAUAAGGAUCCUCAAGGAUAUUGGCGAUCCCAAAAUCACUUAUGCCGGAUUGAAGAGUGGACCGGUGUCCUGCGGCCCCCCAGGUGUUGAUAAAUCUGACCAGUGCCACAAGGAGGAAAACAAUAUCGUCCCACCAGAUUGCAAGCCCAGUGCCCCCACCAAUAGGAAUUGCUACCGCCAUGAUGAGAGAAACGCUUCCAAAGGAUGAUAAAUCUGUCAAGUGCCACCGUAACAAAAACCAAAAAGCCAAAUUAGAUUGCAAGGACCUCACCAAUAAGAAUUGCUACGACCAUGAUAAUAAGUAAGCCAAUUACUACUGGAUGGAUCCAUGCAUUAGAUCGUGUGCAAGCUUAUAUAAGUGGUGUUAUUUUUUCUGCUUUUUAAUUUCUGUGUGUACGUGGAGAGUUUGUAUUGGUACGUUUCUGCAUUUGGUUCUUCAUUUUGUUUUAUGUUUUCUUUUAAAUAAAGAAGAGAGAUUCGACUUAAAAUUACUUCCACAGUGGGACUUGGGAAUAAUGCCCAUUAAUUAACAGAGGUCACUAAUUCAUUUUCUUUUAAAAAGACUUUGAACGGAUAAAAAGAAAAGGAAUAAACAUAGAUAAAGUAGUAACCUUUAAUUAAAACAGAAAUGCGCAGGGACCGCAAGCCUAGUGCUUGGAUUGGAUGCUAGACUAGCUACUGACUGAGUCGUGAAUCUCGUGGUCUAUGUAUAUACAUAUAAUUAUUUGUGGGAUUCCUUUGCUUUAUAUGUGACGACGACGAGUCAUAUUUUCUCUCAACCGUAAAGCAUAUACAUUAUUAAUCAAUAAUAGCGCAAAGAGAAAAGUUUAUGGAGGGGCUAGCUGUGCUUUAUACAUGUGUGCAAGAAGAGUAAAGAGCCAAAGUACUUUUUCUAUGUUAUAUAUAUACAGUGUUUGAGGAGUGCAUGCAGCAGAACAAGAAAAAAAGAACAAAAAAAACAAAAGAUGAGUCACUCAGGAGGAGCUAUGAAGCUGAUGAUGGUGAUGAUGGCCAUGGCCCUGCUCACCACAAGCCAUGGCAUUGGCAUCCACAUCAACACCAGCGUCGUCACCGGUGGCUACUCUGCCUCCCGUUGCAACGGCCUUACCGACACGGCAUGCCGUAUUGCUCACUCGGAGUUGGACUUUGACUUGGAGUUCAUGUUGGACUCAGAAUUCAGCAUAAGGAUCCUCAAGGAUAUUGGCGAUCCCAAAAUCACUUAUGCCGGAUUGAAGAGUGGACCGGUGUCCUGCGGCCCCCCAGGUGUUGAUAAAUCUGACCAGUGCCACAAGGAGGAAAACAAUAUCGUCCCACCAGAUUGCAAGCCCAGUGCCCCCACCAAUAGGAAUUGCUACCGCCAUGAUGAGAGAAACGCUUCCAAAGGAUGAUAAAUCUGUCAAGUGCCACCGUAACAAAAACAAAAAAGCCAAAUCAGAUUGCAAGGACCUCACCAAUAAGAAUUGCUACGACCAUGAUAAUAAGUAAGCCAAUUACUACUGGAUGGAUCCAUGCAUUAGAUCGUGUGCAAGCUUAUAUAAGUGGUGUUAUUUUUUCUGCUUUUUAAUUUCUGUGUGUACGUGGAGAGUUUGUAUUGGUACGUUUCUGCGUUUGGUUCUUCAUUUUGUUUUAUGUUUUCUUUUAAAUAAAGAAGAGAGAUUCGACUUAAAAUUACUUCCACAGUGGGACUUGGGAAUAACAGAGGUCACUAAUUCAUUUUCUUUUAAAAAGACUUUGAACGGAUAAAAAGAAAAGGAAUAAACAUAGAUAAAGUAGUAACCUUUAAUUAAAACACAAAUGCGCAGGGACCGCAAGCCUAGUGCUUGGAUUGGAUGCUAGGCUAGCUACUGACUGAGUCGUGAAUCGCGUGGUCUGUCUGUAUAUAUAAUAAUAGCGCAAAAAGAAAAGUUUAUGGAGGGGCCUAGCUGUGCUUUGUAUGAAGACUACAGAGCCAAGUACUUCUAUUUAUAGUGGCUUUGAGGACUGUGUGCAGCAGAAAAAGAACAAAAAAAACAAAAGAUGAGUCACUCAGGAGGAGCUAUGAAGCUGAUGAUGAUGAUGAUGGCCAUGGCACUGCUCACCACAAGCCAUGGCAUUGGCAUCCACAUCAACACCAGCGUCGUCACCGGUGGCUACUCUGCCUCCCGUUGCAACGGCCUUACCGACACGGCAUGCCGGAUUGCUCACUCGGAGUUGGACUUUGACUUGGAGUUCAUGUUGGACUCGGAAUUCAGCAUAAGGCUCCUCCAGACAAAUGACGCUCAUCUUUCUCUGGAGUCGUUAGUUGCAACGAAAGCUGUGUCCUGUAACCGAGUGGGGAAUACAGAUAGCUGCCAUGACAAGGGAAACAAAAUACCCAUUCCAGACAACUGCAAGAAGGAACCCACCCUUAAGGGUUGCUACAAACAUCCCCCCUAAACCCUAAAUCAGCCGCUACUACUACUACUACUGGUGUCUUUUGUUUCGUUCUGCUUCUUAAUUUCUGUGUACGUUUGUGUGCUUUUGAUUCUCUCUCUUUUUUUUUUCUUUUUUUCUUUUUUAAUUAAGAAAGGGGAUUCAGACUUGGGAUGUUUUGUAUCAUUUAGAAGAACUAGUUGGUUGGUUCUUCAAAUAUUUGUGUGCUGUAAUCGUGUUAACCAAUUUCAAGUCUAUAUGAUUUACUCUUUCUUUUCAAUGUCGGAAAAAUAAAACAUUACAACUUUUUUGUGUAUCUGGUACAAUCGUACAAAUCGGUUUGGGCAAGAGUACAUUUCUGUGAAACUUCAUGAAAAUUAUUACAAGAGUACAUUCUUCGCGAGAAAUUAUUAAGUGAUAUUUGAUAUUGAUUAGUCUUUUUUUCAUAUAUGAUUUCUGGAUUCAUUAGUUAACUUGCUUUAGGAUUCUACAUUACUUUAGCAUAUUUCUCUUUAUCCUCUUUUUUCACUUUGUCAGACAACAGCAACAAAAGAAAAAGCAAAAGCUAUCAUGUUGACAGUGAUUCUUGUAGAAUAGUGUAGAAAAAAACCACGUACUAUAAAAAAAGAAAAAAAUGUCUACCGACCAUACUACUUACGCCACGUACAGGCAACUCCUUGCUUUAUAAAAAAAGAAAAAAAAAACCACGUACUUUUAUGUUCAUUAAUUAAUUGAAAACACCCACCAAACUUACCGAAAAUGUCAUGUAGAAAUGUCUACCUACCAUACUAUUUACACCACAGCAACUCUAAACACAUUAACUCCUCUCCCUUCGCAUGUGAAAUUCCCCACUGCGAAUAGCGAGGCAACUGUGAAUGAUGAUGACAUUGGAGAUCAUGAUGGCUCAUGAUUGCCUUGAAAGAGUACCCUAGGCCUAUUGAUAUCUAAUAAGGAUAACAUUAUUUUAUAAUAUUAAGUCAAUCAUAGUAUGUUAUGUGUAAUAAUUUUUUUACUUAGUAUAUUGUGAUUGGUCGGGGAGAGCAAAACAGUGCUAUUCCCAUUUCACACAAGUUUUUCUGUCAAGUGAAAGUAUUAAAUUUUAGAGGAUAUACAAGUUUCAAGUAGUGUGUCAAACAGAGUUGUGAAGACCAAUAUGAAAAUCGUAAAAUUUGAUGGAAAACGAAAUGUUAUUAACUCAUGCCUUAUUUGGGGAUAUAAUCAUGGGAGAUUCACUAUUAUACCAAAUAUAAGGGUCCAAAUUAUAGAAAAAGUAUAAAAUGGACUUUAGGAACACACCCAAAGCCUAUUUACAACAUAACAAAAAAGCUUUUAACUUUUUAUAAAUUACAAAACUGCCAUCGAUUUUUUAAAACAAGCCCAACCUCAAAACCUCAUAAAAAAACCCAAAACACUCAAUAGACAUCAAAGUAAUUUAAUAAUCAAAAUUAAAUUCAAUAGGGCCAGUUGUCAUUUUUGGGGUUUUUUUUUUGGUUUGUUUAUAGAAAUUAAAUGAUGCAGGGUUUAUAUAUAAUUGUUUGGGUCUAAGAAAUUCCACACGCCAGUCCAUUUCUCACAAAGAGGCCCACAAAACAGAAAAGAAAAGAAGACUGGGCCUUGACUCCGGAAAGUAGCCAAUCAACAUAAGAGGCCCACGUCUUUUUGAAAGAUAGCAGAGUUUUUAAGAGAAACAAAAAUAAAUAAAUCAAAUUACCAAUUAAAUGGUAAUUCAUCACCAAGUAGGUCGAUAAAUUUAUAAGAAGAAUUGGAUUGGACCCAGCUUCCAAAUUCUCACCAUUGAUCUCGAUCCCAGAAACAAAGUCAGCAGAUUCUUUUUUUUGGAAAAAUCUAUUUUCAAAAAACUUAUGUGACUACCUGACUUUGAAGAAAGAAAAAUCUCAACUAUUACAGAGAAGCUGACAGAGAAGUUAAUGAAGGCAAGUAUAAAAGAGAGACGUCUCUGAAUCUUUUCAGGCAAAAGAUCAAAAUCCUUUUCUAUAUACAGAAAAAUUCUGCAUCAGAGCAGGUAUCAUUUCCAAUGGAUAAGCAGACUACAUUUUCUAAAGAGAUAAGUAGGGAGCAGGGAGUUGUUCAUCAGGAAAAUCAAACUAACCAUCAAACUAUAAAUAUGAGAAGAGAUGAACAGAUCAAGGAUAGCCAAAAAUCAAUCAAAACAAAAACUCUCAAGACCACAAUUGACAAAAUGAUCACUUGAUCUCAAAAGCCUUCAAACACUGAAGCAACCUCAUUGAGCCAUAAUAAACAAGUCAGCUAUAAUUCAAAAUCUCUUAUCAGUUUAGUUCAGAGAAAUAGUUAUACAAAGCGAGACUUCUCUCGUUACAAAUUUGGUUCAGCAUAAGCCAAGUCAAGCAGAGUCCAGGUUUUUACAAAUAUGAAAACCUCAACAAAUUUAUGGAAAGCCCUGAUCAAGCAGAACAGGUACUACAGUGCAGUUCCAGCUCAGUAAUCAUCAGAUCCAGCUACUUCUACCCCUUUCAGACUGAAGAGUCUCCAAUUCUGCCUGUUCAAAAAGCCUCACAGGGCUUGAAAUAGAUUAAAGCUUUGCCAAACUCGAACGUUGAUAUCAAUUUACAACUGAAACUUGACAGUUGAAGGUGUUGAUGGUCCAAUUUAGCACAGACAUACCCAGUCCAGUCCAGAUCAAAAGUAGCUAUACAGGCAGAAAUUGAAGUCCAACGCUCUUAUGUCGUUUUUAGAGUUGGUCUUUUCCUUUCUGAGCUUUGUAAAAGGUAGUUCUGCCUGAAACAAUUCACUUUCUUAUCAUUUAUUCUGGCCAGAACUAUCAGUUUUGUACUGUGAAAAUUAGUGAAGUUCUUACCAGUAUAAGGCAAUAAAAGAACUUACUUGGGAGAUAUUCAUCACCCAAAUUCACAAAUCGCUUGUUUAGAAAUUAAUAACUUAGGGCGCAAGUUAUCUAUUUUAAGGGAGUCUGCUAGGAUUUUUAUUGCUAGCAUGACACGCUCAUACACAAAAGAAAGUUGACUUGUUGACCACAAAUGAUUUUCAAGCAAAUGGGAAACUUUACCCUACCAUCACAGGAACAAAUCAAAAAAUAAGUGAAUAAUAAUGCUAAAAAUAGAUAUAUGACUAAAUAUCUCUAAAAUCAUUUGCCGCAAAAGAAGAUGUUUGACAUCACACAAUAUAAAAAAGAUGAGUGCAAUUGUCAGUACAUUAUCUCUUGAAUUGCAUACCUGAGCAUUUUCUGAUUUUUUAUGAUACCUCUCUUGUGUUUUUUCCUGUUAUUGAAUCAAGUUAAGGUAUUUUUUUCAAAAAUAAAAAUAAAAAUCUUUUAAAUCGAAAAAUAGUGGGGCUCAACAAAUUAUGCUUAAGAGUCAUUUUGAUAUGAAAUACUAUAAUCCUAAAGCUACAAUCCUCGCCCUCAUCUCUUCCACAAGUCUAGCCAUCUAACCUUUGGUUUUUGACGCUAGAUUCAUAACAUGUGAACUAAGGUAUAGAAAGUUCCAUUUUGAAAGUUGAGGGAUUUUCUCAAGUUGAUACAAAGUUCAGGACCAUAGCUUCUAAAAAGUUUUUGUCAAUAUAUAUAGGCACUGUGGUCCAGCCAAGUUGAGCCCAUGCAGAGCGUGACGUGAACUGAGACCAUUACGAGAAAAAAAAUUGGUCACUCUCAUUUCUCACUUCCAUUUCUUUCUUGAUGGUUCAUUGUGAUAAUGCUCUUAUUUUGACAAAAUAUAUACAGUGCUUUGAUGAGUGCAUGCAGCAGAAAAAGAAAAAGGAUGAGUCACUCAGGAGGAGCUAUGAAGCUGAUGAUGGUGAUGAUGGCCAUGGCCCUGCUCACCACAAGCCAUGGCAUUGGCUACCACAUUAACACCAGCGUCGUCACCGGCGGCUAUUCUGCCUCCCUGUGCAACGGCCUCACCUACACGGCGUGCCGGAUUGCACACUCUGAGUUGGACUUUGACUUGGAGUUCAUAUUGGAUUUAGAAUUCAGCCUAAGGAUCCUCAAGGUCAAGGGUGACAGUUCCAAUCCCACUACUAUAAUCAAAACAACGAGGAAAGGCUGCGUCCUGCAACCGAGUUGGUAACCAAGAUCCCUGCCACGGUAGGUAACGAAAACCAAAAUGCCACACCAGAGCACUGCAAGGAGGAACCCACCAAUAAGACUUGCUGGAAACAUUUCUAAAUCAAAUAUUUGGCCGCUACUACCACUGGUGUCCUUUUUUUUUUGUUUGCUUCUUUCUGCUUCUUAGUAUUUGGUGCCCUACUCAUCAGGGUCAGUUUAAUUUCUGUGUACGUUUGUGUGCUUUUGAUUCUCCUUUUAAAAAUUAUUUGUUUUAUUAAGGGAGUGAAAAGAUUCGAAAUUGGGAUCUUUUGUAUUAUUUAGAAGAACGAGUUGGUUGGUUCUUCAAAUACUCGUGUGCUGUAAUCUGUAUUAACCAAGUUCAAGUCUAUAUGAAUUACCUUUUUAUGAAUUUCAAGUCUAUUUGGUAUCAUGAGAGCUUGAAUUCAGACCAAUUGAGAGCGCACCAAAAAUCUAGACCAAUCGAACUAACACCCUAUUAGUGAUUUUAAUACUUUAAUUGAGAUAUUUACAUUUAAAUGAAGAAAACAUGUACACCUAUUAUUUUUAUAUGAGUGAUAUGCCUAGAAGGAUGACACUCCUAAACUCUAAACCCUAAACCCCACUACAUAAAUAACGAGUACUUAUUAUGGCUUAUGAAUAAGACGUGUGCCUAUGAAGUAACUUGGCUAUUAUGUAAGUUAUAUAUAUAUAUAUAUAUAUAUAAUAUUACUUACAGUCCCGAUCUCUUGGACCACAGGAGUCCAAGAGAUUGUGGUCACCCACCGUUGGAUAUUAAUUCAAUGGUUGAAAAAAGUUUUUUAAAAUGAGUGCAAGAGUGAGUGAACCGUUGAAUUUACAUCCAACGGUGAGUGACCACAAAUUUCUUGGACCCCUGUAGUCCAAGAGAUCAGGACUGAUAUUACUUAAUACAUGUACCUAUCUUUCUAAUAAUGUAAUUAAUUUUUUAUUAUAAAUAAUGUAUCUAUUUUUUUAUUUAUAUAAAUGAUGAAACUCAUAAAGACUGGUUAUAACUGUGUUGUAAGGAGUCAUUUUCUCUUAACUGUAAAACAUAUACAUUAUUCAAUCAAUAAUAGCUCAAAAUGAAAUGUUUAUGGAGGGGCCUAGCUGUGCUUUGUAUGAAGAGUAAAGAUCCAAGUACUUCUUCUCUAUAUAUAUAGACGACAGUGCUUUUAGGACUGCAUGCAGCAGAAAAAGAAAACAAAAACAAAAACAAAAGAUGAGUGACUCAGGAGGAGCUAUGAAGCUGAUGAUGGUGAUGAUGGCCAUGACCAUGCUCACCACAAGCCAUGGCAUUGGCAUCCCCAUCAACACCAGCGUCGUCACCGGCGGCUACUCCGCCUCCGGGUGCAAUGGCCUCACCGACACGGGGUGCCGUCUUGCACACUCUGAGUUGGACUUUGACUCGGAGUUCAUGCUGGACUCGGAAUUCAACAUAAGGCUCCUCCAGACAAAUGAAUUUCAUCCGUCUAAAGGGGCGUUAAAUCCAGCAAUUUCUCAGGCCUGUAACCGACCGGAUCAUCCAGAAACGUGCAGAGGACCGCCAAACAAAAUAUCCAUUCAAGAGCACUGCACGGAUCAACUCAAUAGGGCUUGCCACAGAUAUCCUUGAGCUCCUAAUAAUCGGCUGCAUAAUUUCUAUGCACUGCUACUGGUGUCUUGUUUUUUUUUUUUUUUUUUGUUUUGUUUCUUUCGGAUUCUUAAUAUUUAGUGCCCUACUCAAUCAGCGUCAGUUUAAUUUCUGUGUACGUUUGUGUGCUUUCGAUUCUCCCUCUUCCUUUUUUUUUUUUUUUUUUUUUUCGUUUUAUUAAAGAAGUGGAUUCGAACUUAAAUGUUUUGUGAUAUCAUUUAGAAGAACCGGUUGGCUGGUUCUUCAAAUAUUUGUGUGCUGUAAUCGUGUUAACCAGUUUCAAGUCUAUAUGAAUUAGUCUUUCUUUUCAAUGUCGGAAAAAUAAAACAUUACAAUUUUUUGUGUGUGAUUCAUGUUUGGGGAACUUUAUUUCAAUCUAUUGAAAGGCAACUCCUUGCUUUAUUAAAAAGAUAAAAAAAACACCACGUACUUUUAAGUUCAUGAAUGAAUUGAACAAACCCACCAAACAUACCGAAAAUGUCUACCUACCAUACUAUUUACACCACAGCAACUUCUAAACACACGAAUUCCUCUCCCUUCACAUGUGAAAUCCCCCACUGCAAAUAGCGAGGCAACUAUGAAUGAUGACAUUGGAGAUCAUGAUGGCUCAUGACUACCUUGAGAGAGUACCCUAGUGAUAUCUACCAUGCAUUUGUGGAUAAACACUUGUGUAAAACGAGAAUAACAUUGUUUUACUAUACCUGGUCAAUCACGGUAUGCAAUGCUUAAUAACUUUUUCACUUAGUAUAUUGUGAUUAAUCGAGGAUAGCAAAACAAUGCUAUUCCCGUUUCACACAAAUUUUUCUGUCAAGUGAAAGUAUUAAAUUUUAGAAGGUAUACAAGUUUCAAGUAGGGGAUAUAUCAAACAGAAUCGUGAAGACCAAUAUGAAAAUCAUAAAAUUUGAUGGAAAACGUAAUGUUAUUGACCCAUGCCUUAUUUGGGGAUAUAAUCAUUUGCCGCCGAAGAAGGUGUCUGACAUCACACAAUAUAAAAAAGGUGAGUGCAAUUGUCAGUUUAUUAUCUCUUGAAUUGUAUACCUGAGCAUUUUCUUAUUUUUUAUGAUACCUCUCUUGUGUUUUUUCCUGUUAUUGAAUCAAGUUAAGGUAUUUUUUUCAAAAAAUAAAAUAAAAAUAUUUUAAAUCGAAAAUAGUGGGGCUCAACAAAUUAUGCUUAAGAGUCAUUUUGAUAUGAAAUACUACAGUUCUGAUCUCUUGGACUACAGGGGUCUAAGAGAUUUGUGGUCACUUAGCGUUGGAUGUAAAUUCAACGGUUCACUCACUCUUGCACUCCUUUUAAAAAUUUUUUUUGAACCAUUGGAUUAAUAUCCAACAGUGAGUGACCACAAUCUUUUAGACUUCUGUGGUCCAAGAAAUCGGGACUGUGAAAUACUAUAAUCCUAAAGUUACAAAUCCUUACCCUCAUCUCUUCCACGAGUCUAGCCAUCUAACCUUUGGUUUUUGACACUAGAUUCAUAAUAUGUGAAUUAAGGUAUAGAAAGUUCCAUUUUGAAAGUUGAGGGAUCAAAGCUCAAGUCAAUAUAAAGUUCAGGGACCACAGCUAAUAAUAUUGUUUUCUUUUUGUCAAUAUAUAUAUGCACUGUGGUCCAGCCAAGUUGAGACCAAACAGAAAGUGACAUGAACUGAGCCCCAUUACGAGAAAAAAUGGAAGGCCACUCUCAUUUCUCACUUCCAUUUCUUUCUUGAUGGUUCAUGGUGAUAAUGCUUUGAUUUUGACAAAAUAAAACUUUAGUUUCUAUCCUUGAAACACUAUUUAUUUUCAGCCUUGCCCUUCAAAUUUUCUGUACAAUACUUGCAAGUUGCAGGACAAGGAACUGCCAACUUGCAACCACAUCGUUAUGGCCUAAACCAGCAAACAUUUCUAAUUCUCUCCUCUCUUCUUUAAUAAUAUUUUUUAUUUAACAAGUGAUGGCCUAAAUUACUCUAAAUUAAUCCAAUUUACGAAAGAGAAUUGACUGCAUUGGCUGACUCGCCUAACACCGUACGCAAUAAUGUUAUAGAUAAACCACAAGUCAGCUUCCCACUAAGCUCAUGUCAGUGUAGACAUUGUUGUCCUUUCCAUUUAAACAGCAAUACAAGUAGGACCUACCCAACAGCACCAAAAGGGACCUCAGAAUGGAUCACAACUUCACAAGACCUUCUAUCAGAUAAAAAGUUACAAACCCAAGUAGGACUUUUUGUGUUUGGAACUAUUUACAAGCAGAAUUUUCACAUGAGGCUGAUUCACAGACGUGGCCAACCCUUGGCCAUCCCAAUCCAAUUGUCAACAUUCUGAAAAUGACUUUUUCUUUCACUGUGGAGAGUAGGAUAUGAUCAAAGUUUGCUUAUUUCAAUGUGCCUACAUCUGACUAUAGUCUCUUGACAUGUGGUUUUUUAGUUGGGAUGAUGGGCAGUAAGCACAUGAAGAUCUGGUGGCUCCGAGACCACAAUAGACAGCUGGUCCUCACCAAUCAAGUGUCUAACACAUGCAAUAUUUGACAAAAAAGAACAUUUUGCUAAAACAUUAUGGAGACUUUAUUGCCUGAGGACCAUACUAGCCUUGUGAUCAUGAUGGGACCCGGUCCACAUCAGCGGGUGUUAGAGCGGUUGACGUGAGGAGGGAUGUUGCAGAUGCCUUGCCUUGAUAGCUCAUCUAGUACACCUUCAGUGGAAGGAGGCUUAAGGCCCAAAGGAAGUGGUAGCCAUGGCUUGCUUAUUGCCUCCUUCACAACCUUGUCAACUACCUCUUCUGCCUGCAAAAGACAGAUAGCAAAAGAGAUUAAAUUUCAUGUGCAUAUUUGGAGUUUGGUUGUAUGUUACCCUACCACUUAAAUUAUUUAUGACUUGUCUACUUCAAGUAGCAAAUUGAUCCUAUCCAAUGUCAUUCAAUCACAUUGAUACAUGAAUGACUCCAUUGCCGUUCAGUUUGUUUUGCCAUACUUUCCCCCUUGUAUAUACAUAAUCAAUUGGAUAUGCAAUUAAUGCAAAUCUAAUUGGAUGUCGACAUUUGCUCAAGUGAAAGAUUGAAUCUAAACCACGUAUGCUACCAUAUUGACUCAAAUGAAAACGACUGGCACUAGCUAGAAAUUCAAGGUUUUCACAUUGCUAUACAAAAUGAAAUUCAAUGUCUAAAUUUAGAACAAUGUACAUAAAGGGUUUCUGGUGUUACCGGAUGAAGGUCAAACGAAUUAUCAACUACACCGGCGUGAAAACCUGCUGCAUUCUGCAAUUUAGAAACAAAGUGUGUGAAAGAAGAUAGGGUUAAGAUGCAUGCCUAACAUGUAUGCGUGGUUGAAAGAACAAUCAACAGAUUAAAUGACCAAUGCAUAAACAAAAUGUAGAAGUUUUCAUUGGCAUACUCACUUGAGGAUAAGAGGGAUAACCACCUUGCAGAGGUGGCAUUACAGGACAACCCCAUGCAUCAGCUUGCAUCUGUAACAUUAAAAUGGGGCAAAUACAAAAGAAUCUCCUCAAUGAAUAAUGCUAAUGCCACCAUUCAUAUAUAUACUUGGGAAAGAUGACAAACUUACCCCUUGAUAAGGCUUCCAAUGCCAACUUUCUGAUGGUUGCCACUGGGGAUAGCCAGGUGAACCCCACAUCUGGACACCAGCUGGUUGACUGCCAGGUUGUCCCCACAUAGGAUAGACUGGUGCCAUGGAUAAGGAAUUAUUAUAAUGAUAUGGGGGAAAGGCCAUGAUAGGCUUCUGAUUCUGAGGAUAAUAACUCCUUUGAAUUGGAUCUCUAGGAUGUGGCAAUCUCCGGUCGUCUUCCUUGGGUAAGAUGUGUCUCUUAUGCAUGCGAUAUUUCUGCAUGAUAACAAUUGUCAAUUACCCCAUUAGGUCAGAAUGGGGAAGGGGGAUUAUCAACUUGUUAGCACUGAUCAAAACAAAGACGGACACUCAGAAAAGAGGAUUAACGUAACUGAGAUCAUAGGAUUUCAAACAAUAAAAAUGCUUGGUAGAAAAAGUUCUCGAAGCAAAAUUUUAUCUCAGUUAUGCGAACUGUAUAGGAUACGGCUUUCGAUCAUUUGCAACUAUGGGGAUACACAUGCUUCAAUUUACGAAGGAGAGCAGCAACAAAGACAGCUUCUUACUGAUUCUCUUUUCUUAUGUCUCAGUAAUCAACAAAUUUAGUAUAAAAAGAGUUGUUAUGCAAUGCAAUAGGUUUAUCAUAAAAACAAGUCUCAACAACAUCUUAAGAGGUUCCAGCAAUUAUAGUUCCAUCAUCAAGCAAAUGAUAACUUGAUUUGUUAUCAAAGAAUAAAAUGCCCACCUGGAGAUGGCUUGCUACAUUAUGCCUUGUCAAACCUUCGGCUUUCAUCAGCUCUAGUAUUCGAGAAGGAAUGGCUUGAUCCACACCCAAUUGUUCCACUGCCUGCACAAAUUUCUUGUGCAGUUCAGGCGUCCAAUCUACCUGAAACCAAAGACAAAACCCCAAAUGCGAUAAGAUUGUCAAAACAAUCAUGUGCACUCAUAAUCCUUUCUAAUGAAAACAAAUUAGUACAUCAUUUUCCGAGAGGACUACUAGUCUACUAAACCUGCAACAUGCUUUUAGGUGGACUAGUUUUUUCCAUUUUUAAGGACAGCUGACAAGACCAGAGCAUCUUAUUUUUUUGAUAAUCAAACUAAAAGGCAAUGUUGUUUUAUCAAGCAGUUGUUCUUCCAAGUCAAUGGCAAGCUCAAAUUUCGUGAUCAUAGAUUAAACUUAUGAAUAUUCAUAAUCAGAAGAGUCCAGUAAAAAUUUGCACCCUUACUUGAUGAAUAUAAAAAAGACUAGGGUACACAUGCAUGCAACCUUUUAUUAUGCACGCCUGGGGAAAAUUGAGAAGCAACCAAAUGCUAAUGCUUCUCAUGAACAGAAAAAACCGAUGUUGCCAGCACCAGUAUGGGGAACAAUUGGAAGAGAUCAAACAAUUUGACAUGAUUCUGAAAUCCAAAUUACCUUCAUCUUCUUCCGAUUAGAUUUGCAUGAAUUAUUGGGAGCAGAUGCUUUACUCAGAUUUUCAGCAACACCACCAACGUCAUUGGCACUGUUUCUAUUAUGCGGGUGCUGAGACCCAUUAACAGAGUCAUUUUCCUCUUUAACCACCCUUUUCCGAGUCAUUUGAGGUUCACUCAGUUGAACUGUCCCUUCAUCGAUUGGAUUGCCACAUGUAGUUUCGACUGAUUUAGAUUCACUGUCAUUCUCCCCACUCUCUUUCUCUGAUAAGCAGUUAAUUUGAUCUUGGCAAUCCCCAUCAGCGAGUAAUCGUGAUCCCUGUUUAAGCUGCGGGGUUGAGGGAGCUGGGUACUUAUCACUUCCUACUGACUGCUCACGGUCACUUUCAUGAACCCUGGAAACAUUUUCUGUUUCUACUGAAAUUUUACAUUUCUGCUCUUCAGUUUCCUGUUUGAUCUGCAGUAUGGAUACUACAGAUUCUUUGACAGGCUUCAGUGAUUCAGAGAUGGCACUCCCUCCUGCAUUGAAUGCCUGCUCAGGAUUUACAAAAUCAGAAAAUUUCUACUUAUGGCAUUUGCAUAAAACUUUGUGGUAGAUCUUGACACAACGUUACCAUACUGGACAGACCUUAUGAACAACAUGCUGCCAAAUAUUCCUGAGUUUGUCUUCCGAGAGUGGUUUCCGCAGGAACUCAACUGCACCAAGCUGAAAAUAGAUUGUCAAAUAUAUGAAUGAAAUAUGAUUGACUGGAAAAGCAGUGUAGAAUCUCCAGUUAUGAUUUGAGCAAUAAGAUGGUAGACCUAAAUCGAAAUCACCAAAAUUAGCACUCCUUGAUCAGGCAGCAGAUUUCAUAAGGAGAAGUUCACGGUGUUUGACUAUUAUUGAAAUGAACUCUAUGGGGGAAAUAUACCAGAAAUCCAAACAGAGUAGAGCAUGUUGCUGUUGCACUUUUGAAUUAAAUAAGAGGUUAGAGCAAAUAUCUUACCGCUAUACACUUCAUCAUGGUGCUUAGGCAAUGAAUGUUUGAAGUCACUGUAAAGAAGAUUUGGAAGCUUCACGUUAGAAAUCAAGUAAUAUAUUAGAAGCAACAAAGUUAUCAUUGACGUUAAUGGUUAGUUAUGCUUAAUGAUCUAACAAGUUAUUCGAAACUCAGAAAGAUACUAAACAAUAAAACACAAAAUAUUUUUAUAAAAUGGUUAACAUACAAAAUCAUCAAAGGAACUAAAACAGGAACAAAUACAAAUCAUGAAUAAGCAAAAGAAAAAAUACAAUUUUGUGUCAAAUUUAAAAUGGUUCAGGUUUACUUUAUAAACUUACUAAUGGUCGGCAAGUCCUUAGCAGUUUCGAGAAAUUGGAAAACCCCAUGGCCAUUGCUUGCAUUUACCUGGGACCAUAAGUCUUAUUAGGAUAUAUCCAGCUACAGGAAUGACAGCUAAAGCACUCUGAGACUAUACUAAUCAAGGGAAUUGUUCAAAAAGUUCUAGGUGCUGAACUGAGCAUCACAAUGGUAUUAAAAUACUGAAUAAGAUGAAACAGGUUUAGCUGAGAACACAUUUUCUAGAAAAUGCUCCACCAAAGAACAGAGUGGGUUCUUUUUUCGUUGGGAUGUUCCAAACCAGCUAACAAGAAUCAAUGCUCCGAAGAAGCACGUCAGAUUUCUCUGAAAAUAACAAAAUUGAGUUAUAGCUUCAUUCAAGUUCAGUACCUCAACAAUUGCAACUUGGAAACUUAGAGGAUUGCUUGAAAAUGCUGAUAACGCUUCGGUUUCAUUGCAAAAUGUAGUAACUGCAAUAGACAUGAUGAUGUUACCAAAAGAGUGUAUACAUGAAUGCAAAACAGAUGUGCGCACAAACUGAUAGAAAACAAACUUAGAAAUUAUACUGAUAAAACAAAAUAAAGAUAUGCUAGUUAGAUCUAAACAGGAUAACUUUGGUUUUUCCCCUGCAUUCAACUUCUAAUUUUAGUGCAGAGAAAAACAUAAGUUUACCUUUAAAUUCAAAAUAAAUAUAUAAAAAAACUGAAAGCCACUUUUCAACAUUUGGAUCACAAAAGUAUAAAUAUGAAAUUGGGAUUUCAAUUUAUUUCUUUAGUGGAAAAGAGAAACGAGCUAUGGUGAUGGUGAGCAAGAAAUUGAUUCUUUUUCCAUGGUCAGGUACCUUUCUAACCUCCAUAUGACUAAAAUCCAAAACCACAUUCAAACGGAAGCAAGAAUCCAUCUAUAUAGAGAAGCAUUAUAAGUUGCUUUAAUGGGAAAAACGGGGGACCAGUAUACUUAUGGAAAAUUAAUGAAGAAAUGGGAAAAGGGUGAAACCAGUAUUUCUAGUUCAGGAAAGAAGGUUGUCUAAGAGAAAAAAAAUGAUAAAAACAAAAAGGGAAGAUAGAAAUUUCUCACCAAUAUAAUCCAUGGCCUCAAGCUUUGAUUUUAUCUCGGCCGCAGAACUGUUGUCUUCAUCAAGGAGAAGAACUUUAAGGCCCUUGGGGAAAUCUUUCCACUCUUGCAAAUCAUUAGCAGUGCAAACCAUAGCUGGUUUGGCAUCGUUUCUCAGGCGGUCCUAGGAAACUGUGUCAGAUCACAGCUUAUAACCAUCCAAUGAAGUCUGCAAGAUCCACAUGAACCACACAUCAGAACCAUAUUUUUGUUAACUUUAAAGAUUCCCAGAACUAAAACAUACAUAUUGGAGAAACCCCAUUGCAAAUUGAAUAUGUUUAUGCACGAUGUAACUGUUAGAUCUUAUUUCCAGAACUUUGUAAUAAGAAGAACAAAGAGAACCAGAUAACCCAAGUUCUCUGUUGGAAUAAGCAGAAAGAUUUUACCCAAGUGUAAAGAUCUUAUUUGGUAGUGCUAAUUUUGCAUAACAACACAAAUAGACAUAAAACCCAUGUAAGAUCUCCGCCAAAGAACAAAAAAACUUACGAAAGAUAAAGGACAUCUUUGACCGUCAAAGAGGAAAUGAAGAAAAAUCAAUAGAGAGUCUGAAACAAAAACUGGGAAAUUUCUUCAGAGAGACUAAAAAGACAGACUUCAACCCACAAACGCAUGCAUGCACAUAUUGAGCACAAAAGCACCCCAAAAAAACCCAGAGUAUAUAAUGUCUCAAAACUAAGUUGCAGCAAGCAAACUAAACAUAGACCAACAUGAUCAUUACCUCCAAGAAAAUGCAGUGAAAGAUAAAAUCUUUCUUACUGUUUACCAAAACACCAAAAGAUAAAAUCUUUAUCAGCUCCAGUAUAUGUAAAGAUAAGGCUCUCUCUCCCCUCCUCGGGCUUUCUUCCACUUCUUUGGCUGUAUAUAGAUAGAAAGCUGCUUAUAACACAGAGAGAGAGAGAGAGAGAGAGAGAGAGAGAGAGAGGGGUUUAAGUGCGUCCUCUGAAGGGUGUCUGUCUGAGACCUGCACAAUUACCAUCGGUUGUUUACGGACCACAGAAUAUGCAAAAGGCUCUCUCUUUAAAAGUUCAGUCAAUAUAACCUUUCUUCCCCUUUUUUUUUUACACCUACUUUUUUGUGAAUAUCACAAAAGAAAACUACCCAGAAAUCACUUUUCCCUCUCAUAAAGUUAUUUUUCUUUUAAUUAAGAAAUGAUGAAGGGCAAUCUCCUCUCCCAAGUUUAAGGAUACCCAAUGCUCUAUCAUUAGUAUUAAAAGACUCCACAUUUUUGUAAGGAUUAAAUCCACUUUGUCAUAUUAUUUUAUAAUAAUCUCACAUAAGGAAAUUUUUCAUGAUCUCAAGGUCCAAACUUUAUAUUAUUGGAAAAUGUUUUUAUGUGCUUUAUAUUAUAUAUUAUUGGACCCAACAGAAGAAAAUUAUUUUAAGAAAAUUAUUGUACAUCUUUUCGUUUUCUUCUCAGUGUAUUAUGCUAUCUGGUUAUUGAAUGAAAUUCCUUUAAAUAAAAUAAAAAAAAUUGUUAGGUCACAAUAUAGUUUGGACCUUGAUAGUUAAGUUAAUAUUCAUAAGGAAAUAGCUUAGGAUAUAAUCAGAGACACCCAACCGACAUUCAAUUUAAAUUCUUUGAGCCACUUGAUUGAUACCACAACACUCUUUUGUCUUUUCAACAGAGAGUGAUUAAAGUGUCCUUUAUUCUUUGAUUUUGCUUUUCCUUUCCAUUUGAAGUUUUUGGAAAGCCUAGCUUUUGCUUUGUUGUUUAGAGCCAUAGACCCACAUAAUAAUAUCACAUUAUUAAUUUGAAAGAAAAUAAAAUGAUAUCAUUCUUUUUUUUAUUAAUUAUGACAUCCUUCAUUUCACUUCACUCACAUGUGAAUUUUACAUGCUUUUUAGCCUCCCACCAUAAAAGCCUAUGCAGACAACAUCUCAAUAAAUAAUGUAGAAUGAAACACGUGAGUUUAUAUAGAACAAUAAAAUUUUCAUUUUAAUAAUAAUAAGUAACAAUGCCAUGAGUGGUUGUUAAUGUUGAUAAUUAAUACUAGGAUCUUUGACAAUUAACCUAGGAUAAGAUGGAAACCCAUAUAUUAAGGCACUUCACUUUUCUUAAUGUGUAAUGGAAGUAUUCCUACUAAUCGUUUGGAUUUAUCAACUUUAUUGUACGAUCCAUAACAAAAACAAAAACUAGGGUUUUUACUCUCUUUUAAAUAAAAUAAAAAAUUAAAUAAAACAUGCAUGGUAAACAUGUAAAAAAAUUUGGGUUGUUUUCCUUUUCAUUUCUUUUUCUAUUACUUUAUUUGUUUCCUUUUCAUUAUAUUUGUUUGAUGUGGGACUACUUUAUGUGGGACUUUUGUCCUUGCAGUAUCUGAGUUUAAUUGUAUAUAGUUCAACUGAAUGUAAAUAAGUUGAAUGAUAGUAUAAAGUAAAAUUGAAGCAUUAUAAUUUAUGAUAAAUAUAUAUUCUUUUUUAAAUUGGAAGUUGGGAUGGGUUUGGGAGACUGACCCUCGAUGAGGACUAGGACGAGGAUUCUAUAAAAAUUCUUAAGGGAUGGGGAUGGGUAGGCAUGUUGAUGGGUCUGAGAUGGAGCGAAGCACCUAAAAUCUGACUUGACCCGAUUUCAAAAAAUUUCGACUCAAUCUGGUCCAAAAAUUCAACGAAUCAUUAACAACUAGAUCCAUAUAAGAUUUGUUGAAUUAUCCGAUAACCCAAUCCGAAUUCUUUUAGAGAUUUUCUAUUUAAACCUCACACUUCUCUUAGUUCACCCCUACUUUUAACUUAAAUUUUCACAAUUUCUAAGAAAACCCCACUAUCUUCCCAAUCUACUCUUAAAUACACCCCAAUCUGAAAAAAUAAGAAAUAAAAGAGAUUUUCUAUUUAAACCCCACAAUUUUCUUCGUUCAUCUCAAUACUUAAAUCAUUAAACAAUAUUUGUAGUAUACAUGAGAUUUUGUUGUUUUCACAAGCUGUUUUUAUCAUGUGAUUAGAUCAUAUGGGAAACUGUAGUUUGUUUGGUUUCGUUUUAUGAUGACAGUGAAAACCAAUGACCACAACAUCUUUUUUUAUUUUUUACCCAACGGAAAAGUGACAUUUCGCCUACUGAGAUAAUAUGAUAUAAUGAAGUCAUUUGCUAUUUGAGAACAUUGCUACAGUAAAAAUGGCAUUUAAGAUGAUAAUCGUUAUAUACUUUUCUAAAACUUAAUAUGAAGAGUGUGUUAGUCUACAACCCAAACCGCCAGAAUGAAUAUAACUCAUGCUGCACGUGUCUGAUAGGAUGGUCACGUGUCUGUUAGUUAGGAUGAGCUGGCUAAUGAGCUGGCUGGUUGUUAUUGUUGUUAAUCUGUUCUUAACUUAAUGCACUAGUUAGUUAGCUAGUAGAUAUAUAUAAGUCGAUUGUAAAACUCUGUAUUCACUUAAGAAGAGAAAAUCUGUUUGAGAACUCUAUUCUGUUUUGCUUUCUCUCUCUCUCUUUCUCAAUACUUCUAGUCUAAAGAAGCUUGAUUUGGUUCAUCUAUGACUCCCAUGAAUUCUCCAAUCAUGACUGCUAUGGUUGCUCAGAAGGGCACCGUAGCCUCAUCACCACCUGUUGCUCACGGUGAUAAUUUUCACUCUGCUAUGGUUGAUGAGUUUCAGGCUCUUGAAAAGCAGCAUACUUGGACUCUUGUUCCUUAUCAACCCUUCAUGAACAUUGUUGGUUGUAAAUGGGUGUUCAAACUUAAGAAAAAUGCUAAUGGUUUUAUUUCUCGGCACAAGGCUCGAUUGGUUGCCAAAGGGUUUCAUCAAGAGGCUGGUCUUGAUUAUGAUGAAACAUUCAGUCCUGUUGUCAAGCACUCUACAGUUCGAUUGAUCCUUGCUUUAACUGCUCAAUAUCAUUGGUCCAUUAAACAACUUGACGUGAAGAAUGCUUUUCUUCAUGGUGUACUUCAUGAAGAAGUUUAUAUGCAACAGCCCCCUGGUUUUGAAGAUUCUGCUCAUCCUCAUCAUGUGUGCCGCUUAUUGAAGUCCCUUUAUGGGUUGAAACAAGCUCCUCGGGCUUGGAAUGAGCGUUUCACUACUCACUUGCUCACCCUUGGUUUCGUUCAAUCCUUGGCUGAUACAUCUCUGUUUAUUCGCGUAUCUGGGAGUGAUCUUCUUGUUCUCCUCUUAUAUGUCGAUGAUAUCAUCUUGACUGGGAAUAAUAGUGUCUUGAUUCAGCAGACCAUUACAGCUCUCAGUCGUGAAUUUGAUAUGAAGGAUCUCGGCCAAUUAACCUAUUUUCUGGGACUCCAAGUUCAGUAUACUUCCACCGGCAUUCAUGUUAAUCAAUCCAAAUAUGCGGCUGAUCUUCUUCUUAAAGCUGGUAUGACUCAAUGCAAGCCUUGUUCUAUACCCUGUUUACCUACAGCAAAGUUACUCAAGUUUGAUGGCGCCCCUCUUUCGGAUCCUACUGUCUAUAGAAGUCUAGUGGGAGGGCUUCAAUAUCUUACCUUCAGCAGACCUGAUAUUGCUUUUGCCGUGAACACUCUUUGCCAGUUUAUGCAUACUCCUACAGAUUCACAUUUUGCUGCUGUCAAACGUGUGCUGCGCUAUUUGGCUGGUACUCUGACUCAUGGCAUUCAUUUCACCUCUGGUGAUGUGCAUUUGCAAGCAUAUUCUGAUGCAGACUGGGCAGGUGAUGUCAAUGAUCGUCGGUCCACGACAGGGUAUGUUGUCUUUCUCGGCAAUAAUCCUAUCUCUUGGUGUGCUAAGAAGCAGAACACUGUCUCUCGUUCCUCGACUGAGGCAGAAUACAGGGCUCUUGCUAUCACUUCCGCUGAGUUAUCCUGGCUUCGCCAACUUCUACAUGAUCUUCAUGUCUUUCUUGAUCGUCCCCCUGUUCUUUGGUGUGACAAUAUUUCGGCUUUAGCCCUUGCUAGCAAUCCUGUGUUUCAUGCGCGCACUAAGCACAUUGAGAUCGACUUCCACUUUAUCCGUGAGCGUGUUACUAGGGGCGAUAUGCUGGUUUCUCAUAUUCCUAGUAGUAAUCAACUGGCCGAUAUAUUCACUAAAGGGCUGCAUACUUCUCAGUUUUCGUAUCUUCGAGACAACCUAAUGCUUAGUCCCCCAAGCAUUAGCUUGAGGGGGGAUGUUAGUCUACAACCCAAACCGCCAGAAUGAAUAUAACUCAUGCUGCACGUGUCUGAUAGGAUGGUCACGUGUCUGUUAGUUAGGAUGAGCUGGCUAAUGAGCUGGCUGGUUGUUAUUGUUGUUAAUCUGUUCUUAACUUAAUUCACUAGUUAGUUAGCUAGUAGAUAUAUAUAAGUCGAUUGUAAAACUCUGUAUUCAAUUAAGAAGAGAAAAUCUGUUUGAGAACUCUAUUCUGUUUUGCUUUCUCUCUCUCUCUCUUUCUCAAUACUUCUAGUCUAAAGAAGCUUGAUCUGGUUCAUCCAUGACUCCCAUGAAGAAAGCUUUCAGAGUGGUGGGGUGUAUAGGGUGUGUGUAUAGAUGUACUAGGGUUAAGUAUUAAGUUAGAUGACCUUUUUUGUCUUUUUACACAAUAAUAAAACUUACAGCUUAAUGAUUUAAGUAUUGGGGUGAACAAAGAGAAGUGUGGGAUUUAAAUAGAAAAUCUUCUUUUAUGUCAUAUAUACAAAUAAUUGAAAAAUAUUUUUAUUUAUUUACAAAAAAAUUCACAAGAUUGUUACAUAUGCAUAUAUAUAUAUAUAUAUAUAUAUAAACUCAAAAAUCAUGAUUUUUUAUUUUUUAUUUUUACAAACAUGAGUUUUUAAAUACUGAUUUUAAGAUUUAAAAACUUAUUUGGUAUUGAACUCCAAACUAUUUUUAAGAUCUAAACAAAAUUAAAAUUAAAAUAAGAACCUUAGGGGCCGUUCUGUAACGUUUUCAAGGCCCCGUUUUCAUUUUCUUCCAAAAACGCAUUUGGUAUGUCAUUUUCAUUUUCACCGGAAUUCAUUUUAUGAAAACAAAUUCACACUCAUGCACAAAAACUGAAAACAACAAAUUUUCAUUUUCCUUUUUUUGUUUUCAUUUUCUACAUAAUGUAUUGGUCUAAUUGAUUUCUCUUUUCUUUUUUUCUUUUUUUAAUUUUUCAAUUUGUAGUUUUUUCUUUCCACUUCAUUGUUUUAUUUUGCUAAGGAUAAUAUAAACCAUCAUAUAUUAUUCAAUUUCAUAUUUAUUUUAAACUAAAGAUAAUAUAAUUUUAUUAUCUAGGUUUUUCUAAAAUUAGAAAUUUUGUAUUAUUUUAAGUAUACAUUAUUAUUCUCAAAUUAUACAUUUUUCAUUGUUUGUAAUAAUUUUAGCCUUUAAAAUAUCAAAAUUAAUAUAUAUAUAUAUUUGGACAAAAAUGAGCAAAAAAUAUACUUGAAAAAUAACUCACAUAUUAUUAUUCUUAAAUUGUCCUACCAAGCACGUUUUUACUAUUUUUAUUUUCUGAAUAUGUUUUCUAAUUAAUUUACCAGGAGCAUUUUCGAAUCCUGAAAAUGAAAAUUUAUUUUCUCGUUUUCAUUUUCAUAAAAUAUUCUAAGAAAACAUUCUAUAAACUGGCCCUUUGAUUCCCAAAUUGAGAGAGAGAGAGAGAGAGAGAGAGAGAGAGAGAGAGAGAGAGAAAAAAUUGUAAAACCUCACUUUCUUUUUUUGUACCAGCGAUAGUCUAAAUUAUGGGGAUGAAGAUUUCUCACACACACAUGCAACUAUGAUGUCAUAGGGAUUCGAACUUGAGACCUCUGACCUGCAAGUCAAGGCCCUUUUAUACUGGACUAGACCCACAAGGCCCUUUUAUACUAGACUAGACCCAGUUGGCAAAGCCUCAAAUUUGUUUUAUUUUUUAAUAAUGGGGAUAUUUUUGAGUUUUUAAAAAGGAGAGUGCUAGCAAUUCUCUCUAACCUUCUCUUUUGGACCUUCUCCCUUCUUCUCAUGACAAGUGUCACUUUCCUUAAACUAAAAACAAUGUCAUUAAUGCAUCACACAAACUAGUUUUUGUUUUUCAAAUUUACCCUUAUUAAAUGUAUUAAUUUUUUUUAAUAACAAGCUAAUUUUUUUUAUAACUUUCUUACCACCUUGUUAAAAAUUAAAUAAGAAAAUAAAAACUGAAGUUUUUUUAAAAUUUUAAUUUUUCCAAAGAGAACGCGUGUUUUGUUAAAAACAAAAUAAAGAUGAUAACAAUGCCAUGAAACAAACUUUAUUUUUAUUUUUAAAAAAUAUGACGUUUUUAUUUUUAUUUUUAUUUUUUUUAACAAUGUGCUAAAGAAGUUAUAACAAAAUUUAAAUAAAUUGAAGGAAAUAUAAAAGCCAAUACAUUUUAAAAGGGUAAACUUUGAAAACAAAAACUAAAUUGUGUGAUGCAUUAAUGUCAUUGUUUUAAGUGUAUGGAAAAUGACACUUGUCAUAAAGAGAAGGGAGAAAGUCUAAAAGAGAAGGUUAGAGAGAAUGUUGCUAGCAUUCCUCUUUUAAAAAUGAGCCAACUAAAUGGGUUUUUGUAACUUUAGACUUAAAAACUAUUUUUGAAUUUAUAAAAUUAAAUCCAAAUAGAAUACCAAACCAGCCCUAAGUUCCUAUCCCCAACAUUAAUUCCAUGUUUUUGGUUCUACAUUCCAAGACAACACUCGUUGUUUUUGCUUGCCAUUCAAACUUCUCCAUUGAAAAUGUGAUACAUUCCUAGAACUACUUUGUAAUCUGAAGCUAACAUGGUUUUUUUGGGGUAACAAAUGAAGAAAUAUAUUAAGAAAAGAAAAGGAAAAGAAAAGAGGGAAACAAGCAAGGAGACAAAUAGCACCAAAAAGCUGAAAACCGAUAAUAGUACUUGGGAAAACAGGAGCCCAUGGUUUUUUUUGGGGUGCUUUUUUAAAGGUCAAAUACAGCCUGUGGUUUGCUGAUUUCAUCCAACAACCAAAUCAUUAAUGCUGGAAUGAAGGGGGAUUGAAUCAUUAUUCAAAUGAUCCUUAUCUUUUCUUUUUUUUUUUUAAAUUUUUAUAAUUUUGGCCAAUUAUUUUAUAUAGUUGAUAUGAAUGUUUGAUUUUAGUUUUUUUCUAUUUUCAAUUUUGGCGAUUUUAUAAUUAUGGUUCGAUACUCAUUGCAAUUCAACGACACAUCCAUAUCUUUGUUUACACCAUAUAUGGGUCCAUUUUUGUUGGGCUAUUGAGUUUGGCGACCCAUUCUGUCCAUCCGUUUUUUUCCAGGAAACUCCCGUCUCUCAGCCGAGUUCGAACCCAUUGGGCUAACUAGCCUAGUGCCAUCUUUGACCCGCUAUGCUACUGAGCCUAGUGCAUCACCAACUCUAUCAGUCACCCCACCGUCUCCACAAACGGCCUUGUUGCUUAUGACGUGAACCUUAGGGCUGAGCUAUUCCUCUCUCGGCCAUAAUCGUUCAAUGUGAAGUCAGAUCUAGGCUUACUUAACCAUUCACCACAUCCACUGUGAGAGUCUUUAUUCUUAAAAUGUUAAUAUUUUCUGGUAAGUAUUAAAUUAUAGUAAUUAUAUAUAUGUUUUAGGCUUAUUAUCACAAAACGUCCAUAAGGUUUAUGAAACUAUCAGAUUGCAUCCUUAAUUUUUUUUGUGUCAUUUGUGGUUCUCAAGGUUAGUGUGCAUGAUCACAAAUGGUCCAUGCUGUUAGGUUCCGUCAAAAACCCCGUUAAUUUGCUGACGUGACAUAUAUAUAUAUAUAUCACAAAACAUCCCUGAGGUUUACGCAUCUAUCACAAAUGGUCCUUACCAAAUUUUUUAAUUUUUUAAAUUUAAAAUUCAUAAAAUUUUUGUAAAUUAUUUUAAAAUAUAUAUUAUAUUUUAAAUACAUGUGACACUAUAUUAUUGUAGAUGUGGGCUCCAUAUAUAUGCCACAUCAACAAACUAAUGGAGUAUUUAAAAAAUAAUUUAAAAUUUAUAAAAUUUUAAAUGAAAAAACUAAAGUUUUAGUGUUCAUAAAUGGUCCUCAAGAUUAAAAAUUAAAUCUUCUAUAAAUGGUUUUUUCAUUUAUAAAUAAUUUUAAAAAGAAAAUAAAAAUUUUAUGAAUUUUAAAUUAAAAUAAGGCAAAUCGUAGGGACCAUUUGUGAUAGGUGUGUGAACCUCAGGGAUGUUUUGUGAUAUAUAUGUAUGUCACGUCAGCAAACUAACGGAGUUUUUGACAGAACCUAACGGCAGGAACCAUUUGUGAUGAGUUUUUAUCAAAAAUAGCCAAAAUUUACCCCAUACUUUCAUAAAUGUCAGUUUUUAUAAAAACUUUCAAAAAUAGCAAAAAAACUCACCUAAAAUUACUCAAACGCCCUCGUAAGUAAAAACCCACAAAAACCUUAAAAAAAUGCAAUCUUUGUUUUCAAUUUGAUUUUAAACAUAUAUAAAACACAAAGGUUUGAUCCCAUGUUAUAUCAUUGGAGGAGUUGGACCAUGAAUGUGACUUGAUUCCUAGCUAGUCCGAGUACUGCAUCCACCCAACAUUGAGUUGAAACAAAGCUUUUCUUCUAUGAUCUCCUUCAUCUCCAUUAUCUAAUUACUUAAUUAUAUCUAAUAAGCCAUGUAUUUGUAUUAUAUAUUUAACAAGACAUUCAUAGAGUUAUUGAUUCAUCUCCGCAAUGUUAAAGUUCAUAUCGGAAUCUAAUUAGCAACUUUGAAGUCCAUAUAUGGCUGACAAAGGGUUGUGCAUGGCCUCCAAUGGUGAUAGCAUCAACAUGGCUGACGACAAUUAAUAAUACCAAAGCUUUGAGCCCAAUGACAGAGACAAUAGAUACUAACAUAGGGGAGUUUUUAUGUUUAAAAUCAAAUGAAAACAUAGAUUACAGGUUUCAUGUUUUGCUUUUUUAGGUUUUUGUGGGUUUUAGUUUUGAGGGCAUUUGAGUAUUUUUAAGUGAGUUUUUGGCUAUUUUUAAAAGUUUUUAUAAAAGCUGACAUUUAUGAAAGUAAGAGGUAAAUUUUGGCUAUUUUUGAUAAAAACUCAUUUGUGAUUGCACAUACUAACCUUGAGAACCAUGAGUGACACAAAAAAAUGUUAAGGAUUCAAUCUGAUAGUUUCGUACACUUUAUGGAUGUUUUGUGAUAAUAAGCCUAUAUUUUAUUUUGGAAUCUAUGAUAUUAAUAAUAACUAAGUAUUUUAUUAUUAUUCAUUUGAUAUGCACAUAAUUCAUUUGAUAUACGCAUGCUUAUCUUCCUCCAAAUUUAUUGUGUGGUGUUAAAGGUUUCUAUUAGUUAUCAUGUUUUGCUGUCAAAACAUGUGGUGCCUUCAUAUUAUAUUAUUAAGUUAAGUGUGAAUAGCAAGAAAGUUGGUAUAGCUUUACAAAUUGGUCACGUCAUGUAAGCAGGAGGUGGAACUUUAAGUUUUCCUCUUAUCGACACAUCUUCUAGCAUGCAAUUGUUUAAUAAAGUUUUUGAUAGAUAUUUCAACUUUGGCUUGAACAAAAAGGUUGUUAUAUUGUUAUCCUUGAGUAAACCGCCAAUUACUUCAUCCAAUAGAAGUAAAGGUGUAGCCGACAUUCCUUUAGUAUAAAUAGGAAUGUAAUUCUUUCAUUUUGAAACGCACGGUUUGCAUGGUUUGCAUUGGGAAACCAUAAGAGUAAAGAAAGGAAAAUACUAGAAAGAGAGAAUUUGAGUAUGGAUGCGGUGGAAAUUAGGGAGUCGUCUUACAAUUCUAGCAAAAGUUUUGGUGUUAAGGUAGGGAUUUCUUAGGGACCUUUUGCAAGAAUUGAUCUAAUUAAAUUUCGUGAGCUCUAUAUCAUGUGUGAUAUUACUGUUUGAUUUACGUUCCUUGUAUUGGAUAUUUACGUACUCUUAACUGUUUGAAAAAUGUGGGCAUGAUUAUAUGUACAUUGGUGGUAUUUAAAUGAUUAUAUUGUUUUUAUGAGAUAUGUGAACAAAAGAACUAUAUAAUGUCAUGGAAAUUAUUUGGAGUUCUGGAGUUGAGAAAAUAAUGGUGGAAAAUAGGGUAAUGAGAAUGAUCUUUUGUGUAGUUGAGUCUAACUCUUGGUAGGUACCAGGUCUCAGGGAUCCCACAGUGCACAUGGUUUUUAUUGGGUGAUUCGGGACUAGCGAAAGGGAGUUAAACAAGAUGACUAACAAAAGGGGAAUUAUGGGAUGAUUGAAAUGGGUGUUAGUUCAUAUAAAUGGGCAUUCGGGACCAAGUGGUAUAAGCAUGGUAUGGGACGUGCAGGUCUGCUUGUUCAGUUAUAUGAAUUAACGAGAUUAGAUGAAGAGCAUUCAUACAUUAACAUUAUUAAUGUGAUAUUUGGUUGUGUGAUUGCAUGUCACUUAAUUUAGUUAUAUCAAUCUAUUGUGGUAAGGUUUCAUGUCCCUACUGAGCUGUGGUUGCUCACCCAUCACCGUAUUUAAUUUUUCAGAUGAAUUAGUGGGCAAGAAAAGGAAUAAACUAGUUGAGGCUGAAUUAGAUGAGAGUGAUAGAACUUUAUUUAUUGUAAAGUUGUAAUAUUUUGGAUUUAUUUUUAUAAGGGAAGUUUAUUUCAAACCAAUGUUUCUGCUUUUAUUUAUUUUAUUUUAUUUUUUAUUUUCUCACGCGCUGGGUGCGGAGUUUCCACCGACCUCCGAGUCCGAGGCGUGACAUCCACUCAUAAAAAAUUGCACUCUAGGCCAUCUCGGCCCAAAUGUUGGCACGCCCGUACAUCGCACCACACAAAGCAAGACGUUUGUGUUGACCUCCAUCCUCACUGCCUAGCCUGAAAAGAUUCAUAGGCCAACAUUUCUACCAUGCCUGGUGAGACAAAUUAUAACUACUAUUAUCACCGGUAGGGCUCUAUUAGACUACAGUAACUGUGUUUUAUGCCAAUUUGGACGAAUGUGGUAUAAUUGUCUUAAUGAAUAUUUGAUUAAGGAAGGCUACAUCAAUGAUCCUAUAUACCCUUGUGUUUUUAUAAAGAAAUCAAAUUUUGGAUUCACAAUCGUACUAGUGUAUGUCGAUGACAUGAACUUAAUUGAAACUCUUGACAAUCAUGUAUGAAGGACAAUGCAGCGUGUAUAGCUCAAAUUAAAGAAGAGUUUAUCAAGGGUGACAGAACCAAACAUAUAUCACCAAAGUUCUUCUACACACAUGAACUUCAGAAAAGUUAAGAGAUUGAAGUCGAACAAAUUCAUUCCCUAGAUAACCUGAUAGACCUCUUUACUAAAGCUCUCCGAAGUCUAUAUUUCAGAAGUUGGUGUAUGGUAUCUGGAUGCGACGACUUUACAAGCAAUUAGACUGUUAAAGAUCAGGGGGAGAUAUCAAUUAAGGAAGCAUCUCAGUUUUACUACAUCGGAUGUAUGUGCAAUGCACUCUUUUUUCCUUUGAUCAGGUUUUUAUCCCAUGUGGCUUUUCCUAACAAGGUUUUUAACUAGCCAACAUUAGCACGUCCAAUAUGAUGUCAAUGAUCUAGACCAAGGUGGUACUCUUUUUUCUUCGCUAAGGUUUUGUCCCACUGGGUUUUCUUAGCAAAGAUUUUAACGAGGCAACUAUAUCAUUGUAUGGCGGACAUCUAAGAGAGAAUGUUAUAAAUCCAUAGGUUAUAAAUACCCACCAUAAUAGCCACAAUUACCCUAUCAUAAUACCCUUAAUUAUAUUAUAUACUAGUAAACCUACCAAUUAUGAGUGGUAAAUAAUUUAGGACUCUCUACCUCUAUAAAUAAUAGCACAAAAUAUGAAUGGAAUACAAGUUGGUUUGAGCAAAUUAUAUUUUCUUUCUCUUCCUCUUAUUUCUCCUUACAAAUUCUCUUUCAACAAUAAUGAAGAUUUUGAGUUUUCACACUUUGAUUGGUAAGAGCAUAUAUGUGAGAGAAUUGUUUUUUGUUUUCUGUAGUUCCAAAUCAUUCUUCGUGAUCUUUUGCUUAAAAAAAAAAAUAAAGUAAAAAUAAAUGAAUGUUAAAUAAGAAUAAAGUUUCAUUUUCAUUACCCAAAGGUCAUGUUUGGUGGCAAGGUUUAGAUUGGAUUGGAUAACUCACACGAUCUAAGGUAUGUUCAUGAAGUAAGAAAUGAAGGUAGAGUUGAAGAAUUUUCCACUUGUGCUGAUUCAAAUAAAUAAGUUAUAAGUGUAUUGAUAUAUUGAUAUCCCAUUUUAUGAGGGUUGAAAUUGAUAAGUCUUUGUCAUGACUAAUCUAUCUUUCAUCUCAAACUUGGACAAAAUUUGGAAGUUAAAUAGAAGGAUAGAGUUAGCAAAUUUGAAGUCUCAGCAAAAUUUUGUCAAAACUCUAUCAAUUGGAUUUUGUCAAAACUCAGAUAGCGUCUCUUAAAUUCUACAAGACUCUUUAGAAUUUUCUCAAAACUCUAUCAUUGAAUUUUAAAAUUCUGAAAAAAUCUAUCUUUUUAACUAUGUGAAGUUUGUGAAAGGCACAGUAAAAAUCCAUAAACUCUAGUCUCUCACUUAGAAUACUCAAAACUCUGUGAAUUUCCAUUUUGCAAAGUGACAGUUUAAGAAUCAAAUUUCGCUAAAAAGUCAUUUCACCCCUCAAAAAAAAAAUACAAGGCUUUGCAAUCAUGAUAACAUGGCACCUAUAAAAUCAGACAAAACGCUACCAUCUGCAAAGGAUUAGAUUUUUGUCUCUUCCUUUUUUUAACCUGUGAGCUAAAGUCUGCCCUUUCCUCCUUUUAGAAAUUGACUGAAGAGUUGUCAUUUUGUUAUGACUUGCCAGCAAGAGAAAAAUGGUUUAUUGGUCGCUUAAUUAUCAGUGAAUGCUGAAAAAAUUAGCGACUUAAGUGCUUAUUUAUUAUUAUUAUUAUUAUUGUUUUGCAAUGAAUUUUAGUUUUUAUUCUAAUUUAUAGCAACAAGACAACUCGCUCACAAAUUGAUUGCAAAUCCUAAUUCAACCACUCCCUUCAAGUAAUAACAUAAUUUAUUUCUCAUACAUGCAUGUUUUCUCUUAGGUUAAAUACCUUUUUGAUUAUUGAGUUUCACACAAAAUUUCAAUUUGAUCAAUGUGAAAAGAAUUUAGUCAAAUUGAUCAGUAUUUCCAAAAGUUGAUAAUUUGGUUAAAUACCCUUUUUAUUCUUCUAAAUACUUACUGUUAGUUUAUGUUAAGUGAAUGUGUUCAACACCUUUCUGAUUAUUGAAUUUUACACGAAAUUUUAAUUUAGUUAUUGAUAAAUAAAUAAAUAAAUAUAUAUAUAUAUAUAUAUAUAUAUUAGCCAAAAGCCAUACAAAUGGUAUGCUCUUGCAACUUUGUUUUGAAGUUAUUUUUUUUCAUCAAAUCCAUAUACUGACUUUGUUUUCAUAAUGGUUGGGAUUAUGAUUUGAGCUCUUUUAAAGACAUGGAUUUGCCUUUUGUGAAACAAUUGUUGAGAUAUGAACUUAUUUUGGGACGUUAUAAUUUCUUUUGUUAAUCUCUUUGCUAUUGUAACAAAAAAAAAAUUACGGUGGGUAACCUUCGAACAGCUCAAUACUAACCUUCGAACUUCGCCAUUCACUCUGUCUCCACUCCAACAGUCCACUCCAACUAGUUAGGAAAUACAAAUAAAACUUGCACUUAAUGGAAGAUAAUAGAAUGCCUAUAAAUUGUAAACUUUAGAAAACACAGUGACCAACGAAAAAAAUUUCUCAGUGACCAAAAAAGUAUAUAACCCUUCUUUUAUUAAGAAAAUUUCAAAAUUGAACUCUUCGAUUUUAUCACUUUUUUUCUUUUUUCUUUUUUUGGUAGGGCAGCCAGUUAAGACAAUUUAUUUUCCACAGUUGCAGCUAGAAGGGAGCCUUCACCCCUUGCGCUAGGGCAACAUUGAGUUUGUCUUUCAAAUGAUUAAAUAUUGUAGGGUACAUGAUAUUACUAAUCCUUUAAUUGGAACAUAGAAAAUUGAUGAUCUGGCUGAUAAAACUGUGUGACCAUGAUAUUGCUACAUCAUGUUAUUAAUCCAAGUGUUAUAACAUGGGUGAACAACAAAUUUAUAUUUAGGGUUAUUGGUAAUAAUCUAUGAAAAAACUAAAUAUACACGUAUUAUAUCAUAAGUAUAUUGGCAACACCACGUGACUGGGUUAUGGUUACACUGAAAAAUUUAUUGAUUCAGAUCAUCGAACUAUAAUGCAAACCGGAUAUGAAUAAGUUAAUAAGUGUAUUGAUGUUUAUAUCGAUCCUAUUAUUUUAUGGGGGUUGAAAUUGAUAAGACUUCGUCAUGACUAAUCUAUCUUCUAUCUCAAACUUGGACAAAAUGUGGAAGUUAAAUAAAAGGAUAGAGUUAGCAAAUUUGAAGUCUCAGAUGGAGUCUUUUAAAUUCUACAAGAUUCACUGCCCCAUAAAAAAAAAAAAACAAACAAGAAACAAAAAAAAAAAAAAAGUGGUAACUGUCACCAUUAUUUGAUGAUAUUUAGUGACUAAUAUGUGGGUGACUAAACAACUCUGUGAAAUUCCAAUGGUUGCAUAGUUCCCACUUAAAUUUUAAUUUGGAAUCAACUUUCGCUAAAAAGUCAUUUCCCAAAAAAUAAAAUUGGCUUUGCAAUCAUGAUAACAUGCCACCUAUAAAAAUCAGACAAAACGCUACCAUCUGCAAAGGAUUAGAUCUUGUCUCUUCUUUUUGUUUAUCUGCGAACUAAAGUCUCCCCUUUCCUCCUUUUAGAAAAUGAUUGAAGAGUUGUCAUUUUGUUAUGACUUGCCAAAUGAGAAAAAUGGUUUAUUAUUAUUAUCAGUGAAUUCUAAAAAAAAUGAGUGAUUUAAGUGCUUAUUUAUUAUGAUUAUUGCUGUUGUUAUUAUUAUUUUUAUCAUUGUUUUGCAAUGAAUUUUAGUUGUUAUUCUAAUUUAUAGCAAUAAGACAACUCGCUUCAAAUUGGUUGCAAAAGCUAAUUCAACCACACCCUUCAAGAAAUAACAUUAUUUAUUUCUCAUGCAUGCAUGUUUUCUUUUAGGGUUAAAUACCUUUUUUAGUAUUUGAUUUUACACAAAUUUCAAUUUGCUCACUAAAAUUAUUAUUUUUUGCCAAAUUUAUCAAUGUAUUACCCAAAGUUUACCCUUUCUAGACUUGCUAUUAGUUUAUGUUAAGUGAUUGUGUUUAAAUACUAUUUUGGUCAUUGAGUUUUGCACGAAAUUACAAUUUGGUCAUUGAUAAAAAUAAAAAUAAAUAUGCUCUUGCAACUUUGUUUUGAACUUAUUUUUUUUCAUCAAAUCCAUGUACUGAAAUAGUUAUGGAUUUGAUUUUUGUGAAUAUGUAAUGGUUGGGAUUAAGAUUGGAAGAGAUGGAUUUGCCUUUUGUUGAGAUAUGAACUUAUUUUGAGACGAUAUGUUUUCUUUUUUUAAUAAUCUCUUUGUUGCUAUUGUUCUGUUUGAGGGAGAUUGUUAAACUUUCAUUAACAUGAAUUAGUUAAAUCAUAUUUUUAGCCUUAAGUAAUGCUACAACUACGAUUAAUUUUUAGCCUACAGUCAGCCUAUGCAAGAGCCUAUCAUUUGCAUGGUUUUUGGCUAAUUUUUUUUUUUUCUCAUUGAUCAAAUUAAAAUUUUAUGUAAAACUUAAUGAUUAAAAGGGUAUUUAACACAAUCACUUGAUGAAAAUUAAUGGCAUGUCUAUAAAUUAUAAAUUAUGGGUAAUAUAGUGAUCAAUUUGACCAAAUUUUUUUCUCAGUGACCAAAAAAGUAUUUAACCCUUUAUUUUAUAGAGAAAAUUUCAAAAUUGAACUCUGCAAUUUUAUCACUUUUUUUUUUGGGUUGGGCAUCCAGUUAAGACAAUUAAUAUUCCACAGUUGUAGCUAUAAGGGAGCUUUCACCCCCAGCGCUAGGGCGACAUUGAGUUUGUCUUUCAAAUGAUUAAAUAUUGUAGGGUACAUGAUAUUACUGAUCCUUAACUGAGACAUAGAAAAUUGAUGAUCUGGCUGAUAAAACUGUGCUACCAUAACAUUGCUACAUAAUGUUAUUAAUCCAAGUGUUAUAACAUGGUGAAUAACAAAUUUAUCUUUAGAGUUAGUGGUAAUAAUCUAUCAAAAAACUAAACAUACAUGUGUUAUAACAUAAGUAGAUUGAUAACACCACGCGACGGAGUUACGGUUACACUGAAAAAUUUAUUGAUUCAGAUCAUCAACCUAUAAUGCAAACCGAAUCUGACACUGUGCACAAUGAAAGUGACAUGAAACUUGGACUCAUUUUUAUCUUAAAUACAGAUAGAGAGACUCUAAUAAUGCAAUUUUAGUAGCCCACAUUGUAUAGUGAAAGAAAGAAUAGUCAUAUAUUGAUGAUAGAGGGGACCUUUAUCCCCAUUUUUCUCUUGAGGUAGUGGAAGCCCCACAUGAUCGUUCUGUAGAUCUUUGUCCCCCUCCAUCUUUCUCUAUUCAAACUGUUCAAUAUCGUAUUCCACUUUACUUCGUUGCUAGCUAAGCCACAUUGCUAAGUAAUUAUCACACUCCAAAUUUGAAUUUUCUUUCAUUUCUGAUUUCUGGUGUGUUCUCUAGUUGAAAUGUAGUGGUUAGCAUAUUCUUUUCUAAUAUUGUCUCCAACAGUUGUUGACACCCUUUAUUUGGUCGUAAUAUUAAUAAGAUUUAUCCUAUAAUUUGCUCCCCACAUCCAAUGAAAAAUCUUUGAUUAAAAGUUCUUAGAAUUAGGUACAUAUCUCCAUCAUUCAAAACAUUUCUUUCAAAAUGCCGAGGGAUUGAAAAGAAUGUUUCGUAUUAGGCUUGUAUUAGACUUCUUUUGAUAGGCAUUAUUGUUGCAGGAGAAAAUGAGAUCCCUUGCUAUUUAUGCAUUAUUGCAGGAAAAAAUUCCAACUAAACAUUAAUUUCAAUAAAUAAAAAAAUGGUAAAGGAUUAAGGAUAUACAACUAUAUCGUCUAUAUGUAAUUAUUAAAAUUAAGAAUUAAAAGGAAAAUAAAGUAAUCUUUAUAUACUAAGGGAGAAGCUCAAAAUAGCGAUACAUUCAAAAACUCAAGAAGUAUUCUUAGUAAACUUAAAAGUUAAAAGGAAAAAUAAUCUAAUCUAAAGCGCAAAAUAAUAAAUAACACAUUAGUAUUCAUUAAUAUUCUUAUGCAAGUAAUAAAAAUCUAAUUGGCACACACGUGAGCGUGUGUUAACAUGCUAAUAAAGUUAUAUAAAACAUGUGUACGUAAGUGUGCGAAAGGACUUUUACAUGACAAUUCAUUCACGGAAAAUAUUUAUAAAUCUUAGUGUUAGGUUGGGUGAAAGAUGAAGUAUAUGCUACAUAUGCAUGCAUGCUUUCUUUAGCUUAGAACUGUCUGUUCUAAGAUGGGAUUAAUUAAUGAGAGCAACAAUAUAUAUAAGUGGCAUGAUGGGAUGAAACCCUAGCUUGAAGUGACCUCAAUGUCGAAGCCAAUGCCAAUGUGGUGUCUAGUCAUCAAGGUACAGGAUUGUCCAGUUGUGACCACAGGUGGGCCAUGGAGGUGGGCCCCAAAGGGGCAGUCAAGUAUAUCACAAUGUGUUCAAUUUAAUGGGGCUAUAAUUCUUCGAACUCAAUAAUGCUAUGCAACCUUUUUAUUUUUGGCAAGUUUAUGUACGUUUGUCUCCAGCCCACGGUUUUGCUCUGUCUGGACUUUCAAGCACCGGAUAUGAUUCGAAUCCGACUGACACUAUCUUGGGGUCCCCUGUGUGUGAAUGAUGUGAGCUUGGAAUCAAUCAGAAUGGUUUUUGUUGUACUAUAGCAAGUCAUCCACAGUAUAGGUUCAUGAUUUGAACUGUCAAUUUAAAAAGCUUAAAAAAAAAAUUAAUAAUUUACCAGAAACUUUCAUACAUGAUAUCAUUUGUAUCAUGUGGAGAAUGAAGUUACUGCAUGAGAAAAUAGAAACUGCACUCGGAAUUAUAAAAUACUAGGAGGCAUUAAACAAAAUAAAAGUUCGGGCGAAAAUAUGGUAUGCGACAGGAAAUUAUUAGAUGGUACGGAUAUACCGCGUGCAUUACAGGUGCCUCAUAGAGAAGAAGUUUGCCUAGGUAGGAAUGGUUGGAUUUUGGCCAUUAUUUAGGAGGGUUCCUAUUACAUUUUGAUAAGAAGUAAGGUAUGAUAUGCAUAUGUGUGUGGGUAGUAUGUCCGUCCUUUGCAUUGAAUUCGAAUUCUUUUCUUUCUAGAAUCUCGCUUUAGUGAAAAAGACAAAAAAAGUCGUAAUAUUUUGGCCCACCUAACCCUAGAUGGCUCAAUGGGAAUGAGUUGAUCAAGGGAAGUCAGAAAUAGAGAUAAACUCAUAGACCGACCAUCAAAGUUUCUUUCCAUCUUUUGUGUUGUCAAAGUUAUAUCACGUGAAUGAUCGUUGUAGUUUGUUUCUUGUAGAUUAGCCCCAAGAAUGUUAUGUUAUGUAACAAUUAUAAUAUCAAUUAUGUGCCCUUGGACUGGGAGAACCAGUUUCUAGACUACUGAGAUAAGUUUCCGUUUCAACUUAUCACAUUUUGGGUUGAUCCUGCUGCUACUGCUACCUACAGAUCUCGAGAGCCUAUGAAUAGAUCUCUAGAGGCUAGCUUGAAAUCUUGACUACAUUGUUGUGACUUGUGAGUCUGAAAUUUGGAUACAUUUAAGUUGAGAGUCUAUUUCAAAGCUAGAGCAUAGUGCGUUUGAUCCUUCAACUGUAGCCUUUUUCAUCUCUUUCGAGGAACGAAUUCGAAUUAGGUUGGCCCCAAUCCAAAGUCAAAUACAUGGAUUAUCGAAUUUGAAAAUAUCCUCAAAUUGAAAUGCAAAAGAAUGGCAUCCAAAGAUGUCACAUAGGCAAUUAACGAGAAUUUUACGAAAAUCCUAAUGCUGGAACCACAAAACAUUUAAUUGUUAAAAUUGAGUGCAUGGACAAGCAUAAUGAGUACAACUGCAAGGUGCCGCCAUGAUUAAAGUGAUGAUGGGUUGAGCCGGGUCAAACUCCGACUGAGUUGGGUUGAAUCUCUUGUCAUGACAAAGCAAGUUCGUCUAGGCUAGACUUUGCUAGAUCUUCAAACAAAGUACAUCAAUUUUGAUCUUUAGAUAGAAAACUGCAUAGUUUACUUUGGUCAGAAAGAGAACUGAGAAAUAUCUUUAUAAAUUAAUUCUGUUGCAUUGUGACAUUCUUGAACUAAUUAUUCAACAUCCCUAUAAUCCUACUCCCCUGUGAAAUCAAGCGAAUUAGAAAGUAAAUAAAUGUUCUAUAAAUUAAAAUUACACACAACUCAUCAUCCCCAAGGAUCAGAACACUUUGGUUCCCCAACUAUAGAGCAAUUUCAUAACUGUGGCGCUAUUUUCGGUUUUAUUCACGGCCAAAUGAUCACUCCUGGUUUACUGAUCUUUGGAUGUGCUGUUUCUACUGCCGGCAACCCAGUACUGUUUAACGACAACCAAUAUCUUCUCCGGCACAAGGGGGCCAUCCUCAUGAUCCAUAAUUUUGGCAUCCCAUCUCAUGCCCCCGACUAUCUUCCUAACCUUGUUCAGGACAUCAACUUCAUCCCUGAAGAUGACGGCACCUUCAGGCCGCAACAUGCGGUCCAUCUCCAGAAGGAUGUCUUCCAGGUUGCACCUGCUUAAUCCAUUCAAAUAAUCAAUCAGCACUCCGGAGGUUGUUAAACGUUUCAUGUAACAAUGUUGAACCUUAUACGGAAACUGCAGCUAAUCAAAAUUAGUUGUUCCAUUAGAAUCAUGCAGAAUAUCAUGACUUGAAAUUUUUUUUAGUGGAAAAAUAAUAGUGACUUUGUUAUGAUAACAAUAGAGAUAGAAUUAUGCAUGAACAAAACCUUUAGUAAUACAGGAAGCUCAGUCUUUUCGUAUAAUUAUUAUGUUAAUUUCCACUUUAUCCCUAAAAAUCCACCACUAUUUAAUCGGCCCUAGAGAAAACAAUUGUUACAUAAGAGUUUUUGGGUUUAGUGAAUCAAAUAUUCUUACAUCUUGCUGUUAGCCGGCUAAAAGUAAAAUUGCAUACAUUUAUAUGAAUUAAGUCUUAAAUAUGAAGGUUCAUGGCAAAAUAUUGUAUCACGUGAUUUGAUUGCUAUAUCAUAGAUCCAAACACUAAGCAUGAUUUAUGGUACACAGGUACACAGGAAGAUGAUGAGGCUUACUCGUUCUUGUACAAGCUGAACACCCCACUAGCAUGAAUAAGGUCAUACGACCUUGGGUACGUGGAGAAGCCUUCACACCUGAAAGAAGAUUUACCUUUUUGGUUAUGACAUGGAAUUAGUAACUACCAAGCAUCCUACUUAGAUCUUACUAUUGUAAAUCUUAAUUGAGAAGAAACUGACAGUCUUUGCUUUGCAGGAAAACAAACCCCUUUUAAUCUAUUUUUCCUUUUGUAAACAUUUAAAUUCCAAUCUUGUUCCAGAUGUUGAAGACGGAAAAGCCAAGUUAAAAAAUAAUAAUAAAAAAUCAUCAAAAAACAUAAAGGUUAACAAGCCCUGGAGGAAACUGAUACACUUCCAACAAGGCAAAUUUGUGUGUGUGAGAGAGAGAGAGGGGCAUACCAGUCAUGAUAAAUGCCAAUGAGACCUCUCUCAUAAAUAACACCUAAAGUGUUCUUUGCAAUUGUAGGCACAACAUUCAUAACCCAAGAUUUUCGUGAUUCAAGGGCUGCUGCAAAUCCUCCAAGGCCUGCAUUCAUAUCCAUGACAUUCCGAUAUCUGGUAGUGCCAAUCAAGUUGUUGAUUCUUUUGUAAGUAUUUACAUGCUUUUUCCAAAGUUUAUUAUCCUCUUGGUAAGAUUCAGUAGUAACUCCGUCAACUAAACCAUUAGCUAUUCGAGGAGGGACUGCAUAAAGCCUCGCAGGAAACUUCAACGCCCCCACUGCUACUUCAUUUGCAUUGGUUACCUCAGGAGAGGGGGUUACGCAUGUGUCCAUUUUCUUGUACCUGAAACAUACCAAAUAAAACUAAGAAUUAUGAUUGCUGUAACAAUCUAACUCUAGAACUGGAAUACAUCCUUUCAAAAAUGCCCUUAUCAGAAUUGCAUAGGACAUGCAUGUAUCGAGAAAACAAGAAGAAAAAAGGACGGCCAAAUGAACUUGAGCAAGCGAGAUAGAAAUAGACUGAAACUUCAUCACUGAUCUAAGGGAACCCGCCUUGUAUAAUUGCAACACUUGUAGGAAAUGAAGCUAAUCUUUGCAAUUACUAGAAUCAUAGAAUGACAAAGGGGGAAAAAUAACAUAAAAGCGAAGUAGAAAAGAGAAAAUGUUCACUCUAAUAAAUGGAAUCUAAAUUUAUACAAUCAUUCUGCUUAUAUCAAUGCAUUUAAGGUAAUUCUGAACUAGGGGACCAACUCAAACAAUAAAAACCCGUCCAACUUCUACUGUCGAGAGAUUUAUAUCUUCUAAGACUCCACAGCAUUGACUAACAUAAAAUUCAUAAGCACAACAUUUUCUUCUAACCAAAGUGUGUGCAAGAACACAAUGGGAGGUAGGGGCUUAAUUACCUUGUCUUCCCAAAUAAAACAGAAUUAUUGUCUAGAACAACAUAAUAACUACAGAAGGACAGGGCACAAGAAAAUUCCAGUCUACAAAUAUAAAGUAACGAGUGAUGCAAGAGGUACAAAGACAUUAACUGAAAAACUUUUCACAAACUGGAGGCAUGCAACCAGCACAUCACGUUUACAGAGGGGCGGGAAUGUGGAAUAUGCACAACAUGCCAAUUCGACUACCAUGUCUGUCUGUAAAAACUAUGUUAUAUUUAACAAUUUCCUAGAUAAGUGGACUGGUUUGCUGGUUGAAACCAAAGUCAGUAACCAAUGCACUACUUUUUUUCUCUUUGAUUACUUCUUGUUUUGAGAAAUAUUGACAGGGAAAUCCAGCAACAGCUACUUCAUAUUAUAUAAUUUGAGGUUUUCAAAAAGGGUUUCCUUGCAUUAUCCUGUGACCUGUCACCUGCUGCAAAGUCCUGCGCCUCUUUCCCCUAACUGGGUAUGUCUCACUUCCGGAAAAAUCUACCAAACCUCAAGUCAGAGGCAGGGAGACUUUAUCCACAACCAUGAGAUUAUCUUUAAACAUGAUUAGUGAAUAUUUAAGAACAAUAAACAAGGCUCCUCAGCACAGUUCCUGGAACUCACCAGACAUCAUCAGCAUCCUCUGUCUGGCAUACAUUGACAGACUUGCUUUUGCAGGAUUUUGUAUUAACUUUUUUCUUCCAAAUAGCCAUAUCUCCUUUUUCAUACUUUUUCUCCCAGCAAAGACUUUCAGCUAGUGCUUCAAUCUGUCUUUGCUCUGUCUGGACAUCCUCCUUAGACCGCUUCCACGUUUUGUAGUAUGUCUUCCAAUUAAUUGGAGGUCCAGACAAGAUCCAAUAUCCACCAGGUCUAAGGACCCGAUCAACUUCUUUUAGGUACAUCCCAUCUACACACAGCCGUUCAGCAUGUGAAUCAUUUAACUUCCAGCACUUACAGAGAUAUUCAGUAAAUAAACUAUUCUUGAAUGUCGAAACAUGGAAAACAAAGUUAAAAGAUGGGACUACAAUCAGAAGCCCUCUUUUAUAUGGAAGUCAACAGAUGAGGAUGGAUUGAGGAAGUCAAUAUCAACCAAAAGAAAACUUGGGAAAAUAAAAUUUUAGCAGGGUUGGUAACUAAAUUAAUGGCCAGAUAUGUAAGACUUGCAGACAAUUUAUCACCCUUGUAAGACUUAUUUACACUUUUUGGCAUAAAACCUCAUAGAAAACAUGAAGUUACAUAGAAAAAUAGUCUUCAAAAUGAAAGUGUGAAAAUCAGUAAUCAUUUAUACCAAUGGAAAUCAAGUAUAAAUGUUUACCAAACGACUCUAAGCUUAUUUCAGUGGUCAACCUUGAGAGUCGAGGCAAGAUUGUGACAAUUAAUUUGACCAUAUGACCUGAGUAUGGAAAUAGAUAUAGAUAUGUUUUUCUACUAUCUGUAUUCAACUCUAAUUUAAAAUAUAUAUAUAUAUAUAUAUAUAAUACAGAAACUAAGGAAAUCAAAUGUGAUUACUCAAGCUUAAUGCUGGUUACAUCGAGAUCUUACCAUUUGCAGUCCAUGGAAUUAAACACCGAGAGCACUGAGCCAUAUCAAAGGCCCUAGAUGGGUAUGGAAGAUGAAUUGAUCCAAGCACACCGAUAACAGCAGGUACACCUCGCUCCAAUGCAAACUGCACUUGUGCUUCAUGAUUAUCCCGUGGUGCAAAGGACAUGGCUAAUACAUUUCUCUUUAGCAAGUAUGCACCCCAACUUGCAACCUGUAUCAUGGUUGGUCUCAUUAGUAAAGAACCACAUAUGAACAAAAGAACUGUGUGUGAACAUGUAUACUAGGAUAGCUCACUGCUCACAUACAUACAUGAUUUAGCUACAUAUAUAUAACACAGUAUCAUUGAAUGUGCAUUUGCAUUCACUACAUGCACAAGCAAAUCUACCUAACAUUCUCUGGAGACUGAAAACCCAUUGUUGUACUCAUAGUCUUGGAUUGACUAAAGGAAGUUAAGUCGCUCAAAUUAAAUGCAGAUGACAGAAUGGCAAUGUGAAGCAAUGAAUGUACACAUGCAAAUGCAAAAAUAAGAGCACAAGCAUAGUUAAGAAAACCAACAUACACCACAACCAGUAUCCAAUGCUGUCCUGACAGAGCCAUCUGAAAUCGGAAUAAUUGAUGCAAGUUCGUCAAUAUAUGCACCAGCGCCUUGGGGGAACAUUGUUCCUCCACCUGGAAAUUUGAAAACUUUUCCCUGAAACUGCACCCAGUUCUGAACAGCUUUCUCAACUGUCAGGCUUUUAUAAGGGACGUUGGCAUAGUGGACAUAGUCACGGCCUUUAGGCCAGGGGAAAGGAGUCAUAUAUCCUUUCCGUGCUGGAAUAAGACAAUGCAAUUUUUCCUCUUCUGGUGGACAAUGCCUUUCCCUGUAUAUCAUAUUUUCCCUGGGGAAUUUCAUUGCUCGGUCUUGCUCUUGACAAGGAGUAUAAUCAGCAUACUUAACAUCACAAGGCUUGAACACUUUGGCUUUAGGUUCAGAGGGUUCAACUAUCUCCUCCAUAUUGUGAUGUGUUUCAAAGUUCAAAUUAGUAAAGACAUUGCUGCAAUCUGUCUGCUUGGUUACUGGAAAUGCUAUGCUAUCUCUUUUUCCAAAACCACUCUUUUCCCAUGCUCCAAGAAGGUAGAAGAAACAACACAGAGCAAUAACAACGAAUAUAGAUAUCGUGCUUCUUGUUCUGUUUCCUGGAGAAUUAUGCUUAGAUUUCAUGAUAUUGUUGCAAUUAACUCCCUCAACCCUGCACUAAUAAUAGAAAACUUAGAGUCGAUUAUUUGAAGUAAAUGGUCAAUAGUUGAGAACUGACAGAACAAGUAUGCUUAAAGAAAAAAAAAAAUCAUUAGCACAUUGCAGUCUGUUAUAAAUAAAUAACAUAUCUCAACAACUUGAUUAAUUGUUCCAAAGUGUGGUUAAUUUCUCCUAGCCAAAUUUGCAGUCUGAUAUACAUCAGACUUUUAAUCAGCUCAACUUUUGGUAAAAUACCUACCUACAGAGGAUUUUGCAUUCAUUCUACUUUCAACCAACGUUGAAAACACAAAUUCGCCCUCCGUUUGGAUGAGGGAAAAUAACUUGGAAUUUAGCUAAAAGUUGGGAAUUUAAGAGGAGAAAUUGACAAUUCCCUUGUUUGGCAACUUAAGUGCGGAAUUUAUUAAAUGACGUGCGGAAAAAAUCGUGGAAAUUGGGGCAUCAAAUUCCCAAGUUUAAUUUCCGCCAAAAUAGGUGUCAUUUCACAAUUUCCAUAGUGUCAUUUACAAAAUUCGACAUACAUAAAUCCAAACACUGAAAUCUUCAAUUGCCAGAAAUUAAAGUUAUAGAAAUCUAAAUUCCAUAAUUUUAUAAUUCUAUGUCAUUUUCAAUUCCUUCAUCCAAAUAGAGGGAAAAUACCAUCAGAUCUGUAUCGAGAAGUAACUAAUUGACACAAAAUUUCCUGGAAGAUAAUAAAAUAAAUCCAGAUGGCAUCACCGUUUCAAGAUUGAGACAUGAGAAACAUGACGGAUUCCGGAUACGGUAAGUUUCUAGAGGCUAUGAACUACGCAUACAUUUAUGAUUAUGGACUUUAUGAAAUAAGCAGCAACUAGAUUUGUUGAAGAGAGAGUGAGUUUGCAAUCACAGCAGGAUUAAAUGAACUAAUGAAGGAGUGGAUUAAAUUAAACUUAGAGACUUUCUGGUAUAUCUAUUGUCCUUGCUAUUCCAAAAUAUGGGAUUGCAUUAAAUUAAGGAUUUACAUCACCAGUAGGCAAACGUUACAUUUUUACUAAUCUGUAGCUCUUCUCAUUUUCUUUCUCAGUUGGGGAUCAAGAAUUACCACCUCCAGUCCAAAAUAGAAAGUUAUCAAUCAUCCAUUGCCUUAAAUCAAGCUGCCCUCUUGGAUACUAAAAUGUUCAAUCCCUUGAUCUGAAGCCAAGAUGUACAAACAAUGAAAUUUAUAACUAAAUCUUAAACCUUUUAAGCCAAAAACAAAAACAAGAUCACACUCUUUGUCCACACAGCCCAUAAAAGAAAAGGCAAGUGCAAGCACAGAUCUUGUGCUAUUAUACAGUGGGAAGAAAACAAAAAACCAAAAAAUGACAUUAAAAUGAAGCAAAGAAGAACAAUGCAUAAAGAGAAAAUAGUAAGAGGUGAAAACCGGGAUCAAAUAGCUAACCUGAAAAUGGGAGAGAAUGGUGUGAAAGCUUUAGAGAGAUGAGCCCUCCAGUGGGUAUAUGGUAUUUGAAGUUCUCUCUCCCUCCACUCCCCCGACAGUGCUAGUUACUAGUGAGAGAAUAUGCGAAGCAGAGAGAGAGAGAGAGAGAGACUGAAAUCACACUGAGUGAGUGAGUGGGAGAGAAUUUAUGUAGAGCAGAGUGAGAGAGUAUAUAGGAAGAGAGUGAGAGGUGGUGGAGGCAAUUUAGAAAUUUGAUGACUUUGGUCUUCAACUCUGCUUUGGAAACUCACUUGGUUGAACUUGAGUUAUCCGCCGACAGAGCAAUUAUGCCCUACCCUCUGGAGCAUGCAAUGAGCUGUAGCCCUUCCGAGGACAAUUCUAAUCCCAAAAUAAAACUACAUAAAAGAGGUAUCUAUGCCAUGCGACUCGUAGUCAGGGUGGAACUAAAAACUUUCAUACGGAUGAGCUAUAAAUGUUUCUUUUUCGGUUUAAGUAGAUGCAAGGGUUGGAAUGAGGUGAGUUAAUUUUCACUAAAUAUACUAAUUUUUUUUAAAAGUGACACUAAUGUUUAUUAAUUUGUAAUUGGAUUAUGAGGAAUUGAAUUGAGGAGGUGUUGGAUUGAGGAGAAUUAGAUUCCAGAUUCCUAAUGAAGUUGUUUAUUAAAUAUAUGGAUUUAAGGAAAUUAGAUUCCGGAUUCCUAUUGAAGUUGUUUACUAAACCAUAUGGAAUUAGGGUAGGAGUGGUACUAAUUACUAAAAUAUCCUCGUUGUUGGGUUAAAAUAGUUGGCAUAUUUGGAAUUUCAAAAAUUGUGCAAGGAUAUAAUAAGUAAAAAAGAUGAAUUCAUAAUGGGUUAAUUCUCUAAGAAUUAUAACACUGGAUCCCACCAGAGAAUGAAUUCCUCCAAAAUCAGGAAUUCAAUUCCUAAUUUGUGUGGGUCCCAUUUACUUUUCAAUUCUUUUUUUUUUGGUCGAAAUCUGAUGUCAUUGAACAAGCCAAACGGGAAGGAGCAAUACAGAGACAAAAGCAGAGCGAUACAAACAGAGUUGGAUCAAGAAACAGCUAGAACUCAACGCAGCCUAGAACACAGCUUCUAACCCUAACAAAAUUGAACUAAUUAAUAGGGGGCAUGGGAGCCCAUUAGAGACGAGGACAUGCAUCAGCGAUAGAGGUGGUCGAUUGACCCAAAUUUCCAGUUUCACCGCUCUUGUACCUAUCGAUGUUGCGACGUGGGCAGCUCAAUUCCUUUUGCAGGGGAUCCAGUUCCAUUCGAUAUGGGGGAAGGCAUACGAGACCUUCCUAAUCUCCUGAAUGAGGGGAUAGAUUGUCCAGAUUCUAUUGCCAACAGCCCCUUUGAUCCUAUCACACAAAAUCUCAGAGUCAGUUUCAAAAAACACACGAUCACAUUUCAUUAGUUUUGCUAAUGCCAAAGCAUGGAGAGCAGCCAACGCCUCAGCCAUCAGCACUGAACUACUUCUUGUCGGAAAAGCCAUACCACCUCGCAAUAAGCCAUUUGAGCCUCUUGCUACAACUCCCAAGCCAGCCUUAUGGGAAGACCAAUCCCAUGCUGAAUCAAAAUUAACCUUAAUCCAGCCAUUUCUGGGAGGCAGCUAGAGACAAUCGUUAGUUUCGCCCACCACAAAGGCAGAUGGUCUGGUUGGUUGAAUAGAUGUAGAUAAGAAAUUUUCCGCCGCCUCCAUAUCACUUGAAAUGACCCUGUGUGGGUCUGGUUGGGUUCAUUCAAAGCAGAAUUUGCACCUCAUUUUCCAGAUCCAACAUGAAGAAGCAGAUGUGAGUAACAAGCCAAUCCCUUUCAACCAUCAAAGAGAACUCCCAUUGCAGAAGGUCUUUCAGCUAGUUAUCAAUUGUAGUAAUGCAUUGGGGAUCGACACGGUAAGAAAAAGGGGCUCCAAACCAAACUGGCAAGGUUCAAGGGCAUAUCAAAAGCAUAUGUUCAAUAGAUUCCUCAUGCAGGCAGCAAAAUGGGUAGGUGGGGUUGGGAGAGAUUUUUUGUCUAAAUAAAUUGAGCUUAGUGGGGAGGAUGUUUUCCACCAUUCUCCAGAUAAACAGUUUGAUCUUGGUGAUAGGACCCGCCCUGGAAUUCCUCGAAAACCAGGACGAAUCCCGUCUUGUUACCGACAUCACCCUAUGUCGGGCCUACUUACUAAAAAUUGAGACUUUCUACCAAAAAUUUGGCAAUCUCCCUUGUAAAUUGAGCAAUCCCAAAAAUUUCAACCUGCAUAAAUACAUAAUAUAAUCCCAACCAGCAGCAUGCAUUCAACAUUUAACAGUAUACACUAAAUGGCCUCCGGUCUCACAAGUAAAACCUAACAUGGGCAAUAACAGAGCAUUUAACGAAUUUAGUUUACCAGAACAACCAUUUGAGUAGAAGGAAAUUACUUGAAACCUAAUCUACUGACGUUCACGGUUCAGGGCCUCGAACACGGCUUGCAACUUUCCGAAACCCAUCAGAGCGACUACUGUUUGGGGGGCGCAAAACAGAAAACAUGUGAGUGGACAAAAACAAAGUUUGCAUUCAAAACAACAUAAUAACCCCACCGUGUAAAAAUAAUGAUCAAAACAUGCAGAUUCAAUAACUUUUAUUUAAUGAUCAAAAACAUCAUUCUCCGAAACCCUUUAAAACUAAACACUCUUUCCAUAAACUUUAUUCCCACAAUUAUACUUCUCUUACCAAACCACUGUAUAUACUUUAACCGACUUACCCUCACACACACACACACACACACACACACACACACACACAUAAGUAUAAUUAUAUAUCCAAAAAUAUACAUAAUAUUUAUCACACUACUUAGGUACCGGGAAACAAUCCAACCAGGGGAUUGUUUGGCUAGCCCGCAAGAUUUCCUGUUGCUAUCCUGCGUCUAGGGAUGAGCGGUCCAACCGGGGGACGAAACUCCAUAGCUCACACGCCGAAAAUUCCAACGCCACGUGUAGCUCCAAUACUAAGUCCUACGCGCACAAACUACAUCAUCGCCGGAAAUUCCAACGCCACGUGUGAUGAUUCCUAGCAAUUCACAUAAUCUUCCCAUACACUGGAAAUUCCAACGCCAUGUAUAGGAAGUGUCUCACACACCUGAAAUUCCAACGCCACGUGUGAGACUUAAUCAACACAUGUUCUUCCCACAUGUCGGAAAUUGCAGCGCCACGUGUGGGAAGCCUAGUAACUAGGGGAUGGUAUUUACAUAAUGUAAUCAUAUAACUUCAACCCAUCAUACUAAAUUCCCAGAUCCCCCAAAUUUCAACUUUUCCAAUCAAAAAUCACAUUCUCAAUUUAAUAUUACCAACAUCUCAACUUAUUAAUUUCUCAAACUUUAAUCCAAAAUAUCUAUAUGUAUAUAAAUAAAUCCAUUUUAUGCAUAACCUUCCAAUCAUAUAAAAUAAUGCAUAUUUAAAAUAAAUGUCCACUCACAAGCAGUCCCACGCUACCUGACCCUGAGAGAGUCCCGCCUGCUGCGUACGAGAGGCCAGAGCACCUAUUUCAAGAUACGAACCCUUAAUUAAUAUAAAAUCACUUCGAAAUGGAAUUCACAAAUUAAAUACUUAUUUUUCCAUGUUCCCGAUGCGUGUACGUAGAACGAGGUAUUCUAAGGUAUGACUACGGGUUUAGGAAACACGUCCUGCAGGUUUGGUCAGAAAUGGACAGUUAUCGCAAACCAUAAACUUCAAGUUAUUGAAUCGGAACAUCCGGGGGGCUCCGAUUCAUGAUCGACAAAUUCCUACACGAUUUUAGGAGUAUCUAGAUCAACAUAUUUUGAUUUGGAAACGAUAUAAUGGUUCAAACCUAUCGAACCCGGAUAACGCACAAUAGGCGUAACUCCGUUCGAUAGUCAAACGACAUUUGAAUUAAAAUCCGAGCACACCUACGCGCUCGUGACAACAUGAGGAUCACAUCAUGACAAAAAGUGGCUUCACCACCCUUGCCCACACGCACCGGCAGCGCGUGGGUGUGUAGAGAAAUUUUCUACGACGGAAAAACUCCACACUGCAAUCCACUCUUUCUACCCUAGCUGUAACACCCUAUUUGGAGUCACUUUUGCUCUUGAGCCUACCCCAAAAAGUGACCGGAAGUGGCCGAAAACGCGAUCCCAAAACUGGCAAAAUUUCAAAUAGAAAAUUAACUAACCUAGGCUCCAAAUUAAUGCUACCCAACCAUCAGCCUGAGCAUGGAAAAUAGUCGAAAAUCCAUACCCUACUCGACUAAAUUGGUGAGGAAUUGAGAGAGAACGAGCGGUUUGAAUAUUUGGAAAAUUCAGCUCGUUUUCUGCAAAUUCCAUUGGCCUGAGUGCACGGUGGAGGCGGCGACGGGGUAGAAAUGGACGGGGAAGGAGAGGCAAUCCUUUUGGGACCAGUGCCGGCGCAAAGGACGGCCAGAGGUGGCGGCGGUGGCCUCCAAAGCUAUCGAUGAACAGUAUGAGGGAAGGGGUUUGUCGUGUGAGGGAGGAAUCGGGGAGAGAGAGAGAGAGAGAGAGUGAGGAGAGAGAGAAGGAAUCUGAUUUUCAUUAAACUCUUUUUACAGUUUUGCCACUGAUGAUGUUUUGCUCGUAACUUCUUCGUUACAACUCCGAUUCAAGCCUACCGCAUGUCUGUAGACUCAUCUCAAUACAACUUACGUAACCAUACCACUUGUUGUCCCAAAAUUCUACUGGAUAAGAAAUGACCAAAUUAACCCUAAUCCGAGAGUAAAUUCGUAAUUUCAAUUAAAUAAUUUAAAUGUGGAAUUAAAUUUGGAGUCGGGGUGUUACAUUUGGGGAGAGUUUUAAGUUUCCAAAGCUCCUUCCAAACCACAUCAGCCACUCUAUGUGAUGAAUGGUCACUCCCACUAAUGUUUAUUUCCAUGCCAAUAUGAGCUCUGUGAUACGCCGAUCUUACACUAUAGAAUCCAUCAGGAGUCCAUGGCCAAAUUCUUCUGUCAGGACAGUCCGUGAUGCCAACAGGGACAUCAAUAAUCAAAAAAUAAAAUCCGGUCUUAUGCUUCCUUCUAGAGCAUCAAAAUUCCAGGUUCGGUAAGGAAGAUCAAGUAGUUGAUUAACCAUAACAGGGCCAAAGAGAGGAGGGCAGGGCAGAGGGGUAUAACCCUCUUGAGAAUGUGGAAUCGAGUUGUCUUCCCAAAUAUUUAUACUCCCUCUAUCCAUAACCAGCAUAGCCAUAUGUUGUUUAAGUAGAUCCCGACCAUCAAGAAAACUCGCCCAAAUCCAUGACGGUCUGUGGCUAAUUCCAGCUUGCAUAAAAUCCACAUUUGGGAAAUAAAGAGCUUUUAGGAUUUUUACCCAUAAAGCUUGGGGAUUCAUCAAAAUUCUCCAACAUUGCUUCCCCAGCAAAGCCACAUUGAAGCUAUUCAAGUCUCGGAAUCCUAAGCCUCCUUUCUCCUUACUAGCUCCCUAUAAUUUCCAAGCCUUCCAAUGCAUCUUAGAUCCUGACUAAGAGUUUCCCCGCCAAAAUUUAGCAAGGUCGUCGUUAAUAUCAUUGCAAAGACUCUUGGGGAAUUUGAAGCACAUCAUUGGGUACGUGGGCACUGCAGUUGCCACAGCCUUAAUGAGAACCUGUUUGCCAGCCAGAGAGAGAGAGAACUUGCUUUCCAUCCUCCGAUCUUCUUCUGCACCCUUUCACGAACAUAACUUAAAACACUUUUUUUUUACCUGCCCUAAUAGGUGGGAAGCCCAAGGUAGGUCCCGAGCUGAUUCACAUAAGGAAUUCCAAAGGCUUCGUAGACUCGUAGCUUUUCUUCAUGUGGUGUAUUUGCCCUAAAGACAAUACCUGAUUUCUCUAAAUUAAUUCGCUGCCCCGAGGCACCACAAUAUUUGUCAAGCGAGUACUUUAGCUUUCUGCAAUUUUCCUCAUCAACUCUAAUAAAAAAAAAUAGGGAAUCAUCUGCGAAAAAAAGGUGUGACAAAACAGGCCCCCUCAUGGAAAGUUUAAUUCCCUUUAAAUCUCCACAACUGAUACUCUUCGACAGACAAAGAGAUAGAACCUCGCAAAUAAUCAGAAAUAUGUAGGGGAUAAGGGAUCCCCUUGUUUAAGGCCACAGGAAGGUUUGAAAAACCUCCCUGGUUUACCAUUCAAGACAAUAGAGAAAGAGACCGUUAUAAUACAGCUCAUCACUAAUUUAACCCAAGUAUCAGAGAAGCUCAUUUUCUUCAUGACUGCUUUAAGAAAAUUCCAAUAGACUCUGUUGUAAGCUUUAUUAAUAUCAAUUUUCAGGCCUGCCUCAAACUUUUUGCCAGCAUUCUUCAAUUUUAAGUAGUGGAAAGCUUCUUGGGCAAUGAUAAUAUUGUUUUGAAUAUGUCGAUUCGCAACAAAAUUAUUUUGAUGUUCCGAAACAAAAUCAGGCAUAAACGUCUUUAAUAUGUUGGCUAGUAUCUUGGAGAGAAUUUUGUAAGAGUUGUUGCAAAGACUGAUUGGUCUAAACUGAGUAGUUGUUUUCGGGGCAGGAACCUUUGGUAUCAGGGCAAUAGAAGUCUCAUUCAAAAUCUUCAUCUGUGUCUUACCUCUAUCGAAUGCCUCAGCCGAGAGGGAGACAAUGUCCUGGACAAUGUUCCAAUACUCAUGAUAAAAUAAUCUAGAAAAACCAUCUGGCCCAGGGGCUUUGAGAGACCCGAGUUGGUGUGAGGCAAGGUAAAUCUCAUCAGGAGUGAAAGGUUUAGUUAACUCCAAAUCCAUAGCUUCAGUGACUGAUGGGUUGACAUACUCCAGAAUCUCCUGGAAAUCAGAGAGGCCAGUAGAUAGAAUAAGAUUAAACGAGUAAGAUUGAAAAACAUCACGAACCUCUCUUUCUCCUGUGAGCCAAUCUCCAAAUUCAUUUUUAAUCUUAGAACUCUAUUUCUUUGUCUCCGCUGGAUUGUGGUGAGGUGAAAAAAUCUGGUAUUGGCAUCCCCUUCUUUCAGCCACUGCACCCUAGACCGUUGUUUCCAAAAGAGCUCAUUUUUUUUCCAAAGUUGAUGCAAUUCUCCUUUUAUUUCUAUCUGCCUUCUUGAAGGAUCCCCCACCACAGCACACUUUUGGAUCAACUCCAAUUCCUCCAUCAAAGCAGAAAUUUUAUGUCUCUCAUUCACAUUUCCAUUCUUACACUAGUUUAUUAAGUUGCAUUUACAUCUUCUGAGUUUCCGAACCCAUUGCAUUGAUGAGGAAUGAGAAUUACCAGUGUUCCAACUAGCUUGAAUAAUUUCUCUGCAUUCAGGAUUAUUUUUCUAUUUUGCUUCAAACUUGAAAACCCUCCUUUUUUUAAGAUAACUCGGGCAACUAUCGAGAGUGAUAGGACAGUGGUCUGAGCCCAUCUUUGUGCAGUGAGUAACGCAGCUAUUUGGCUAAAGGACUAACCACUCUGGGUUGACUAGACCCCUAUCGAGACUCUCAGGAAGGAUGAUCAAGUCGUCACGAGUGCGUUCAUAGGUGAAACCCAGGCCCUUGAAGCCCAAAUAAAUUAGAUUAUUGCUUUCCAUAAAUUCACGAAGAAAUCUUCUUCUUCUGGGGUUCCAGCCAAUCCCCCGUUCAAUUUCGUGUCUCUAAAUUACCUCAUUUAAAUCACCAAUAAUCAACCAUGGUAGACCAUCAUUCCAAUUGAAAUUACUCAGACCAUUUCAAAAAUCUUUCUUUUCAUACCCGUAAGGUGUGCCAUACAUCCAAGUACAGCGACAUUGUAAUUGUUGACUUGCCACACCAACUUUUGCAUCGAUCCAAUGUUUACAAUAAUCCACAGUCUCCACAAUAACUUCUGGUUUCCACCACACAUAUAUGCCACCUGGUUAGCCCGUAGGAUUCACCACAAAACCCUUAUUAUAACCACACUGUUUCCUUAGCAUCAAAAUUCUAUGAUCACACUGAUUAGCUCCUUCAAAUAUAGACCUGUCAAGGGGUUCCCCAAACCUUGAUAGUUCCAAACUAGUUGUAUCAUGAUUUGUGUGUGGCUGAUUUAGGCCAGCCAUCAUAACCAUUGUUUUGAGUACCAUUCUCUUGCCUCAACUUCUUCAGUUUCUGUUCAGCCUUCACAAGUUCUUUAGAAGGACUAACGACAACUUCACAAAGGUUACUUUGUUCCUCUAUUGCACUUCCGCUUUUGUUGGCAUAAAUCGUCUUCACCUUGUUCCCCUUCGUGUUACGGCUCUUUGAGCAUCACCUUCCUCUAAAUGCCAAUUUGAGAAAACCCCCGUGUCUUGGACUUAAUGAAACCCUUGUCCUUUUUCCUUUCUUACAACUUAUAGAGCUGGGGGUUGCAGCCUCUUCCUUUGCCUCACUUAUUUCCUCAAUGAUAAUAUUGUUGGCACCAAGUCCCAUAAUAUGACGAUCCACCCCAGUCGGCCCAUGAAUGCUGGCCCUAAGUUGUUGUAAAUUGUCGUUACACUCCUUAGGGAAGGCCCAUGGUGGAAGAGUAUCUGGGUCACACCAGUCUCGUUCUAAAGAGAGCCCAUUAACAACUAAAGUUAAGGUCCCAUUUUUGUAAUGGGUACCAAAACUCUUUGGGUCUCACAGUCUGCGAAUUAUAGGCCUACCCAACGUUGUAGAGGCAGCAUUUGUUGCAUGCUGCAGCAAUUCAGGUCUGUUUAAAACCUCAGACUGAGGGGGAGCAGCUGCAGAAUUUGACUUGUGCUGCAGUGAUGCAGGUCCAUUCAGAGCCUCAGACUGAGAAAAAACAGCUACAUAAUUUGUCCCGAUUUGCUCUCGGGCCUCGCAUUCUCCAUGAUCUCUGGCGAAUCCGUACAGACCUCCUUCUUCUCGCUCUCAUCGAUAUCUCCAGUGAUUCACGUCGAAACCACUCGUCGGAGCGGUCAGUUUAGCAUUGGGGAAUAGUAGGGAGAAGGCCCUAGAGAUAGGAGGAGUUCGCAUCUCUUCACCAUAAUGCCAAUUUUCUUUAGCCAUGCAUGGGUUUAGAGGCCAUUGACAACCUCUUGUGUGGCCUAACCUACCAUUACCCCGUGGAUGGACAUGGCAUGAUGAAACCAAGAGGAAGCAGUUUUGUUUCAUCUAGAUCGACCCGGAUUCUAAAAAAUCCUCUGAAUCCAGCUUGCUCUAUAUCUUCCACUUCCAUAACAGAGCCAACCCUUGCCCCCCAAGACUCUUGCAUUCUUACUGGUGCAUAGAUUCCUUGGAAACCCAUGGGCUUGAACCCAAUAAACAGCCCGGUCUACCGAGAUGUCAUGAAGAAAGUAAUAAAUUGGCCAGUGUUUUAUCGUAAAAGUAAAACCUUUGAUGAACCAUGGGUUGCCUUCAAGAAGAUGACGUGCUAUGGCCUCCUCACCUACAGUGAUAGUGUAACAACCCGAUCCUAAAUUAAUAGUUAAAUAUUAAAUUAUUCAAGGAAAAGACAAUUUUACCCCGAGAAUAUUGAAAUGAUUUAAGAGUUGACUAUUAUUCGGGAGGUUAAAUGAUUAAAAUAAGAGGAAGUAAAUUUACAUGAGAAAAUAAAGUGAAAUAAACAAUAACAUAAAAUGAUUUAAAUUAAUUUAGGCUUUUGAAAAUUAAAGAUAUUAUUUAAUAUAAAAAGGGGCAAAAAUGUCAUUUUAAGUUCAGGAAGAAAUUUAAAAAUUUCGAUUGUACCGUUGUGUAGGGCACAUCGAGAUGAGUCCGUAGACACGUACUGGGCUCAGAUCCGAGUUGUAACGAGAGAGAUACGAUCAAAAUUCAAGUUGGGGCAAAAUCAUAAUUGUACCAAACUGGUUUUUCAACCAGAAUCUCUCUCUCCCCCCUCUCUGGUGUGACAACACCCCUCCCCACCCCAACCCCCAAAACAGUACCUUCGGUUUUUUGCUUGCCAUCUCCUCCACUGGCCACCAAAUUUCAUGAUUUUGGUACCAAAACGUCAAGCUCACUUCCCUCUUUCCAUCUCGACCAACUUCAGCCGCUGGAACCACCGGUGCUGGCCGAAAAAUGCAAAAAAUUGAGCUGUUUUUGACAGAUUUUCUCAAGCUUCAUUCGAACGAUUUCGGGCACCAAAUCUUGCGAUCUAGAUAUGCUUUUCCAUGUAUUCUUCGAGCUCUAGCUGAUGGUUGGCUAGGAUUUGAUUGAUUUGUAUCAUAGAUAACCGGAAAUACGAAUUGAAAUUUGGCCAAUUUUCAAAUUGAAAUUUCAGCCACUUCCGGCCCUCUUUUGGGUAGGUCCAAGAACAAAAGUGAUUCCAAAUAGGGUGUUAUACCUAGUAUAGGAGUUUGGGCUGGCGGUUUGGAGUAUUUUCGGCUGCCAAAAAUUGAUCAAGCCACCCACACAUUGCCAGCGUAUAUGGGCGGUGCGUGGGCUGCAUAGUGAGGUCACUCUCAGUUCUAAAAUGAUCCUCGUAUUGUCAUGAGCGCGUAAGAAUUCGCGGAUCUCAAUUUGGACAACGUUUGAGCCCCGAUCGGAUCUCGCAUAUUGUUCGAUUUCUGGGUUUGAUACAUUUGAACCGUUGGAUCGUAGUUAUUCUCAUAUAUGUCAAUCUAGACAAUUUCCAAAUCGUGUAGGAUUCAAUGGAUUGGGAAUCGGAGUCCUGGAUACUCCUAAAAGGCCAACCCUAGGGCUAGGUUUACGGUAACCGUCUGAUCAUGAGUAGUCCGACCGUCUGAUCGAGACCAAACUCUCGGGACAUGUGUCCUUGGCAUUUUAAGACCUCUAGGAACUCUCAAAUUGCAAUCUUGAGGUCGUGGACCCCACGGGGUCCCGAGUUGACUUUUUGAGACUUAUCGCUUUUUGAGUCCCGAGACACUUCUAGACCGUUCUAAUAAUUGGAAAUGCUUACAUAGGCUUGAGAAUGACUUCAAAUACAAUGCACGCACUUCUAAGAGCCCAGGGCCAAGACUUUGGAUUAAAUAAUGAGGAUGAGCUCCAUAGGAUAUGGUUGAGCUUAUAGAAAGCUCAUGUGUGUGCGAGUGUUCAUUUGGUUUAGUUAUGGUUUUAAGUUCAUGAUUUUAUGUGAUUUUGGAAUGAGUAUUUAAUUAUUUUAUUUAUCACAUGUUUUUAUAUAUAUAUAUAUAUUCAUAUGGUUAAUUGUGUUGUAAGAUGAUAAAUAUAAUAUUGGAAUGACAUGUUAAUUAAAGAUUGAGAUGGUUAACAAACUAGCUAAGUAUUUAAUACAUCUAUUCAAUAGUUGAAACGGAUGAAUCAUAGUCCUUGGCUUUUAUCAGUUUGGUAUCAGAGCCACUCUGACGUGUAGUGCGAGUGUGUUGACGAGGAUGUUGGGCCCCUAAGGGGGGUGGAUUCUAAAUUGUCACAUCCUAGGAUCGGCUCCGCCGUAGCACGAUAUUGUCCACUUUGGUCUCCCUCUCUGCCCUCACGGUUUUGUUUCUGGGAACUCACGAGCAACUUCCCAGUGGGUUACCCAUCCUGGGAUUGCUCUAGUCCCAACUCGCUUAACUUCGGAGUUCCCAUGAUUCCGAAGCCAGUAAGCUCCCAAAAGGCCUCAGGUUAGAUGGAGGCGGGCAUGUACAUAUAAGGCAUAUCACCCCAUCUCCGUUGGUCAAUGUGAGAUGUUACAAUCCACCUCCUUAGGGGCUCGACGUCCUCGUCGGCACACUCACACCACACGGCAGAGUGACUCUGAUACCAAAUUGUCACAUCCUGAGAUCGGCGUCGCCGUAGCACGAUAUUAUCUGCUUUGGGCCCCCCUCUUUGCCUUCAUGGUUUUGUUUUUGGGAACUCACGAGCAACUUCCCAGUGGGUCACCCAUCCUAGGAUUGCUCUAGCCCCAACUCACUUAACUUCAGAGUUCCCAUGACUCCGAAGCCAGCGAGCUCCCAAAAGGCCUCAGGUUAGAUGGAGGCGGGCAUGCACAUAUAAGGCACAUCGCCCCCUCUCCGUUGGUUGAUGUGGAAUGUUACAGAUAGCAUACACUUUCUCCUUGGCUUUGGUCACCUUUACUGCACCCAUAUUGUUCCAUAUGGCUCGAAGAAUCUCUUUAACAACUGAUUGUGGCGGCUCAUACUCAGCGAUGAGGAGUCCCACCAAGGUAAUCUUGUUCUCCGGUCAUUCUUGUAAGUCUAGAAUAUCUUCAAAUUGUAUGGCUAGCUCAUCCUCGUAUGGAAUACCAUCUUCAUCCGGGAACGUUGCCAUCACGGGAAGAAAGAUGAGAUGGCUAACAGGAUAGAAACAAGUAUGACAGGAACUAACUCAAGGACUUUCUCGAGAGAAAGCAACACCUAAAACCUUAGGGAUACACCAAAGCCAUUGCAGCUCACAUCAGACCAUAAAGGCCACAGCUGCUAGUGUUUCAUGUUUCCAUCAAAAUAUUAGUUGAAAUUUGUAUACUUUUCAAUUUCUUGAUGUGAAGUAAACACAAGAAUCCUCCAUAGGUGGAAUUCAAUUUCUAAUGAGAAUUCCAAUUCCUGAUUAGUAAACACACAAUAAAUUCUUAUUCAUCUAAUUAUUUGGAUUGGGCUGAAGCCCACUCUAGUCUAAGGGUGGUUUUUGCCCUUACUAAGUGGCUAAAAAUACUUACAUCUACAUUCGAGCUCACAGUAUUUUGACUGGAACUUUUAAAAAUAACAUGAACACCAUUACUACUUAAAUGUUUUUCUCUUACAUAUUCAAUGGCGGAGCCUUGUUUAGGCCUGAAGGGGCCUGGGCCCCCCCCCCCCCCCCAAAUUUUUAACUCCAUUUAAUUUUUGCUUUUGCUUUCCUACACAUUUAGGAAGUCUAUAUAAUAAUAGUUUAAUAAUAAACUGUUUGUGGCCCCCUCACAAAAGAAAAGAUACGUUUCUCUCUCUUUGCAAGUAAAAGAGUAAGUGAUUUCAAAUAGAAAGACUAAGUAAUUUUGGGCCCACCAAUAUAUUAAUAAAAAUAAAAAGUAGCCAAUCAAAUAAAGUUUCGAAAAAUCUCUUUUAUCAAAUAAGAAAUAGACUUUUACUCAAAUAAAAAAGGAUUGAGAUUUAAAUUUUUGUUCUUAUAUGAAGCAAAGUUUAGCAUUGACUCAAUUACAUAUAGUUUUCGAGAUAUUAAAGAACGACGAGUGUUAUUUAGAUACCUAAUUGAAUAAACAAUUGUUUUGUGCCCUUUAUUUUAACAUACAUUGUUAAGGUUGAAAAUUUGAAUUUUUUAAUGUCUUAUUUGGUUUAUAUGUUGGCCCCCCAGCACAUAACUUCCUGGCUCCGCCACUGUACAUAUUACAUGUGAAAAAUAAUACGCAAAACAAAAGAAACUAAUACACACAUAAGUCGAAGAAAAAUCAAUCAGAUGUAUUCCAAUUUUAUGACGUGACCUCUCCACAUUCUCUAAAAAUAUACAUUAAAAUCAUAUACUGUUUCUUUAAAAAUAUAAAUUAAUGAAUACAUGUUUUGGCACCACUACCUAACUUAGCACCACUGCAGACCAUCGGUGGAAACAAUUAGUUAAAUCGAAAAUGCAAACAAUAAGUUAAAUUGGAACUCAAUUAAUCAACUAAUUAUCAUUAUUAUUAUUUCAAUGUUUUUAUACGAAAAUAAUGUGAUCAUCUAUUUAUUUGAUAGCCCUUACUAUUCAGACUAAUUUAAUUCAACAGAUUAUUACGUGUCAUUCUAAAAUGUCCUUCAAUUUUCAACCUGUUUUUUAUUUUAUUUUAUGGAAUUAAUUAACAAGCAACAGAUAACUGAACUGCAUUUUUUGUGUUGAAAUCCUAAUUUUAAUUUGUCCUAUCCACCAGAAAGAAGAAGCUAGCGGACCUAGAAAUUUUUUAACGGAGGUGCAAUAUUGACUAAGUAUGAAAAAUGGUUUUUCGGAAAUCAUUUUCUCAAGAUAAUUUUUGGCGGCUUUUAUUCCUUACACGUCAAAUAAGAAAAUUUGAUUUUAUGGGAUUUUAAUAUGAAGUAUAUAUUGACUUAAUGAGCCAUCAUUUUUAGCCAAAAUCGUAUUUGGCACUAAAACCGAUUUUUCAUAUUUUGAUUUGGUGGGAAUUUAAUUUUCUAGUAUUUUUAUUUGAAUCCAAAUGGGGGGUACUUCCUUAUUUACAUUGUAACUUAAGUAAAUGGAGUAGUAUUAAAAGAAAAAAGAAGAAGUAAAAUUACAAAGACAUUUACUUAAAUGUUGAAAAUGGAAAUAAGGUAACCUGUACACUAGUUGAGGAAAUGGGUAAUUUGAAGCACCUACAAUAGUUUUUCAGAGUGAGAGAAGGUGCAGCUGCACCUUCUUGCGCCUUAAUAGGUCCACCCAUUGUUUGUUUAUUCUUUUUCCUAACAUACAUACUAUAAAAUUUAAUAUAAAAAUAUUGAAAUGAGUUUUUAACCGCAAUGAUCCUUAAAUUUAUACCAAGGGUGGGGAAUCCAACAUGUAAAUACUUCAUCACAAAGUAAUUACAAAUUCCUUAGUUUUCUAAGGUCAUUUAAAUUUGGAUGAACAUAUCAAAUUGUUGUAAAGUGAGAGAUGAAGCCCACAUGAAGGAUGUAUUAGUCAAAAGCUUAAUGAUGAUGUUGGAAGCUUAGUUAAAAGCUUAAUGAUGAUGUUGGUUAAUGAAGCCAUCCAAUUUGUCUAUAAAUAGGCUUGCUCAUUCAAUUGUAGAACAGACCAAAGGAGAAGAGAGGAAAGAAAGGAAGAGAAGAAAUGAAGAGUGAGAGGAAACAAAAGAGAGUGAGUUCUAUCAGAGAGGAAAUUAUGUCAGUGUAAACAUCACAAGAGCAAAUAUAAUUCUACUCCCAAGAUUCAGUGGUACUUUUCAUACUUUAUUAUUUUAUUUUUAUAACACGUUAUCAGCACGAUAGUCUCUCUCCUUUACUUCUAAAUUUUCUCAACUCAACACUAUGUGGUUAUUUCUUUUUCUCUUCUCUAUCAUAUAUUAUAUUUAUUGCUCUUGUAUUACUAACCACUAAUAAAAAUGGACCCUUGGUAAUACUGAACAUAUUAUCAAUGGAAGGCUGUUAAUAAUACUAACACUUUUCUUAUUUUAUUCAGUGGUGGUUUUAUCCCCACAUUUACUUUAUUUAUUGUAUAGUGUAGGUUUAUUACUCAUAUAAUUUAUUUACUGUAUGGUGUAGGUUUAUUACUCAUACAAUUUAUUUACUGUAUGGUGUAGUUUUAUUACCCAUAUAACAGUAUUUAUUUGAAAGUGUGGUGCGGGUUUAUCGUCCACACUACUGCUGACAGGACCCACCCCGGAUUCCUCGAAACCCGGGACGAAUCCCAUCUUAAUUCUGACAUCAACCCGAUGCCGGGCCCACUUAUUAAAAACCGAGACUUUCUACCAAAAAUUUGGCAGAGUCUCCCAUGUAAAUUGAACAUUUCCCAAAAUUUCAGCAUGCUCAAAAUUCAUAAUUUAAAAUCCCAACCAGCAACAUGCUUUAAAGCGAAUAAACAGUUUACGACAAAGGCCUCCGGCCUCAUAAAUCAAACCCUAGCACGGGCGAUAACAGAGCAUAUCUAAGAAAUUCGAUUUACAACAAAAACAAAGUUCAAUGAGAAUUAAAUGAUGAAAGAUUCCUACGAAGGCUCAAGAUUUGGAAGCAUAUGAACCGGCUCGGCUACGGAGCUUAGUCAAUUACUGGCUGGGGGUGCAAAACAGAAAAGUGUGAGUGGACAAAAAUAAGAUUCAAUUCAAUGUAAACCAACAUAAUAUAACCCCACCGUUUAGAAAACCAUGCAAGAAAUCCAAAUGCAUCCCAAAACCAUCAUAAUCAAGUAUACAUAUAUAUUUAUAUCAAGUUAAAUCAAUACCGGAUGCCAAGUCCGAAAUCCAUAAAGAACACUUUACAAACCCACUAUUCAAAUAUUAUAAAUCUCGAAACUAAACUUUCGAAAGCGUACCCAUUGGCACGACCGGCAAGGAAGUAUCCUCACUAAACUCUCGAAAGCAUACCUAAUGGUUUUAUAUAUAUAUAUAUAUGACAAUCACCUAGUUGUACCAGGGAAACAAUCCAACUGGGGGAUUGUUUGACUAGUCCACAUGGAAGAGCCCGCAUAAAAAAGAAAUUCCUCAAUUGACCAUGUGGCUAGGGAACCAACCGUCCAACUGGAGGACUAACUCUCAGCCAGCACGUAUAGUCGACACUCUCAAAACUUGUAUGCCUGAAACCAGUCCUACGUGCACAGACUACCCGUCAAAGAUGCCCCGGGUUCCGACAUUUUCAAGUAUCUCAAGUUUCCAUAUCCAAGUUCCAAAUCCGAGGAGGUACAUAGGGUAAUGCUUAUAGCACUCCAAACUGACAUUCUGUACUCAAAUCUUUCCACAAUCUCAUCUCAACAACCCAAGUACCCCACACAUAGACAAUUAUAGAUAGAAUUUCUCAAAAUCCAUAAAUACAUACUCAAGAUACUCAAAUAUGUCAAAACCCAAAAUAUAUUGCCAAUGCAUCAUAAAAAUAUCAAUUUUAACAAUUGAAUAAAUAAUAUAUCCAAAACACCAUUAAAAUAUUAUGCAUAAUUUUUUCCAUCAUAAAACCAUGCAUAAGAUUUGAAAACAAAGUCCACUCACAGGAAGUCCCACGCUGCUUGACCCUGAGAGGGUCCCGCCUACUGCGUAUGCGUGGUCGGAGUACCUAUUUCGGAAUAUGAACACGAGAUUAACACAAAGUGUUUAGAACGAGAACUUUGAAUUAACAUCCUAGUUUUCCGGAUUUCUAGUGAGUGUACGAGGAACGAGACAAUUUGAAAAUUCUUAAGGGUUCCACAAGGUUUAGGAUACAAGUCUUGUAAGUUUGGUCCGAAACGGACGGUCAAAUUGCUCACGCUCACACAAUCGGAAGGUUAUCGUAAAAACCCAAACUUUAAGUUAUUGAAUCGGAACAUCCGGGGUUCCGAUUCACGAUUCGCGAAAUUCCUACACGAUCCUAAGAAUGUCUAAAGUAACGUAUAUUGGAAUGAGGUCAAUUCAACGGUCCGAACAUGUCGAACACGGAUAACGCACAGUAGGAGUAAAUUCGUUCGAUAGUCAAAUGAUAUCCGAAUUGAAAUCUGAGCACACCUACGCGCUCAUGAGGACUAGGAGAACACAUUGGGAUAAAAUGCACAUUUGCUAUAGUGCCCACGCGCAGCCACAUACGCCAGCAGCCCAGGGUGUCCAAAGCAAUAACGCUUCUCCGGAAAAUCUCAACAUCUCAGUUCAACACUCCUACCCUGGAUGUAACACCCUAAUUGGAGUCAUUUUUGUUCUUCCGCCUACCCCAAAAAGUGACAAGAAGUGGCUGAAAACGCGGUCCCAAAAUCGGCAGAAUUUCAAAUCGAAAAUCAACUAACCUAGGCUCAAAAUUAAUGAAAUCUCACCUAACCAUCAGCUAGAUCAUGAAAAAUAGGUGGAAAUCCAUACCUUACACGUCAAAUUUGGUGGCGGGAGGAGAGAGAACGAACAACGAGAAGUUUUGAACUAAACCGGCCUGUUUUCGUGAGAAUCUGUCAGCUACGAUGGCUGCCGGCGUCAGAGGUAGGGGGAACGGAAGGAGGAGGACGUGGCGGUCCUUUUGGGACCGGUGCCGGUGAAAAUGGAGGUCGGACGUGGCAGUGGUGGGGUGAAAACCAAUCGGCUGUUUUGAGAGGAAGGGGGAUGUUUGCGAUGAGAGAGAGAGAGAGAGAGAGAGAGAGAGAGAGAGAGGAAAAUUCAUAUUUUUAUCAAACUCUUAUGAUUUUGCCAUAGGUGAUGUUUUGCUCAUAACUUCUUCGUUACAACUCCGAAUCGAGUCUACUACGUAUCUACGGUCUCAUCUCAGUACGAUCUACCUAAAAAUAUUAUUUGUUACCCCAAAAUCUCUCUGAAGAAGAAAAUGACCAAAAUACCCCUACCCCAAGGGUAAAUUCUUAAUUUCAUAUUUAAUUGAAUUAAAUAAUUUAAACAUGGAAUUUAAUUGGAGUCGAGGUGUUGCAACUGCCUUUAUUCUUAUUUUAAAGUAUGGAGUAGAAUUAGUGCCCAUACAAGCACAUUUACAUUAUCGCACAUUUACUUUAUUAUUUAAAGUGUGGUGCAGAAUUAAAGUCCAUACAUGAGGCAAUUUAAUUUAUGAAUUUACUUUAUCGCACAUUUACUUUCAUUUAAAGAAUGGGGUGGGAUUAACGUCCAUAUAGCAAGCAAUUUACUUUAUGAAUUUACUUUACGGCAUAUUCACAUUUAUUUAAAGUAUGGUGUGGGUUUAUCGUCCAUACCAGCAAUUUAUUUACAAGCAAUUUAAUUUAUGAAUCUAUUUUAUCGCACAUUUACAUUUAUUUAAAGUAUGGUGCGGGUUUAUCGUCCAUACCAGCAAUUUAUUUUAUGGAUUAAUUGUGCGGUAUGAUGAGUUUUUACAGUAUACAAAUCAGGACCAGAAGCUCCUUGAUUCUCAUCAUACAACUACAUCAGGACUUGAAGAUCCUUGAUGAUGAUAUUGAUAUGAGAGUUGGCAGUCUCUUCGGUACUAUAUUUGUAAACAGGUGAUCGGACUUGAAGAUCAUUGAUCCUUGACAUGUAAAUAAGGACAUGGAGUUCUUUGAUGAUGUAAUAAUACCGUAUUUGUUAAUAGUGUCGUACACAUGAAUAGUAACUAUACUGGCAAAUGUACUAUAUGCAUGAAUAGACACAAAUUCCAUGACUUGAUGAAUAGUACCGUAUACAUGAAUAGUGGCGUAUGCAUAAAUAUUAACCAUUUUGGGUAAACUGUCACUAUAUACAAAAGGGAACAUGCAAUUCCUUAAACUCAUGGAUAAGCAAUUAAAUGAGAUGCCAGAAGUUCCUCAAAACAUGGACAAUUAUGUAAGGGCCUAAAGUUUUGAAAUAUAUACAAGAAAUUAUAAAAAUGUCCAUACUUUGAGAAUAUGUGAUUUUGCCCCGAAGUUCAAAAUUAGACAAUAUUGAGAACAUGAAAGUUCCAACAGUUAAAUGGACAACCCUUAAGGUAUUAUUGCAAAUUGUGGUACACCACUAUUUCUUUGGCAUAAGAAAAUGAUGAAUUUAAUAAAGUUCGAUUUUGUUACAAUCGACACCUCAAGAAAGAAAUAUAUUUUGUGAAUUCCGGUUGUUAAGAAUACACGGUGAAAUGGAUAAUAUCAGGAUAAACCUCAAAUGAUGAAUUGAGGCUCCCUAUAUAUUUUGUUAUAUUAUAUGAUAUGGGAUGGAAGCCCAUGGAUCCAAAUAUAUGAGAGAUCCCGAACCUAAAGUUUUGGGUACAUAGUAGUUAAUUCUCUUUACUACUAUAUUGCAAUAUUAUCAUGGCUUUUACUCAAUUUAUAUUUCAUGCCCAUUUGAAAAGGGCAAAUAAAUUAUGAGGUCGUGUUUAGCCCGGGCCAGAAGUUCUGGACUCACAUGCAUUGAAAUAUAUAAUUUUGAGAGAUUUGAUGUUGUUAUUUGAAUCUAUAAGGCACAAGGUUACAAACCGUCAUUUUGAAAAGACGUAAAAAUCACAGGUGCAAGUUUAAGAAUUUGCGCAAUUAUUAUAACAGGAAAGAAGGUAUACAACAGAUAGAUUUUUCCACCUACAAGGAAAAGCAGGCUCUGCAAAAUCUAUAAAAUUAAAUUAUGUUCUGGAGGCCUCUGAAGGAAGAUGACGGCUCCUCUUAAGCUUAGCCAUGAGCCUCUCGUGGUCUCCCAAAAUCUUUUCAUUGGAAACUUGCAGCAUGUCUAGCCUUCUCAGCGUAUCAACGGAGUACGAAGUCACCAGUUUCAACAAGGCAUUAUUUUCUUCUGUAAGUUUCUCAACCUCCUAUUGAGAUUCAUGAAGCAUUCUCUGGAGAGAUGAAUUUUCAGUGAUCAGCUCCUGAACCUCGUUUGCUCUAGCACACAAACGAUUAGCCAUGUUAGAAAUAGAAGCAGCACUCUGAAUGCUAAAAGCCAUUGAGUCAUCAAUAGCCUCUUCAUCAGACCUCACUAAUAACAGCAUUUCAUCCAUUGGAAUAAGGAAAUUCCUAGCUACUAUGACAGUAAUCGCAUCAUUCAUCAUCGCAGAAUCAUUAACCGUGAGAUGACGAUUUUGGGAUACCAAGGAUGGACGCCAAACUUUGGCGUCACGAGUUGUGUUGGGAGGAACAUUUAAAUCAAGAUGGUUUGGGCAAGAAGAAGAGGAAGCCAUUUUAAGAAGGUUUCGAAGAAAGUCUUAGAAAAACUGAAGUUUCAGAAAAUGAAGGAAGUUUAGUUUAAACGUAGUUGCUCCAAUCAAGUUUUGCAGAGGCAAUAUCUAUAGGCGGAAAUAUGGCUACGGUUUUCAGGAUCCCAAUAUUAUCUCGGAUUCCCAUAUUCUCUUUUUCUUUCCUAGAUUCCAAAACUUCAAGCGGCCUCCAUUAAUGUUUGUCGGCACUUUCGGCGUUCUCAAGUAUUAUUUUCGUCAAAGCUGAUCUUGCAAUCAAUGUCACAAUUUUUGUAUAUUUUCUUUCUUUUUAUAACUCUCUAUUCAUAAGGGAUUUUAUUUCUUUAGAAUGGACAUCUGAAGAAAGAAUCCAUGUAGUGAUCCUAACUUUGAGGGUUAUUUGUUUUGACAGAGACAAAAGAAUUGUGAUUUUUACUCUUGUAGGAUAUAACUAGAUCAUUAAGCAUUACGUUGUAUUUGCUGAGCCGAUACGAGCUUGGAAGAUAUUUGAGCAAAGUCUCUCUCACCUAAGGAUGUAAACGAUACUUAUGUUAUUUCAUACUUGUACUCUUAUUUUUUUUGUACAACAUCCUUGAAGGUAACCAACUGGGGAGAUAAGGCUGCUCCAGAAGAACGCCAUGCAAAGGACCAUUCCAAAAGAAUGACUUGCAUUAUAGAUCGUUCCAGAAGAACGACUUGAAUUAUGACCAUUCCAGGAGAAUGGCUUGUAUCAUUAUGAUAUGUAUUCAUGAAUUAUUAAAGCAAAUUUCAUAGAUUGCAAGUUGAAUACAUUGAUAAUAUACUGCAUAAAUCAAAGUCCUAUAAGAACAGAACAUGGGUAUAGCAUGAUCAAUAUGAUGCACACCUGUUGCGUAGCAAAUGAUAUGGAUUGAAGUCCCGGAAGGACAAUCCUUUAACAUGUCAACAUUAAUACGGUACACGCCUAAUGCAUAGCAAAUUAUAUGGUUUAAAGUCCCAGAAGGACAAUUAAAUUGACAUGUAUGUAUUAAUAUGUGGCAUACCUGCAGUAUGACAGAUAUAUGGGUUAUAAAUGUUCCAACUCCCUAAAUGGAGAUUAUCCACGCCCUACUGUAAAAUAACCCUCCAUUGGAGGUUAUGAUCCACAUUCUCACAUAAUUCAUCUUAUAAGAGAUGUAUGUCUGGAAAGAGACAAUAAAAGCCCCCUGAAGUAGCUUGGGUACCCAAAAGCAAAGAAAUGCUUAUAAUUGAUGCAUGCGCAUGCACAUGAGAAUGAUGUGAUCAUGAAUUGAUGAAUGACAAUUUUUGAUUUUAGAGUAGCUACUCAAAUCAUUAAUGGGCUGUGUUGAUUGGAACCACGUUCUAUUACUAAAUGUCGACAAUAUCAUUGGCCAAAAUGGAAAAAGGCAAUUCCAUUAUAGAUGAGUAUGAACGUGAAAGAACAAACCCACAGUACGAACCCCAAAAGAUGUUAAUACUGAAAGUUAUACUUGGGUGUUUGGAAUAAAAGGGAAUAUACCCACUUUGUAUGACACAAUGUUUAUAGCAGAAACAAGAAAUGUUGGGUUUUCUCCAUAUUUACAGAUUCAAUUGUGCCCUAUUAUUGCACAUUUACGGAGGCUAACAUGUUAUCUUUAAGGGUUAUUAAAUGCACGGAGCAUAUUGCCAAAAGCAAUUCCCUAAAGAUGCAUAAAUAGCUAGGUUAAAGCUAUAUAAUGUGUCAUAAAGUUUAAUCCCUUAAACAAAAUCCCUAAAAGGAUUGCAAUUGCAUGAAGCAAGUCCUUGAAGGACAUGUGCUUGAAGCACAAAACUUGUACUCAAUACUAAUGUGCAUAAAUUGCCUCAGUGAGUACAUUGAUUAUAAUAUGUUUGCAACACAUUAAAACUCCUGAAGAGUUCAAGAAAUAUUUGUCUCGGCCUGAAGAUCGAGCAUUAUGCCAACGGGAUUCUUGCUUAUACUAAAAAGAUAUUGAAGUAUUUUUAUAUGGAUUAUCCGUUGGGCACUUAAAUAAUUUUUCGGAAGUAUACUAGACCAGAUAUUAUAUUUUUCAGAUAGAGCUCAACUCCAUCACCACCACUUUGGGAUGAUGUGAGGCAUAUUUGAUGCUGUUUCCACAAAACACCAUAUAUGGACAUAUUCUUUUCAAGUGAAGUUAUAAAUAGCCCAGAUUUUGUUAAAUAUGCGGACUCUGGAAAUUUAUAUGGUCGCUUAUUGGAAAAAGUUAGUCAUGAAGAUUUUAGGGGAAGAUUUUUCAAGAGGAGCAUCCAACCAUAUUACAAGAUUGACUCACAGAAGCAGUGUCAACAGAUGAUCAAUAGUAUGGCUUAAAGAUAUUUUACCAAGUAUCAGGGGGAGCGUGCUGUCAAUAAAGACCUUCACACACUGUACUCUUUUUUCUUCGUCCAGGUUUUUAUCCCACUGGGUUUUUUCUGGCAAAGUUUUAAUGAGGCAGUGUUGCACGCAUGUCAAUAUACACAGAAUUUUAUGUUACACAUGGUUAUGUACUUUUUUUCAUUCGACUAGGGUUUUUCCCACUGGGUUUUUCCUUGCAAGGUUUUAACGAGGCAACAUGAGUGCAUUUAACAUUAUCCUUAUAUCCCAAAUAAAGUUGUACUCUUUUUCCUUCGCUUAGGUUUUUUCCCACUGAGUUUUUUUCAAGCAAGGUUUUAAUGAGGCAACCAAUCUAGGAACAAGUGGUCUCUAAGGGGGAGUGUUGUAAAGUGAGAGAUGAAGCCCACAUGAAGGAUGUAUUAGUCAAAAGCUUAAUGAUGAUGUUGGAUAAUGAAGCCAUCCAAUUUGCCUAUAAAUAGGCUUGCUCAUUCAAUUGUAGAACACACCAAAGGAGAAGAGAUGAAAGAAAGGAAGAGAAGAAAUGAAGAGUGAGAGGAAACAAAAGAGAGGGAGUUCUAUCAGAAAGAAAAUUCUAUCAGUAUAAACAUCACAAAAGCAAAUACAAUUUUACUCCUAAUAUUCAAUGGUACUUUUCAUACUCUAUUAUUUUAUUUUUAUAACACAAAUAUGUUUUUCAGAACAAAAGUGAAUAAAGUGCAUAUAUUCUUCUACUCAGAGUGUUGGGCAUGCAUGUGGGACUGUCAUACAGAUAUGCGAGAGAGCCUAGCAAUUGUUCAUAAUAUAUAUUAUAUAUAUAAAGUACAACUUUUUAAAGGAAUCUUGCCAAUGUCUUGAAGAAUUUAAGGACUUAAUCAAGCUAGUUAGUCAAACAUUAAUAAACUUAAGAUCAAAAUUAAUGGAAGAAAAUAGUGUAGUCCGUAUUGAAUUGGGAACCGAAUAAAAAAUUCUAAUCAAACCGUUAAGUUCGAUGAAGGGUUAGUUAUAAUCUUCCAAUGAAUAUUUUCUGCUUGACAAAUAACGCACCCAACAACAAAAAGAGAUUGUGCUACACUACCACAAAGUGACUAGCAAAUAUUGAACUUACCGCAAAUAUAUAUAUAUAUAUAUAUAUUGUUUUUGUAUUAUUGUGAAUAGAAUUUGUGACUUAUUCUCCAAUUAAGUGGGAAUAAUUACCACUAAAUCAGAAAUUAGUUGGCAAUGAUUCAUUGCUAACCUUCAGUUUGAUGUUUAUAAUUCGGAUUUCUAGGGCUGUAAAAUUAUUUUCAAAUUAGAAAGAGAAAUAUCACCAUAUAAAAACUAGUUCAUCAGAUUAGACUGUAACAUUUCUUAGUAAUCCCAACAAAGUAUGGAUAAAAAAUAUACAAGCACUUUUGUUACCAUAAAAUCAGAUUCCUGUUACAAUAAAUUUCAGAUAAAAGAAAACAAAAAGGGAGACUUCACCUCAAGCAAAGUAAAAUCUCACAUGCCAUAAUAAGGUAGGACCAAGAAUCCAAGAUCAAGCCGUUUGAGUCAUGGUGAUAGGCAUUGAGUCCCAUAGGAUAAUUUUUUUUUUCUUUUUUCUGCUGAAUAAUAAUUAUUAGAACGUUGGCUGUUGGAUCAUCUGCCCUCCAUAAUUAUUAGAAAAAGGGCUUAUGUUGUUCAAGGUGGGUGCCUAUAAAUGUCAAGUGAAUUAAUUAAUGAAAAAUAAAGGAUGAAAGUGACAAACAAAGACAUGAGAAGCAGCAUGGCUCAACCACAGAUACUCACCGAAACAGAAACGAAACAGACCUCCCAAAUUAUAUAUAUAUACUAAGCCUCAAAGUUGUUACAAUUUACAGUAGUUUGGUGCCACCUACAUUUGUGGUUUUUACAAGCCUCUAAAAGUUAAGAAUUUCAAGGUAUACAAUUUAUUUCUCCUUCUUUCUAUAUUACCUAUUCUUAUUAAGCAGGCAAGAUCUCUCUGUCUCUCUCUAUUUGAGCAUGUGGAUAAUGAAGUCUCUCUCUACUUGAGCAUGUGAAUAAUGAACCCUAGGAGCUUAGUAUUUGUUUGCAUCUAAACAAAAUAUGAUUUUGAGUUGAUAUUCUGAACUAAUUGAUCAGUCUCUCAGCUAGAAGGUAAAGAUGGUUACUUCUAUAACCUAUAGCUAUUUAUAGAUUAUUACUGCUUCUAUAGCUUACUUCUCCGUUAAAUUAUCUUGAUUCUAUAACAAACUUGCUCAUUAGGUUAUCUUAUUUCUAUUUAUAGGUCAUUAGGGGUUCAUAGGUUAUUUAAAUUUUGAUUUGUGCAGUUUAUAUUAGUCUUAAUUCUCUGUAACAAUAGACAGUUUCUUUACUAAAGUUUUCUCAUUUGUUUACACUAACACCUAUCAUUUACCAAAUUUAUGGCAACAAAAUGAACAUCAAAGCUCAAGUGUUUUGGCUUUUGGCUUAAUUCUCUUGUACCUAUUUCAUAAUUGUCGCAAUUGUUCUGCAUUUGUUUUCAAUUGGUUCAAUAGAUUGAGUUUAUACUUUUGUCUAUCAGAUUAAUAGAAUGCUUAAUGUAUCUCGAGUGUUGUUUUUCCUGUUUCAUUUUUUAACUUCAUUAUGUCAUAAUAGUUAUUGCCCUCACCCAAAUUUUUCCAUUUAUAUACACUAACACCUGCCAUUUUCCAAAUUUAUGCCAACAUAGUCAACACCUCUGUAGAGAAAGAAAGAAUUUAAGUCACCUGCACAGCAGAGCCAACAAGACUUAGAUCCCCUUCCACCAGACAUCAAAGUAGAGGAAUCCCUUUCCACCACCCAAUACCAUAUAUAUAAACACAUGUUCAAAUGCUCAUAUUUUAAUUUUUUAUAGCUGCUUAAUUUAUUAAAAUAUGCCCAAUAUUUUCAAAUAACAAGCAGCACAUAAAACAUGUUAGUUUAUUUUUUUGUAAUUUAAGCUUGCUAAACUAAGCAUGAUCCUACUAUUUAGAUCUCCAUGGUUAUAUAAAUGGUAUCAUCUUCCUUGCAUAUUUUCACGACUUUAUAUACAUUUCCUAACAAUUUCAAAACCCGCAGCAUCGUGCGGGCACCAUUGCUAAUUAUAAUGCUAAAAUCAAAGUGUCUUUAAUUUCUCCAUUGGUUCAAUAACAAAAAGAGUUGAACAUGAAUAGGGUACAACAAAACUUAUAAUUUGGCAUACUUCUUUAUAGCAUCCCCGGCAUCUUUUGCAUGCUCUGGCACAGGCAUGUUGCAUAGAAGAGUAACUCUUGAUGAUGAUACUAAGGAUUUGAUGUCUGAGUUUGAAGGAUUAAUCUUCCACAGUCUCACCUCCCAAACCUGCCCAAAAUUGUCAAAUCAAAACAACUUUGAAUGAUAUAAUCUGUUUAUUGAAUAUAUUAAGUAAAUGAAAUGAUAAAUUGAUGAAAGAUUUAUAAAUAAAUAUAUAAAAAAACCAAUGUGGAGGGCAUUGGCACCCUAGUUGUUUCCUGCUUUGGAUAAUUUGUUAUUGGCAUUCACAUUUCCCUAGUUUGAAAUGGUGGCGAGAUAGUCUGGAUGGUGCCAACAUGAUUAUUAUAUUUCCAGUAGGAGAUGGUCUGUAAAUGGAGUGAUGGAAAGAAUGAGAUGGAAAAUUUAUGACCCUAUGGGAAUAAUGUUGUAGAGAAGAUAAAACCGUAUACAAUUUCUAAAUGUAAUUUGUUCUUUGGACACCUACACUACAACUAUUGUUGUAUUAGCAGUUGUAAUUACAGUUAAUUGGAAGUGAUACUUGAUGAUGAAGUGAUGUAGGAUAUGGGUGAAUUGAGAAUUUAUGUAGUUUAGCGGAAGCGAAAAUAAUUGAAAACAGAAAAUAGAACAAAAGGGAUAGGUCUGGAAUCUGUCCAGGGGUUUGGCUUCACACCAAGUAAUUUUCAAUCUCUGGAAAAUAAACUUUACUCAAUACUCAAAUCCCAACUCCCAUAAUGAAUUACAUAGAAGGGGUAUUUAUCAUAGUAAACAUAUUUUAGGAAAGAAAUCCUAAUCCAAAUAAAAUAGCAAACUUAGAAAUCCUACUCAAAUCUGGAAAAACUAAAAAUCCUAAUGAAUCUGGAUAACUUAGAGAACCUAGGAACUAACAAAUAAAUUAGGAAACUAAUUAAUAAUUCCCUCUUCCAUCUCUGUGGUUUGUAAACCCUAAUGGUUGACAAAGAUGUCCUCAUCAUGAAGACUGGAGAGAACUAGGAGCCUGCGAGAUGGAUUAUAAUUAAGAAGACAAGGAGGUUAGGAAUGCGACGGUGAAGAGCAGAGGAACCUGAAUGGUUUUGCCAAGAUUGACAGGCGUGGCUUCAGCAAAGAUAUGGUCACCAAGCUCAGCACGCUUCAAAUGGUUGAUGCUGAGGUGAAUCCCAGCCACCCUUUGAAAACCAGAGGCCAGGUGGGCUCCUAUGCUAGCCAGAGACUCAGCUAUGAGAGCUGAUACCCCUCCAUGCAACACCUUGAAAGGCUGGUCUCAGCAGCAAAGAAGAGUUAGUCAUGUUACUUAUUUCAUUAACAUCUUCUUUUACACUUUCAGCGGGAAAAAGAUACAUUAUAUGAACAAACAAACAAAGAUAGAAAGAAAGAAAGAAGAUGACGACCUGACAGCACCUUUGGGUGACAUGUAGGUGACCGGAGACCUUGUUUGGGGUUACCUCUUCAAUCUCGAACCCAAUUUCAUGAAGGGAAACAUCUAAAGCCUCCGUCUUUGACCGCGGUGAUGGUGGUGGUGGUGCUGAUGAUGGCUUGGAUUGGGACCGGGAAGCCAUAUGUGUAUAUGUUGUUACAAUUGUGGUAUAUAUCUAUGCUCUUAGUUUCCUUCUCUGGCCUUUGGUGGUUUCCUUUGUUGUAUAGAUGAUAGAACCAAAGCAAUUCAAUUCCCAUUCAUUGUUGGCAGUUGUUUUUUUUUUGGCUAUUCCUGGAUGAGAGUGGGUGGGAAGACUUUUUGCAUUGGAGAUGACGAAUAUCAUAUGACAUACAGUUUGGUCUUUGGUUGGUGGUCGCAUGUCAUCCUAUGUUUAUCUGGAGGGUCCACUGUCUAGUUCUGUUCUGGUCCAGGGAUGGAUAGAUGGAAGGGUAGUUUAGUCCACACAUAGCAUUGUUGGAGACGAGGUUAGGUGGGAGGCGCGCCUGUUAAUCUGUAAUGUCUGAAGGAGGGAGGAGGAUUAGGUGGCUAGGCUCCUGGUCUUUGUCAUCUGUUCCUUAGGAAUAGUAAAUUGUCGAUUUUGCCCUUUACUAAAAUUUUCUUUAUGUUCCCUUUUUGCUCCUCUCUCUUUGGAUGCUAACUCUCCCCACUGUUUCGUUUCCACAGAACGAUCGUCCGCUUCGAACCAGCUUGGUUGGGCUGGUUGGGGGGCAGCCAUGGGAUGCACGGCUUCGGUCUUCGGGAUUCGUUGGGGGCCGUCAAUUUCCAUUUGGGCUGGCGCCUUGCGAAUCUUGCCGUUCGUUUGGUCUUCAUCUCAUCUCAAAAAAAAUAAAGGUUAACAAGCCCUGGAGGAAUACACUUCCAACAAGGCAAAUUUGUGUGUGUGUGUGUGUGUGUGAGAGAGAGAGGCAUACCAGUCAUGAUAAAUACCAAACGAGACCUCUCUCAUAAAUAACACCUAAAGUGUUCUUUGCAAUUGUAGGCACAACAUUCAUAACCCAAGAUUUUCGUGAUUCAAGGGCUGCUGCAAAUCCUCCAAGGCAUGCAUUCAUAUCCAUGACAUUCCGACAUCUGGUAGUGCCAAUCAAGUUGUUGAUUCUUUUAUAAGUAUUUACAUGCUUUUUCCAUUAGCUAUUCGAGGAGGGACUGCAUAAAGCUUUGCAGGAAACUUCAACGCCCCCACUGCUACUUCAUUUGCAUUGGUUACCUCAGGAGAGGGGGCUACGCAUGUGUCCAUUUUCUUGUACCUGAAACAUACCACAUCAAACUAAGAAUUAUGAUUGCUGUAACAAUCUAACUCUAGAACUGGAAUACAUCCUUUCAAAAAUGCCCUUAUCAGAAUUGAAUAGGACAUGCAUGUAUGGAGAAAACAAGAAGAAAAAAGGACGGCCAAAUGAACUUGAGCAAGUGAGAUAGAAAUAGACUGAAACUUCAUCACUGAUCUAAGUGAACCCACCUUGUAUAAUUGCAACAUUUGUAGGAAAUGAAGCCAAUCUUUGCAAUUACUAGAAUCAUAGGAUGACAAAGGAGGAAAAAUAACAUAAAAGCAAAGUAGAAAAGAGAAAGUUCUAAUAAAUGGAAUCUAAAGUUAUACAAUCAUUCUGCUUAUAUCAAUGCAUUUUAGGUAAUUCUGAACUAGGGGACCAACUCAAACAAUGAAAACCUGUCCAACUUCUACUGUCCAGAGAUUUAUAUCUUCUAAGACUCCAUAGCAUUGACUAACAUAAAAUUCAUAAGCACAACAUUUUCUUCUAAUCAAAGUGUGUGCAAGAACACAAUGGGAGGUAGGGGCUUUAUUACCUAGUGUUCCCAAAUAAAACAGAAUUAUUGUCUAGAACAACAUAAUAACUACAGAAGGACAGGGCACAAGAAAAUUCCAGUCUACAAAUAUGAAGUAACGAGUGAUGCAAGAGGUACAAAGAUAUUAACUGAAAACUUUUCACAAACUGGAGGCAUGCAACCAGCACAUCACGUUUACAGAGGGGUGGGAAUGUGGAAUAUGUGCAACAUGCCAAUUCGACUACCAUGUCUGUCUGUAAAACCUAUGUUAUGUUUAACAAUUUCCUAGAUAAGUGGACUGAUUUGCUGGUUGAAACCAUAGUCAGUAACCAAUUCACUACAUUUUUUCUCUUUGAUUACUUCUUGUCUUGAGAAAUAUUGGCAGGGAAAUCCAGCAACAGCUACUUCAUAUUAUAUAAUUUGAGGUAUUCAAAAAGGGUUUCCUUGCAUUAUCCUGUGACCUGUCACCUGCUGCAAAGUCCUGCGCCUCUUUCCCCUAACUGAGUAUGUCUCACUUCCCGAAAAAUCUACCAAACCUCAAGUUAGAGGCAGGGAGACUUUAUCCAGAACCAUGAGAUUAUCUUUAAACAUGAUUAGUGAAUAUUUAAGAACAAUAAACAAGGCUCCUCAGCACAGUUCCUGGAACUCACCAGACAUCAUCAGCAUCCUCUGCCUGGCAUACAUUGACAGACUUGCUUUUGCAGGAUUUUGUAUUAACUUUUUUCUUCCAAAUAGCCAUAUCUCCUUUCUCAUACUUUUUCUCCCAGCAAAGACUUUCAGCUAGUGCUUCAAUCUGUCUUUGCUCUGUCUGGACAUCCUCCUUAGACUACUUCCACGUUUUGUAGCAUGUCUUCCAAUUAAUUGGAGGUCCAGACAAGAUCCAACAUCCACCAGGUCUAAGCACCCAAUCAACUUCUUUUAGGUACAUCCCAUCUACACACAGCCGUUCAAUAUGUGAAUCAUUUAACUUCCAGCACUUAAAGAGAUAUUCAGUAAAUAAGCUAUUCUUGAAUGUCGAAACAUAGAAAACAAAGUUAAAAGAUGGAACUACAAUCAGAAGCCCUCUUUUAUAUCGAAGUCAACAGAUGAGGAUGGAUUGAGGAAGUCAAUAUCAACCAAAAGAAAACUUGGGAAAAUAAAAUUCUAGCACGGUCGGUAACUAAAUUAAUUGCCGGAUAUGUAAGACUUGCAGACAAUUUAUCACCCUUGUAAGACUUAUUUACACUUUUUGGCAUAAAAUCUCAUAGAAAACAUGAAGUUACAUAGAAAAAUAGUCUUCAAAAUGAAAGUGUGCAAAUCAGUAAUCACUUAUACCAAUGGAAAUCAAGUAUAAAUGUUUACCAAACGACUCUAAGCUUAUUUCAGUGGUCAACCUUGAGAGUCGAGGCAAGAUUGUGACAAUUAAUUUGACCAUAUGAUCUGAGUAUGGAAAUAGAUAUAGAUAUGUUUUUCUACUAUCUGUAUUCAACUUAAGAGUUCACUAAUUCAACUCUAAUUAUAUAUAUAUAUAUAUAUAUAUAUAUAUAUAUAUAAUACAGAAACUAAGGAAAUCAAAUGUGAUUGCUCCAUGCUGGUUACAUCAAGAUCUUACCAUUUGCAGUCCAUGGAAUUAAACACCGCGAUAUCAAAGGCCCUAGAUGGGUAUGGGAGACGAAUUGAUCCAAGCACACCGAUAACGGCAGGUACACCUCGCUCCAAUGCAAACUGUAAUUGUGCUUCAUGAUUAUCCCGUGGUGUAAAGGACAUGGCUAAUACAUUUCUCUUUAGCAAGUAUGCACCCCAACUUGCAACCUGUAUCAUGGUUGGUCUCAUUAGUAAAGAACCACAUAUGAACAAAAGAACUGUGUGUGAACAUGUAUCCUAGGAUAGCUCACUGCUCACAUACAUACAUGAUUUAGCUACAUAUAUAUAACACAGUAUCAUUGAAUGUGCAUUUGCAUUCACUAUACGCACAAGCAAAUCUACCUAACAUUCUCUGGAGACUGAAAAGCCAUUGUUGUACUCAUAGUCUUGGAUUGACUAAAGGAAGUUAAGUCGCUCAAAUUAAAUGCAGAUGACAGAAUGGCAAUGUGAAGCAAUGAAUGUACACAUGCAAAUGCAAAAAUAAAAGCACAAGCGUAGUUAAGAAAACCAACAUACACCACAACCAGUAUCCAAUGCUGUCCUGACAGAGCCAUCUGAAAUCGGAAUAACUGAUGCAAGUUCGUCAAUAUUUGCACCAGUGCCUUGGGGGAACAUUGUUCCUCCACCUGGAAAUUUGAAAACAUUUCCCUGAAACUGCACCCAGUUCUGAACAGCUUUCUCAACUGUCAGGCUUUUAUAAGGGACGUUGGCAUAGUGGACAUAGUCACGGCCUUUAGGCCAGGGGAAAAGAGUCAUAUAUCCUUUCCUUUCUGGAAUAAGACAAUGCAAUUUUUCCUCUUCUGGUGGACAAUGCCUUUCCCUGUAUAUCAGAGGGUUCAACUAUCUCCUCAAUAUUGUGAAGUGUUUCAAAGAUCAAAUUAGUAAAGACAUUGCUGCAAUCUGUCUGCUUGGUUACUGGAAAUGCUAUGCUAUCUCCUUUUCCAAAACCACUCUUUUGCCAUGCUCCAAGAAGGUAGAAGAAACAACACAGAGCAAUAACAACGAAUAUGGAUAUCGUGCUUCUUGUUCUGUUUCCGGAAGAAUUAUGCUUAGAUUUCAUGAUAUUGUUGCAAUUAACUCCCUCAACUCUGCACGAAUAAUAGAAAACUUAGAGUCGAUUAUUUGAAGUAAAUGGUCAAUAGUUGAGAACCGAUAGAAUAAGUAUGCUUAAAGAAAAAAAAAAUCAUUAGCACGUUGCAGUCUGUUAUAAAUAAAUAACAUAUCUCAAUAACUUGAUUAAUUGUUCCAAAGUGUGGUUAAUUUCUCCUAGCCAAAUUUGCAGUCUGAUAUACAUCAGAUUUUUAAUCAGCUCGACUUUUGGUAAAUAACCUACCUACAGAGGAUUUUGCACUCAUUCUACUUUCAACCAAUGUUGAAAAUACAAAUUCGCCCUCCAUUUGGAUGAGGGAAAAUAACUUAGAAUUUAGCUAAAAGUCGGGAAUUUAAGAGGAGAAAUUGACAAUUCCCUGUUUGGCAACUUAAGUGCGGAAUUUAUUAAAUGACGUGCGGAAAAAAAUGUCGAAAUUGGGGCAUCAAAUUCCCAAGUUUAAUUUCCACCAAAAUAGGUGUCACUUCACAAUUUCCAUAGUGUCAUUUACAAAAUUCUGUCAUUCACAAAAUUCGACAUACAUAAAUCCAAACACUGAAAUCUUCAAUUGCCAGAAAUUAAAAUUAUAGAAAUCUAAAGUCCGUCAUUUUAUAAUUCUAUGUCAUUUUCAAUUCCUUCAUCCAAACAGAGGGAUCAUCAGAUCAGUACCGAGAAGUAACUAAUUGACACAAAAUUUCGAGGAAGGUAAUAAAAUAAAUCCAGAUGGCAUCACCGUUUCAAGAUUGAGACAUGAGAAACAUGACGGAUUCUGGAUACGGUAAGUUUCUAGAGGCUAUGAACUACGCAUACAUUUAUGGUUAAGGACUUUAAGAAAUAAGCAGCAACUAGAUUUGUUGAAGAGAGAGUGAGUUUGCAAUCACAGAGGAUUAAAUGAACUAAUGAAGGAGUGGAUUAAAUUAAACUUAGAGACUUUCUGAUAUAUCCAUUGUCAUUGCUAUUCCAAAAUAUGGGAUUGGAUUAAAUUAAGGAUUAACAUCACCCGUAGGCAAACGUUACAUUUUUACUAAUCUGUAGCUCUUUUCAUUUUUUUUCUCAGUUGGAUGCAACUUAGAAAGUUAUCAAUCAUCCAUUGCCUUAAAUCAAGCUGCCCGCUUGGAUCCUAAAAUGUUCAAUCCCUUGAUCUGAAGCCAAGAUGUACAAACAAUGAAAUUUAUAACUAAAUCUUAAACCUUUUAAGCCAAAAACAAAAACAAGAUCACAAUCUUUUUUCACACAGCCCAUAAAAGGAAAAGCAAGUGCAAGCACAGAUCUUGUGCUAUUAUACAGUGGGAAGAAAACAAAAAACCAAAAAAAUGACAUUAAAAUGAAGCAAAGAAGAACAAUGCAUAAAGAGAAAAUAGUAAGAGGUGAAAACCGGGAUCAAAUAGCUAACCUGAAAAUGGGAGAGAAUGGUGUGAAAGCUUUAGAGAGAUAAGCCCUCCAGUGGGUAUAUGGUAUUUGAAGUUCUCUCUCCCUCCACUCCCCCCACAGUGCUAGUGACUAGUGAGAGAAUCUGCGAAGCAGAGAGAGAGAGAGAGAGAGAGAGAGAGAGAGUGUUUGAAAUCACAGUGAAUGAGUGAGUGAGUGGGAGAGAAUUUAUGUAGAGCAGAUAGAGGUAUAUAGGAAGAGAGAGAGGCGGUGGAGGCAAUGUAGAAAUUUGAUGACUUUGGUCUUCAACUCUGCUUUGGAAACUCACUUGGUUGAAUUUGAGUUAUCCGCCGACAGAGCAAUUAUGCGCUACUCUCUGGAGCAUGCAAUGAGCUGUAGCCCUUCCGAGGACAAUUCAAAUCCCAAAAUGAAACUACAUAAAAGAGGUAUCUAUAUAAAUUACCAUGCGACUUGUAGUCAGGGUGGAACCAAAAACUUUCGUACGGGUGAGGUAUAAAUGUUUCUUUUUCGGUUUAAGUAGAUGCAAGGGUUGGAAUGAAGUGAGCUAAUUUUCACUAAAUAUACUAAAUUUUCUAAAAGUAACACUAAUGUUUACUAAUCUGUUAGGAGGAAUUGAAUUGAGGAGGUGUUGGAUUGAAGAGAAUUAGAUUCCGGAUUCUAAAUUUAUGCCAACAGAGUCAAAACCUCUGCAGAGAAGGAGAAAGAAUUUAAGUCACCUGCACAGCAGAGCCAAUAAGACUUAGAUCCCCUUCCAAUAGACAUCAAAGUAGAGGAAUCCCUUUCCACCACCCAAUACCAUAUAUAUAAACACCUGUUCAAACUCUUUUGAACAAUGAACAUCUGAAAACUGCUCAUAUUUUGAUGUUUUAUAGCUGCUUAAUUUAUUAAAAUAUGCCCAAUAUUUUUAAAUAACAAGCAGCACAUAAAACAUGUUAGUUUAUUUUUUGUAAUUUAAGCUUGCUAAACUAAGCAUGAUUCUACUAUUUAGAUCUCCAUGGUUUUAUAAAUGGUAUUAUCUUCCUUGCAUAUUUUCAGGAUUUUAUACAAAUUUCUUUACAAUUUCAAAACUCGCAGCAUUGCACAGGCACCAUUGCUAGUUAUAAUGCUAAAAUCAAAGUGUCUUUAAUUUCUCCAUUGGUUCAAUAACAAAAAGAGUUGAACAUGAAUAGGGUACAACAAAACUUAUAAUUUGGCAUACUUCUUUACAGCAUCACCGGCAUCUUUUGCAUGCUCUGGCACAGGCAUGUUGCAUAAAAGAGUAACUCUGGAUGAUGAUACUAUGGAUUUGAUGUCUGAGUUUGAAGGAUUAAUCUUCCACAGUCUCACCUCCCAAACCUGCCCAAAAUUGGCAAAUCAAAACAACUUUGAAUGAUAUAAUCUGUUUAUUGAAUAUAUUAAGUAAAUGAAAUGAUAAAUAGAUGAAAGAUUAAAAUAUAAAAAACCAAUGUGGAGGGCAUUGGCAUUCACAUUUCCCCAGUAUGAAAUGGUGGCGGGAUAGUCUGGAUGCUGCCAACAUGAUUAUUAUAUUUCCAGUAGGAAAUUGUCUGUAAAUGGAGUGAUGGAAAGAAUGAGAUGGAAAAUUUUGACCCUAUAUGGAUAAUGUUGUAGAGAAGGUAAAACCGUAUACAAUUUCUAAAUGUCAUUUGUUUCUUGGACACCUACACUACAACUAUUGUUGUAUUAGCAGUUGUAAUUACUGUUAAUUGGAAGUGAUACUUGAUGAUGAAGUGAUGUAGGAUAUGGGUGAAUUGAGAAUUUAGGUAGUUUAGCGGAAGCAAAAACAGUGAAAAACAGAAAAUAGAACAAAAGGGAUAGGUCUGGAAUCUCUCCAAGAAUUUGGCUCCACACCAAGUAGUCUUCACUGGAAAAUAAACUUUACUCAAUAUUCAAAUCUCAACUCCCAUAAUGAAUUACAGAAGGGGUAUUUAUCAUAGUAAACUUAUUUUAGGAAAGAAAUCCUAAUCCAAAUAAAAUAGCAAACUUAGAAAUCCUACUCAAAUCUAAAAAAACUAAAAAUCAUGAAUCUAGAAAACUUAGAGAACCUACGAACUAACAAAUAAAUUAGGAAACUAAUUAAUAAUUCCCUCUUCCAUCUCUUUCGUUUGUAAACCCGAAUGGUUGACAAAGAUGUCCUCAUCAUGAAGACUGGAGAGGACUAGAAGCCUGGGAGAUGGAUUAUAAUUAAGAAGACAAGGAGGAUAGGAAUGCGACGGUGAAGAGCAGAGGAACCUGAAUGGUUUUGCCAAGAUUGACAGGCGUGGCUUCAGCGAAGAUACGGUCACCAAGCUCAGCACGCUUCAAAUGGUUGAUGCUGAGGUGAAUCCCAGCCACCCUUUGAAAACCAGAGGCCAGGUGGGCUCCUAUGCUAGCCAGAGACUCAGCUAUGAGAGCUGAUACCCCUCCAUGCAACACCUUGAAAGGCUGGUCUCAGCAGCAAAGAACAGUUAGUCAUAUUACUUAUUUCAUUAACAUCUUCUUUUACACUUUCAGCAGGAAAAAGAUUUAUCAUAUGAACAAACAAACAAAGAUAGAAAGAAAGAAAGAAGAUGAUGACCUGACAGCACUUUUGGGUGACAUGGAGGUGACCGGAGACCUUUUUUGGGGUUACCUCUUCAAUCUCGAACCCAAUUUCAUGAAGGGGAACAUCCAAAGCCUCCGUCUUUGACCGCGGUGAUGGUGGUGGUGGUGCUGAUGAUGGCUUGGAUUGGGACCGGGAAGCCAUAUCUAUAUCAAUAUAAAUAUAUAUAUAUCAGUGUUUAUGUUGUUAUAAUUGUGGUAUAUAUCUAUGCUCUUAGUUUCCUUCUCUGGCCUUUGGUGGUUUCCUCUGUUGUAUAGAUGAUAGAACCAACGCAAUUCAAUUCCCGUUCAUUGUUGGCUGUUGUUUGUUUGGCUUUUCCUGGAUGAGAGUGGGUGGGAAGACUUAUUGCAUUGGAGAUGAUGAAUAUCAUAUGACAUACAGUUUGGUCUUUGGUUGGUGGUGGCCUGUCAUCCUUUGUUCAUCUGUUCUGGUCCAGAGAUGGAUAGAUGGAAGGGUAGUUUAGUCCACACAUAGCAUUGUUGGAGACGAGGUUAGGUGGGAGGAGCGCCUGUUAAUCUGUGAUGUCUAAAGGAGGGAGGAGGAUUAGGUGGCUAGGCUACUGGUCUUUGUCAUCUGUUCAUUUUUGCCAUUAUUUAUUAUUAUUAUUGUCCUUUUCUCCUUUUAUUUUGUCUUAAAUUUUCUCACACAUAUUGUCAAAGUAUCAAAAGGAUUCGAAUCUGAGACCACUCACCUAUAAGUUAAUGUCUUUUUUCGUUAGACUAUACCAUGUUGGUUAUUCCUUUCCUCACCUGGGCUCUUUUAUUUAGCCAUAAAUUUAGACAGGAAGCCACUAUCAUCUUUUGUUUUAUCUUUUCAGUGAAUUAGCACCUUAUUUACUUAAAUAUCCAAUAACUUUUUGUUUUCUUUUUAAGCCCUUUAUCUAGAUCUAGAUUUUGGACAAUUUAAUCCUUGCGCGUUGCGCGUGUGUUUUGUAUGCUCACGUAUCUCAACUUUUUAUUCUUACUUGUAUAAUAUAAAAUAAAAUAUAAAGUUAUUCCAACUCUUUUCUUAACUUACAUGGAACAUAAAUAUGGUCAAGAUGUUGUUUCCUGGACUUGGAUGAUUUCGGGUCCUGCUAAGUGUGGCUUUGUAGAGGAAGCAAUUCUUAAGUUUAUGUCCAUGGAUGUAGAGCGUAAUUAUUCUACUCUUGUCAUUGUUAUGUCUGCUUGUUUUAGUUUAGGAGCUUUCAAGUUUGGUAAAGUUGUUCAUGGCUAUUGCCUGAGGAAUUUACGUGGAAGGAAUAUUAUUUUGGACAAUGCAGGAUUGGAUUUCUAUUUGAGAUGUGGGUCUUUGGUGAGUGCCAGGUACCUGUUUGUAAAUAUGCCUAAGAGGGACUGUGUAUUCUUGAACUAGCAUGGUGGGUGGUUAUGCACAAAGAGGCUUUUGUGAAGAGGCAGCGAGGCUUUUCCAACAAAUGGUACAGGGAGGGGAAGCUGAGCCUAAUGAGGCUACCAUUGUCAACAUAUCGUCAGCGUGUUCUUCGAUUGGGGCACUGAGUUUAGGCCAGUGGAUUCAUCCCUAUGUAAGUACGUGGCGGAUCUCAUGGUGAAUGGCAAUGUGGGAAAUGCCUUACUCAACAUGUAUGACAAGUGUGGUGAAGUACGUAUGGCAAUUUCGGUGUUUAAAGGCCUGGAUUGUAAGGAUAUCAUUUCGUGGAGCAACAGCUCUUUUCGCUUAUGCUAGUCCAUGGGGUUCCUCCUGAUGACGUAACCUUCCUUGGCUUGUUAUCAGCGAGCAGUCACACAGGCCUAGUUGAUCAAGGGUUGAUAUUCUUUAAUGCUAUGAAAGAUGUUUACGGGAUUGUUCCUAAAACGCAGCAUUAUGCCUGUUGGGUUGAUAUGUAUGGCCGAGCAGGGUUCUUCGAAGAAGCAGAGGGUUUCAUUAAAGAAAUGCCAACAAAAGCAGAUGGCUCUGUUUGGGGAGCGCUGCUUAAUGCUUGCAGGAUUCAUGGGAAUGAUAAGCUGUUUGAGAGGAUCAGGGAUGGUCUCCUCAAGAGUAGAGGAUUUAGCACUGGAACUUAUGCUCUAUUGUCGAAUAUGUAUGCUAAUCACGAUAGAUGGGAUGAUGCUAAUAAGGUUCGUGACGAAAUGAGAUGGAUGAGGCUGAAGAAACUGCCUGGAUGUAGUCAUAGAGGUUGAUCCAUCCGUCUCUCCAUAGGAUGAUCUCAAUACAUUAUUGCCAUACCUGUAAAGUAGCUGCUGCUCCUAUUUUUAGCUCUAAUAGGAAAUGGAAGAUAUCGUAACACAUUGGCAUUCUUUUCUUUUUCUUUUUCUACUUGGAGCAUUCACAUGUUUUUAGAUCAUCUAUCAUGUGACGAGGUCCUAUGCUGACCCAUCCUCUAUAAGUUUGUAAGAGUAUUGAUUCACAAUCUGAAAAUUAAGAUGCUUUAGGGAAAGAGAAUGAAUAUUGAGUAUCUUAAACUAUACUUGAAAUUCAAUAAAACAAACAAAAUAGUAAUUUAACUUGGCCAAGUUUCACAUAUUGUCAAACGACAACAUUACAAAAGCAAAGGGUAAAGACAAAAAUUUGUCUGUAAAUUAAACUCCACUCAAAAUAUUGUAACUGAGACAUGCCUCGGAUCCAAAAUUUCCUAAAUAAAAACAUAACUGAAAAAUAAGUAAACUGUGAAGACUCUGGUUGCAUGAUCCCGCGUGCUGCAAUAUCCUGCCAAACCAGAGAUGAAAGAACUAAGUUCUUUUUCAGCAGCAAGUACAGUCCAUGGUGCAUACAACAAAGCACAAGUCUACCUCCCUGCAAGAAGAAAAAGUAUACUGAUUGCUUGCAGAAACAUAAAAAACAUUGAGCACAUGACAAAUAUACUACUUCAGUCUUAAUACCUUCAAUAGUAUGAAAUCAAAUCAACACCACAGAACAGGAGAUUAAUUUUAAUGAUCAAUAUGACACUAGCAUUUCCUAACGGACCAAAAACUUCCAUCUGGUAGCUACGAGAAUGUUAUUCUCACAUGUACGCAUCUGAUACACGGAAGCAUAGGUUGAUGAGGUAUGCAUGUAAUAGACACAAAAAAUAGAAUGCAACUGGUCCCAUAAAUCAUGUAAUUUGCAUAAAGCAUACGCAUACCUAAAGCUGGUCAGAGAAAAAGGAAAAUCAGCAUAUAUAUAACUGUUUCCCAUGAGUGCUCAAAACAAAGACAAGCUGAAUUGAAAAGUGAUGCAAUGUGUCUGAGUACCUCAAAUAUUUUAACGCCUUUGAGUUUUUCCAAUUGAUCGUUUUCCAGAGAACAAGUGCUUUGGUUUUAAAGUGGGAAUGACCCUAUCUGCCUCUCCACGACGAGCAUUCUUGUUUCUCAUCUUAUUAGAUUUAUUGGCCUUUUGUAGUGCCUUAGCCUUUUGAGCAGAGUCCUUGAAUCCCUCUCCAGGGACAACUUCAGUUGUAGGCCUUGAUCUUGACCUCGAACGGGAUCUAGAUAACAUGCGUUGCUUCUUGUUGGGUGUAUCUACAUCCAUAGCAUCACCACCAUCAGUAUCAUCCCUGUCAAGUGAUCUCUCCCUCUUCCGGCCCCUAGUUGAGACAGAUCUGCUUCGAGCUCUGUUAAUUGCCUUAGUAGGAUCAAGUCCCAACUUUGAUAGCUGCCUCCCCAUUCUCUUUGUUGUGAACUCCCUGUCCUUGUCAAAUUUCCUUGGUACAGUUGGUCGACUCUCUGCUGUACUUUUCUUGAUUCUAUGUUGUUGAAUGAGCAAGCUUUUCUUUUUCCUUAUCUCAGACAAUGUCUUUUGCUCUUCUGGAGUCAAUUCCAAUCCCUCCGUCUCAAAAUUAUCAUCACCCUCAUCUGCCUGCCGGUAUCCUUCUUCUCGUUCCAACUCCGCAAGCCUAUGCAAAAUAUCAGGAUCAACAAAGUCGUAUAUGUUGUGCCCAUCAAGAAUUUCUGGCAUGACAUCCUCUUUCCAUUCAUGAUUAGCUAAGAUAUAGUUUUUCUUCAAACUGGCAGAGUAUACACCUGCACCGCCAUUGUCAUUCUCCAAAUCCUUUUCUGUGUUUCUUUUUUCCUUCUCUGCUGCUUGCUUAGGAGGUAUACAUGGGGGUCUUUCCUUGUUGUCACGUGGCUUUGGCAUUGCAACAUGAAAACGAUUUAAGCAGACAUUUAUCUUUUUGGAUUUCAUCUUCAAUUCCACUCUCUGAUUCAACAAUCUCUCACAAGCUGAAUUUUUUACAGUAAUAACCCCCUCCUCGGUCAGAGUGCUCAUGGUCAAGAGUACCUCCUCAUCAUUGGUAGCCUCACCACCUUGACCAAUCACUGUCUUCAUAGCUUCAGCUUUCAUCUCCGUGACCAACUUCUUGUCUUCCUCAGCUAUACCGUCCAAUGGCUGCAAAUCAGUCUUGUUGCAGACAAUAAUCAAUGGUUUGUUCAUAAACAGAGACUUAAUACUGUGAAAAAGAGCUGCCUGUUGGGCAAUGCUGUACCCACAAGACCCCGAGAUGUCCAAGAAAAACAGCACCGCAGCUCUUAAGUGAGCCAAAGCUGUGAUGCUGCACAUCUCAAUAAUGUUACGGUCUUCAAAUGGGCGGUCCAAAAUCCCUGGUGUAUCAAUUACCUGAUACCUCAAGUAUUUAUAAUCCGUAUGUCCCACAAAGAGUGACUUCGUGGUAAAAGCAUAGGGCUGGACAUCCACAUCAGCCCUAGUGAUCUUGUUAAUGAAUGAGCUCUUUCCAACAUUCGGGUAGCCACAAAUCAAUAUUGUCCUGGUAUUUGGGUCAAUUGACGGUAGCCUUGCCAUGUGUUGCCUAAUUUGUUCUAGGUAAGCUAAACUUGGACCAAUCCUCUUUAUAACUGUGCACAUGCGGCCUAGAGCAGCGACCUUGAGACAUUUGCAUCGGUAAAGUGAAUCACCAUACUUUAACAAUUUCACAUAAUCUUUAGAAAUCUUUCCAAUAAGGUUCCUUGCAGUAUUGAUUUGGCCAAGAGCAAGCUUGUAAUGGUCUUUGUUGUAGAGAACAUGAAGGAGGUCGCCAUAGAAAGGGUGGAUGUCAUCCAGCCUAGGAAACUCAUCAAUGAUUGUGGAGAGCUUCUCAUGAAAAUUCUGUUGGGUAUAUUUUACUUUACGCAUAUAGAAAGAACGGAGGAGGGAAAUUGCACAACCCUUGUGGACUACAGUUGGGGUCUGCCUCUGGGUGCGAGAUAGGAUGAUGUCAAUGAAGUCCUUCCCAUUUGGUACAACAGUCAUCUUCUUGAAGUUAUAUUGCACCAUCUUUACUUAUUCGCCUGCUUACAAAAAUAAAACAAAAUCAAGUUAACACCAAGGUUGAUUACCAUAGUGAGAAUCUGAGAACUUCUCACAUAUUUAUCAUGAACCAAAUUUUAGAUUAAUACACCUACCCAAUUAAAUUAAUAAACCAAAUUCAGAAAAAUUCAUCCCACCCGCAAUCUCAUAUUAAUAUUAUUAUUAAUCAACCAAAUUCACAUAUAUCAAAAGCAGUAGGCAUAAUAAAAUGAAAGAAAGUGAAUUAACCACUGAACAAGAUGCUUCUCACGACCAAGAUUGCUAUUAAUCGCCCUAUGUCAAGUGAUCAGCUAAGAAUAAAAACUUUAAAAAAUUAAGCAAAACAAAAUCCAAUGCUUCUCUCUUCAACCGAAUCUUCUAAAACCGAGAUCUAAUCUCAUAUUACAUGAUGGAGUUCAACAAAUACAUAUGAUAAGAAAACAGAGGAAAAAAAAUGUGCAAAGCCUCACCUGGAUCACAGUUCGCAAGAAUUGUUGUCAAUCGCAACACAACAAGAGGCAAAUAUAAUGAAAAUUAAGAUGAGAAGAAAAGAAUGUGAAGGGAGAGAAGAAGAAAACCACGAACCAGAGGCUGUGGAUUUACAAAUGCGAUGCUGCUACGGCUGAAUGUGAGUGAUAAGGGUUUAGGGUUUAGGGUUAUUGUUUACAAUUUUAACGCCAAUUGUUAAAUCAUUUCCAAAUAUGUCCACAAAAGUUUCAGCAAUUAUGUUUUGACCCGUUUGUUAUAUUUAAAAUUGUAAAAUCAUCCCUGCCGUGUCUUAACUCGGAGUUGACCGUGUUUGGGGAGUGUCUUGACUUGACCGUGUCAAAGUCGUUGAUCGUGUCUGAGGUGUGUCCAAAGCGUGUCCACUUAUCAAACUAUCUGACACUUCACCACUUCAAUUAUUUAGAGGGUUCGUACAACAUAAACAACCCACACAAUAUUAAAGUCAUAUAAAUUUUAUUUAAAAUAAAAAAUAAAAAUACCUCGUUGAGCAAUAUAGAAGAAGAAGCGACGAUGGAGCUGGACCUGGUGAUGCGCGUGAUGUUCCUUGGAGCAGAUGUUGUUGAGAAAAAGGUUAGGUUGAAUUCUUGUUCUUUCAUCUAUCGCAAAAAUCAAAAUUGAAAAGCCUCUAGCCCUCUAGAGAAGAAGAGGGAUGGGUUUACAGGUUGAAGUUUUAAAUUAAUAUAUUUACCCCACGUUUUACAACAUUUUCAAACAACCAUAAAAAUUCUUAGAUAUUUUUUAAAUGACCCACUGCGUCCCGAACUGUAUAUGUGUAUCCUGUUAUAUCGUUGUUGUGUCAGCUGGUCGACAUGUCGUAAAAGUUAUCAAUACUUCAAUAGGCAUAUCUGAUACGUAACUCAACGUAUCGUAUAUGUAUCGUAUUUGAUACUCACCGGAUACUCGCAUACCUACUUUUUGAAUGUAUCCGUGCAACAUAGACAUACAUUGAAAGUGGAAACUAUAUCAUAACUCAAAGAGUACUGCUAUUUCCACCCUUGCCUUAAUUCCCCACCCACCAUGUAAAUUUGAAAAAAAAUACAAUCCUAUUCUUAAAAUACCCUUUAAAUAUUAAUUCAAGCAAUGUAUGUUUCUACAUUCGAAGCUGCCUUGCAAGUGUUCUUCACUUUGUAGGAAGUAUCAAUCAGCGAGGCUUUUUAUUUCUUAAAAGAUAGUAAAAGAACAACUUGAUAAUCACUAACUUGUGAAGAGUUUAUUAUUUGAAUGUGUUGAGAGGAUUAAAUUUGAAUCUAUUCCCGGAGUGAAUCUAUUCCCUCAUGUAUUCUCCUGAGUCUAUUAAAUUUGAUUUGAGUAUAAUAUCAACAGUCCUUAUCAAAAACUUAAAAAAGACCCAUUGAAUUAAGCAUAAUUUUUAUUUCAUUUUAAAUGUAGAAAAAAAUUUCUUAUUUACACGCGCUCAUACAAGUAAACACCAUUAUUCCUAAAAUACCCUAAGUCCUUAGAAGUCAUUUUACGAAGGUAUAAAUUUGUCUUUAAAAUUUUGAAGAUAAGAUGAGUGGAAAAAUAUGACACGAAGUAAAAAUAGCAGCAAUCAAUUCAAAAACUAAUCUUCACAGAACAUGGCAUGAUUUAAAACAUCUAAUUUAUAUUCAUGGUAUUUUAUUUUUAAUGCACAAGAGAGUCAAUUUCUCAACCCAAAAAUGAUAAUAACCACACAAAAGCAUCAGCCACCAGACAAAUGCAUAUAACAUGUAGUCAAUACCUACCAGCAGGUUGGAUUCUAUAAGUAGAAAGAACUAAAUACAAGUAGUAGACCUAAUCUACUGAAAAACAAUACCGUAUACGUUGUGCCCAUCCAGAAUUUCUGGCAUGAGAUCCUCUUUACAUUCAUCAUUAGCUAAGAUAUAAUUCUUCUUCAAACUAGCAGAGUAUACACCGGCACCGCCAUUCUCAUUCUCCAAAUCCUUUUCUGCUGCUUGCUUAGCCUUAGCUUCUAAAACUGCCUGAGGUAUACAUUGGGCUCUUUCCUUAUUGUCACAUGGAUUUGGCAUUGCAACAUAAAAACGAUUUAAGCAAUCAUUUAUCUUUUUGGAUUUCAUCUUGAAUUCCACUCUCUGAUUCAACAACCUCUCACAAGUUGCAUUCUUUACAGCAAUAACCCCCUCCCCGGUCAGAGUGCUCAUGGUCAAGAGUAUCCCCUCAUCAUUGGUAGCCUCACCACCUUGACCAAUCACUGUCUUCAUAGCUUCAGCUUUCAUGACUAACUUCUUGUCUUCCUCAGAUAUAUCCUCCAAUGCUUGCAAAUCAGUUUUGUUGCAGACUAUAAUCAAUGGUUUGUUCAUAAACAGAGACUUAAUACUGUGAAAAAGAGCUGCCUGUUGGGCAAUGCUGUACCCACAAGACCCCGAGAUGUCCAAGAAAAACAAUACCGCAGCUCUUAAGUGAGCCAAAGCUGUAAUGCUGCACAUCUCAAUAAUGUAUCAAUCUUCAAAUGGGCGGUCCAAAAUCCCUGGUGUAUCAAUUACCUGGUACCUCAAGUAUUUAUAAUAUGUAUGUCCCACAAAGAGUGACUUGGUGGUACAAGCAUAGGGCUGGACAUCCACAUCAGCCCUAGUGAUCUUGUUAAUGAAUGAGCUCUUUUCAACGUUCGGAUAGCCACAAAUCAAUAUUGUCCUGGUAUUAGGGUCAAUUGAAGGUAGCCUCACCAUGUGUUGCCUAAGUUGUUCUAGGUAAGCUAAACUAGGACCAAUCCUCUUUAUAACCAUGCACAUGCGGCCAAGAGCAGCGACCUUGAGACAUUUGCAUCGGUAAAGUGAAUCACUAUACUUUAACAAUUUCACAUAAUCUUUAGAAAUCUUUCCAAUAAGGUUCCUUGCAGUAAUGAUUUGGCCAAGUGCAAGCUUGUAAUGAUCUUUGUUGUCGAGAACAUGAAGGUUGCCAUAUAAAGGGUGAAUGUCAUCCAGCCUAGGAAACUCAUCAAUGAUUGUGGAGAGCUUCUCAUGAAAAUUAUGUUGGGUAUAUUUUACUUUACGCAUAUAGAAAGAACGGAGACGGGAAAUUGCAUAACCCUUGUGGAAUAUAGAGUUGGGGUCUGCCUCGGGGUGCGAGAUAGGAUUAUGUCAAUGAAGUCCUUCCCAUUUGGUACAACAGUCAUCUUCUUGAAGUUAUAUUUCACCAUCUUUAUUUAUUCGCCUGUUUACAAAAAUAAAACAAAAUCACCCACCAAGGUUGAUUGCCAUAGUGAGAGAAACUGAGAACUUCUCACACAUUCAAUAGUAGUAGGCAUUGUUGAUGCGAAAAAGUGGUUUGGCACGUGUUUCGCCAACUUAGUGAUAUUAUGCCUUCGGCAGGUGUCUAACUUCAGAAGGGUAAGUACCUGCAAAAGGACACGUUCGGUAAGACCUUGGGGUACCGGUGUGGUACCGGCCGAAGGCUCUCCGAUGCUUUAGUAAGUACGGUUUUAGUAAUGUUAACUGACAGAUCAAUCGGUAGCGUACCGUUAGUUCUGAUCCCCCCCUUUUGAGGAUAGGGGUCUUCUUAUAUAGGCCUUGGGAGGAGUGCACUAUGCUCAUAUUUCUGAUGUGGGACUGUAGAAGCGGAUUGUGAGUAUGACAUGUGUCCGGUAGAGUAAUGAUCAAAAAGGAACCGAUCGGUAGGCACCAUGUCGAAGGUCAUCUGUGAUCAAUACCAACCCUGUCCACAUGUUCGGAGGUCAUAUGUCGUUUAUUCCAGGUAUAAACAGGCAUAAUAAAAUGAAAGAAAGUGAAUUAACGACUCAAAAUUGCUAUUAAUUGACGGCUAACAAAAUUAAAAAUAAAAUAAAUAAAUUGACGGCAUAAGAAAAUGCAAUGCUUCUUUCUUCUCGUAUUGCAUGAUUGAGUUCAACAAAAACAUAUGAUAAGAAAAAAAUCAAAAGCUACAAAGCCUUACCAAGAGGCAAAUAUAAUGGAACUUAAGAUGAGAAGAAAAGAAUGUGGAGGGAGAGAAGAAGAAAACCACGAACCAGAGGCUGUGGGUGUGGAUUUACGAAUGCGAUACUGCGGGUGAAGGUAAGUGAUAAGGGUUUAGGGUUGAUGUUUACAAUUUUAACCUCACUUUUUAAAACAUUUUCCAGUCUGUCCACACCAGUUUUAAUAAUUAUGAUUUGACCCCAGUUUUUGUUUCUAAAUUGUAAAAUGUCCCUGCGGUGUCUUCACUUUAAGUUGACUGUGUCUGGAGAGUGUCUUCCUAAUAGUAUAUGGGGAGUUACUUGACCGUGUAUAAUCGUUGACCGUGUACAAGGAUCCGACACUUUGACACUUCAAUUAAUUGGAGUGUCUGUGUAACAUAGCUGAGAAUAGGGAUAGGCAAUCAAACCAAAAACUGAGCCAAAUUGGGCUUAAAAAAAUUGGAUUUACCAAAACCGGAUCGGUCCAGUUCCUAUUCUUGUAGUGAAAAAACAAGACGGGUUGUGUAUUUUUUUAAUUUUUCUAAUAAAUGUUUUUAAGCCCAAUGUUUUUAACCAGACCAGGUGUAUAUUAUACAUGUGUUUAUCUAUGGAGGUGGAGUUAGUUGUGGGUGGAUCUAGCAUUUAUGGGUGUGUGAGAUCAUGUGGGUUUGUGAAGGUGUUGUAGCCGUCUCUGGCCAGGUGGAUGAGAACGGUAAGGCCCUUUCACUUAGAGGUGUCUCUGGUCUCUAGCUAUUGGUUUUUCUACCGUGGUCUACAUCAAAUUGUCUGGAUCCUCUCUCUUUCAACUCUUAAGUGGAAUGAACUCAAAAUUUGUACACCUAUUUUGCUUAUUGAUCCAUCCAUCUCUCCAUAGGAUGAUCACAAUACAUUAGUGUCAUUCCCUGUAAAGUAGCUUCUUCACAUUCUGUUAGCUCUAAUAGGAAAUAGAAAAUAGAAAAUAUUGAAACACAUUGGCGCCGCAUUCUUUUCUUUUUCUUCUUCUACUUGGAGCAUUCACAUUUUUCUUCUUCUGAAAAAUAGGAUGCUUUAGGCAAGCGAAUGAAUAUUGACCAUCGAAAUAGGCCAACAAAGAGACUUCUAUGAAAUAACUUUUCAACUCUCAUUUUAUUUCCACCAAAGAAAGAAAGAAAGGAACAUUUCUCUGUAGAAAAAGCAUUAGCUUCGAGGAAAGGAAAUGAAGGCAACCUCCGUUCUGAUGGCAUUGAUCACAAAACUGCACUUGCAACAUGAGGAAGUCCUCUAGUUUGCAAGAAGACGAUAGGAGAUCACAAAAACGAAAAAUAAAAGAAAAAACAGACAUAACUGGAUUCUGGUCUUAAAAAUAGCACAAAUCUACGUCCCUGCAAGAAGAAAAAGUAUAUUGAUUGCUCGCAGAAACAUAAAAACACAUUGAGCACAUGACAAAAAUAUUUCUUCAACCUUAAUACCUUCAAUAGUAUGAAGUGAAAUCAACACCCAAGAACAGGAGAUUAGUUUUAAUGAUCUAUAUGACUAGCAUUUCCUAAAGGACCAAAAACUUCCAUCUGGUAGUGAUGAGAAUGUUAUUCUCACACAUCCGCAUCCGAUACAUGGAUGCGUAAGUUGAUGGGGUAUGCAGGUAAAUAGACACAGAAAAUAGAAAGCAAUUGGUCUCAAAAACCAUGAAUUUUGCUUAAAGCAUACACAUAUCUAAAGCAGGUCAGAGACAAGGAAAAUCAGCAUAUAUAACUGUUUCCUGUGAGUGCUCAAAACAAAGACAAGCUGAAUUGAAAGUGAUGCAAUGUCUUUUGCUCUUCUGGAGUCAAUUCCAAUCCAUCCAUCUCAAAAUCAUCAUCUCCCGCCUUUUCCUGCCGAAAUCCUUCUUCUCGUUCCAACUCCUCAAGCCUACGCAAAAUAUCAGGAUCAACAAAGUCGUAUACGUUGUGCCCAUCAAGAAUUUCUGGCAUGAGAUCCUCUUUCCAUUCAUCAUUAGCUAAGAUAUAAUUCUUCUUCAAACUGGCAGAGUAUACACCGGCACCGCCAUUCUCAUUCUCCAAAUCCUUUUCUGCUGCUUGCUUAGCCUUAGCUUCUAAAACUGCCUGAGGUAUACAUUGGGGUCUUUCCUUAUUGUCACAUGGAUUUGGCAUUGCAACAUAAAAACGAUUUAAGCAGUCAUUUAUCUUUUUGGAUUUCAUCUUCAAUUCCACUCUCUGAUUCAACAACCUCUCACAAGCUGCAUUCUUUACAGCAAUAACCCCCUCCUCAGUCAGAGUGCUCAUGGUAAAGAGUACCCCCUCAUCAUUGGAAGCCUCACCACCUUGACCAAUCACUGUCUUCAUAGCUUCAGCUUUCAUCUCAGUGACCAACUUCUUGUCUUCCUCAGAUAUACCCUCCAAUGGCUGCAAAUCAGUUUUGUUGCAGACUAUAAUCAAUGGUUUGUUCACAAACAGAGACUUAAUACAGUGGAAAAGAGCUGCCUGUUGGGCAAUGCUGUACCCACAAGACCCCGAGAUGUCCAAGAAAAACAAUAUUGCAGCUCUUAAGUGAGCCAAAGCUAUGAUGCUGCACAUCUCAAUAAUGUUACGGUCUUCAAAUGGGCGGUCCAAAAUCCCUGGUGUAUCAAUUACCUGGUACCUCGAGCAUUUAUAAUCUGUAUGUCCCACAAAGAGUGACUUGGUGGUAAAAGCAUAGGGCUGGACAUCCAUAUCAGCCCUAGUGAUCUUGUUAAUGAAUGAGCUCUUUCCAACAUUCGGACAGCCGCAAACCAAUAUUGUCCUGGUAUUAGGGUCAAUUGAAGGCAGCCUUGCCAUGUGUUGUCUAAUUUGUUCUAGGUAAGCUAAACUAGGACCAAUCCUAUUUAUAACCGUGCACAUGCAGCCAAGAGCAGCGACCUUGAGACAUUUGCAUCGGUAAAGUGAAUCACCAUACUUUAACAAUUUCACAUAAUCUUUAGAAAUCUUUCCAAUAAGGUUCCUGGCAGUACUGAUUUGGCCAAGAGCAAGCUUGUAAUGGUCUUUGUUGUAGAGAACGUGAAGAAGGUUGCCAUAGAAAGGGUGGAUGUCAUCCAGACUAGGAAACUCAUCAAUGAUGGUGGAGAGCUUCUCAUGAAAAUUCAGCUGUGUAUAUUUUACUUUACGCAUAUAGAAGGUACGGAGGCGGGAAAUUGCAUAAUCCUUGUGGAAUACAGUUGGGGUCUGCCUCUGGGUGCGAGAUAGGAUGAUGUCAAUGAAGUCCUUCCCAUUUGGUACAACAGUCAUCUUCUUGAAGUUAUAUUGCACCAUCUUUACUUAUUUGCUUGUUUACAAAAAUAAAACAAAAUCAAGUUAACACCCACCAAGGUUGAUUAGCAUAGUGAGUGAAUCUGAGAACUUCUCACACAUUCAUCAUGAACCAAAUUUCAGAUUAAUACACCUACCCAAUUAAAUUAAUAAACCAAAUUCACACUCCCUCAUCACCCCGCAAUUUCAGAUUAACAUCACCAUUAACAAACCAAAUUCAAAAAUAUCAAUAAUAAAAUGAAAGAAAGUGAAUUAACGACUCAACAAGAUGCUUGUUAUCAAUCGCGUUAUGUCAAGUGAUCAGCUAAGAAAAAUAAAAUUAAAAAAAUAAAAUUGACGGAAAAAAAAAAUGCAAUGCUUCUUUCUUCAACCGACCCUUCUAAAACCGAAACAUAGUCUCAUAUUAUGUGAUUGAGCUCAACAAAUACAUAUGAUAAGAAAAAAAAAUCAUAAGGUGCAAAGCCUCACCUGGAUUAUAGUUCGCAAGAAUUGUUGUCAAUCGCAACUCAACAAGAGGCAAAUAUAAUGGAAAUUAAGAUGAGAAGAAAAAAAUGUGGAGGGAGAGAAGAAGAAAACAACGAACCAGAGGCUGUGGGUUUACAAAUGCGAUGCUGUGGCUGAAGGCAAGUAAUAUGGGUUUAGGGUUUAGGUGUUUACGAGAUUCACUGUUAUAUCCAAUAUAGGAGUUCAAAUUAUAAAAAAAACAUUAUAUGAAAUGGACUUUUAAAACACACCCAAAGUUCAUUUACAACAUAACAAAAAGGUUUUUAACUUCUUUUAAAUUAUAAAACUGUCAUUGAUUUUUUAAAACAAACCCAACCCCAAAACCUCAUAAAAAAGCCCAAAACACUCAAUAGGGCAUCAAAGUAAUUUAAUAAUCAAAAUUAAAUUCAAUAAGUGCAGCUGUCAUUUUUUGGGUUUUUUUUUUUUUGGUAUGUUUAUAAAAACUAAAUGGUGUAUGGUUUAUUUAUAGUUUUAGUGCUAAGAAUGGGUAUAUGGCUAAAUACCUCUUACAAUUUUUACCCACUUUUUAAAACAUUUUCAAAUAUGUCCACACAAGUUUUGAUAAUUAUGUUUUGACCCCAGUUUUUGGUUAACUGUGUCCAGAGGGUGUCUUGAUCGUGUCUGGGGAUUGUCUUGAUCGUGUACGAGGCGGGUCCAAGUAUUCGACACUCUGACACUUCAACUGAAAGAGGUUAACCAAUUGAGUUAUAUUUCACUAGCAAUACAUAUACUUGGGGGAGGUGUGAAUCGCACCUAAGACCUGGAGUAUAAAGAUAAAUACUCUUAUUCACUUGAGUUACAAACCUCUUCCUAUUCAAGGUUUGUUAUACAUAAUAGUUGGUAAAUAUCUAUCCUUUAUAAUAAUAGUAAAAUUAAAAGAAAAAAAAAGAUUGAAUAUUACUUGCAUUCUACCCAUCAAAUUAGAUAUGUAUGGAUGAAAUGCACAUAAGUGAACCAUGUUUUUUGGGUCAAAAGAUGCAUAGUGGGUGAGGUUUGGGUAACAUGCCCAGUAAAUACUUAAAUCCUUAUUGACCCGAAAAAAAAAGAAAAAAAGAAAAAAACCUCUUAAUUCCUUAAGUUAAGUAUUCAUUAAAUUACUUUUCCUUUUAAGAAAAAUUGGGUAUUAGACCUAGAAAAGAAUUGUUAUUUUGGAUUAAGCCGAAAACGAGGACUAAAUUCGUUGGGCCAGCUUAAAAAUAAAAACUGAAAAGACAAUGCUACCCUUCUUCUUAAAAAACCUGACCCAAUUUUAAAACUUACAAAGUAAUUUUGAUGGUGUAAGGGUCUUUUUAUUCCAGCCUGACGAAUAGGUUUGGGCUACUGAAGAGAGAAACAGUGAAAUUACCCCUUGUGUCUGAGUUCAAAGAUCAGACCCUAAGAAUGCUUCGAAAGGGGAGCUGAGCCUUAGAGCAACUCCACCGCUCAACACAAACCGGGCAAAAGGCUGCCCUAGCAAGCCCAAGGCCCUCCAGCGCGCAAGAUUGAGCUUGAGCAAUCAAUAGGUCCCACCAACCCCGGCAGGCCUAAGGGCAAGUCUCGCCUGGGCUUCAGCUCGAGGGCGAUGACGUCAGCGCUGACGUUACGGUGACGUCAGCGCACGGUAAAAAAAUUUGACUGACGUCAUCGCUGAUAGACUCCAACGGGCAUUUGACACGUGUCGCAACCAGGCUUCUCCGAUGGGUUUUUUUUUCAAAAAUCCGACGGUCCUCGUUUUUUUGGCUAAAAAAAUUCCAAAAAAAAUCGAAAAAAUUCUGAAUUUUUUUUUAAAAAAAUACCAAAAAAUUCUGUAUUUUUUCCCUAUAAAUACCUAACAAUUUUAUUUACUUUCCACACUAAAUCUUCAUACAAUUUCUUCUCCAUCCAAUAUUUUUUUACUCUCCACUCACAUUAUUUACUUCCCACACCAAUUCUCCAUAGAAACUCUUCUCCUUCCAAUAUUUUUUACUCUCCAUUCACAUUUUUCUACCACUUUCCAUUUGUAUUAAAAAAAAAAAAAAAACAAACAAACAAAUGGCAUCUUCUGUCGAAACCGGAGGCUCGUGGUCAACUCAGGAAGAUAUUGCGUUGUGUCAGUCUUGGGUGAACGUUAGUCAUGACCCUAUCACGGGCAAUGAGAUGAAGUUCCAUCAUAUGUGGAGCAAAAUUCAUGGAGAAUUUUGUCAAAGAUCGGGUUCCAUUCGGACCGAAAUGGCGUUGUCUAGUAGAUGGAAACUUUUGAAUAAAGAGUUAGGAAAAUGGAGAAAUGCCUUGACAAAAGCAAGGGAGAACAUUCGAAGCGGUCAAAAUCUAUCCGAUGAGGUAAAAUAUUUAUAAUCGCCAUUUUCAUCAAUUUAAUGUAACUUUUUUUUUGUGCAUAUUCUAUUUCUUUUUCUUGCAUAAUCUUUUUUUUUCUUUUUGCAUUUUCAAUUUGUCUAUAUUUUCUUGCAUAAUCAAUUUUAUUCUUGCAUUUCAAAAUAGUUUAUAUUUUCUUGCAUAAUAAUUUUUUUUCUUGCACUUCCAAUUAUUUAUUUUUAAUAGAUCAUACAAGCACAAAUGUGGUUCGGUGCCAUAGGGCAAGGCAAAAAAAGUUUCGUGCAUUUUCAAUGUUGGGAAGUUGUGAAGGAUUGUUCGAGAUUCAAAAUUAUUCCCACCGGUCCGCCGGUUGUGUUGAAUGAGACGCCACUCCACGAUUCACCAUCAACCGAUUCGCCAUUGGACUCCCCAAUGGAAACGGAGUCACCACUCCCACGUCCACCGAGACCUAUUGGGAGAAAGGCGGCAAAGGCCAAGAGAGGGGCACUUCGAGCAAUGAAUGUGUACAAUUAUUGGAGCAAAUAGCUAAGAACGCCUCACUAAGAAUUGAGAGAGACUUGAAAAUAGAUGAAGUAGACAAGGCAGGAGAGGAAACAUUUGCAAUUCAACAGCAUCAUGCACAAGAAAAAGACAUGGAUGAUAGAGAGAUGAAAAUUAUGGCCAUGGAUAUGAGCUAUAUGUCUCUUGAAACAAAGGCCUAUUGGAAGCAUAGACGAAGGGAUGUGAUGAGAAGAAAACUUUUCCAUGACGACGGACCUAGCAAUACGGAUUGGUUAAAUGAUGAAAACCAUUAGGUUGUAUUGAAACACCUUUGCCAUAUGUUGUAUUGUUGUAUUGUUGUAUUAUCCUUUAAUUUGUUGUAUUGUUUCCUUUUCAUUAAAUAAAAAAAGCACUAAAUAAUAUGACUAUUUAUUAAAAAUAUUUGAGCAUCAAAACAAAGAUUAAUUAAAACCAAACCAUAAUUUAUUGCAAACAACACACAAAACAACCCAUACAUAAAAGCAUAAUAAUAAUAAAUAAAAGCAAAAUUCCAAAAAACACCACACACAAAAUAAAGCAUAAUUCCAAACAAAGCACUAAUCUUGACUUCAUCCAUUGUGAUUGCCUUUCAUCUCUCACAAGUGCUCGAUCAAGUCAACUUGACGUCUCUCGUGAACAUAUGAAGAUUGCAUUUCUUCAUAACGAUCAAUCAUGGGGUUGUUGAAUCGACCAUCCCGAACUAACGGUUCGGGCUCCAUUGGUAGUCCAUUUGGUCCCAUCGGCCUUUCAUAUAUUCUUGUCAACGCCGUGUUCAUGGGAUCGGGUUCAAACACCUCUGGAGCAUUGUCGUCAUACUCGUCCUCCACAAUCAUGUUGUGGAGGAUGAUGCAAGUCAUCAUAAUACUCCGUAGCACCUCCUCGUCUAGCAUCCGAGCAGCACCCCUGAUAAUUGCCCAACGAGCUUGCAAGAUACCGAAACACCUUUCCACGUCUUUCCUGUAACCUUCUUGAAAGGAAGCAAAGCUUCUUUCCUUCUCGGAUUGGGGAUUCAGAAUUGUUUUCACGAAUGUCGUCCACCUAGGAUAAAUUUCGUCGGCAAGGUAGUACGCACCAGAGUAUACAGUAUUGUUGAUUUGGUACGUGACCUGGGGGGAAUGACCUCGCAAUACCUCAUCGAACACCGGGGAUUGACCAAGGACAUUGAGGUCAUUCUGAGAUCCGGCAACCCCGAAGAAGGCAUGCCAAACCCAAUAGUCGAAUGAAGCUACGGCCUCCAAAAUUAUACUUUUUUGGCCCUUUCGAUUCCCGUACUCUCAUUGCCAAGCAGUAGGACAAUUCUUCCACUGCCAGUGCAUGCAAUCAAUGCUUCCAAUCAUGCCUGGAAAACCUCGAGCCUCUGAUUUUUGUAGCAGCCUUUGCAGGUCUCUCGGCGUGGGUUUGCGAAGGUACUCCCUCGUGCACAAAUUUUUCACUGCAUCACAGAAUCUCACCAAGCACUCUAGGAUAGUUGAUUUUCCCAUCCUUGCAAUCUCAUCCACCUGCUCUGCAGAUGCCCCAUAAGCAAGCAUCCGCAAAGCAGCUGUAAGUUUUUGCUCCGGGAUAAGACCCAAAACUCCAACAGCAUCAUGCUGUUGAAUGAAGUAUGUGUCGUAAUUACAAAUAUCAUGCAUGAUUUUUUGAAACAAAUGUGGUUGCAUUCUAUAUCUCUCUCGAAACUUAUGAGUAGGAUAUAACGAAUUUGGAAUAAAGUAAUCCUCCAAGAGAUUCUUACCCCGAGACUCUCUACGUCUGUCCACAUUUGGGGCAUGAGGACGACGGUGUUGCCUUGAUUGAUUAAGCAUACACACCGCUGCUGCAAGCAUUUGUUCCUCUUCUUCAUCGGCGUCCCGAUCUUCUUCAGCACGUCUAUGCCGGAUUUCUUCCCUUUCUUUCUGUUGCCUCUCUAACACCCUCCUCAAGUUUGACAUUGAGAGUAGAAUGUGUUUUGUAAAAUCUAAGAAAUGAAGGAAUAGAUAAGAGAUGGUGUGAGAGGUAUGAGUUGAUGGUGUAGUUUUAUAGAAGGAUUCAGAAGAUAGAGAUGACACGUGGCACAAUUUUAGAGGAUGAAAAUCUUAUCUGAAAUCUGAGAUUAUAAUUUUUUAAAAAUAUCUGAAAAUCUUAUCUGACAGAGAUGACACGUAGCACAAUUUUAGAGGGUGAAAAUCUUAUCUGAAAUAUGAGAUUAUAAUUUUUUUAAAAUAUCUGAAAAUCUUAUCUGACAUGGGUGGCACAAUUUUAGAGGGUGAAAAUGUUAUCUGAAAUAUGAGAUUAUAAUUUUUUUAAUGAAUAUCCGAAAAUUUUAUCUGGAAUAAGACACGUGGCAAUCGAGAUUCUCAUCCGAAAAUCUUUUCUGAAAAAUAAUGGACACGUGACAACCAAAAAUACUAUCCGAAAAUUUAAUUACAAAAGAUUAUCAAAAUUAAUGGUUUAAAGUAUAAAAAAAUAGGAAAUAAAGUACAAUGAAUAGUAUUUGCCUUAGACUUGCCCUAGACUUAGCCUUCAUGGGUGGAACCACAAAUAGCAAGGCUGCCACUAUUCAUGUGAAUAGUGGCAGCCCUUGCUUGCCCUUGCCUUAUACUUAGCCCUUAUGGGUGGAGUUGCUCUUAGGAAGCAUCCUGGUUAUCUUCACCAGCAAAAACAACAACUGCUUACAGGUAGAUUCUUAGCUUGGCAUGAGAGGCUUGUGGCAUAAGAGCAAAGUUGUCAUGAGUUUAGCACUAAAGAGAAAAUUAAGUGUUUCUAAGGGAAAUAUGGGGUAUUAAGGUAGGAGAAAAGGGGUUUUGUAGAAAGCUUUGGUUGACAAUGAGGGAAAGAGAGAAAUGGUGGCUUGAGUGCUUUUUCCGGUAGCUUGACAGAGACCAUCAAGUGUUAGAACAGCUUGCCAAGAGGGAAAACUAAGGGAAAAGGAUGGGCUGAGCACAAAAUUACUGGGUUUUGGGAGUAAGAGAGGAAGCUUGCUCUCUGGUUGUGGAUGAUGUUUGUUGGGUAGAAGAAACUCCCUUUUAUAGGCAAGAACCCUAAUUCUAUCAAUACUCCAUUCCCACUUUUCCUUUGCUUCUUUCCAUUCACUCCUUUUUGGUGAAAUUUCUUUAAUCAGAGUAGAUGGGUCACAUGCUCUUUGGGGUUCCAAGGUUUUUGUGAGGCUGGACCUUUCCAUGGGGAUGAGGCGCCACCUGCUUUUCUUCUUGGUUUCCCUAUUAGAGCUCGUAGAGGAAAGAAGAAUGGAUAGAGCUUUUGCCUAAUGGGUAUUCCUCCUACACGUACGAAUUCCCUUUGGUUUUGCCAUAGCUUCAUGUUGGGUUUGUCUUUGGCCAUGUCUCCUAGCUUUCUGAGCGUACAAACAUCUCCUGGUUUUCUGUCGUGGUUUCAUUUCAAACUGUAUGCUGGAGAUUUUUUGGAUAUCUUCUAAACCACUUGGGCUAUUUAGCCUUCCUAAGGUGACGGGUCAGUGUAUUAAGGGAAUGGGCCAACUUCCUAAGUGAUAGACCAUUUUUAUUGAAAUGAUGAGCUAAUUUUUCUUAAAGUAUUGGGCUAUUUCUCUCUUUUAUGCUUACCCAUAUAUUUGGGCUCAAGAAAUGGGCUGGAGUUUUGGGGCUCCCAAGCAGCCCAAAACUUCCAUUUCUCAGCUCAUCAAUGGGCCUCAUGAAAGCUCGUUACCAUCCAUAUCAGAACCCACUUAAGCAAGCCCCGGGCAUUUGUGUGGCUUGGGCCCACUUAAGCUUGUAGCGUGGCUAGGUGUAAUAAUAAUGAUUUUUUGCUUGGCAUUGCAUGUUGCUUGGCAUUCGUAUCCUUUAAAAAGGGAUAUGAUGCUUGACAGGAUAAUUAGCAUGAGCUUGUAGAGUCAGUGCCUUUUUAUAGGCUUAUUUCGAUUCUUAGCGUGACGGAUUGCAUAUUUAUUUGGCAUGGCACGUGGUCGUGGCUCGUGCAAGCAUGUAUGAUGAACUUUUGCAUGCCCAAAUCGGGUUUCUUCUCGAUAAAGUAUCGCAUUGGGUAGAUAAUCUAUUUGGGCCCAACCCUGAAUUUUUGGGCCUCAACAGAUGGUCUUUAAUUAUAUUAUGGUAAAAGUAGGUACUAUAUUUUGGCUUUUGGCUUUAUCCUAAUUAGCUGAAAUUGAAUUCCUACUUACCUAAAUGAUAAACUAUAUUGUGUGUGGAAAACUAAAGCUCAACAAUAAAUGUGAGUGGGAAAUAUAGCAGUGUGUAUGAAUAAAAAAACUAAACUUCCUAAAACAUCUUCAACAAUAUCAAGGUACAAAUGAAUCCACUAUGGCCUAUCUCCUAAUGGUGCAUGAAAGAGAAUUAUCAUAAUUAAUAUUAACAAAGAAUACCAUAUUAGGGUGUGCCUUAACUUGGUGGUGGCACGCUUACGCAAUUUGAAGAAUGACUAAAAGUUUCAUAGGUCACCUCAGCUGAAAAGAGGGAUAUAUAAUUUCGCAUGCUCGGUGGGACACACUAUAUGAGCAACCAAAAGGAAUGGAAUCAUUCCUAUCAGCCGAUGAACUACAAUGGCUAUGACUCUUAUGGCUCAAGUAGCCAAUCCAUCAGCCAACAUGGUGAGCACAACCACAAUGGCCAAUAUAGUUUUACCCAUCAAGGUGGGUCUAACAACACAUAUGACUCAAGUAGCAAAUUUGAUGGCCAAUAUGGUGCGUACAAUUAAGGGGAUAUGAUCUUUUGAACCAAAAUGGUUCGAAUGAUCAGCAUAUCUUUGGUGGCCAAACCAAUCAAGUGGCAUGGGGGCAAUACACUUACCCAUAUUGUCAAUACGGUUCCACCUAUAUGUACAAUGAGCCUAAUUAUUGUUCCCACCAAGCAAAUCAUCCUAUUGGCUAUGGUGGCCAAUUUAAUCUCAAAGCGGGUAAGGGGCCAUUUGGUGGCCUUACCCACAUUGUGGAAGAAUAUAUGAAGGAAAUAAAGGAAACAACUAAGUUGAAUGUUUUAUUAAAAGAGUUCUCAUAUGGAUUACAAACUUCUCACGACCUUUUCGUCCAAAGUUUGCUUAAGAUUUCUUUAUAUAUAUAUAUAUAUAUAUAUAUAUAUGGUAUUUUAGUUGUUUCUCGCUAUCUUUCUCUUGUUUAGUGUCCUGCUCAUAUGGUAAUCCUUUGUGCAGAUUCUGUCAUGCCUUCCAAAUUGCUCUACACAUUUAAAAAGUUCGUAUGCUAUUUCCUUAAAGACUUGGAAUUAGCUUCUAAGGAUUGUAUCUCAAACUCUCAGUUAUGCAUUUGAUUUGCACAUAAUUGAUUGUUAUUGUUGAAACCAUGGACAUACCUUCGAAUGGAACAACUACACUGAUUUCAUCCCCUCUUCAUUGUGAAUUGAAUUAUAGAUUAAAUUGGCCACUAGACUCAAUUGCAUGUUCAAUAUGCAUUUGCUACAUUAUGUGGUCCAAUUGACAUUGCAUUGUAUUUCAAAUCGUCAAUUUUAUAUGUACUUCGUGGAAAAUUUGGAUAAUUUGCACAUAAUUUAUUGUUAUCGCAAAACCCAUGGAUGCACAUUGGAUUAAUUUUGCCCUUAUUUUUAUGUAUUGCCGCCAGUUCAUUGUGAACCCAUUCACUUCAAAUAUAGAGCAAGAGGAAUGCAGCUCAGCUUCUCAUACUUGAUUCAAUUUUCAUAAUCACUGAACCACAACCCACUUUCUCUUUGGUUUCUUUUAAAUUUGUUUUGGUUUUCCUCCUUUUCGAGUCCAAUGGAAUUCUUUGUAGUCAUGUCCUCCAAAAUGUAAGAACUCACUAGUAGUCCUACCAAAAUACCAACAUUCAUCAAAAGACGAUUGCACUCAUUCAAUACAAUUAAAUGCCAAAAAAAAGUCAAACAAAUGAUAUCGGAGAACCAUUUCAAAGCACACCCUUAUAUAGAAAGUCAUUCCUCACAUUUAGAUGUUCCUAUUAUAGGUGUUUACAACACCACACCAAGGUUUUGACCUUAGCUUCAAAAACUAAUAAUUUACCAGAUGACCAAUUGCAUGACCUUAGUCUAGUGUAAGUAACCAAUUACAAAUAUUCCUAACCGGUUACAGCCAGUUUCUUCUCAUUCCCUUCAUAACUAUCUGGAGCUAAAUAGAGAAUAAAGGAGAAGCUUUUCUUUCCGACCAAAGCAAUACAAUUUCUGUAUUCUUACAAGAAGCAGUUAACCAGACCUUAUCAGACAUCUUCAUCAAUCUCCUGUACAACCUCUCAGAAAUCUCCUUGUGAAUCACCUCUCAAAGACAAAACAUUCUAAGUCUUCUUGGCCCAUGUGAUAAUGGUCACUGCUCCAACAUCGUCAUAUCAAAAUUCGGCGCCUUACGCUCUGUAUGAAAGGAGUGGUCCAACAAAUAUUAAUUUCACUAAAUUGUUGCUGAACAAUCUCUAAACAAAAUGGGCAUAUGAGAAGAGCUCUGUCGCUCUGAAGCAGGAAAUUAAUGUUCAAGAAAACAGUACACAAUUUUGAAUAAAAAAUAUAAUCUUGUGAGACUCACCAGCAUGUAGUGCUUGAAGAUGGUGUUCAGAACUUUCUGUGGCUCUGCUGGACUUCAACUUGCUAUCCUCACCCCUUCUCAUUCUUCUUGAAGAGCUCAAAGAGCCUUCAACUGCACAAAAUGAGAGUCAACAUGCCAAAAUUGAUUGCACAGAAUUGAAGGCACAAAAAAUAUUCACAACUACCCUUGUUUCCAUAGAGCUCCCAAUUUCACAAAUUUUACAAGUUUGGAAAUAAUUUUUUGCUAUUAAAAUAAAUGAAUAUUUGAUGAUAAGCCAGAUAUUGGGCCAUGUUACAUACCUUGCCAUUCCCAUACUACUUUUGAUUCACCCUUCACCAGCUUUGGAUAACAAUCUACAUGAGAAUCCUCCUGAACCAACUCUUCUACCUACACAUAUUACAGAUAUUACUAUUAGAAAGAUAAACAAUAUUAUGACCACUAUUUUCAAACUACAAAGAAUAAUAGAACCCAUAAAAUCAAACUAAAAUUUUCCUUUGGGAUUGAAAGCAACUAAGAUUAGGUAACAAUACAAAAAAUAUAACAAAAAUAACUAAUUAAAGCUAUACAAAAUGGAUGUACUUGAACUUUUCGAUUUCAUGUUUCUCACUACGGAUAUAAUGAUAUAUUUCAUAGCUUGAUGGUAACAUUAUAAUGGGGUUAAAAAUAAGUAUUCUUCUAUAUCUUAAUUUGGAUGAAUGGAAUAAAAAAGCCUUGUACAUACAAGUAUACAGCAAGGCAUUGUUAUGUUUAAUAGAGACUAUGGGAAAACAAUAUAUCUCUAAAAGGAGGCAUGUAGGAGCCGUCAUCAUGCUGGUGCAAAACAAGUCAGAACUAAUCCCUUAGGUGGUAAGAAUGAAGUGGGGAAAGCGCGUAGGAUUAGAAUAGGUCAUGAUUUGAAUCCUGCCCAGUGUAAAGAAAAUAAAAAUAACAUGAAUUAAAUAUGAGCCACAACUUGUGAGAUCAUAAAGCACAAAGAUCUAUACAUCUAAUUAUCGUCAUUGGCCCUAGUGAAUCAAAGGUUGAUUGUGACCUGACCCAACCCACCAAGCCAAACCCGAGUUUAGUUGGACAUGAGUCAGCUGCAAAAGUAGUGGGCAUCAGCUCGGGCUCAGUGAUAGUCAAGUCAGGUUAACUUUUUGUUUGUUUUUUAUAAGUUUAGAAUUUCUUAAAGUAGAUGUAUGUUACAUGUAACUAAAGGUUUUAUAGCAUAUAAGAACAAGGAAGAAAUUACUUGAUUCAUAAAUAGAAACAAAACAAACCAUAUCAAUCAAAACAUUUCAAAAGGUUCUUACGUUAAAACGGCAAUUCCAUUGAAAAUGUUCGGUUCAAUAAUAAACAGAUCCAACUUGUCGUCCCCAAAAAGUAAGCAUAAUUUACAAUCAUAGAUUAAUUUGAAUGUAGUUUGAACUCGAAUGACAUAGUUAAAUACAUACCACUUUAACAAAGGAAUGCUACAAUGGAUACCAAAAGUACAUUCACUGAAGAAUUAUGGAUUAAUAAAUUAUCAAUCGAACAAGAAAUUAAAGGUUGAAGUGAUAAUCAAAUCCAAAGAAAGAUGGAGAUACCUUCUUCCACAAUACAGGGUCUUUCCUCUCCUUUGGCAAAAGAAGACGAUCUCGCAACCGAGAGGCAACAACCCAUGGUUCACAUUCACUAUUCACACUCUUUGACAUGAAGGCCUUCUCCUCAAGCACUUCACAAACCUACAUAGUUGGCAAUUAAAAUCGUUUUAACAGAAGCAACUGAACAAUUCAAAUAAACCAAGGGAUUAAAAAAUUGCGUCUUGUUGAAGUUGUGCAUCAUUGACAAUCAUGUCUAGUACGCUCUUAUAAAUUAAGGUAACAGUUUACAUGAAUUUAAGGUAAUAUAACAUUAGACCUAGCAUGUUUCACUGAGGAAAUUUAUGUCCGAAUUUUCUUUGACUUUUGAGUCUCAUAUUAGAUGUUCUCUGCUGUGAUAUGAGGAGUUAUUCCUGUCCCCUUCUCUUAUUUCUUCUUCAUCUAUUUUUCAGGUUUUACUUGUUAAAUAUUCCAAUACUUAGAAAAGGUUCAGCCCAAUUCAAUCAUAAAGAAAUACUUCUAUUGAUGGCUGCCUGCCAUGCCACUAGCUUGUUUCCAGUUUCUCACAGCGAUUUGUGCCUAAUUUACAGCCCAAGAUAUCUAUCUGAAAUAUAUUGUUCAAAGUAACACUAUCAAAUAUUUUAAAGAGCAUUUGGAAAAAGAGAAUACUUUUACUAGCAACACUAUCAAAUCUUUUUACGAGGAUUUUACAUAUUAAAUGCAAAGUUUUCCCGAAUUAUGUGCAUGGGUCUAAGGUUUUCCCAAUCUGACAUGACACGGCUUGACAUCAACAUUAACAUAAUGUCCACUCAUUGAGAUGGAAUGUCCACUUAUUAUUUCAGAUGUCACACAGAAAAGACUGGACAUUUCUCAUGCAGGUCCAUUCAGAAAAUACAGGUACAUUCAUAAAACACAGGUACCUUCAGUUAUUUUUUCAAAACUCAGGGAUUUAUGAGGUCAAGUCCUCAAAUUUUAGUCUGGAAGAUGGUGAAAUCCUUAUAAUGUCUGACUUACAGAAAUAAUAACAUAAAAGCCUAAAAUGUAAAUGCCCCUUUCCAAGUACAGAACAAAUGGUAUCAUACAUACCUGUUGGUAAAGCUCAUCAACUCUAGUUGAUAGACACCGUCUUCGGUGGAGUUUCCAAAGUAUGAACGUUGAUCCCACAAGCUGGAGAUCUCAAUACUGUCAACAAGCUUCAACAUGUUGAUACUAAAACAUAAUCAUUAAAGGCUGCCUUUAAGAAUGGAAUACCAAUGCACAAACUCGCAAAAUAAGUAACGCAUGCUCAGAGAUCCAUUGACGAAUGCGACAUGAAAAAGGUUUGUAAUGUUCAGCUAGCAUGUCAGGACACUUCAACUCUUUGACCCUAUACACAAAGAAAAGUAAACACAAAAUACAAUGGUUAGGGUACAUUCAGAAAGAGGAAAAGCUUUCCUCCAUAAUGACAUACCCACGAGAACUUGUCCUCGUAUCCAACAUUCUAUUGACAGUCUCCAUUGUCCUUUCUUUUGUAUACAUAUAAAUGGCAUUAUCUGGGACAUGUUCCAGCAGCUCGCGCUUAUCUAAAUCAUUCCAUAUAUCAUUUUCUUCAACCUGUCAGAACCAGACAAGCUAAAGCAUUGUCAAAGUGUAUUUAACAGCAACCGAAAAUAUCCGUACAGAAAUAAAUUUGAUCAAUUUCAUAGGAUUUUAAAAGUCACUAACCCAAAUUGUUUCAGUUCCAUAGCACAAAAAUUGAGCAAGUGCCCCACAAAGACGAAUUUCUACCCUUUCUGCCUGUAUUGUACAAGUCCAAAUAAAACAUAAAUGUAUCAUGUAUGUAAAUCUAUAAGUGUGUAUAAUACUCCAACGUAACUUAUGCAAUUUUUCAUCCCUAGAAUAUUAGUGCAGCAAAAAGGAGGAGACUUUCAGGACGUACAAGUUUCUUAGCUGUUUCAUUGAUAUCUCCAUCUUCUAUGCAUAACUUCCCACGCUUCUUAAAUCCUUGAAGACAUUCCAUCUUGCCUUGAAAACAUUGUCCAUUACUUGGGCAAGGCUCACAAGAAUCUGUAAUAAUCCACAUUGAUUAAUGUAAAAUCACAAUAGAAAUAUGCAUCUUGCUGAAAACUAUUGCUCAUGAGUCAUCAAGAGGUGAUUUUGAGAAUCAAUCAACCCACAAAUCCGUAGCCCAGGUGACUCACAGCCUCCCUCUCGCCCAAAUGGGCUAGGGUUGAAAAGUAUGCAGCCGAAUGAAUUAAAGGAACUAGAAGAUACACUAUAGGGCGCAGAGAAAUGCCCACAAGAAAUGCUAAACAAUCCAGUAAACGCUAUAAAUGGAUAACCCGCAAAGCUUGUAUCAACAUGUUUAUUAAAAAUCAGUAAAACUAUUAUUUCCACUAUUUUAUUCUCCAUUUUAUUUUCCAAUCAUCUGGAUAUAGAUAAUAGAUGUACUGCCCUUAUAUCACCUUUGUACCACCAUAGAACCAUCAGUUGUGGUAAUUUAUGAUGUAAAGAAUCUUUACACGGAGAUAUUGCCUUUACAAACAUGAUUCAGUUAUAAAACACAACAAAAUUCUAGUCUACUUCACAACAUAAAUACAACUUGAACACAGGUCCCUUAAAGUCACGACAAUAGGUAACAGAAAAUGCUUGAGUUCGUUUGAUGAUGUGUGGCAAACCAGCAGCAUAGGGUACCCGGGUGCAUAAUCAGCUCUGCAAGCCUACGUUACUGGGAGCCUACCCGCACUCUGGUCUGCGUACACAAAACAGACAGGACUUGAACCCAACAAGGGCCAACUUUAAGCCUGAGACAGACUGAAACCUGAAGUCAGAAGGUGACCAUGCUCUGCUGCUAUUCGGGGAUACCCACAGACAUGCAUAGUUAGCCCCAGCUAACCAAUUAACCCCUACAACAAAUCUCCAAUGACUUGGCACAUCCCAGAGGUAUAAAUUCUAUGAAUAACUGCUAUCCAGAGAUCCGAAACACUUCUAAAUCCAAAUCUAAGCAUACUGAUCACAAACUGAGUUUGUAGCCACAGAGGCACACAACACCUUUUAAACUGAACACAGCCAAUAUAAAACAAACCCAAACGCAAAGAACCCAUUUUCCCCCUCAAAAAAUGAACACCGAUCAAUCCACAAUCGAAAUUCAGCUCAAAACAACAAAGCAAGUCACAAAACAUCCAAUAUCUUGUUGGGGUUUCUCGAAAACAAACAUAAAGUUGAGAGACCUACCCGGGAGGAAGUCCAGGGAGUCCAGGGAGCUAUCACAGAAGGGCUUGGAGUGGGGGUUGAUGAGAGUGGAGGACAAGAAAUUGAGAGUCAAAGCGACCGAAGCUGCGAUGGCCAGCGCUACUGUGAGCCUCGAGAACUCUUCUUUUGAGGGAAAGAAAUUCUGGGAUGGUUCCAAUGUUGAUGCAAUGGAAGAAAGAGAGGACUCAGGGCUCCGCUUUGGUUUGGGUUUCGGGCGCUUCUUCGAAGUUGAAGACAUUGAUAAAUUAAUAGUGUUGUGUCGGUUACUGUGAGGCAAAAAAAUGGAAGAGAGGAAGGAGAAAGGGGAGAGGAGAAAUGAAAAUGAAAGAUAGGCGGCUGUCCCCUGGUUUUGUUUUGGCCUUCUGAAGCUAUUAAUCGGUCGGGUAUAGGAUGGCAAAAAUCGCCGCGGGAGCGGGUACUCGUCGGGUCCCCGACUUUAACGGGAGAAGAUUUCAGGAGCAAAUGGGUACUGAGUAUGGGAAUCUCCGAAUUUAAAAAAUCCUCUACAUGUAUGGGAAAGGGAUGGUAUUGGCGUCCCCAUCUCCGAAUCCGACCCGAAAAUAUAUAUGUUUAUAUUGAAAUAAAUAAAUAUAUAAUUAUAUUAUUUAUGUUUAACUUUAAAUUAACCACCCUCUCCCAAUUCUUUCUAAUCUUCUUUGGAAUUUCAUAUUGAUGUGAUUUUAAAUAGUUGAGUUGAACUUUAUAAUUAAUUUGGAUGUGUUGAAUAAUAAUUUAAUAUGAAACUUAAUGUAAAAAUAUAUAAUAAAUAUUUUUUAUGCAAAAAAAAAUCCGGGAUUUAAGGCGGGUAUGGGGAAUAGUACCCCGACGGGAAUGGGGAUGGGGAUUCCACGAAACCUAUUAAACGGGGAUGGGUUUGGGGACAGGGGCGGGGAUGGAGACCUGAGAAGGGGAUGGUAUUGUCAUACCCGGCCCCUACCUGACCCGUUGCCAUCCAGCUUGACCCAUUUAAGAUUCCAAAAUGGGUUGGGCUGAUUUAUUUUUAUCUUUUUGACAAAACAAUUUUUUAAACCACUUUAAUAUGUGAGGAGAAGCAAAAUGACCCACUAGUAUGGCUAGUUUGGAGUGCUUGCUCUUCCAAGGCAAAGUCUUGAGUUCGAGUUAUAGUAUCUGUAUUUUGUGGGGGUGAGUUUAGUGUAUUAUCUGUUUGGGCCUAAAUUUGGCACGCCAAAGUUCAAAAAACAGGCCCAUGGUGAAAUUACCUGCCCAGCCCAAAAAACUUGAUAAACGAAAUCAUGAUCCAGACAGGUUGGGCUUCAGGCCAGAAUGUCAAAAACAAAACCCCCAGCCCAAGAAAGACCAACGUGGAAACUGUCAUUUUGGGCUUCAAGGAUCAGCCCAUAAUUUUUGUUGGGUUCAAACCCAAGGGAUUAAAAACAUACCCACGUGACUACCUCAGCUUUGAAAAGUCAGCAAUUCCAACUAAAAUAAAAAAUGAGAGGGACAUCUCUGAAGCACUGCCAACAGAAGAUCAAAACUCAUCUGUGAUUGGAGAUUUUGCUCCAAAGCAAUACACCAUCUUCCGAGGAAUUCACGGGUCACGCUUUCUAAGUUAGAACGGGAAACAGGGAGUUGUUCAGAAAAUACAAAAGAAAACCAACCGCCAUAAAAUUUAGCCCACACAGACGAUGGCGGUGGUCGAAAUAGAAAACUGCAACCCAGGAAACCAGGGAAGGGACUGCUUUAGGAGGUGACUACUGAGAGCUUAUCUGCCAUGAUUGAUAAAAAUCCCUUCUACUUUACAUUAUAGGAGAUCUUUUUACCGCCCAUUAUUAAAAUCUAAACAAAAACACCUCCCUAAGAGGGUCUCUUAUAAAAACGAAGGUAGGCAAGGAAGCAACGACACUCAAUUCAUCAAUCAAUAAAAAAAAUACAACAAGAAAACAACCAAAAGCUCACUUGGAUUCCAAGAGAAACCAGCUUUAGAUCAGAAUUCCAAAGUUCAGACUUAGAAAAUAAGUCUUCUAAAACGAGAUCUCUCUCGUUACAAAUUUGGUUCAGCAAAAGCCAAGGCAAGCAGAGUUUGAGUUUUCACAAACGUGGAGACCUCAGCAAACUUAUAAAGAGUCCUGCUCAAGCAGAACAACGCUCGUAGUGCAAUCCCUAGCCUACCAGACCUUCGAAAAUAGCCACUUCUGCCCCUUCAGACUGAAGAAGCCGUAGUUCUGCCCGCUCAAAAGCCUCCCAAGGCUUGAAGUAGAUUAAAACUCUACCAAAAUUGAACUUUGGUAUCGAUUUACAGCUGAAGCUAAGCAGUUGAAGUUGUUGACAGCUCAGUCCAGCACAGACAUACUCAGUCCAGCCUGGAUCAGAAGUUUCUACCGAGGCAGAAAUGGGAUUCCAGCCAUCUUUUUGUCUUUCUAGAGUUGAUUUCUCCCUUCUUAAUUUUGUAAAAGGCAGUUCUACCUAAAACAGUCCACUUUAUUAUUAUCUAUUCUGGCCAGAACAACCAUUUGAUACUGAGAUAAAUUAUGAAAGUCCUCACCAGUCUGAGGCAAGAAAAGAACUUACGUGGGAGAUAUUCCUCACCCAAAUUCACAAUCAUUUGUUUUAGAAGUCAGUAACUUGGGGCGCAAGUUAUCCACUCUAAAAAGAAGUCUGCUAGGAUUUACAUCGCUAGCAGUGGCACGCUCACACACCAAAGAAAGCUGACUUGUCGACCAACCAAUGGUCUCCAAGCCAGUGGGGAACUUCGCCCUUCGACCUCAGGAGUAAACACGAAAACGGGUGAACAUUAUCGACGGAACUGGUAUGAUUCAAUAUCAAUGUUGACACCGUAAAAAAUCAUGCAAAAUUUCAGAAAUCUUGCAAUUUUUAUAAACCAAGCUUGAUACAAAGUUUACAAACAAUCAAGAUUCAAGAGCAACAACCAGAGGAGGUUUAGCGAUGAGCAAAUUAGGUUGUUAAGAGUCCCUAGUUGAAGUGGCUUAUGUAGGUACUUUUACUUUUAACUUGUACUAUUUGGUAAGGUAUGAUACCAAACGGGAUCAUAAAUUUAGAAUCGGUGUCGUGCCAAAUAGUAACGAGAUGACACGGUAUCAUCUCGUUUACACUUCAACAUCAAGUGGGACGACACAAGAUUGGCACGAUUUGCCACGAUUUCGGUAUUCCGAUUUUGAUGCCCAACCCUAAACACACUUACUUGACCAACUGGCCUAACUAGUCAUGGUGGGCUUCGACUGCAAUUCACCUUAAUUUUUUAGUGAAUCAAAUGAAUGUAAUUAACUUACUACUGCCAUUCCAACGAUUUGGAGCAUUUGCCUUGCCAUUUUCUUUCUUAUUUUCUGAAAAUUAUGCUGUGAACGAAACUUGCAUCACUGGCUGACUGAAGGAAAACUAAGUUUCCAGUUUUCCAGUAGUGUUGGUUGGGGAAACAGAGGUUUUAUUUGAACGAAAACCCAACCUCUGAUUUAGUGGAGGUGUUUAGCAGCCUCAGAAAAAUAUUAGGGUUUCAACAAAAACAAAAAUGGAAAAAAAAAAAAAAAAAAAACAAAUUGGGGGCUCCUUCAACAAUAUGCAAAACGCAAUUAGUGCCCAUCUCAUACAUGUCUGCUCUGUUUUCAUCAGCAAGUAAUGAUCCUUCCUAUAUGCAGGCCUGACAGAACACACUGGCAUAAAAGUUUUGAAGAACCAAUGCUAAAUGGCCAACAGAACUGACCACAAGCACAAAUCCUCUGGCACAAACAGUUCCUCCAAACUUCCCCAGAAAAUGGCUGUCUGGGAAAAUGCCAAGUGCAAAUGGAAACAUUGGAUUACAUGCAUCUCCAUACCCAUCUUAACUUUUCCUAAAACAAAUGCUGUGAUUGUGCAAUGCUUAUUGUCAAAACUAUUUGAUUAACAGGUAGUGAUAUUCAAAUGAAAGAUCAAGGCAUUUGAAAGGAAUCACAAUCUUCACACCUGAAAAAUUAGGUCUCUUGAUUCGCCGACCCUUAGGAAUUCCCUUCCCAUUUUCCAACUCCAAAUCCUAAUCCAUUCUAAUAUGACUGGAAAUUAUCCCACUACACUUGGUCUUUCCAUUCCAUCACUAAUUUUCACUACAAAGGAGCUUCAUGCAGAGUGCAGAGACCUAUUGUUACUGAACCUCUAAUACAGUUUCUACUUCUUCCACUGAAUGACAAUUUACAAGUUUGCAACCCAAGAUUUCAAGAGACUGCAAAAGGGAAUUUGAAUUUCUAAAGCACAACAUUUUGAAUAUAGAGUCCAACAAGAAGCUCUAUUUCACAUUAAAAACCCAUAUGUAGCUUAGAAACACAAACGCUAUCCAUUAUGAAAGAGCAUUUGAAGACCUUAAAAGUUACCUACAAGAACAUCUAAUCAGCUCUUAAAAUCACAAAAUAAAAAUUUCGGUUCUUCUAAAACACAAUGUAUCAUACUAAAUUAACCAUCUUUAAGCUAAAAGCUUCAAAUUCACAGAAGUUGCAACAACCCCAUGAAUCUAAAAACAUACCAGCAAAACCCUCAACAGAGCUUCUCUCAGAAAUGCAAAUUACAGUGAAUAAACUACAAAAGCUCCCAAAAGGAAGGUCCUUUGCCUUGUGCAGUUGCUCAGAACACCACGCGAAACUGGGGUGCGUCGGAGCCACUGGCGGGGAGGAUCUCCCAGCGGCAGGGCUCGAGGUCUUCGGAAACGGGGCAGUAUCCGGCGAGAGUGACAUUGUCGGCGGAAGCGGCGACCGACCCGAAUUCAAAGACUGUGAUGUUGGCGGGUCGAGGCACCUCAACGGCGCCGUUCAUGCCCGGAGCCUCGACGGGUUUCGGAGCAGGGUUGGGCUUGGUUUCGGGUUUGGGGUCUUUGCCUUUCCACCAUGAGAGCAGACCCAUGACUGUCUUCUUGACCUGGUUGUUGUGACGGUAAAUGGAUUGGGUGAUGGUAGCUUUGCAUUAGCCGCAUAAGGGCAUAUGUUUUUCUAAGAACAAACGAUUAUUAUUUGGGGCUGGAGUUUGUACUAUUUACGGGAGUGCCAUUGGGCCAGGCUUAAGAAAAACACUACAGCAAAGAUGCAUCCGUCAAGCCCCACCCAAAACUGCUCAUGCCACUCCACUCCAUGGCAAUCUGAACAGAAUCAAAUAGUGGAAUUUUCAAUCUUUGAUUUCGUGAAGUUUUUGGAGGUCUAGGUCUUCACACUUUCAGAGUUUAUACUGCCGGUUAGUGUUUGAUCAUAUUCUCAUUUUGUAUGCAUUUUCUGUAGACUUUACUAUUGUAUGAAAUUUGGGAUUGUAAGUUGUGAGAUUGAGUUUAUAAUCACUUGGGUUUGGUUGAAUUUUUGUGUGUUUUUGAGAUGUGGGUAUGUUUCACAAACUUUGAUUUGGUUAGCUUUGGUUUAUAAGAUUAUGAUUCACAUUUUGAAUAGAAAAUUUGACAUGUUGACCUGAAAGAAUAUAGAAUCCGAUUCUGGAACGAGAGAAUAACAAGAAUAGUGGCUGCUUUUAUGAGUUCAUAUAUGCAUUUAAUACCAUAUGCCUGUAUCUUAAUGUAAUUUUUUUUUUCUUUCAAUCAGGGUUCUUUGUUGAAAAUUUUUAUUGACAGCCAUGAAUGAAGACCAACGCUUACUCUUCCUCAGCUCCUCUUCUCACUUCCCACCUCCACAAGGUCCACAUUUUCUAUCUCACAUUUUUCCUCUCAACAAAAUUAUGUUUUCUGUUGAUUUAAUUUUGAAAUGCUGGCAUCAGGAGUGAAGCUAUCGUAUGGAACGUCUGGGUUCAGAGCGGAUGCGUCCAUCCUCCAAUCGACGGUUUACAGGGUAGGAAUUCUAGCGGCUCUAAGGGCCCUCAAGACCCAAUCUGUGAUCGGGCUGAUGAUCACAGCCUCUCACAACGAGGUCUCUGAUAAUGGAGUCAAAGUUGCUGACCCGAGUGGUGGAAUGCUUUCUCAAGAUUGGGAACCCUUCGCUGAUACCCUCGCCAAUGCUCGUCAUCCCCAACAUCUUGUUGAGGUCCUGUUUUCUUUCUCUAUAUAAUCCUUGGAUGUGUGUGUGUGUGUGUGUUUUUUUUUCCCGUUUCUUUUCGUCAGUUUGUAUUGAAGGUUGACUGAAAUCUUCAACAGUUGAUAGCUGAAUUUGUUCAAAAAGAAAACAUCACACUUGAUGGCGCAAAAUCAGUGGAGAUUUUGCUGGCAAGAGAUACAAGGCCCAGCGGAGAAUUUUUGCUUGAAGCUGCUAAACAGGUAUCGGCUCUUCUACCAUUGUUUAGGAUGAAGUUUUUAUAAUCUCUUUAGGUUCUUGAUCUAGUUAGGAUUUUCUCCAUUGAAGGGAAUCGGUUCGAUUAUUGGAGCAGUUGCCCUUGACAUGGGAAUUUUAACUACUCCACAGCUACAUUGGAUGGUUCGUGCUAGAAAUGGGGGUGUGAAAGCAUCGGAAACUGAUUACUUCAAGCAGCUUUCAAGCUCAUUCAGGUAGUUGAAGAUGGAGGUUGUGUCAUGGCUUAUGAGUUAGUUUGUUCUUGAAAAAAUCAUGUCUUGAUUGAAUGCCUUCACUUAAGGUCUUUUCUGUGGUUGGUUAGGUGCUUGGUGGAUUUGAGUCCUAGUGGAACUCAUGCCAACAAUGUGGAUGACAAGUUGGUUGUGGAUGGGGCAAAUGGUGUUGGUGGAGAAAAACUCGAAAUAUUGAAGACAAUGUUGAAUGGUUUGGCUAUUGAGGUUCGGAACUCUGGAAAAGAAGGAGGUGUACUCAAUGAAGGAGUUGGUGCUGAUUAUGUGCAAAAAGAGAAGGUUGUUCCCUUUAGUUUUGGUUCACAGGAUAUUGGGUUAAGGUCAGCCAUCUUUUGAUUAUACAAUGAAUUUUAAUUAUCAUUUACUUAUAGCUUGCUUGAAAUGCCUGCAUCAAUAGAUACUGCUGGCAAAUGCCUUAGAAACACAUUAGCUUGAAAAUUUCUUUUGAUAUCAAUAUAUGGAUGCAAAAUACAUGUACUAAAUCAAUGAGAUAGAUGGGAGAAACUUUGUGAAAUUUGGUGGCUUAUUUGACUUGUUCUUAUUCCUUCGUGGUCUAUAUUACGUUUCAUUGGGCAACACUUAUGAUGUUUUUCAUAAUAGCAUAACUAGUGGCAAGUUUACUGCUUCUAAAAACUUGAAUUUUGAUCUUAUUUAACAACUAGUUGGAGUGCUUACAAGGGAUAUAUACACCUAUUAUUGAUAUAAAUGAUCAUGGUCUCAGAAACAAUCUUGACUUUUAUUUCUCAUGAUGUUUUUCCCUAAAACUAGUUUGGUUUGUUUACAAAGGAUGCCAGUGUGCAAUAAUCCAAGCAUUGUUUUGUGGUUUCAAACUGGUCAUUUUUUUAUGUUGUCAACUUAUUAAUGUUGCAUUGUUGAUGCAAAGUGUUACAUUCAAUGAUAAGAAGGGCAAGGACUAACUGCUUGCAUGGUUCUAGCUUUUCAGGUGUGCUAGUUUGGAUGGUGAUGCUGAUCGGCUUGUAUAUUUUGUUGUGCCAUCUACAAGUAGUAACAAGAUUGAACUCGUUGAUGGGGACAAGAUUUUGUCCUUGUUUGCUAUAUUCAUCAAGGAGCAACUAAGCAUUUUGAAUAAGGAAAUAGAUGUUAAGGCAAAAAAUGGUUAUCAAUGUCACCUUGGUAUUGUGCAAACAGCUUAUGCAAAUGGAGCAUCCACCGAUUAUCUCAAACAGUUAGGGUUAGAAGUCACAUUUACUCCUACAGGGGUAAAAUAUCUGCACGAGAAAGCUGCGGGGUAUGAUAUCGGGAUUUACUUUGAGGCAAAUGGCCAUGGCACCAUCUUGUUCUCAGAACAGUUUUUAUGCUGGUUAAAGGCCAGGACUACUGAGCUUUCUGCUAUAGCUAAAGGUUAAACCAAACAGACUUUAUGUGUUUUAUAAGUGCUGACACGAUUGUCCAUUACCUAUUUUAAUGAAGUAUAUGGUUGUUUCUUUCAGGUUCAGAACAGCAUAAGGCUGCUUUGAGACUAUUGGCGGUUAGCGAAUUGAUUAACCAGGCUGUUGGGGAUGCAUUGAGUGGGGUGCUCUUGGUGGAGGCAAUUCUGAAACAUAUGGGAUGGUCAAUACAGAGAUGGAAUGAGCUUUAUCAGGAUCUACCCAGUAGGCAGCUAAAGGCAAGUGCCAUUGAUCAUCUUUCUAUGUUCCAUGCUGUUUCUUCUCUUUAUAGUUGUUUUGUUUUUGGGCUUGCAUUUGUCAUUCGUUUUACAAAAUAAUUGAUUUUCCGUCAUUUUUUUUGUUGGAGGCAACUUGCCUGGAAGAAUAGUUGUGUAAAUGCUUAAGCUUCAGCUUUGUUAAGUAUAAUAUUAUUCAGAAACUAAUUCUUUCACUUUUUAAUUAUCAGGUCAAAGUUGUGGACCGAAGUGCUGUUGUUACAGCAAAUGCAGAAACCGUGGCUGUGACACCCCCUGGCAUUCAAGAAGCCAUCAACGCUGAAACUGGUAAGCAGCAAAUGAAAUCUUGUCCUUUUAUCUUACAUGCUGUUCAAUAUUUUCUCUGCACGAUAUCCGUAUUGAUUAUUGGUCUGGCCAUUAAAUUGCUUGGCCAGCUUUUAAAAACAAACUUAUGCAUUGGCAUUCUGUAUUCAUCAUUAUGGAGAAACUUUUCAAAGUGAUGACUGCUAUGUUUCACAUUGUAGAACUAGAUUUCUACCGGUAUAUUCAAUUUAUAAACAAACUUUUGAAGAUGAUUUUUUUUGUUCCUAUUUAUAUUGCAGCUAAACACCUUAGAGGCCGAUGUUUUAUACGACCAUCGGGAACAGAAGAUGUUAUACGUGUAUAUGCAGAGGCAUCCUCACAGGAUGCAGCAGAUAACCUAGCCCACUCUGUGGCAAAACUAGUAGACCAGUUCCUUGGGUUUGGCAGCUCCUAAUGAUAUCUCCAGCUUUCACGGAGCGCUUCUUAGACAUCAGAUUAGGCUUAAUGCCGAAUGAAUAAUAAUUGGGGGGGAGGUUAGCGGGGACAAAGCAGGAAGCGUGAAAACAUUGAAUUUGUCUUGUAACCCUACAUUCUAUUAUACAUUGGUUUUGAUAAUGUAUUAUCAAAAAAGACACUAGUUUUCGGUCGCCAUCCUUUACUGUGGUAUUCUAAGCAUCGUCAAGUACGCCAUCCAAAACGUUUUGAAUUGUGAUUCAGCAUUACAUGCCGUUCAGUUUUUGUGAACCAGAUAAAAUAGUUGCAAAUUAAAACGCUCCAACACACAAGCAUAUGACAAAAACCAGAUUAACCAGACCUAAAAAACAAAUUGAGCAUCAAGUAAACUUGCACUAAUGUGCUUCAGCAACUUCAAGAACCUUUGCUGAGUAUUUUUUGGUUUGAGACCUCUGUUGAUUAAUGCUAAACAUAUUCCACAUAACAACAGAGAGAGAAUUGAGCUUGCUCUUAAAUUUCCAAUUUACUGAAGUUGUUGAAUUCCUCAGAGUAAAGGCUUCUUGCAGAACCAUAUGGAUCGAUUCCAAUAUACCAAGUAACUCUAAAUCAUUUUAAGUGGCAUGAUAUGGAUAAUUUAGACUUGAGCUUGCUAAGAGCCACUCAUACACCACUUAAUGACAAAAUGGAAGCUUUUGAAGUAACAUUCUUCAAAUGAAACAUGAGUUUUUUUCCUUGAGAAAAAGCUGAGUCAAUAAACUUGCCUAUAAAAACUACAAUGGCAGUGCAAAAAGAGAGUGAUGUAUUGGCCAUGAUACUCCAGAAGGAAAGAAGACAUGGUUUAUAAGUCCAUCAAGCAUCUGCUUGAGCCAUAUAUUCUCACAGGCCUCUGCACAAUAUGAAUUCAGAAAAUCAGUAUACACAUAAGAAGGUAAACAACGAAAAUAUUUUUUAAGCAAAAACAAGAAAGGCAUCCAUAAAGAUAUUCACAUUGAAAAAGGAAGAUUUAAACUAUAAAAAAAGGGAAAAAAGAAGUGUGGAAAUUAAAACAACAAUAAGUAAAGUCCAUUGACAAUGAAAUAUGAAUAGUUCCAACUCACAAUAUAAUCUUGGGAAGAGAUGGCACUUGUUUGGUUUGGGCUUUGCAUCCUUGUCAACAUUCCAAAAUCUAGAAUUCUAGUGAAAAACUAUAACUUGCUCUCCAAGUAUAUAUAAACUUCAUAACUCAACAGAAAGGGGUUUGUGCUUGAGGUUCACUUUCAACUAGAGAAACUUAGGGAAAAGCAACGACUAGAAACCUUAAAUAUUUUCUUAUGCUUGGUUACAUGAAGAAUAGAAAGGGAAAAUAAAGCAAACUAAACACAGUUUGCCUAAGUUUUGUUCUAUAAGUUGAAUCUUUAUCCCUUUCUCAAACAAGGGUUUACCAAACAAAUGGUUGAGCAACAUUUCCAAGUCACUUUUACGGGUAGUUUACAAUAGGACAACUACAAAAACAACUAAGCACUCGAGCAAACACUGGUUUUCACAGGCUUAACCACAAACACUUUAGCUACAAACAAGCUACAAGCUAGGGAGGCCUUCAAUUCAAUAAAACAUUCCGGGAUCUAUCAAUUGGCACAAAACCCAAUUUCAACAUACACAUUCUUAAUCAUGUAAUGUAAACAUUAUGCAUAAUCUACAAUCCAGCUAUUGCAAUUCACUGAACCCGUGUGAACAAAAAAAAACCCCAAAAAUAAGAUAUGGGUUUUGUGAAAUGGGUAUGUAUGUAUGUAUACCUGACUUUCUUGGAGAGGAUGACCUUGAGCUUGCGAGCGAGGUCCUGAGAUUUGAUUCUACGCUCGAGGUUCUUGCGAGCCAAGACGCGUUUCUCAGAGUUCUUGAUGUGGUGGGUUUGCUCGUGCUUUAUCAUCCGUUCGAUCCCACUGGACUGCAUCUUCCUCUGCAUAAACGUCAGCGCCGACUCCAGGUUCCCGUUCAAGACCUUCACCCGAAUCCCUCUCCAUUGUUCUUGACGAUGAUGGUGCCCGUGGCUCACUGAGUCGACGCCCUGACUCGACCGUUUGAAAACGUUCCACACACUCCGAGCCGCCGAGUUCAUUGCUUGGGCUUGUCUGUUUUUCUAGGGAUAUGGAUGGAUGGCAGCGAUGGCUGUUCAAGUGAGUCGGCGGGCCGCCGGCAGCAGCAACACAAAUGCGGCAGCGACAAGAGGUGCUGGAGUAGAAUGAGAAGAUGAGAGAAAAGAAUUGAGAAUUGGGAGUUUUGGGGGCUGGGGAGUCGAAAAUGAGUUUUGGGAGUUUUUUUUUUUGUUUUUUUUUUAUAAAAGGCCUGGCUCAAAACGGCGUCGUUUUACUAACAACCCAUUUUGAAGAAGCAAAACUUGGUGUUUCAAAAGCAGCCAAGCGUCCCAGAAGGAGAGAAGCGCGAGUUUUGCUUACGAUGGCGUACUGAGAGAGAAGAGAGAGAAUAAUAGGCAGCAUAAUAAUAACAACAACAAUGGCUCCAAGAUCUCUGAUUCUUCACCGACUCACGCCCUUCUUUGCAGCUCGAAUCAGGCAGAACCAGAGGCUUCUAAGCUCUUCUUUCUAUUCGUCUUCUGCUGUAGAAGAAGCCUCUUCUUCAUCUUCAUCUUCAUCUCCGUCCCUCGAUGCUGUUGUGAUGACUGAUACAUGUGUUCAAGUACCCUCUCUCCCUCCCUUCUCUGUUUGUGCUUGAAGAUUUUUGUUUUUGAUGGCUUGCCUGGAUUUUCCAUUUCUGUUUAUGGGUCCUUUUUCCUUGUUCUCAAUUUGGGAUCUUUAUGAAGUUUUUCUAAUUCAUUGGGAUGCAAAAAUUUUGUAGUUUGCUUUAUUUGUAUGCAAAGAAAAUGAAGAUAGAAUUUAUUUAUUUAUUUAUUUAUUUAUUGAAGUUGAAUGAAUUUUUUAUUUGCUUAUUGUAUUUCAGAAACAAAAAGCAUAAGCCUCAACACAAUGUCACAAACUGGUUUUUAUUCAGUUGUUUAGCUAACUUGUGAUGAACCAUUUUCUUUUGAUUAGAGACUCUAAAGAUGAUAAGUUUUGUCUUGAUAUAAUCAGUUAUCCUAGAUUCUGUAUGUAGCUAUAGAGACACAGAAAAAAAUGAAGUGGGUUAUGCUAAUUGUUACAGAACUGUGUAGUGGAUGGACGAAGACAAGUUCUGUUUUUUUCUUUCAGACCAAUGAGCCAAGCAGCUUUGUUUUAGAAGAUGUUUGCAGUAGCAUUUCUAUUUUUUGUUUUGAUAAUGUUGGUUAUCGUGCUCAUGAAAGGCAGUUUUUAGAUGAGUGCCAUGUAAUUUAUGACCUUUGGGUUUGUAAUCCUUAUUUAUAUCGUGAGUUGGUGACAUUGGUGUGCUGACUUUGGCUUCUCAAUGAAUGUCUCACAGAGAAUGAAGCAGCUGCAAGCCAGUGAAGCAGAGGGAAAGAUGCUUCGCUUGAGUGUAGAAACUGGUGGAUGUUCUGGGUUCCAAUAUGUUUUUGAUCUGGAUGACAAAACCCACCCAGAUGACAGGUUUUUGUCUCCUCUUCAUUCUCUAUAUUUCAAAUUCUUGACUAAAUGCACUUUUGCUUAUCUGGGUUGCUUGUUUAAUUGGAGAUCCAUACAUUCAAUAAUAGAGUAUUUGAGAAAGAAGGAGUAAAGUUGGUGGUCGACAAUGUUUCAUAUGAUUUUGUGAAAGGGGCAACUGUUGAUUAUGUUGAGGAGCUGAUCCGUUCUGCUUUCCAAGUAAGUCAAUUUGUUCUGUUGCCUUUGCAUGCUUUAUUCUUGUAUUAUGCUUCUCAGAACUGCAUGUGCACAUUGAAUCUUAUACAUGUGAACCCUACAUGGAAAUUCAUUGUAUGGGAUAUGUGAACUAGGAUAAUGAGCAAGAAGGAUAUUCUUCAUAAUGAAAGAUCUAUUUUUAAAGUUUUUCUUUAAAAUUUGUGAGUAUUGGAGCUUAAGAAAAGUAAGAACCAUCUGCUAGACAUAAAAGCUAUCAUAAUGGUGUCCAAUAUAUCAAAUAUUAAAGAUUUUGUGUAGGUCUUGGCUCUCCUUUGCACAGUGGUUCACAUGUAAGAAGCAUAUGAUAAUGGUACCCUUGAUGGGCUAUCAAACAAUGUAGUGGGCAUGAAACAUAUCAUUAUGGUGCCAUAUGUCAUAUAGUUGGCAUAGAAAUUGUCUGAAUGUUGCCUUUAUUUGGCAUCACUGUCUAUAUUAUAUCCUAAAUAGGUUGCAGUAAUUGAAAGAUAAUAGGCAAUGCAAUGCAAUAUGGUGCUCAUCUGCCAGUGCAACAAACAGGUUAAUGCUGGUGUCCUGUGGUUGUUUAGAUUUGUUGUUUGUGCCUGUCUUUUGGUAAACAAAAUGGGGAUGUAAAUUAAGAUCUCGAAUCUGCUGAGUUCCAUCUAAAUUUGGUAGGACAAAACUCUUUUAGUAGUCUAAGUAGACCUGUUGCUUAUUUUAGAUGUUCAUGUCUCAAUGGGAUGUGCUCUUCAGGAACGUUCUAUGGUACUAAGAAGUGUGUGGCAUGAAGUUAAAUUAUUAUUUUUUAAAUUUUAGUUUUCUCUAGGCUUUACCGAGUGGGAGAAAUACUGGUCCCACUCUAGUAGUCUACUUUCUGCAGAACUUGAGGCACAAAUCAAUCCGAUACAUUAGAAUACUGCAGUCUUUUGCAGCCUGGAGAAAAUUAAUAGAACUAGAGCUUAUAAUUUGGUUUGAAGCUAUUUGGAAUUUGUCAUUUGCAUUUCUUUUCAGUUAUCGGUUACAGUGUGUCAGAUGCCUCGACAUAGCAUGUUUACGAUUUCCUGAUUGAUUAUAUGUUUGUCUUUGGGUAGUUAUCUUAUGAUGCUAUAAAUAAUCUUAUCAAAGCCAAUGGCCUCUAGGCCACAAGAGAAGUGUCAUUUAAAUAUCACAUCCUUUAUACAAGGAAUUAUGUACAAGUAACCCAAUCCUGGUUUUUCAUUCAGGUGACUACAAAUCCAAGUGCAGUAGGUGGGUGCAGUUGUAAAAGUUCCUUCAUGGUCAAAUGAUAGAUUUGCAAGUACUUUUAUGCACUCCCUUCCAAGAUAGCUAAAACUAAGAGGUGAAUUAGGUUCAGCCUAAACGGGUGCUUACAUAUAAAUGUUUACUUGAUUUUUUUUUAAAUAAUAAUUAUGCAAGUACAUUGUAUAAUAUUUGUGAUGUACCAAACGCUUGUACCUCAUAUAUUUCAUUGAGAUAUUUUUCUUAUACUUUGUCAGCCUUCUGGCUCGGUGGUUUUAGUACCACAGACUUAUGUCCGUCACUCGGAAUUCAUUAGGUUAGCCCCCUGUGCUGCUUCUUGAUUGUGUUUUAGUGGAAACAGCUGUAAGUAGUGUGAAUCUUUGAUAGUCACCUAGCUUGAACACAUGCUGCUUUCUAGAAACUGAAGAUUGAAUUGGUUGGCAUCGUGUAGAUCAAUAGUUGCUACUUGCAAGGAAGGUUUACAGCUGACUGACCCAUCAAAUGAAUGAUUGUGAAAAGCCCUUACAUGUUUAAUGAUUCAAAACUCCAAAGAAUGGGAAAAGGAGUAGGCAGGAGUGGGUAGUAUGAAAUACUCUUAGUAGCUUCCAACAAUGUACUCACGAUCUGAUUGCCAUUAGUAACAGUAUAAUGAACAUUGCUUACUUCAUCCAAGCUCCCUUGUAUACUUUCUUAAGAAGUAUGUGGAAGAUAGUAUCCAGGCUCCCUUCUUCACGGGCCAAGAAGUUUUGGUGCACCUUAAUGCAUGUUCCUUAUAUUACCAUCAACCCCAACCUACCCGCCGGAGCAAGGGAUAGAUUCAAAUCUGUUGAGGCUUCAGGAAUUGAAGGGUACUCCAUUUUUUAUUGAUUUUUGCUUAUGUUUUCUCUCUAGCUUGCUUUGCUUUCAUAUUGAAGGACGUCUUGAUUUAAUGGUAAGGAAAAUAUCAGACAGCAUCCUUGAAUAACUAAAGCAUGUUGGGAUCUCAUCCCUUGUUCCCAACACUCAUAUUUUCUGGCUUUCCAUCUCGAGCUACACACCCAUUUUUUAGGGCUUUCCACCUCAACUCAUUUAAUUAUAAAAAUGAAAGAAAUGAAAGAAAAAAGAAAAAUAUAACAAUAUCAAUUUUAAAAAUUUGGGGAAUAAUUAAGGGUUUUUGGAUGGGGUUUGGCUGCUAAGUCGGGUAGGAGAAGGGGAGAAGGGAAUUGGGUUUAAUUUUUUGUAGAUCAAAUAUGAACAAAAUCCAUGUCAAUUACACAAUUAAUCUAACUAAAAUUAAUACCAAUUAAUCUAACCAAAGUACAUGUGAUUUGGAGGUCACAAGAUAAAAGUAUACGUGAUUACAAGUUUGGAGUAAUUUUCGAUGAAUUUUUCAGAGCACGUAUGACUUUUUAAUGAAUUUAUGAAGAUAGUCCAAUUAAAAAUUGACAUGUGACGCCUUGCUAAUGGAUCAUUUCAAAAAGUCAUAAAAGUGAGAAGCGCUGGAUUACAACCCCAAACACGCUGAGCCUUUCUUCUUCGAGGCAAAGAAAACCCACUACAGCAGGUUAUUCAAAUUUUUUAGGUGAUUUUAGUGAUUUUUCUUCACAUAUUAUUUUGAGCCAUAAGAUCAAAACUUUUAAAUCCAACGGUUGAAAGCUUUGAUGUAUUGAUGCUCUAGAGCACAUUAGAAUUUUCUAUAAUUUAUCAACUAAAAGCAAAUCAGAAUUAAGAGAAAAGCAACAAGAAGCAUGAGUUGGUUUGGAGACCAAGUAGCCACAAGUUACAACCUUAGUGUGUCUUUUCAUCGUCUUAGCAGCUUUCUUCAAGAUAUUUCACAAACUAUGGUGGACGCCAACUCAAAUACAGAAGCUGAUGGCUUUGCAAGGGAUCAAAGGCCCUUCUUACAGACUUAUCCAUGGAAACACCCAAGAAAUCUCCAACAUGCAAAAAGAAGCCAUGGCAAGGCCUAGAAAUUUGUCACAUGACGUCUUUGCUCUAGUUCAACCUCAUUUGCACUCAUGGACAAAGAUAUAUGGUAAUGAAAUCUUUAGCUUUUAACCUAUGGUUUUUAAAUCUAAAGUCAAUCUCUUUGUCACACUGUGAACAUGAACCACGCAUUCUCCUAAAACUUAACUUGAUCAAUGGUCCAGAUUCAUAGUCUGACAAGAUAACAUUUCUCGUUAAAUCUUAAACCCUGGAUAAAUUUCGUCCUCUUUUUUGUAAUAUUAGGGAAGACUUUUCUUCAAUGGGAUGGUCCUCAACCUGUUUUGGUCAUUGUGGAUCCUGAGUUAUGCAAGGAGAUACUGAAUAACAAACAUAGAGCUUAUCCAAAAUCCAACCCGGUAGCCUUUGUGAUGAAGCUAUUAGGAAAUGGUCUUGUAAUGAGUCAGCGUGUGCGUCAAUAUUUAUCUAUGAAUCAAUAACACUAUCUACGGUCAUUUAGUGAAGAUUGGGAAAUAAUUGAACAUAAAUCUGCUAAUUGCAUGAUAGUGGUGUUGGUGUUGGUUUAGUAUUGUCAGAUUCAUGCAAUGAUAGCUAGUGCUGACACGAUGCUAGAAAGGUGGGAAAAUCAUGAAGCCAAGGAGAUUGAGGUGUUUGAAGAAUUUAGGUUGUUGACUUCAGAAGUAAUUUCCAGGACAGCAUUUGGAAGCAGCUACUUAGAAGGGAAAGACAUUUUUGAGAUGCUAUUGAAGAUAUCCUCCUUAACAUUUAAAACUGCUUUGAAACCCAAGUUUCCUGGCCUCAGGUAACUUCCUCUUAACAAAAUCUCAAACUUCUGAUCUCACGUUUAUUUUUUUCGCUCAAUUUAUAUUUCAGUAGGUUUGUUAAAACCAACGAUGAGAUUGAAAUGGAGAAGCUUGAGAAAAGAAUACGCGAAACCAUUAUAGAGAUUGUUAAGAAAAGAGAAAGGAAGGUAAUGCCUGGAGAAGAAGGGAGCUUAAGGAGUGAUUUUCUUGGAUUACUUUUAAAGGCUUAUCUUGACACCAAUGACAACCAGAGGAUUUCGUUGGACGAUUUGGUCGAAGAAUGCAAGACAUUUUACUUGGCCGGACAUGAAAGCACUGCUACUUUUCUUGCCUGGACUGUCUUUCUUCUGGCAUUACAUAUUACAUACAGAUUGGCAAGAGGAAGCAAGAAAAGAGGUCCUACAAUUAUUUGGCAAGCAAACUCCAAACCCGAAAGGCAUUGCGAAACUAAAAACUGUAUGGAAGUCAAGAACUGAAUUAAAGUAUGAACUCCUGAUUUGUUUGCUCUCUCUAACUUUGAUUUCCACGCAUAUGCAGAUGAGUAUGAUCAUGUACGAGUCCCUGAGGUUAUAUCCACCCGUUGUUUUGGUCAUUAGAAGAAGAGUCGAAAGGGAAGUUAAACUGGGAAGGCUCAUUCUUCCGGCUAACCUUGAAUUGGCCAUCCCAAUUGUAGCAUUUCAUUAUGAUUCUGAACUCUGGGGACAAGAUGUGCAGCUCUUCAAACCAGAGCGGUUUGCUGAAGGGGUUGUUAAAGCUACAGACGAGAAUAUAGCAGCAUUCUUACCCUUUGGAAUGGGACCUCGGAUUUGUGUGGGCUUAAACUUUGCAAUUACAGAAGCAAAGAUUGCUCUGUCGAUGAUUUUGCAACGCCAUGCCUUCACUCUUUCCCCAGCUUAUACUCACUCACCAUCUCAAUUUCUUACAGUUCGUCCACAACAUGAAGUUCAAGUAAUGCUACACUCACUCUGAACUGCCCACAAUUGUUGCACUUGCUUAUGAAGAUGGAACCUCAGCUUUCUGUUGUGUUAGGAGUUGCUUCCUGUUCUUGCUUCCUUGCAGACAUGAAGACUAUAAUGAACAGUCAAUAAACUUGUCAUUUCACUUCAUGGUUGCUUUAUCUGUAGAAUAAGAACUGGAUGCUGUAACAUUGAAAAAAUGCACAUAAAGGGUGCUGUUUAAAUCUAUCAUUUCUGCCUGCCAGAUGGGCGUUUUCAUUGCAGCACCUUUAAACCGAUAACUUUUGCCAUAAAUAGAUAAAUAAAUGCCAGGCUUGAAAGCAAUUUUAUGAGGUUGGUUGAGCAACAUGGGAUGAAAAAUUUCCGUAUAUUCGAUUGUAAAUAAAUCCAGACUGGACUUAAUCUUCAAAAUUACAGCACUUGAAAUUCAAUUGAUUUCAGCACGUCUCCCUUCCCUUCAUUGGCAUCUUCAUCCCUUUAAAUUUUCAUGCACAUUUCUAUUCUUCAUACUAUCCUUCCCCUCCAAAACCCAUCACUCCCAUUGAUGCAGUGACUUCCCCUAAAUCUUGCUCCUUUGCUGUCCCAGUUCUCUGCCUUGGUCUUUUUAGCGUUCUUCUCCAAGUACUUCAUCUUCCUCUUUCAAGGGGCUGUGUAAGGACUGAAUACCUUGAGGACUGCAGCAUAGAUGUAAUCUUUUUUUAAAAGAAAGGCAAAACGAAUUCCAAGAUAGUACUGCAAACAUAAAUGUCUAACAGACUCUGUAAUGCUGUUCAGUUAUUCCAAAGUCAUGCUGACAAUGUAUGAGACGGUGAUGAGACCUUCAGAGUCAUUAAGAAACUGAAGAACACUAACCUACACAAUAAGUUUGUAUUGCUAAAUUUGACACCGCUGGGAGUGAGUUCCACUUAGUUGAUGGGACGGUUAAGAGAUUAUCUAUGGUUAAACUCUUCACAACUUACAUCGAGAAAUGCUUAACACAAAGUGUCAAUACACUAUAAUCAUGAAAACUAGUUGAGAUUACAAGUAGGAAUCAUUACUAAAGUUGUAUUCUGCCCCUGCAAGCUCAAGGAUAACCAUUAAUCAUUCACCACUCACCAAUAGCAUAACAGGACCAUGAAACGCAUUUUCUGUGCUAUAGCACAACUAUAAUUGCAAUUGCUCCAGUGAGUGUCAGGACACUCAGACUCUGGUGAAAUGGCUGAGUUUUAAGAGGUCCUUAAUAAUGAGAAGCCAAAGAAAACAGUUUGUUAUACCAAAAAGCUACCAUCUAUAUCCAUAACUCUGUCCUAUAUUGCGUUCAAGUUCUUCGGUUAUACUUCACUGUGUAUGCUAUUUUCAACUGAAUGACUGUAAACGCCCUCACAUACCAAGAAAAUUAAAGAAAAAACUUAGGAAAUGAAAAGGAAAAGGGAGCUGAUCGACUUCUUUAUUGAAGUUUAAAAAACACAUUUUUUACAUGUAAAUAUAGAAUGGUUAGCUAUCGUGGCAACUCAAUCGCUCAUAGCAUCUGGCUUCUCUUCUUUAGUUCGAAUUUCUUCAUAUAUGGUGUACAAUAUCUCAAUAUGUCUAGAAGAAGGCAGACUUGGGUAUUGAAUAAUAUUAAUAUAAAUAAGAAACAUGUUACUUUCUAUAUUCAUAUAGAAAAGCGGAGUUGAUAGGCAAAGAGAGGUUAAAAAAAUUACCACACAAGCAGAUGUAUUAGGUUUGCUUCGUUGAGAGAUGCUUGAUUCUUGUUUAGUGGUCCUACCCCUGAUAGUUUUCUUCGUUGGUGUAGAUAUGCAAUUCAAAUUUCCAGAAGUAAAGCUUAAGAAGGCUGCUAACACAUGUUUCCAUCAUCACCUGGAAGUUGUGGAAAUUGUAGGGUAUCGUGGUCGUCAAAGUGUUGUCAAAAUCGUCAUGUUCUUGAUAAAGACUGCUGUUUCUCUUGAGAAAAUUGUGAUAAAUACUGUCCGACAAUUAUUUUGUGGUGAAUCAGUGGAUGAGAGUGAUGAAGAGGUGGAGGAAGAGGAUGCAAGACAGCAACCUUUGCUCGAGCUUAAACGGGAAGUGCAUGCUGCUAUAAGUUUUGAAUGCCUCUAGUUAAUGCUACUUUUACUUUCUGUUUGGCAAAUAUAUCGUACGUGAUGUACAUGUCAUUGAUUUUGGAUACACCAAUCAUCCCUUUGUGGUAUGUUGAUUGUACAGCUAAGAGGUGUUCAUGGUUUUUGGACCUGUACACCCUCUAGAAUCUAGGUAAGAGAAAGAUGGAUUUUUCUUUCUUUUUUUGUUGGAAAACACACCUUAUUGACAGAAAAGGAAUGGACAAGGUAAUUAACACUAAAAUGAUGUUGCAUUAAAAAUCGUAAGAGCAAUUUCUGCUGCAACUGUGGAAUUUCCCAAUCCAAUGCUCUUGAUUUUAGAUAUAGACUGCCUCAAGGAGCCGUAUGCUUCCUCAGUUUUAACUGCAUUAUUAGCUUGUUGCGUGUCAAAGUAGUCUCCAGGAUCCUUCAUGCAUAAUAAUUGAGCAACAUGAAGAUGGUGAGGUUCUUGAAGAUCCUCCAUCUCAGUCGUCCGAGCAAUCCUACCAAAUCCCCCCUGCACACCACUCUCAUCAACUUCGACGAUGCUUCUUCCUUGAAGAACAACAGCACCUUGCCGGUUAAGGUCUUGUGAUAAAGUACUUCUCCUGCUGUACACCUCAUCCCGAAAGAAUAUCCCAUGAUCUGGAAGGUGCGUAUAAUCAUCUCCUUGGUCAGCUUCCAUGUCCAAAGUUGGAUCAACCCGUCGAAGCUUUCGACGAGCUUCCCUUGCCAAUACCUCAUCCUCCUUCAAAAACAUUGCCAGUUCCUCAUCAUCGGCGGCUUCUGCUUCAGCUGCAGCAGCAUUUCCUGUGCUUCGGAGGUAUUCAGCUCGGAAAUACUUCGUCCAAAAGUUUUUUUCCGUAGUCUUACUGGGAACCAGAGCAAGAAAUGCCUGCUGAACAGCUGGUUUCAGGGCAAAAAUCUGAUACUUAAUCUCUGCAGUCAAACUAAAAGUAACCUUGUUUGUCCGGCCAUCCGUCAUGGGUUUGGUGUCCAUUAUCAUUGAGUUUCUGAAACCAACCCGUUGCUUUGGCUUUGGACGGCUAUCUACAUCACCAAACUGGUUCCUAGCUGCCCAGAACUCAGCUUCAGUUAGGACACCACUCAUUACAUACUGCAUAUGAAGUUUGUGCAACUCACUGCUUUCUUGUAAUAACUUCAUACGGUGCAUUAUUUCUGCUGUACAGAUUUGUUCAUCAGAAGAACAAGGAGGUAUUGCAGCUUCUCCACGCUUAGCAAGCGCAUUGGCUGCAAACUCUCGGCAUACAUGAAGAUCACGAAAACUUGCAAACUCAAAGAUGUAAGUUUUGUCCUUCUCACUGAGACGAAGCCAAGGUGGUCUAUCUCCUCCCUCCUUAGUGUUUUUGAGACAUGUAAUUUGUUUGAACUCCACAUCGAGCGCCGGUUUCGCGGCGGUGGACAUGUGAACGUUUGGGCUGAACACAAACUUGUUCUCCGUCAUAGUUAAAACCCCAAGAGCCCCAGGAUCUCUCACUGUAGCCUUGUAAUUAGCACGCUUCACCAGUUGCAUACACCACGACAUCUCCAGAGGAGUUUAGAAUAUUUAAUUUUGAGGAAACGAUGUGCAGGUGAGAUGUGCUUUUAUAGACAGACCGAGGGAGGGAUUUAUUUGGUUUUCCCAUUCCAAGUAGGAUUACUCGAAUUAUUUCCUAUUCCUAGUAGGAUUAUUCGAAUGGUUUUAUGUGUUGUUUUACUCUUUUGCCCUCUUGGCCUUCUGCGUUUGUGAAUCUUUUUGAAUUGGCGAACCGAGGCCCCCCAAUUCCUAAACGCGUACUAGAAAAGGAAAAAUUCCUGAAAGCGUGUACGAGAAAAGAUAAAAUUUCUGAUCUCAUGUUUAGUUGUUAAAACCAGCGAUGUGAUUGAAAUGGAGAAGCUUAGAGAGUGUUAAGAAAAGAGAAAAGAAGGCAAUGUCUGGAGAUGAAAGGGAGUGAUUUUCUUGGAUUACUUUUAAAGGCUCAUCAUGACACCAAUGACAACCAGACGAUUUCGUUGGAUGAUUUGGUCGACGAAUGCAAGACAUUUUACUAAAUGGCAGACGAAAGCAAUUGUAUGAGGUUGGUUGAGCAACAUGGGAUGAAAAAUUUCCGUAUAUUCACUCGUAAGUAAAUCCGGACCGGAGGUAAUCUUCAAAAUUACAGCACUUGAAAUUCAAUUGAUUUCAGCACGUCUCCCUCCCCUUCAUUGGAAUCUUCAUCAGUGACUUCCCCUAAAUCUUGCUCCUUCAUCAGUGCCUUGGUCUUCUUGACGUUCUUCUCCAGGUACUUCAUCUUCCUCUUUCAAGGGACUGAGUAAGGAUGGUGGCCCUGAAUACCUUGAGGACUGCAUCACAGAUUUAAUCUUCUUUUUUUAACAAAAAGGAAAAACGAAUACCAAGAUAGUACUCUGAACGUAAAUUUUCUAUCAGAUUCUGUAAUGCUGUUCAUUCAUUCCAAAGUCGUGCUAAAAAUGAGCGUCCAAUGAUGCAACACAUACAUUACUAACUACAUAGGAAAAGCCUUGUUAUUGUUCCAGUUUGUGAUUGCCAGAGCCGAAGAAAAUAAGACGAAUAAAGUAUUUCAUGGUCCAACCCCUUAAAGAUUCAAAACACAACAUGAUAAUGCAUGUACGAGACUCUCAUGACUCUAAGAAACUGAAGAACAAUAACCUACGCAAUAAGUUUGCAUUGCUAAAUGUGACAGUGCUAGCAGUGAGUUCCGCCAUUAAGAAAUGCUUUUUCCAUUACAGUUUAACACCAGUGUCAAGACACUAACAUGAAAACUAGUUGAGAUUACAAGUAGUAAUCAUUACCAAAGUUUCAUGCUACCCCUGCAAGGUCAAGGAUCACCAUUAAUCAUUCACCAAUCAUCAAUGGCAUAACAGGACUGUGAGAAGCAUUAGCUGUGCCAUAGUACAAGCAUAAUCUGCAAGUGCACCAUGAUGUACUUCUGUAUAGCACAUGUGAGCAGCAUGCUCAUGAUGUAGGACACUUAGACUCUAGUGAAAUGGCUGCGUUGUAAGUGGUCUUUAAUAAUGAGAAGCCAAAGAAAACAGUUUGUUAUACCAAAAAGCUACCAUUUCUAUCCAUAAGCUCUGUCCUAUAUUGCAUUCAAAUUCUUCAGUUAUACUUCACCGUAUAUGCUAUUCUCAACUAAAUGACUAUAAGUGCUCUGAGAUACCAAGAAAAUUAUAGAAAAAUUUAAUGAAAAGGAAAAGGAAGCAGAUUGACUUCUUUAUUGAAGUUAAAAAAAACACAUUUUUAUAUGUAAAUAUAGAAUAAUUAGCUAUCGUGGCAACAAAUUUAAAAUGAAUAUUGUCCACUCAAUCACUCAUAGCAUCUGGGUUCUCUCUUCUUAAGUUACAAUUUAUCCAUAUGAAGGUAUACAAUAUCUAAAUGUGCCAUGUGCCAUAGAAGUAGGCAGACUUCGGUUUUGAAUAUAGAAAGGUGGAGUUGAUAGACAAGACUACAAGCAUAAGAACAAUAUAAAAUCAAUAAAACGAUAGUUGAUAGGCAAAGAGAGGUUAGGAAAAUUACCAAACAAGCGGAUGGAUUAGUUUCUGGUGUUGUCCCCACAUCAGUGAUAUCAAUGAACCUGUCCAAGUCAUCAUACAGGGUUACUGACAGCGCUUGUGUAUUGAAAUUGUAUCCAUCUCUCUUGACCCUAGCAAGUUCAGCUUCCUACAAAGGCAAGCAUGAGAAUAUGAGAGGGCAAAGAAAUGCAUGGAUGCGUGCAUGAUGUUACAAUUACACAACAAUUAGUCCACACCUUGUAAUAAAAAGACACUAUUAGGCAUAUUGAGUGUGCAUGUUUCCAUCUAUUAAACACAUUUUCAUUUUAAACCUAUAACACUGGAAGAAAGGAGAUCAAACUGUCUGUUGAUGUGAAUCAAAAGCACAAUGCAUAGUGGACAAGCUGCUUACAGGAAGUCUGGAAUGCAUACAAGAUAUCUAACCCAAACAGCAUGCAAUGUCCAAACAAUAGAGAAUUCAAGACCAAAGAUGAACGAGUAAAACUAGAAUUUGACAGUCUGAGGAAAUUGAAGACCACAAAUAAGCCUAAAAACGAACUCUAUCCCACAGGCCUUCCACUUCCUCCCGUUAACAUUUUCAAAAAAAGUCCUCUUGUUUCGUUCCAUCCAUGCUUGGAGGAGCAAAGCAAUAACAUUGAACAGCACAAUAAAUCUUUCCCAUUCUUUUUCUAGUGGUAAAAUGGAGUUUCUAUCAAGUAUCCAAUGUUCAAUUUUAGUUCUACCCUCAUUUCAAAAUUAUUAACUCACAAUCUAAUAGCCAUGAUUGUGAAUUUGUGAGUGGUACCAAACUAUGUUCACUCAUUGUUGAUGAUACAUUAAACAAAACAUUAAUUAAAAAUGAACAAACCCAAGAAAAAUACAUAAAUUAACACAAAACGAAAUUAAGGGUACCUGACGAGAACUGAACUCUAUAAAACAACGACCCAAGGUUUUCUGGUUCAGGGGAUUAAGAGGCAUCGAAAACCCAUCUUCUUUAAUAACACCAACUUCACUAAACACUCGUCGGAUUUCGCUUUCGAGCUGCUGGGCCAUCUCCGCCUUCACAAUCGGAAGGUUAUCAACAACGAUCACAUUUCCGAACCCAAUAUUGAAAAGCAAACCGUCGUCGUCGUAGAACACUUCUUGGCCAUCACUGUGAAUCAUAAACAAAACAAGAAAACAUCAUCAGUUGAAUCAGAGUUUCGAGUUUUGAGGGUCGAAAUCGCACACUGGGGAAAGAAAAAGGAGUUUUUGGAUUGUACCCAAAAUUGUUCUCAGUAUUAUUAUUAUAUAAGUCUUGGUUAGGAGGUGGAGCUGCAGAGUUGAAGUGGAAGGAGGAGAGUUGGAGACGGAGCUCCUCGGCCUUGGCCUGGAUAUCUUCCAUGGUGGCGGUGUCUAUUGUCACGCUUCUUAUUGAGAAUCAGAGCUCUUUAUGCUUUUCUAUUGUCACGCGUGCGCGGUUGAUGCGUUGUAAGACCCUGUGCGAAUUUUAUGAAAGGGAAGUAACACUGAGAAAAGUAUUCUUGUAAGGUUAUGACAAGCGUGAUAAUUAUCAUGGUAUUAUUAGUUGGGUAACAAAAUAGUGUUUAUCUUUGUUGUAUUUAAAUUUUUUUUAUUUUGGGUCAAAUGGUUGCAUAUAAGUUUUUCUUGUGCGACUAGCAGAAAAAAUGGAAUGACACUGUUUUAGUCGGGUGUCAAUCACGCUAUGACAAGUAUAAAAGUUAUCACUUAUGGCAACACAGUUGCGACUAAUGCUAACAUUGCUUAUUUGUUAUUAUUGCUUUGAUUUGAUACAAAUUAAUUAUUUUGUUUGAUUUAGUUAAGUACCAUUGUUGUUCAAGUGUUUUGCUCAAAUUUUAUUUUGGUCUUUUGAACUUGAUCCCUUUUGUUUAAUUUUAUGCAAAUCUACUCUGAGUCUUUGCAUGUGACACAUGCACGUUAAUGUCUAAAUUAUAUAAAAAUAACUAAAAUAGUUAACAAAUUACAAUGUAUGAACCAAAUAGGUUAAAUUGAAAACAUAAGGACGAAAUUAAAUGUAUUGAGCAAAGCAUGGAUAAAAAAGUUAUUUAAAUCAUAAAAUAUUUUUAUAAGAGCAGUUAAGGGGUAUGAAAUGUUAUAACUUUUUAGAACAUUAAAAAGGGACAUGUCACUAGACAAAGUGUUAGUUAAGAAACCCUAAAUUAAGGUUGAAGAUCCUUAAGAAAUGAUACUUAGAAUGUGAUGACCACACCAACAUAUGCACUACAAAAACCAUCGACUAGACUAUUUCAAUUAAAUUGGACUACUGUCUUGUGAAUUUUUUUUAUUUUUUAUUUUUAGUAUGAGUAAUUAAGGGAGAUAGGUUUACACAAAUAUUCAUUGAGUGUUUGAAAUUUCGAACAUCUGCCCACAUAAGUGGAGAUGAAAGAGCUCGACCAAUUGAGCUAUACUCUCCACUGGCAAUCUUGUAAACUUACAAAAGCUACAACUGAAUUUUUAAAUUAGGCAACAUUAACAUAUUAAUAUUAUGUCUUACAAGUCUCAUCUAGACCCCUAUAUUGUUCUAUUGCCCAGCAAGACAAUUUUUCUAUAGGAAACCCCAGAAAUUGACUCCCCUUAAAAAAAACAAAAUUUUAAUUAAUUAGGGUAGAACCUCUUCCAUUUAGUAUAGGAAGGUUGACAUCAAUCUCAAGCAAGAAUGCCCAAAUUCACACCAGAAUUCGACAUCAAGGCAGGCUACUUCAUACUUAAUUCAAUUUUCACAUAAGAGUUUUCUAUAAUGAGAUGUUAAAACAUACUUGAUACAACACCACACUCAAUUACAGGGAUAAAGAAUAACACUCAACAGGGAGAGAAAAUAUUUAAAAAAAAGGUUUUCUAGAUAUAUAAUAACAAGCUGUUAUUGCAGGUAACCCUCACCAAGAAAUAAAAACAUCCUACGGGCAAAUACAACACAUCUUUACAGAAAUCUGGCAGGACUCCAGGAGAGCCGUAUCUCAGAUUGCACUGUAGCUGUCUUCAUCACUCGUUCGAAUGUAACACAUGAUUGCCAGUACAAAUACGAAAAAGGACGCGAGCUCCAUUGCCAUGGCUCCCCAACCAAUAACACCAGCAUGCUUUAAGAUAGCAGGUAUUGCAAUGCUGCCAAUAGCUGAAGCUCCAGUCAGGAACUUGGUUGCAUUAACCCAUCUGUUUCAUCAUUGUUAGGAAGCAAGUAAGAAGCUGAGAAAUGUUGAAGGAGAUUUAGAUUGAAAACAAUGGAUAUUACAGUAAGUUCAAAGGGUGAAAGACAAACCCAUUAUCAGAUUCUGAAAGUACAGAAGAAUCAGAUCCCACAAAGAACAGCAAUGGCAUGGGAAGAAGCACAUACAUUAUUACUGCAAGAGAACAAAGUGAUGACUAAACCAUUAGCAUGCAAGUCGUCAUGCAAAUCAUUGAAAACCUACAUAAAGGGAAUUCUCUGUGGGGAACUAAGGUUCUUAAAAAAUGUUUUUAUUUUCCUCAACCUGUGUCUGUACAUCUUGUUGCUAGAUGUCAGUCAACAUCUAGCCCUAUCACUAUCCUUUUACUACCUGAUAUAAUGCUCAAAAGCUCCCGUUUCCAGUCAGGCCAAGACAAAUAUGAAAAAAAAAAAAAAAAAGUUCUGAAACAAUGAAGCAAAGAGAUGAGAAACUUUGCCAAAAGAAUGUUUUCAGAUCUAUUUUAUUCAUUUGAGUACUGGGAUAAUUAAAGGAAAACAAAAAGUGGAUAAAAGGGAACAGAAUAUGAGUACCCUUAAAGAUGCUUUCUUAAAGAAGCUAGAGAAUCCAAAAAUUGAAAUCUUUUAUAGUAUUGAUGUACUUAUCAUUUCACAAAUACAUUAACAUGUACCAUUACAUAACAGCUUAUUUGGCCAAAAGAAAAGGCAUCAUAUAGCAAGUUUACGAAGGAAAACAACAAUUUUAAAUUUGUAAAAAAGUAAUAAAUUAAAGACCCAAAAGUUCAGUACGUACUAGUAAGCAUCGGCCACCAAUUAUUGUACAAAGCACAUGCCUGCCGCAAAACAUGUGAUAGAUGAGAACACAUAGGAUGACUAUUAACCUUAGAAGAGAUAAAAAGCUUACUGAUUUACAAAUGAAUUCAGCAAAUAUAAUUGACAAGAAUGAACACUACCCACCAAAAUUUGCAAUACAAUCCCUCCAGAGACCAAAAUUGCCAAGGCAGCAAGUUUCCCAGUAUGCAAGCAGGCACGCAUAUAGCCUGGUAAAUCUGCCAUUGAGUACUUACCUCACCUCAUAGAUGGGGAGCAACUGAAAUUAUGAUGUGAAUAAAAUGAAUAUAUGGAAAGCAUAAACUCAGCAAAAACUGACAAAAACAAAUAAAAGAAAGCAGUCCACCAUAAACAAAUACAUGAAAUAUUCUAGCAGUCAUACCACAGAAUGUAUGUGGUCAACCCAAAGAUUGAAACAAUGGAAGGAUGACGGUGAUUUUUUGGGUAAAUUGAUGAUCUCCCUUCCUUUCACUCAAGUAUUGUAAAUAUUCUAAACCAACACUUGUAUGUUCAUUCCAUAGAUCAAUCUCCGAAGGUUAGUCCCUGGCAUAGAGUGAACUACUGAACCACUUGAAUCAUUCUCUCAUGGCUUGUACAUGUAUGUGCGGUUUUGUUCUUUCUCUUGCUCAUUGAUUUAUUCCACAACAAUCAUGCCUUAUAACUUCUCCAGUAAUUAAAAAAAGUGUUUUGCAGUUGAAAAAUCAUCACAAAAUCUACAAUACAGAUUAACUGUUCCACAGAGUCCUACGGUUAACAGGUGCAUUCAUUGCCCAUCUCCUACUUACAUAUACAUACAUAUAGAGUUCAUUUCUCAAUGCAAGAUGCUCCUAACGUUGUGCGCAAUCAACAUACCCAUGACCCGGGUAUACAAAUAUACGUAGCUCUGGUCUAAUAUGUAGCUAAGGUACUAAAAAACAUAACAGCCUUUAAAUUGGAAAUGGAGCUGAGAUGCAACUCCUAUUUCUUUAAACAAACCUGACCCACUUGGGAACAAAGUCAUGUAGAAAAAUUCACAUUGUUACUCAAUCACAAAAACACAAUCAUUCUCAGUACUUCUGUGGCACAAAGAAAUGAAAUCAAUUCCAAUUAGCAAAGGGUCUGCAAAAUAGGAUCACAGCUGCAACCCUUCAAAUGAAAUACAAAAAGAGGUGAAUUCUGAGCAUAAAAUCAAAUGCAUGGCGAUGAAUAGAUGAACUUCAGAGGUUUUUUUUUAUAUAAAUCAUUUGUGAAUUACAAUAACCCAUCAAACAAAUCGCAAUCACCUGAAUUUUACAUAAAAUUCGACUAACAUUGCUUAAACAGACGAAUUAUACACCCUAAGAACCUAAAUUAACUACGCUCCAAAACGAAGAUGCUUAAAAAUGUAUGAAAAGCUUGAGUGGUGCAAAAUGUGGAGGAAGGCUUACCAGAGGCGAAUUGGAGGUUAGAGCCAGAAACGUUUAGUUUUCCCCGAAACGAAACGCGUAGCGGUGGGGGAGUUUGGAUCGGGCGCUGCAGUAAUUGUUGUAUUUCUAUAUUAAAAGCAACAUGGAAGGGCGAAGAAGAUGCGAGACAAGACACUCUGUGCCUUUCACUCUACAGGAGGAGGGAUGGUUUACCGUUACAGCUACGCAGCAACACAGUGAGUUUGGAUUGGGAGAGGUCAGAGCUAUUUUCGGUAAUUUAUAAUUAUAUUGUUCAUUUUAGGGAACAAAAAAAGAAAGUCAUAUUCGGUGGUCUUCGUAAUUUGCUGAUUUUACCACUUUUGUCUUCAUAUUUUCAAUUUUGUUAAUUUUAUGUUUAUAGUUUCCAAUUCGAAACAAAAAUCAAAGAAGAGGAGGGAGAAGAAAGCUCGAAGAAUGAAGAAUCAACUUGCGAAUAUUUUUCGUACAGAAAUUUGCUCAGACAGUCCACUCCACUCAAAUUCCUCCUCAUUCACCCAAAUUUGAACUAAAAGAUGCAAAUUUUUUCAAAACCCUAAGCUCCAAAAUUGCACCUAAAUAAAUGGCAAGAGGUUUAGCAUGUGUUUUACCGUUACAUAGCUCAAGUAGACUGAAAUACCCUUCCACGUGGUCAAAGCUUAAUGAAAUUAGGAGGAAUUUUACAAAAAUUGAAAUGUGCCAUUGAAUUGCUCAAAAUUGAAAGUACUGAGACCAAAUGAUAAAAAUGACAAACAACAAUGACCAAAAGUAAAUUUUUACCUUGAUUUUAUUACCAAAUAAAAAAUAAAAAUAGAAAAUAGAAAAUAGAAAAGUAAUAAAACAAUAAAUAUCUUUUUUAGUUGUGUGAUUUAGAUCCAGUGGGUCCCAAGGUAAAUGUUUGAUUAUUUUGACUUGAGAUGGUGGAGAUGACACGAGAGAGAUAAGAAAUAGGAGUAGGAGCUAAUUAAUCAGAUUAGUUUUGGUUGGACAUGCAUGGUUGCUGGGUUUUGGGUUUGAAGGACUGGUUUAGCGGUCGGUCAAAUUAAGAAGCAAUUGGUCUAAUAAUAAGCAUCCAAAUUGAUGAGAGGGACCUUUGAGAAAAUGCAUUAGAAAUGAUAAAGACAGACAGACAGAGAGAGAGCGACUAAACGACAGUGAAGAAAAGUUUUGUUUUAGGUAGGGGGUCGGUUCUAAGAAUUUGGAGGUCCUGUGAAAAAAAUAAAGGAAAGGGAAAAUUGAAUUGUAAACGAAUACAAUCAGUACAAAAAACCUAAUCGUAUAGGCUAUAGGCCGAGCCUGAUUUUAAGAAGGGAGACCACAUUUAUAUACCAUCUUUCUUCUUCCUCUCUUCUUCAAGACAAAAAAGAAAGACUUUCUUUACUUUUAAAAAAAUUUAAUAUGCUGGUCCAUGUAGUACUUGUCGUGUCAUGGGUUACCGAAUCUCUUGUCGGCUAGAGGGACGGAGGGUAUGGAAUUGUAGUGAAACCAAAGUUCCGUGUACAAAAAUGACAAGAAAUGAAAUGCUGAAAUUCGGUAAACUUCCGGAUAGUAACGUGAAAAUUUAGCAAGAAUAAAAUUUACCCCAUCGUAGCACAUAACAAGUUCAUAAUUGCAUUAGAAAGUUAACAAUAAAAGAAAAGGAAAAAAGUUAGGAAGAUGAGCGAGGCAAACAUGAAACAAACUCAAAGGGGGCACAAAACACAAAAGCAGACAAAACAAACACUUUGCUAAGACAAGAGUCAGAGGGAUGCCAUGCAAGAGCAGUGGUUCUAUUGCAAGGGGGCUUCUUGAAUUUCACAGUAGCAAGUCUGCACCUGAUUGUUUGUCUCACACCAUAUGCAGUAGACUGCAAGAACAACACUAGGCUUCUUGCUGAUAUUGGAAAUAAUCCUUACCAGCUUUAGAAACCAUAUGAACAUAAUGGUGCCAAGAUGUAGAGAGCCAUGUAGAGCCACAUUUGGUCAUUAAUUGCCUCCAUAUCCCCUCACCAUAGGUCCAUAAAAAUAAAAAUAAAAGGUGGCCAGGUCGAAAGGAACAUGAGUAGGACUAGGAGAAUAGAUUUGCAUUCAACGCCCUCUAGUAGUCACCCUUAGUAUGGACUGAAGAAAUCAAAAAAGCUUAACCAAAGUACUCCCUGAUUGUAUGUAUAACUGAAUCACAUUCCAAGUAAAUGCAGAAGGGGAGCAAGGGGGGAAAUGCCAUUUGAUAAAAUCAGCACGACAAGCAUCAGGUUGAUAAGAAGGCAGAUUAGUUUGGAUAUCCACUCGGAUAUAACCAAAAACCAGCUCCACACCCUCCCCCGCCCUGUUUUUGAACCUUUAGAUGAAUGGUUGAGAAUUGAGAUCUAUUGAAAUGUAUCUCACCCAUUAUGUAUUUUAGCUGUUCAUAUCUGAUCUAACAUUAGGAAAAAAUAAAUAAAUAAGCCUCACUUAAGAACCUUUUCAAAGAAUACUAUAAAAAAAAACAUAAGAAUCUAUGAGUAUUGCAAGAAAGUUGAUAGGCCUCAAAACUCUCUGACAGAAAGUCCUUCGAAUAUGGAAAGGAUUGCUCAACCCUGCUUGAACUAUAAAUUGCUCAUUAUCAGAAUCAACUGAGAUUUUGGCAAGCCACCAGAUGUAUGAUAAAAUCAAGGUCACCCUGUUGUGGUCCCUCUCAGCUUUCACAUCUCUUAUUUCUCUGCCUUCUGUUCUAUGAAGAUUCCAGAAAGAAUCAAAUAUCUUCUCAAUGGGUUCAGUCACUGGAAUUUCAUUGUACACGACUGAAAACAAUCUCAAACUGUUCCAUGAUCUAGUAAAUACAAAUUCUUAUUAGUCAAUGCUGGCCUAGAACACAAAACUCAUAUCAUUUCAUUAGUUUCUAAGACGUCACUGAUAUCACCACUAAUUCAUCAGUUUUUACCUUUUUUACAUAGUUUUAACCCAAAUAUACGUACCAGGGUCACCACUAUUUCAUUUCUAAGAUGCGAUUCCGUCAAUCUUUACAAAGUUUUGACCCAAAUAUACGUACCUAAGUUUGUUUUCACUGCGAACAUUAAGUCACCUAAAAACUCUUCAGAUAUGCCUUGUUAAUUCAUUGCUACUAUAUUACACAUAAAAAGGGGGUAAGUUGUCAGCCUCAAAUGGGAGAAAGAGGCCGAGAUUUAUCGGAAACCAUAUUUUGUUAUUUAUUUUUCAUUGCUCUUUAAGUCCCUCUAGCAUCAGGGAGCAUCAGAAAUUCUAAUCCAGUAAAAACCAACGAGAAACCAUGUGGUUUAUACACAUGAUAUUGGAUGAAACCUUAUAGCAUUACAACUUUUAUAUCAAACCGUAUAACUUGGUUUUUAUUCGUAAAAGAAGAAUUCAGUUACAACUAUCAUAUGUUUGUAAUGGCAAUCACCAAAUGCCAUAGGAAUUAUGAUAUGAAAUUGCAAUAGAAUCAAACAUAGGCAAUGAUUCUCAAUUUGAAUAGAAAAAACAAAGAAAUCAAUGAAUCAUCAAAUUACCUCCUCAAUGCAAAAUGCAUAUCCAAUUCCAAAUCAGACAAUCUUCCCUUGCUUCAUCUACUCUUCUGUUGAAGCCUUGGAGCUCCGAAAACCCUUCUUCAACUCGGCAACUCUCUUCAUACAAGCCGCCUUCGACUUCCCAGGCACAGCAGCUGCAACCUUCUCCCACCUCAUCGACACAUCCUUGGGAAACGCCUUCAGGGCAUUGAGCAAUGCAAUGUCUUCAGUUGAAGCCCAACUCACCCCACCACCAUUGCUCUCUUUCUUCACUUCACCAUUUUCCACCACCAACUCAUCACCCAAGUCUUGACUCUCACUCUCGAUUUUCUUGUCAUUGGGCUUACGCUUCUUCAAAAACUCUGCAUAAGAAUCUGAAUCAGUCACUUUCUUCUCUCCCAAUUCUUUGGCCUUCUUGAUCACACUCUCCACCUUAUGCUUUCCCCGAAACGACUCGGAAAUAACCUCCCACCGUCUCAGCUUCCCUACCGGGUACUUCAAGAGCAGUUUCUUCAAAAACUCAACAUCCUCUUCAACCCACUCCGUCUCUUCAUCAAACACCAUAGACCCAUUACCAUUACCUUCGGAAACCUCACGCUUUUUCUCUUCUCUCACAGGCCCAUUAACAGUUUCGGCCACCGGUGUCGAAUCUGUGCCCAAUUCAUCAAAUCGACGCGGCUUUGAUCUCUUUUGAGACACCCUCUUCUUCGAUUCCUCCUCUACUUGGGUUGUGAUUUCAGGGAGGUCGAGGAUUUGGCCGUGACCGACGCUGAUGUCACCACCGGUGACUGAAGCGGGAGCGAAGGGGCCGACGAGGAUGGAGAGAGCAACCCAGAUGAGGAGAGAUUGGUAGGGUUCGGAUUGGAGGAAGAAGAAGGAGAGACCCAGUAAUAGAAUUGAGAGUAAUAUUGUAAAGGCAAUGAAUGGUUUGUUGAGAUUCUUGUAAUGGGGUUCUGGGUCUGUGGCUGAAGAAGCCACUGCUUUCGAUUGGAAGAGGAACCUUGGCCUUGCGUCCUCGUCCAAAAACUCCAUCGUUGGAUCUCAGAGCUAAGCUAAACAGAGAGCCUCAUAUAUAUAGUAGUCCAUGUAGGUUCAAAAAGUCAUAUGUGACGGCGUCGUUUAUGUGACUUACAGCCACACUCAAAGUCGUAUAACUUGGGGGGCUGUCAUUUCUUUUCAUUUUUACUUGGGUCCUUAAAGUUGAAGCCUUUAGAAACUGUUAACUUUUUGAAAACCAGUUAAUGCGCGCCUCAUUUUGCCGACCCCUCUGUUUUACCUUCUCAGAAACCUUAGUCAAACUUCGAUGCUUUGAUUUAUAUUGCCGAUGUUAUGAAACCCAGAUUGCAUUUUCAAGAACCCAUAAUGCAAAACUCACUUCUGAUGAUUCACAGCUUCUUCAUUGUCUUUCCCAAAAUCUAUUUGGAGAGGCACGCAAGCUGCUUGAGAAAUUGCCUGCAAGAAAUAGCCAUGGCCGUGUUGUUCACUGGACUUCUUUGCUUACAAAAUACUCGAGAAGUGGUUGCGUUGAUGAGGCUCGGAUGCUCUUUGAGAUCAUGCCAGAGAGGAACAUUGUGACUUAUAAUGCGAUGUUGUCAGGGUAUGUCCAAUCUGGGAGGUUGAAUGAGGGCUGGCGGUUCUUUGAGGAGAUGCCAGAGAGAAAUGUUGUAUCGUGGACUUCAGUGCUCUGUGGGUUAGCAGAUGCGGGGAGGAUUGAUGAGGCGCGGGGAUUGUUUGAUGCGAUGCCAGAGAGGAAUGUUGUUUCUUGGAAUUCCAUGAUUGCUGGGUUGAUUAGGAAUGGGGAUUUGGAUGGAGCAAGGCGGGUUUUUGAGCAAAUGCCGAUGAAGAAUGUUGUUUCUUGGAAUGCCAUGAUUUCUGGGUAUGCUGAGCAUUGUAGAAUGGAAGAAGCAAGAGUGUUAUUUGAUGAGAUGGUGGAUCGGAAUGUGAUUACGUGGACUAGCAUGAUAUCUGGUUACUGUAGGUCUGGUAAUGUGGAUGAGGGCUAUUCUUUGUUUCAAAAAAUGCCUGAGAGGAAUGUUGUUUCUUGGACAGCCAUGAUUGGUGGCUUUGCUUGGAAUGGCUUCUAUAAAGAAGCUCUAUCACUAUUUCUUAAAUUGAAGGGGAACUGUGACACAAAACCGAAUGGAGAGACCUUUAUAUCGCUUGUAUAUGCUUGUGCAGGUAUUGAUGUGCCUAAUCUUGGCAAGCAACUACAUGCUCAGUUGAUUGUGAACGGUUGGGAGUAUGAUGAUUAUGAUGGCAGAUUAUCAAAGAGCCUCAUUCACAUGUACUCAGCCUUUGGUAUCAUGAAUUCUGCGUACUUUAUUUUUAUCAAGAAUUCAAGUAAUUGUACAGCUCAGUCUUGCAAUUCCAUGAUUAAUGGUUACAUACAGAUUGGACAGCUAGCCCGGGCUCAACAUUUCUUUGACAAUCUACCUAUCCGAGACAAGAUCUCUUGGACGUCUAUGAUCACUGGGUAUUUUAGUGUUGGACAAGUAUCAAAGGCUUGUUAUCUUUUCCAGAUCAUGCCAGAUAGAGAUGCAGUUGCAUGGACAGCGAUGAUUUCGGGGCACAUCCAAAAUGAGCUUUUUGCAGAAGCUACCGAUUUCUUUUCAGAAAUGAGGUCAGAAGGUGUUUCGCCUCUAAAUUCAACAUAUUCAGUUCUUCUUGGAGCUGCUGGUGCAAUGGCAUAUCUUGAUCCUGGGAGACAGUUCCACGGCCUGCUGAUAAAAACACAAUAUGAAUCUGACUUGUUUAUUAACAACUCACUGAUUUCCAUGUAUGCAAAAUGUGGGGAGAUAGAUGACGCUUACCGUGCAUUCUCAAACAUGAGUUUGCGGGAUUUGAUUUCAUGGAAUUCCAUGAUCAUGGGGUUCUCAGACCAUGGACAUGCGAAUGAGACUCUGAAGAUCUAUGAAUGCAUGGUGAAAUCUGGGACCCGCCCAAAUUCUGUCACUUUUUUGGGCAUACUAUCAGCAUGUAGCCAUGCAGGGCUUGUCCACAGAGGGUGGGAGUUUUUCAAUGCCAUGAGUAAUAUUUAUGCAAUUCAACCAGCUUUGGAGCAUUAUGUUUGUAUGGUUAAUCUUCUGGGCAGAGCUGGGAAGGUAAAAGAAGCAGAAGAAUUCGUUUCAAGGCUACCUUUCAAAUCAGAUCAUGCUGUUUUGGGGGCAUUGCUUGGUGUAUGCGGGUUUGGUGAAACAAAUGCUGAGGUUGCUAGGUAUGCAGCCAAACAACUCCUGGAGCUGGAUCCUUUAAAUGCACCUGCCCAUGUGGUGCUUUGUAACAUAUAUGCCGCUAAUGGUCAGCAUAUUGAGGAAAAAUUGCUGAGAAGGGAGAUGGGAUUGAAAGGAGUGAGAAAGGUUCCUGGAUGCAGUUGGAUUGUGCUGCAAGGAAGAGUUAAUGUCUUCCUCUCAGGAGAUAAAUUACUUUCACAAGUGGAUGAGAUGCUAUCACUUGUAUUUGGGACUAUUGGUCAGAAUCAUAAGAUGGGUAGAAAUAUGUGAAUAUACAGUUAAAAGAGCUUCAUUUGAUCAAUUCCGGAGGGGAUUCGAACUUGGGCCCUCUUCUAUCAGUGAAAGAGGUUCGUUUGAUGCAAAUUUUUGUAGUUUAUUUUACAUUUUGAAUCCAUAUUAAACACACCAGGGGAUCGUUGAUGGUGUUUUUUUUUUUUUUUGGGUGGUGGUAGUGUUCUCUUGUAUUUAAUUUAUAAUGUUUUACUAAAACUUUCUUUGUAGGAAAUUCAAAUUUCCACACGGAUUUCUUUGUUAUUUGAAAGAAUAUCCUCAGAGUGGACUAAUUGAUGCACCAAGUCUUCGCUUUCAGAAGUCUCUGUGGGGCAUCUGAGGUUCACGAAUUAUGCCAAUUAUGUCAUUUGAGGAUGAGAGCCAAUUAUGUCACCCAAUACCUUCCGAUGCCUUAAAAAGUGAGGAAUCUAGUCGCAGUCAUAAUAUUAAUAAAAAAUAAAAGAAGCCUUCAUUAAGAAACUUGUGUGAUCAUUAAGGGUAAGAGGAACUCUUAUUGUAUUGAUAUUGAACAUAACUCACACAAAAAUAUAAUAAAAAAUUAAUAAUUUAUAGAAUUUGGUUGAACACUGAUGAUUACAUGAAGGAAUUCUGCCAACUAAUCCUCUUAUUCAAGCAUAUUCCUAUUUGCAAAAGCAAAACAUUAAUUAAUGAAGCACAACAAAUCAAAACAUUUGUGUAACUAAGAAAAAUUUAUAAAUUAGAAUAUUUGAUCUGCUGCAUUUGCAUGUCUAUCUGUAAUUAGUUCACUUGAACUCCUGAGUCAUAUGUUUGUCCAACUUUCCAAUCUUGUGGUAUGUUAUUCUCAGGAACAACCCAAUUCUCAUCACCAUCUUCAUCACUGAAUAGCAUCCUUAUCUGCAAGGGUCCACUUGGGGGUGAGGUAGUCGUCCAAACUGCUCCAUAACUCCUGUCCAAUAGUUUGCAGGCAAAAUUUUGUGUCUGCACAUUUUGAAAAAAAGAAUUUUUAAUUAUGUGAUGAUGAAGAUGACAGAAUAAGAAUAAAGCAAGUAAAGUUGGUAGCUAAAAGAUAAGAACAUAUGACUUGGAUUCAUAUGCAGCUCUGAGCUCUCUAAUUUCAUUUGGUAAUUGAUCAGAGUAAGAACUGUUUCAUCUUUGUUUAAUUGCUUUCCUAGUUGAAACUACAACUACUGAGUUUAAUUUGUUAUAGCAUGAUGUGGCCUCCAUUUUUGACUCAUCUCCACAAGUUUAAUAGUGAGGAGAAAAUAUACCUCACAUAGCUGGACAGCUGUGAUAUCGUUCUUCCCUUGCUGGUAAUAUAUUACAAAAGCCAAAUAGUGAGGAUAAUUACUGUUCUCAUCAAUCUUGAUUGUAAUAUUUUUUCCUGGGUAGCUGCAUGAAACCCUGUUUUGGGAAGAGAGAGAGAGGGAGAGAGAGAGAGCUACUUGGUUAGUUUCUAGUCAUCAAAGUUUGUCAUAAAUGAAUAGCUACAUAUAUAGAUAAAGGAAACCAUGUGUUUGUGUGUGUUUCAAUUAUACAGAUUGUUCUGUUGGGACAAUCUUCUCUGUGUAACUAUUGAUCAGAAGUGAUACCACCUCCUCUGUGUAACUAUGAAAAUGCCUUAUUUCUUCCUCAAAGUUGCUAGGAUCUUACCUUCGGUAUUCGAUAUCGACUACUCCAAGGGACAGCAGAGAAGCAGCUGCAUCUGUAGUUUGAGCCAUCCGGCCAAAGGCUCGUUUGCUAAGGAUGAAGUCCGUGUUGUGACCGGAGCCUUGGUCAGUUAUAACCACAGUUGCUCCUUUGUCUGAGCAAUAGAGGCUGUUGGUGCACCUCACCUAGUAAAUCAUGAGGCAAAAAAAUUAAUUGAUCACAAACACUCAACACUAACACACACACACAAACACAUAUUUUCAUGCUUUAGGAGUGCAUGCUCACCUGGUAACAAGCACCGCAUCCGACUCCAUUGCGAUAGAGGUCAGAGGCAGCUGAGACAUCCCCUCCAUUGAUGGUUGCUCCAAAUGAACCAAACCCACAAGCACCUACUACAGAUCAUAACAAAAAAAUAUUAAUUAGUAUUAAGCGUACACAUAAAUCCACUACCACAUACAUAGCAUGCCUGCAACAUAGAAAUCUACUGUUCAUUUUGUUUUCUUUAAAUAAAAGUCUCUUACUAUCUGUUCCUUGCGCUUCAGAAUUCGGAUAAUAACUUGCCCGAGAAUGAACGAAACAGUCACUGCAUGUUGCAGCCUCCCCUGGAGUUUGUACUACAAGCAAGACAAUGAAAAGGGAAAGUUGAGACCACAGAGAGAAAACCAUUAUAGGUCCUCACAAGCAAAAUGAAAUGAGAGCUAGUUUUCUUGCUAGAAUUUUAUCGCAAGUUGGUGCUACUGCAUGAAGCUAUAGCUAAAUGGUUAGUGUAUUUAUAGCAAAAUAUGAAGUCCAACUUCAAUUUGGUAAGCCUCACCAACUUUGACAUUCUUCUGAAGAUUUUUUUUUUUUUUUUUUUUUUUUUCUGAAUGAGUGGAAUUCUGUUACUUGCCUUUGUCGGCUACCUUCCUAGCCAUAUUUAUUUACUUGAUGUAGAAUAUUAUUGUGGAAAGCCUCUUUCUCAUCUUUCAAAUGUGAUAGUGAUUUUUCUUUCCUUGUUGAAUUCUGUGGUAUUAAAUUAUCAAAAAGUCAUUGGAUCCAAGUUUGUGCUAUUUUCUUUGUUUCAGUCUAAAUAUGUUUGCAGUGUUAUUAAUUCAUCAAUUUCUCAAGUCAGAAGCAGAAAAGUAUGAAUUUGUGGAUAAGCAUGUAUAUAAGAUGAGAAACAUUUGAUUCUCACAACUUGAGCUGAUUUUUUUUAUUGAUUUGACCAUGAUAGGUUUUGUUGACACUGGCAUACCUAAAACCAGAGAGGGGUCAAAAUCAAAGAUUGAGAUUUGAGACUUUUGAAUAGAAUUUCCUUGAAUUGGAAUUACAAGGCAAAGUUAGGUGUUUUGGCACUAGAUUAACCCCUUACGUUAGGCAUCUCAAGUUUCCCACCUAGUACUGGUUUUGAUUUGAGGCACAUGGGCUGUGAUUUUAUUUUGGGUGUUAGGAAGUUCUUAGGAAACACCCUUCAUUCAUAUGUAUUGAACAAAGAUGGCCCAAGCUACAAAAGUUGUUUGCAAUUACAGUUUAGUGUAUAAUAAGCACAGUGGAUCACUAUUUAAUUGAUGGUAAUUAUUAGAUAGCAGUAAUAUAUUUGUCAAAGUAUAGUUUCUUAAUUAAAGAUGUCUUUUUAUCUUGAAGUUCACUUCAAGCAUGCCUCUCCUUCCAAGUUGAUCCUGAAUAUAAUUUUCUAUCAAGUUAUUUUAUAGCAUGACAGUACGGAAGACGAAAUAGUUCAUAAGCAGACUCGGGAAUUUUUUAACGGAGGUGCAACUUCGGUCAAGAUUUAUAAAAUAAAAUAAAAAAUAAAAAAAUAAGCGCAGCAGCAAACUGACUUCGUUUAGACUUUUCGUCGAACACUUAGAAUGCACCUUCCAGGCUGAGUAGAGGUGCAAUAUGCAUCACCUACAAUGGUUUUUCCGGUAAUGAGUGCCUUAAUAGGUGGUUCAGAUGUAUAUCCCCAAAGAGAAUUGCGAGACAAUCUAAUAUGUAAAUCAUUGGAUAUGUUGUGUUUUAAACUCUCGAUCGAAAUCAUAUAAAUUCUAAUUUCUAAUUUUAAUAGAGUUUUUCUAUUUAAACCCUGCACUUCUGUUUGUUCACCCCAUAUUUUAAGUUCAUCCCAACAUUUAAUUCAAAUUUUCACAAUUUCUAAGUAAACCUCAUUGUCUUCCCAAACUACCCAUAAAUACACACCAAUGAGAAAAAAUAAUUUAAAAAAACUCAACAACCUCAUACCCCACUUUCUCCUUCUGUGUAGUGUUAUGUCGAGCAGAAGUAGCCGGAGCCCUUUUCCGGGUGUUUGGUGCGGCAGGAGUUUUAGGCACCUCAGUCUUUUCUUGGUCCAUCUCUUCUGAAACAGCUCUCCUCAUUCUUUUCUUAGGGUUCCAUCAAUUUUCACAGCCACACUAGGCUCAAGCCACCCAUUUUUAUCUCAGUCGUCCAGAACCAAAUGAAAACAAAUUGCAUAAUUAACGCUACGAAUUUAAUCACCUAAGUUAGUAAUUACUAGAAUCCUUAAGAACAUAAAUAAAAUAAAAACUAAUGCAACAAGAAAAAAUAAAAUAAAUACUUAACGUAACCUCUAAAAACCCAUUUGCACAAAUACAAUUAACAAUCACCAAGAACCCAUAUGAUAAGAACCCCAAAAAAAAGGAAAAUGUAACAAAAAUUUGAAGAAAUAUUGAACCAACUACUGAGGAUGGUGAUAGAAUUACAAGUGGGUAUCUUUAUGUAUUCAUGAAUGACAAAUGAAGAGCAGUCAUGAGAGAGCUUGAUGAUUGCCUGGACUUUGCAGGCAGUGGUUUUUAUUUUUUUGUUGUUGAUAGCAGUGAAUUAUGUUCUUAAUUUGAGCAAUCAGCAACCAAAGAAAAGUACCUGGUGUAAACACAAUAAUAAAUUGGAUGUUCUUUUUUGUCUUUUUACACAAUAAUAAAACUUAAAAGCUUAAUGAUUUAAGUAUUUGAGUGAACAAAGAAAAGUAUAGGGUUUAAAUAGAAAAACUCUUUUAAUAUAUAGACCAAAAGACAUUUUUUGUCCCUGUAGUUUGUUUAUUUUUCACUUUUAGCCCCUACAGUUUCAAUUUGAUCAAUUAUGCCCUUAUAGUUUCAUAAUUAUAGCAAUUUAAGGACAAGUGACAAAUUCUGUCAAUUUCUUUCACACCGUUAGGGAUAUUUCGGUCCAUUUAUGCCAUUUAAAUGUUAUAGCCAAGAUGAAACUCCCCAUUUCAUGUUCUUAAUGUUUCUAUUUGUUAAGCUGACAACAGUCAAUUAUACCAAGCAUAAUUUAGUUGUUUAUCCAACAAUGAUAUUGCAACAAUGCUUAUAACCAUGCAAAUUAUAUGGAAAUGAUGUAAAUGAACGUUUGAUUCAACAAUUGUGUUUCCUAAGGCCAUCUCUAACCCAUGAGGCCAAAUCCCAAAUAUCCAAAAUAUUAGCCCAAAUCAUCUCCCAACUCAAAAAAAUUAAGGGGUCAAAAUUUAGAAAAACCUAAACUUGGGGCCAAAUGCCAAUCCAGCUAUUGCCCGGAUUGGAAUUUUUUUUCAAUAGAGCCCACUCAAGGCUGAUGCAGCCCAUGUGCAAGGAGGUGUGAUUAGCGCCCGUGCUACUAUUGCUGCAAAUCUUGUCAGGCCACGUUUCGCACGCUGGUGAGGUUGUUGUUGGAAUCCAACGGCACAAUUCAAACAACGCCCGCCCUCUUUUUUUUUUUAAUUCCAACAAUAACCCAAAUCAAUGUUCCAUAUUAAAUCCAAGUUAUUUUAACGGUAAAAAUAAAUUCAAGUACUAAAAUUUAAUUUAACGGUCAAAAUAAUAUUUAAUAUUAAUCUAAAUUAGAUCAAACCCCAAAACUCACUCCAAAAAUAUUUUUUCUAUUUCUCAAUUUAUUUUUCUUUUGUCAAUUUCAUCAAUCUCCUUUCAUCAUUUUGGAAUAAAAUUAUAUUUGUGGAAUUUCAAUUUUUGAGGUCAAAUUGUUAAAAAUAAAAUAAAAUAAUGAAGUUAUUUAAAAAGAUUAAAUGAAGAAAAUUUAUCCAUAAAAAAUUAAUUAGACUCAAACCAUUCUUAAAUAUUUUAAUAAAGUUGCAAAUUUAAAAUUUGAGUUAAGAGGAUUGGGAGAAAAAACAGUUUGAGUCCAAACAAAACCCAAAUAAUUACUUUUUGGAGAGAAAAAUUUGAAUUUAACCCCAAAUAAAUUGGAGAAGGCCUAAAGUCUUUUACUCUGACUAUAACAUUUAAAUGACAGAAAUUAACGGAAAUGCCCCUAACGGCGUGAAUUAAAUUAAUGGAAUUGAUGGCGGGGAAAGAGACUUGUAAUUGUGAAUAUGCUUUACAGUACGCCGACGUAGACUGCCAUUUAAAUCAAGGAAAGAAAGCCAUUGAGCCCUAUAUCAGCCAUGACAUGGAAACCAUUUGGGGGGUUGGGCCCACAACGCAUAAGUCUCCAAAUUUGAUGAGCGGAGGAUGGGAAUAAAACGUUGCAUCAUGAGGAAUUUUUCUGCAGCAAUCCUAGGAAUUGAAAUGAUAAUUCUAGGGUUUAACGAGUUUUACAUGAAUGUAGAGAGGUGAGUGGGUCCUUACAGAUCUUGUUGUAAAAUAGUAAACUUGUUGUCGACGGAGGUGACUUUAGAACACGUGGAUGUAACGAGCAUCACUGUGAUCAAAAUUGUUGAUCAGAUGUUUUUUUUUUUCCUUUAAUUUUCUAAUUCUUAAUGAAGCAAAAUGGGAAAUUUCAAAACUUUCUCAAGUUUCUGGAUAUACCACGUGGCUGGUGUACUAUCCAAUAGAUGGAAGACAUAUAGAAUAUUGGCAAUGCAGCUCGCCAUAUGUUAUAAAAAGAAAUGCAAUAAGUUAGACAAUAAUUCCAUAUAUCGUAUAUUUAUUGGAUAGUACACCUGCCACGUGGUGUACCCAUAACAUAUAAAAUUUCUCAAAGUUUUGGCUCAUAAAUUCUUGAAUGCGUUUAGAAGCUCCUCCUAUGGUGAGAUAAGAAAAGGAAUAAACAUAGAUAAAGUAGUAACCUUUAAUUAAAACAGAAAUGCGCAGGGCCCGCAAGCCUAGUGCUUGGCUUGGAUGCUAGGCUAGCUACUGACUGAGUCGUGAAUCUCGUGGUCUAUGUAUAUACAUAUAAUUAUUUGUGGGAUUCCUUUGCUUUAUAUGGGACGACGACGAGUCAUAUUUUCUCUCAACCGUAAUCAAUAAUAGCGCAAAAAGAAAAGUUUAUGGAGGGGCUAGCUGUGCUUUAUACAUGUGUGUAAGAAGAGUAAAGAGCCAAAGUACUUUUUCUAUGUUAUAUAUAUAUACAGUGUUUGAGGAGUGCAUGCAGCAAAACAAGAAAAAAAAAACAAAAAAAACAAAAGAUGAGUCACUCAGGAGGAGCUAUGAAGCUGAUGAUGGUGAUGAUGGCCAUGGCCCUGCUCACCACAAGCCAUGGCAUUGGCAUCCACAUCAACACCAGCGUCGUCACCGGUGGCUACUCUGCCUCCCGUUGCAACGGCCUUACCGACACGGCAUGCCGGAUUGCUCACUCGGAGUUGGACUUUGACUUGGAGUUCAUGUUGGACUCGGAAUUCAGCAUAAGGCUCCUCCAGACAAAUGACGCUCAUCCUUCUCUGGC